rnacentral:lncRNA from 1 species
CUCGAACUCCAAUCCAGCCGAGUGUUGAGGGAGAGUUUCGUCAGCACGACGGCGUGGUGACGAGAGGAAAAGGAGAAGGAAGGGUUACAUGCAUUGGUGAAUUCUCUACUAAUCCCUGCCUGCAGCGAUUCAUCAAAACUAAGGAAAUUAUGAUAGACUCUUUAAAUUGUAUAAGGGAGAUGAUAUGUUUCCAUCCCCACCAUACAAGCCCCCACGUUUAGCGACCUAGUAAAAUCCACAUGGCUGGGUGGCCCUCUAGCUCUAUAAACCCGGAUUGAAUGCUAGCAAAUCAACAAGGAAAACAAUAUGUGAUCAUGCCUUAUUGCAAAUGUCGUAGCAACCCGACCAAGAUGCAAUGAUCUUCCAUAGCUAUACAAUCAUCAAAGCUAAGGAGAACAUAAGCAACAAGUAAAACACAUGUCUCACGCCACACAAUCGCAAAGUCUUGACAGCUACGGAGGAAAGGUUCAUAUCUUCGCAUAACUGUUGUUUUCUCUCUCUCAUGGUAUGCUCUAGUCUUUUUUCCUCCGCAUGUCCCUUAAGAAUUCGUUAUCACCGUAGAGGUAACUUCUAACUGUGAAUGUCAAAUCUUUGUUUGGGACCAAAUAAAACAAUCUGGCUUUAAAGCAGCGCUCUCUAUACUUCAUAAUCGCACCGUCUAUGGUGCAUGACAGAUUUUUAAUGAUUUCACCACUUUUCAUAUAAACCGGCUAUGAGUUGAUCUUCCCCAACCUAACCAUCAUUAUAAGCCGCCAUCUUCCCGUACAAAGCUCUAUUUCGUGGCGCAGUGCCGUUGAUUUAAGUACAGCUGCAGGUUUAGCCAAUGCCCUCAUGCCAUACUCGUCACGAAGACAUAGCCUGAACAUCUUCUUUGGUCUGAUGAUCUUGUGAUCUUUUUCAAAAAGUACAGACCCAACCUUCUGCUUGAAAAUAAAUAAGAACGUCUUCGUCGGAAUCUUGGGUUGGCAUUUGAUCAUGAGUAUGACAUGAGCAUCCUAUGUUAGGUUGAUCUCUCCACCAAUGGGCCCAAUGGCUCAUUGGGCCCUUGAUCCACGCCCUGAUCGGGGGCGUCCAGCCCAAGCGAGGCUGGUGGGCCCCUAUCGCGUAGUGCUAUAAAGAGGAGGUGGGGACCAGGGGCACAGGGUACGAGGUUCGUCACCGUCACUGUUCCCCACUCCUAACCCUAUCCGAUCCAGAGGGAGGCACUGAAGCGAUGGGAAGCUCCGCCGCCGCCACUGCCCAUACAUCGCCGCCAUAUCCACCUCACCUCUCUCUGCUAUCACCACCAUCACCCUCUCCAUGAUGGCCUCCAGCUCGAGUUCAUCAAUCACUGGAGAAGGUAGGUUUACCGGAAAUCCUACCCUACUUGAUCCCACAGAUCUAUCAAUGGUAUCAGCCAAGGUUUGGUUCAGGAUUUUCAGUAGAAAAGAACACAAAAGAAAAUCUUUCCCCAUCCCGAAGAACCCUAGACAGGGCAAAGACAAAUUCCUCUACGGAGAAAGUAGCGCCGCCAUCAUGGCCGCGCCGUUCCUGUCGAUCCGGAUGGGCAUCGGCAUGCCGAGCCAUUCGGAAGAAGAACACAGGUAGUGGGGGCACCACGCCCUUGCCACUGCCAAAAGAACAGACCCCGUCGAGGCAAAGGGCAACGCAGCCAAGCCAUUCGACAUCGGCGCUCUUACCGCAAGGGAAACACGCUACUGGCGAAGGGGCAGACCACGGCGCCGCCGUAGGGUGGUCCACCAUCGUCAUAUUCAAGGGAGCAGAGGAGGGCUAGACCUCACGUCUCUCUCUACCACUUGCUCGCGGUGGAUGGGGAGAACAGGAUGGAAAAGGAGAAAGAGAAAGCACGCGCCGCCGUGGCCGUCGCCGCCGGCACCGGCGACAGGAGCAUGACGCGGUGGACGGUCGGCCAGAGAGAAGCAGCGUGCAGAUGGAGAGAUAGAUGAGAGAGGAAGGGAGCGACGCAGGGGGACUGGAACAGCUCCGCGUAGCGCAGGGGCGUCGGCCGCCAUCGCCGGCUCGCCCACGGCGCGUCGGACCGCUAGAAGCAACCGCGCCGGCGAGAGCGGAGAGAACGAGGCGAGCGGCGCGCGGGGGGAGGAAAUGAACUAGGGUUCCCCCCACUGCGAACUGGUCUGUUUUGACCAUGCGAGAAGCCCGCUCGGGCGUCAGAUCCGGCCUACCCACAUCGGGCGGCUGGAGUGAGCUCUGGCUCCUCACAGGCCGUGGCUAGGCCGAGGGGGGUGGGCCGGCUGGACCGGCGCCCCAGGCCAGGAGCUGCGAAGGAAAAGGCCAUUUUUCGGCCUAGAGAACUCCAACAUUUUUUUUGUUUUUUUGUUCUGUUUUUAGGCAAAAAACAAUAUGUAGUCUUGAUUCCUUCUUUCUAUGCAAUUUUUUCCAACGAAAUUUUUUGCUUAGAAAAUAGAAAAGUAAACAGAAAAAGUUUUUGAAAAUGAAAAUAGAAAAUUUUCAGAAAAACAAAUGUUCAUGAAUUUUAUAAAGAAAAUAAUAAAGUUCAUGAACAUUAUUUACUCAAAGAAAAAUUUCUGUAAAAAAAAGUUCAUGAAUGUUUUAUUCAUGUUUUUCCGCUGCAAAUAAAAAUAAAAGUGCUUUUUUAAAAGUGAAUAGAACUAAAGUAAAAGAUUAAAUUGUUGUUUCUCCAAUGCAUUUUUGAACCAAUCGGUUGAAAUUGCUCAGAGAGUAAAAGAGUAUAGAACUGUUUCUGAAUAGAUUCAGAAAGUUUCCGCUGCAAAGAAAAAGUAUUAUCCUCCAAUUAAAUUGGAACCAACGGGAAAAUUUAAUUGGAUGAACAGUUUUGGAGAGAAGUUUUUUCACUUGUGGGUGAAAUCAGAUUCAGAUAGCUUCUGCUAUGACAGUAGAAAGAUAUUUGAUUAAAGUUUAAUUAUGGUAUUGUUAUUUUUUGACCAACGUUGAUGAUGACAAUAUUAUAAUUCAAUGAGUCUUAUAGUUAAAAGUUCAAAUCUCUGAUAAUUUUUGUAUCAAAGUGGCCAAUUUUCAUAGCAUUUGAUAAAGAUUGAGAAAUGUAUAUUAAAAGUUUUCCGCUGCAAUAAAGUUGAUAAUGAUGAUUAUUUUCUUAGCAAAGUCGCUUAAUAGAAAUUUUAUCAUCACAAUAUUUACGAGUUAUAUGCAUUAUUUCCAUUUCCGCCCAACAGUGAUAUGGAAUUAAUGUAGAAGAAUGAGCUUUAUUCUAAUUCUACCAGAAAGACUUAUAGUAUAAAAAGGAAGUUUUGCAAAAGUUUAAUGUGCAUAUUUUUUAACCAGACCAACGUAGGGUUAUUUUUAUGCUCAUUAUUGUUGAUUAUUGGCUAAGUUUUCUCAGACUAAAAGUUUUUCAUGCUUUCAUUCGUGAAAGCGAAUGGCUGGGUACUUAUGACCUGAAAGAUGACCAGGAAAGGUCAUAACGUGAGGGAGUAUGUUCUCUCUAAAGAAUGGCUUCAAAAGAAAAGAAUUCUUGGAUAUUGAUCCAAGAGAAGAAAACAGAUAGAUCAUUGAGAGUCUUGGUUGACGAAUAUCUUUCAUGUACUCUCUAUGAUUUGAGAUAAAACAAGCAACAUGCGUGUUUAAUUUGACCAACAUCGGAUCAAGCAUGUGUGUCAAAGAGCAUUCGGAUUUAUUUAUAAAUUUGAUGAUUGAAUAUGUAGUCAAAAGAGCCAAUUCUGGCAUUUAUGUCCCUUGCAGGGAAUUGCCCGCAUGGCGGGAAAAGAUGAUUAUGAUAAAACCCGCAUGGCAGGAUAAGUCUGGGAAAAUCCCUGCGUAACCUGUAUGGCGGCAGAAAUUUUCUCAUACUUAUCCUGUAUGACAGGACAAAGACAUGAUGACUCAUGUGCUUUUAAUGUGUCCCACUCUGGGAGAAAAGUAUGGAGUAGCUAUUAUGCUUUCCUAGUAUCAACCGUACAUCUUAUGUGUAACGGUCAUUAAGCACUCAAUAAAUCCAAAGAGAAUAAAAGUUACAGACAAACCUAAAGAUAAGAAUGAUAUGCAAGUGUGACUUGCAAAAGGACUAAUGAUAAAGAACUAUGUUGAGUUUCUGAAAUGGAAUGAGGAAAAAGUACUCCAGAUAAAUGAAGUAGAUAAUCGAAGUUUCCUCAUUCACAAGAGUUAUGAAUGGUUUUUCGAAAUUGUGGCAGAAAAGUUCUUGCCACAUUUCGAGGGGGAGAAAAGAUAUAUGAGAUAAAUUAAGAAUGUUGAAAAUCCCCUAUACUUUAGAUAAUGUGAUGAAGAAUGUGAUCAUCUAGGGGAGUAUGACGGUCAUAUUAAUACCCCUAAAGAAAAGAAAUAGUUGUAUUUCUAGAUCUUUUACAGUUCCGAAAGCAGAGUAAGGAAUACUAAGACGGUGCUUAAAGUGCCAUAAAGAAGAAAGUUUUAACAGAAUAAACCCAAAUUAUAAAGUUUAAAGAUACGCUAUUUUUUAGUGAAGAUAGUAAUCUGGGGGAACAUGUUGUAUGACCUAUACAACACCUGAUGUUAGCUCUAUAAAGGAUGAAUGAGUACACUUGGAUCUUGUGACACAGGUCCUUGUAAAAUUUGCUGCCUCUUGGAAAUGAAAGACUAUAUAAUUAAUUUGCCUCUUGGCAAUGACAGAGCAACAACAUCCCCAUAUGAAAGAAGUGCCAGUACCUAAGACAGUGAUGGUCUUAUGGAAUGAGAAAAUCAGAUACUUCUGAUUACUAUAAAGUCUAUGUUAGUGAAAUUCAAAUGGAGGUUGAUCCCACCUCAUUUAAAGUGCUCAUUCGAGUUUUGAGAAGUGUCUGCUUAUCUAAAUGAUAAGAGACUAUGUGAGAUGAAAUGAAAUUGGUGAAUCCCGACGAUGUUUGGGACUGAUGAGUAAUUUCCAAUGGAGCCAAAACAGUCAGCUGUAAAGAGUCUACAAGGACAAUGUGACUCCAAAGGAAAUAUGUAAAGGUGUAAAACACGACUUAAAUCGAAAGGUUUUUGCGCGUUUUGCACUGAAUAGAUUACAAUGAGUGUUGGUAGCACAUCAUGAUCUGAGUUACAUCAGAUGAAAAUAAAGAACACAGGGGAUACUACCUAAAGAAGUCUUUUAUGGACUAAAGCAAUCAAAUGUUGUUUUGGGUUAAAGAAAAUGAGAGGACAAUUGUAUUCGUGCAAAGUUAUAGAAUGGGAAAUUCAUUUCCUAAUCCUGUGCAUGUGGAUGACAUCCUACUUGCUAGUGGUGAUGUCAACCUACGGCGGGAGGAGAAAAGAAGUUCUUGUCUUCAAAGUUCAAAAGAAUGUUCUCGGUAGAGUGUCUCUCAUUAUAAUUAUCGAUAUUCACCAAGAAAAGAAUAAAAUGGGUAUUAGGAAUGUCACAUGGACAUGCUAAGAAAUGUCUCUAAAGUAUGCAUGCGACAAAACCUAUGCAUGUUCUUAUAGUCAAGGGUAAUAGAACUGGAAACUAUGGUGUUCCAAAAGUUGAUGAGAAAAGAUUGAAAACGGAUAUGGUACCAUAUGCUUCAGCUGUUAGAAGCUCAAUAUAUUGCCCUGACACAGUUCACAUAUCCGAGUUGUUUUGGCAAUGUCCAGUCCAUAUAUAGAUCACUUGAAUGGAGUCAAAGAUAUCGGCCUCAUGCUGAAAGAAAUAAGUGCUCUAAAAAGUUUGUGAGUACAAAGACAAGACUUGUGAAAUGUAUAGCGAAAUCCACAAUUGUCGCUAACUUUCACACUUGGAGAUUUUUGUGUGGAAAAGCUCCAAAGAAUGAAACAAUUAUCAUCAAUGUGAUGCAAAGAUAUUUCAUAGCUUGAUAUGAGGCUGAGGGACAGGCAAAAUGGUUAAGGAGACCUGUACCCCGAGUUGAUAAUGGUUGACAACAGCGAUAUCUAUUUUAAGUCUUUCUCUCCUAUGACAACGAGUCAAGUGUUGAUGCCAAACACAUUGACACAAAGUUAUACGUUGUUAAAGAGAAAGUCCGGAAAUUAUGUUGAAAUGCUUGGAGCAUGAAAGCAACAGACAAGUAUUUGCAGAUUUGCUUAUUAAAGGCUUACCACCCAGUGUGUUCGGAGAACACACAGUCGACAUGGGUUUUAUGGUAUAGUCUAACAUUUCCGGACAAUAAAAGGGCCCAAGGUUAAAGAGUCUGUUUCAAAACAGAGGAGUGUGUUGUAGGAGUUGAUUUUAUCGGGAAUGAACCGUGAUGAUGAGACAUUCUCUACAUGCAAAUCUGUGAUGGAACGAGUACUUUGAAAAGAGUUAUUUCAAAGUAUAAAAGUUAAAAGUAUAUGAUGAGAUCAAGGGGGAGAAUGUUAGGUUGAUCUCUCCACCAAUGGGCCCAACGGCUCAUUGGGCCCUUGAUCCACGCCCUGAUCGGGGGCGUCCAGCCCAAGCGAGGCUGGUGGGCCCCUAUCGCGCAGUGCUAUAAAGAGGAUGUGGGGACCAGGGGCACAGGGUACAAGGUUCGUCACCGCCAUUGUUCCCCACUCCUAACCCUAUCCGAUCCAGAGGGAGGCACUGAAGCGAUGGGAAGCUCCGCCGUUGCCACUGCCCAUACAUCGCCGCCGUAUCCACCUCACCUCUCUCUGCUAUCACCACCAUCACCCUCUCCACGAUGGCCUCCGGCUCGAGUUCAUCAAUCGCUGGAGAAGGUAGGUUUACCGGAAAUCCUACCCUACUCGAUCCCACAGAUCUAUCAUCCUAAAUUAGCAUCCCAUUAUUUUUCAGAGAAAAGAAAACCCCUACGAGCUAGCAGUACAUAGGCAAGUAAGAAAAAAGGUGUACUGGAGUAUACUGCAUGAACAUCUCAAAAUAACAUAUAGAAGCAGAAAUAAACAACCCUCGUUCGUAUGUACCUGCAGCUGCCAUCGGAGGUAGUAGUCUUCAUCUGCAUCAUGCAAAGAACCCAGCGAAUCGAUGGAGGGCUAUAUUUCUUUCGUGGGAGAUUAGAGGACUGAUUAGGAAGCCCGUACGUGUUAUGACACGUCUGUCUUGUCUUUGCCUCGAAUAUUUCUUUCCACCUACCUACCUACAUGUCCUGUAUCAUUUUCUAUCGCUCCUACUCUAUCAUAUUGGACGUGUUUAGGUCAACUCCACCACGCGACUCUAUCCUGUCCGCCCCCAUCCGUUUGGAGUAAAAGGGACAAACGAGACGGCCCAACCGCAACGUACUUUUGUCCGCUUUGUGUCCGCUUUCGACCCACCCCUGGUCCAAGUUUGCGCCGGUUUUGGGGUGAAACGGACAGCGCGCGGACAGGCGGGACGCGCGCGCUUGUCCUCCCCUGGCCCGCCUGUCGGUGGGAGAAACCAAACCCCCCACGCCCAUUUGGUGUCAUUUCCCCCAAAAACUCACAUGACCCUCCCGCCGCCCCCUCUCUCUCCCCCGUCCAUGGCCGAUGCACCGCCGAGUUCUGGCGGCCUGACCGUCGACCCGCCCGCAAAGAAGAAGAAGAAGGCGCCAAGGAAGCCGCGGUCGGAGUGCACGCCGGCGAAGAUCGCGAAGUUCGAGGCAGAAUCGGCGAAGAGGAGGGAAUGGAGAGUGGUCGUCAAGGUCAAUGCCGCCGCGGCCAAGAUCGCCGCCCAACGUGAUGAGCUGGAGGCCGCGCGGCGCAAGGCCGCGGCCGACGAGCAGGAGGACCUCGUCAACAAAGCGCACGCCAUCCUCAUGCUUGGCAUGGGCCAUCCGGCCGGGUUCCCUGGAGCGGCCGUCGGCCCAGCGAGCAUAAGCUCAUCGGUCGCCCAGCCUACGCACUGCCAUUCUCCGACCUCGCGCACCACGCCCAUGUUGCCUGGCUUUCCUCUGCAAAGGCACGACGACCAGAGCCGUUUCUCGGGGUCGCCGGACGUGGGCUUGUUCGCGCCGUUGACACCACACCCCGCGGCCGUCAUCGACCUCAACGUCACACCUGGGUCCAGCAGCGGCGGUCGUCCAUCCGUUGAGAUGCAAAGAAAGCAGGCACGGGCACCAUGUCGGCCCCCCGCGUCUUGUUUGACGGAAUGUCAACCCCAACGCCAAUGGUCGACGACCCCUUCUACAACCAGUACAUGGAGGACGUGAUCUUCGAGGGUGGGCAUGGCCGUCCCUACGACCCCAAGGAGACCCAAAGUUAGGAUGGCCGUGCCCAGUACGUGCCCGAUGAAGAGGCCAACGGCCGUGCUGAGUACGACCAUGGUGACUCGUGGCAUGAAGACGAUGACAUCUAUGUCGAAGGUGAUGGUGAUGAAGAAGAAGGCAAUGACGUUGAUAUUAGUGGUGAGCCAUUGUUCAUCAAAGAGCUCACCCAAAGAGCAGAUGCACAAAAGAAGAAGAAGAGCAUUCGCACGGGUUCAUACACACAAGAUGAGGACAAGUUGAUUUGCCAAGCUUGGAUGGAGAUUAGCCAAGAUCCGAGGACCGGCGCGUAACAAUAGGGCAUUGUUUUUUGGACGAGAGUCCACAAAACAUUCAAUGAAAGGAAGAUGUUCGAGCCCUACCAAAUUACAAGCAAUCGUGGCAUCGGCUUGAUUCAAAAGAGAUGUUUGUUCAUCCAACAAGAGUGCAACAAGUAUCAAGCGGCAUUUGAGAGCGUUCAAGCACGACCCGUGAGCGAUCAUGAGUGUGGACUUGUCGAAGAUGAGCGAAAAGACGAGGGUCUGGUUCGAGGCCAAGCAGAAGGAGAUGCUCAACGGCGAAGGCCUGAACUAGGUCGUCCGAUCGGCCGUGGCCGUUCUUUUUGGAGGCUGGCAUGGGUGCCGCCCGCCCGCUGGGCCGCUGGCUGUGUGCUGGCGAGAAAACAUUCAUUUUGGUGGUCGGCUAUGUUGCCGGCGAGGACAACUAUUCAUUUUGGAGGCUGACUGUGUUGCCGGCCGCUGGCUGAUGCCGACGAUGGACGUGUAGGCCGCUGGCUCUGUUACCGGCGUGAUGAACCGGGACCGCUGGCCUGAAAUAGGGCUUGGCAUUUGAAACGUUGCUUCUGGUUUUUAAAUAGACACGGACAGGAUGGGGCAAAUGGAUGUGGCCAUGCGCCCAGCCGCAUCCCAGGACACGCCCAGACACGACCCCAAAUCGCUGCCCGAACGAACAGAAUCCGGACAAAAUGGACGUCCAUUUGGGGUCGCACGGUGGAAAUGGCCUUACGAACAGGAAAUCGGACACCAGAAAAUCAACGCACACGCAUAACCGUGGAGGAUCCAAACAAGACACCAGAAGUCCAGAACUAAAAAGCACAUGUACGGUGUUCAAAAUAAAAAGCACAUGUACAGCCGUGGCAACAGGUAAAACCGGAACGGCCCACGAGCAAGAAAAAACACCCAUGCGAGCAGACAUGAUCUCCUGUGACUGCUGUUCCUCGUCGAGGCGCCUCCGCCAUCCCCGCGCCACCCCUGCCAAUGAUGCAUCACACGGCUGCGGGCUGCCCUCAAUAUUGUGCAAGUCAUGGUAGCCGCCGAACGCCUGCACGCUGAAGCACCUGCGGUCGCAGUAGCUACACGAGAAGUCGACAAGGCCGCAUUCUGGACGGUGCCGUCGGCCAGCAGAGACGCUCGGUGGCGCCGUGCGUCGUCCCGGGUCUCAGGCCGAGACUGUUGAUGGUACACUGCACCUUGCCCUCUGUUGAGUAUGUAUAUUGUACUGCAGGUGUAUUGGAGUUGUGACCCACCUCCUAGUCUUGUAUAGUUGAGAUAGAGGUCUUUUCUUGUAUUAUAUAUGCAUGCACCAACACCCCAAUCAACACAUCGUAUUGCAAAUCAUCUGUCUACAUGAUAUCAUUUUUUCCGGUCUAACCCUAGGAUAGCUGCCGCCGUCGCCGCCGCACCCCACCUCUGCACCUGCCGCCGCUGCGCCCCUCCACCUCAUGCCUCCACGCGCCACCGCCACUGUGCCUCGCUUCCGCCCUCCCACGCGCGCGCCUCGUCCUGCUGCUACGCUAGCCAACGACCUCAUUGACCGCCUGGCUAGCUAGCUUCACUAGCCAGCCGCCAGCCGCGCCCGUGCUCCGCGCCGCUCUGCUUUUUAUCCCGCGCCGUGCUCCACCAGCCGCCGCACCUUCUCCCACUGCAGUCGCGUCCCGCCGCUGCGGCCAUCUCCUAUCCCAACCCUAACCCUAGCCGCUACCCCGCACACCGCCAUGUCGUGGCCCUCCUCCCCCGGCUCCUCCUCCACCCACUCGUCCAAUCCGUUCGCUGGUUCCGAGCCCUCUGUCGCUGCCAUCCGUGACCUCAAUAUUGAGGCCCGGGUCUCCAUCCGUCUCGAAAGCUCCAGCACGUCAUACUAUGCGUGGAAGACCUACUUCAACCUUGUAUUUCGCGAGUACUAUCUCACCGAGCAUAUCGACGGUUCCGUGGACAGCGCGUACAUGCGCGGUGACCCGGAGUGGUCCGCCAUCGAGGCCACGCUCAUCCGUUGGUUCUACCAGACGGUCUCGAAGGACAUCUUCCACACGGUCAUCAUCGAGGACGAUGACGCAUGCAUCGUGUGGGCCAAGAUCAACAUGCUCUUCACCGACAACAAACUCCAGUGCCUUGUUUUCUUGCAGCAGGAGUUCUUCGGCUGUCACCAGGAUAACUCCACCAUCGACGAGUAUUGCAUGAGGCUCAAGAUGCUCGCCGACGAGCUUCGCGACAUCGGCGCUAAGGUCUCUGACGACCUCAUGCCGAGCACCCUCAUCGCCGGACUUAAUGAGGACUUCGACAAUGCGGCGUCCAACCUCACUCUGCUGCCGCAACCCACCAGGAUGACGAAGCUGAAGCAGUGGGUCCAGCACACCGCUCUCGCGGCCGGUACCACCCGCGGUGGCCCAGCUCCUCAGCCCCCCCNNNNNNNNNNNNNNNNNNNNNNNNNNNNNNNNNNNNNNNNNNNNNNNNNNNNNNNNNNNNNNNNNNNNNNNNNNNNNNNNNNNNNNNNNNNNNNNNNNNNNNNNNNNNNNNNNNNNNNNNNNNNNNNNNNNNNNNNNNNNNNNNNNNNNNNNNNNNNNNNNNNNNNNNNNNNNNNNNNNNNNNNNNNNNNNNNNNNNNNNNNNNNNNNNNNNNNNNNNNNNNNNNNNNNNNNNNNNNNNNNNNNNNNNNNNNNNNNNNNNNNNNNNNNNNNNNNNNNNNNNNNNNNNNNNNNNAAGGUGGUGGGGGCCGGCGCAACCAGCAGGGUGGUGGGGGCCGUCGUCAGUAGCAGCCGCCACAGCAGCAGGUGCAGGGCGCAGGGGGGCGCCCCACUUCCAGCAGCCGCCUUCUCCGUGGGCCGUCGGGCAGAACCCGUGGACGGGCGUCGUCCAUGCCUAUCAUAUGCCCGUCCCGCAAGCUCCUGCACCGGGUCUCCUUGGCCCCCGUCCAGCGGGCCACCAGCCGUUCGUCGACGCCCCCUACCAGCCCUACGGUGCCCCGCUCGCGCCGCCACUCCUCGGUGGCUACGGCGUGCCAGCCCAGGCACCGCCCUAUGAAGGCCAGCCGCUGGCACCUGGACCAUGGGACCCAGCCCUCCUGGCCGCCCUACACUCGGCGCCGUAGCCGAGCAACUAUGGCGGUGGAGGCGACUGGUACAUGGACUCGGGUGCUACUGCGCACAUGACAGUUCAUCUCAGUAACCUUUCCUCCGCCACUCCCGUUCACACUCCCACUCGCAUCACCGUUGGCAAUGGUUCCUGUUUACCCAUCACCCAUGUCGGUAGCACUAGUUUUCCUUCCAGUUCCACACCUAUCACUAUGUCUAACGUUCUUGUUUCACCAGACUUAGUCACUAGCUUAGUCUCUGUUCGUCGUCUUACUCGUGAGAAUCCUCUUACUGUUGAAUUUGAUGGUGUUGGUUUUUCUGUGAAGGACGUCCGUACCCGGAUGGUGCUUCACCGAUGUGAUAGCCUUGAUGAGCUUUAUCUCGUGCACGCCGGCGCCUCCACUUCCACACCCAUCGCUCUCUCUGCCGGCGUCGACCUUUGGCAUGCUCACUUGGGCCACCCCAACCCCGCCGUUUUGCAUCAGAUUCUUAGGAUUUUUUCUUUCUCAUGUAAUAAGCUCGAUGAUCAUACUUGUGAGGCUUGUCGUUUGGGCAAGCACGCGCGUCUUUCCUUUAGUGCGUCUACUUCAGUUUCCACUUUUCCAUUUCAGUUGAUUCAUAGUGAUGUUUGGACGUCUCCCGUUGCAAGUAAGACGGGCUAUCUAUACUAUUUUGUGAUUUUAGAUGAUUAUUCUCAUUAUGUGUGGACUUUUCCUCUUCAUUGUAAAUCCGAUGGCUUAGCCACACUCACCACCUUUUAUUCAUACGUCACCACUCAGUUCGGUCGCCCCAUACUUGCACUCCAAACUUAUAACGGAAAAGAGUUUGACAACGUUGCUCUUCGCUCCCUUCUCGCCUCUCACGGCACCACCUUACGUCUGACUUGCCCCUACACUUCACAGCAGAACGGCCGCGCCAAGCGCAUUCUCCGCACUCUUAAUGACUGCGUUUGCACGUUGCUCUUCCAUGCUAACGUGCCCACUCGGUUCUGGCCCGAUGCCCUCGACACCGCCUCUCUCUUAGUCAACAUUCGUCCGUGUCGUCCCCGGUGGAACUACGCCCCUCACCACCUUCUUUUCGGUACACCACCGCCCGAUGAUGGUCUUCGCAUAUUUGGGUGUCUCUGUUAUCCUAGCACCCCGUCCACCAUGCCACACAAGCUUGCACCCGCUCCGUCCCAUGCAUCUUCCUUAGCUACCCUCCCAACACCAAAGGUUACCGGUGAUAUCAUCAUGUCACCCAUCGUGUGUACACCUCGAGGCAUGUGUACUUCGUCGAGACGCUGUUCCCUUUUUUUCAGGUUCCUCCGGCCGCGGCUCCUUCGGCUCCGGCCCCCGCGCCCCUACCUGGUGCGAUGCGCGGCGGCACACCCCGGCGCCCCCCAACCCGGCGCCUCCUGCCGCCCCUCACGGGUUCUCGACUCCCUCACUCGAGGUUGAGUCCGCCAAGCCCCCGGGUCCCUGGCUCCCUCGAACAAGGUCGAGCCUGCGGGCACCCCACCUGCCACCCUGGCCUGCACCGCCACUCCUGCGAUGGGCUCGACCUCGACCUCGCCCAUCGCCUCCUCCGUGCCUGGCUCGGCUGUCACUGUCGUGGGUCCUGAUGCUGUAGGCCUCGCCCCUGACGCCGCGCCCCCCGCCGCCGCAGGCGCCCGUGUUGUGGCCGUGGCUGUCGGUGUCAAAACCGGUGGAUAUCAGGUAGGGGGUCCUGAACUGUGUGUAUAAGGUCGAUGGUAACAGGAGACAGGGGACACGAUGUUUACCCAGGUUCGGGCCCUCUCUAUGGAGCUAAUACCCUACAUCAUGCUUGAUUGAUCUUGAUGAAUAUGAGUAUUACAAGAGUUGAUCUACCACGAGAUCGUAAUGACUAAACCCUAAAAGUCUAGUCUGGCUAUGAUAAUGAUUGUCCUCCCUCCGGACUAAGUCCUCCAGUUUAUAUAGACAACGGGGGGACCUAGGGUUACAUAAGGUCGGUUACAAAGAAAGGAAUCUACUUAUUUGAUCGCCAAGCUUGCCUUCCACGCCUAGAAGAGUCCCGUCCGGACACGGGUGCGGUCUUCGGUCUUCAUAUCUUCAUAGCCCAUCAGCCCGGCCCAUGGCUAACAAGUCGGACGCCCGAGGACCCCUUAGUCCAGGACUCCCUCAGUAUCCCCCGAACCAGUCUUCAAUGACAAGGUGUUCGGCGCACAGAUUGUCUUCGGCAUUGCAAGGCGGGUUCCCCCACUGAUGACUUCCAAGUAGUGUGUUCGGCCUUCCAUUUAAUGUUGUACCCCUCGGCUUCUGCGCAUCGACAACUUCAGUUUCCACAUGUUGAUCGAAUGCGAGAGGUCAGGGUAUUUUUGCAUAUACCACCUUGACCGUACCAGAAAGGUGCCUAUUUAAAGAGAACAGAUCUCAGAUCCCCUCCAAAUCUCAUGGAAGAAACCCUCAGAGCUUGUGGAGCAGAACCACCCCAACAUGGCUAGCGCUCCCAGCUCUUCCUCUCGUCCCCACAACUCUGAAAAGGGGAAUUGGGAGAGAUGUUCAGUUUCUCACAGUCAGNNNNNNNNNNNNNNNNNNNNNNNNNNNNNNNNNNNNNNNNNNNNNNNNNNNNNNNNNNNNNNNNNNNNNNNNNNNNNNNNNNNNNNNNNNNNNNNNNNNNNNNNNNNNNNNNNNNNNNNNNNNNNNNNNNNNNNNNNNNNNNNNNNNNNNNNNNNNNNNNNNNNNNNNNNNNNNNNNNNNNNNNNNNNNNNNNNNNNNNNNNNNNNNNNNNNNNNNNNNNNNNNNNNNNNNNNNNNNNNNNNNNNNNNNNNNNNNNNNNNNNNNNNNNNNNNNNNNNNNNNNNNNNNNNNNUGGUCCCCGUAUGAUCAGGGAUGACGUCCUUCAAGGGCGGGGCUCAAGCGGAGAACUUCCCCAAUCUGACCAGGGGAGAACGAGUACGCUUCGUCCCCUUCUUGUUAAGAGGUGUCAGAUUUCCGAUCCAUCCCUUCCUCCGAGGUCUGCUGGAGUAUUACGGUCUCCAACUGCACAGUCUCACUCCCGCCUCUAUCCUUCAUAUUGUGGGUUAUGUCGCUCUAUGCGAGCUAUUCCUGAGCUGCGAGGCCCAUUUUGAUUUAUGGAGAAGAUUGUUCUGCCUCGUCCCUCGUAAUCAAGCUGGGUCAAUUUUUGAAGUGGGAGGAGCCGAAGUGUGGCGCAUCGCCGGGACCGGAUACCUGUCCGGCACGCCGAAGAAAGCUUCCAAAGAGUGGCCUUCCGAAUGGUUCUACAUCAACGACGUCGCUCUUCCUGACCCUGUCCGUAUGGGCCUUCUCGAGUUUUCAAGUGCUCCGUUGAAGAAACACCAUAGCUGGCGUCCUCGGACCCUCAAGGAAUAGGAUAGUGCAGAUAUCAGCAUACUCCUGGGCCAUAUUAAGAUGCUUGCCCAGUCCGGAUUGUCAAUAGUCGAGGUAAUGGCGAUCUCCAGAACAUGGGGGGUCUAGCCACUCCAAUACAGAGGGCUGCCCAUGUGGCAUUAUAAGAGGGAAGACGACGCCUCACGCUACGGUCGAAAGGGCCCAAAGACCCCCGCUGCUCUGGCCAAAAUAUUGGCCGAACUGUAUAAAGGGGAGAAGGAGGAGUUCACCCGUCUCCUAUAUCGAGACGGAUUUUCCAUGUAUAAUCUUCCUAGCUAGGUAACCUCUAACUCCACUAUUUUACUCCUGUCCCUGAAUCAUUCUUGACAGGCAAUAUCUUAUCCGCUUAUAAGUUAUAAUAGGAAUGGCGAAAGGCUGACGAGGGGAUCCACGACCCUGCCCCUCAGCCGGAGAAUCGCAACCGGGACCUUGACCCUGGAUAUGAGGAAGAUCCGCACAUAUUUGUGGAGCUCGACGAUGGAAUAUUCUAUCAGACGAGCUAUGAUGGUACAGAUGUACCCAUCAUCACCGAUUACCCUGGUCUCCUUCCUGCUUCGCAUGUAAGUAAUCUGGCGAUACCUUGUCCAAGAGAGUUUUCUCAUUCCUCCUCACCCACCGCACUGUCCUGUGCUCAAAAGGGGAGGUGCUCGGUGCACCAUGCUGCCCCGGGGGCAUCUCCGAAGAGAGUGCCCCCCACCCAAGGCAAGCCUUUGAAGCGAAAGGCAAACGAAGAUACAGCCAAGCCUUCAUGAAAUAGGUAUGGAUUUGCAAAUAUGCACCUUGGCAGUCACAUCCAACUGUGACCUUUCCGUUUACCCUGUAUCAUGAAAAAGGUGUGCUGGACUAUAUCCGGGGGUCCGGCUGGUCAUACUUCCUGCAGCCAGGAUCCAGAUCCUGCCGUAAAGACGGGGGCUGAUGCGGGGGUGACGCCAGACUGUCCUCCAGCCGAGGAUUCAGAUGAUGUAUCCUCACCAACUCAGAAGUGGAGAGCGCCAUGAAUCGUUGGCGUUGCAGGGCCAUUUUACAAGACCCCGGUUUUUUAGAAGAGGCAUUUAACGCCUUUAGCUCGGCCGAUACAUAUAUCUAAGCUGCUCGAGAUGGGCUUAACAGAGCCACAAAGCAGCAUUUAAAAGAUGUGCAGGUAAGUUUACUUUGUCCGAAUAUGAUAACCACAUGCCAGUAGCCCCCGAGACUUGAAGUAGUUGGUACAAAUGAUUUAAGGAUCAUUGUAUAACCAGGUUCUUACAAAGAAGAACGACCUGCUAGCCCAAGAGCUGGAAAAGUGUCAGACACACCUAACCGCUACUACUGCCGAACUAGAAAAGCUCAAGAAGGCAUCCUCUGGUAAUAUUUCCCUCCAUCGAGAAACAAUGAUUAUAUGCGAGCUGUGCUGAUACUGCUGCUUGUCUCAUAACAGGGUCGUCAGACCAACUGGAAGAGAAACUAAAGGCUGCUCAAACAGACGAGGAAGAGGCAAAAAGAACGCACGCCACAGGCGAGCGCGUUCUGACCCAAGUCAGAGAGGAGAAAAACAAACUCCAGGAUUCCAACAUCCAGCUGGGCGAGGAACUGAAAGAUGUGCGGGCCCAACUGGUCGACUCUGUGAAGGAGAAUAAAAGGCUCUGAGGCGGUAUAUUCAGUAUGUGGCCGAACUUACCUUAUAAUAGUUCGAAGAUGAAAGGUACUGAUAAAGUUAUGUUUGCAGGUAUGCUGACAUGCCAUCCCGAAGAGGAGGUGUCCGGAUCGUCGGAUGAUCUGCUGCAGGGGCUAUCGCAAAUGCACGAGCAAGCUCGGCUGGCAAUGCAGAGUGUUGCUAAGGCCUUAUGGCCAUCCACCUCCCCUCCAGGAAGUAUGGAGAAGCUUGUAGAGCUAUUCAAGGGAGCGUGGCGACGUAUCCGAUUAUGGAAAAUAUCGGCCUGCCAGGAGGGUGCACGAGAGGCUUGGGCCAUGGUGAAAACACGGUAUACCAAGCUUGAUCCGAAUCACAUGGCCCGGGUCAGACCUUUAGGGUCAGAUGGGAAAGAAGUGCCCGUUAAUUUGGUAUAUGACCAAGUAGCAGUAGCUGCCAAAUAUUUCCAACAGGAUUGUAAGCUAGAUAGCAUGUUGGAUGGUAUAGAGGGGAAACUUUAUGAGUCUAAGUGACUAUGUACUUUCCUUGACAUAUGUAAAUUCUAGCUGAAUUGUAAAACGAUUGUCAUGGCAGACCUUCUCGCUUCAACCUCGGGACCCGAAGGUGCGGAGUCUUUCCGAAUACCCUGCAGCCGAAUAGACCAGGGAAUGCGUGGAACCCAGGCGUAGGGGUCAUAGUUGCUUGAACAGACAAGUUGUAUUCGGCUAGUUAUGUUAUAUUACAUUAAAAUUGUAAGAAACAUCUUCCAAAGAGAAUAGUUCCAUUAAGGGUUCCUUUCCCUGGGUGUGCAUGCGUUACAGUGCAUGUCUGAACUGUGAUUAAAAAAAUCGCAGUAUAUACAUGUAUAUAUAUAUAUAUAUAUAUAUAUAUAUAUAUAUAUAUAUAUAUAUAUAUAUAUAUAUAUCUUCUGGGGGUUCGCAAUGGAGCGAAUGCAAAAAACAUCUUUAAUCCACCGACCGAAUAUUCCCUUAAGAAUGCUAGCUUUCGGCUUCACCCAGUCUGAGGUACACAUCCAUAUGACCCGGCAGUAACAAUCGUAGAGGUGCUCCCUUUAUGCCCUAGCCGAACUAACGGGAAUGUAGGGCAUAAGCAUAGGAGCCAGGCAACCUAGCUUCGCCCAAACUUAAGUCAUAUCGAUGCAUAUAAUGGCGAAGAAAAGGUACAUAUGGGAAAAACAUAUGUGGUGUAACACCCAUGAUGCGGCUAUAUCUCCCACGUGUCGGAGCACGACUUAGAGGCAUAGCCGCAUAGUAGGCAUGUCGCAAGAGGGGUAAUCUUUACACAUCCCAUGUACUGAAUAAGAAAGGGAUAAGAGUUGGAUUACAAUCGCCACUUCACACAAUACAUAAAUAUAGCAUUACAUCAUCUAGAAUACAAUCAAGGUCCGACUACGGAACCAAAUAAAGAAAGACAACCCCUAAUGCUAGAUCCCCGAUCGCCCCGACUGGGCUCCACUACUGAUCAACUGGAAAUGAAACAACACAACGAACACGAUCCUCAUCGAGCUCCUCCUUGAGCUCGGUUGCGUCACCUGCAUGGUUAUCAUCGACACCUGCAACUGUUUGGAAGUAACUAUGAGUCACGAGGACUCAACAAUCUCAGACCUUCGCAAUCAAGACUAUUUAAGCUUAUGGGUAGGAAAAGGUAGUGAGGUGGAGCUGCAGCAAGCACUAGCAUAUAUGGUGGCUAACUUACGCAAAUGAGAGCGAGAAGAGAAGCAAAGCAUGGUCGAGAAACUAUAAUGAUCAAGAAGUGAUCCCAAAACUACUUACGUUCAAGCAUAACACAAGAACCAUGUUCACUUCCCGGACUCCGCCGGAAAGAGACCAUCACGGCUACACACGUGGUUGAUUCAUUUUAAUUAAGUUAAGUGGCAAGUUCUCUACAACCAAAUAUUAAAAAAUUCCCAUCUACCCAUAACCGCGGGCAUAGCUUUCAAAAGUUCAAAACCCUGCAGGGGUGUCCCAACUUAGCCCAUCACAAGCUCUCACGGUCAACGAAGGAUAUUCCUUCUCCUAGGAAGACCUGAUCAGACUCGGAAUCCCGGUUACAAGACAUUUCGACAAUGGUAUAACAAGACCAGCAAAGCCGCCCGAUGUGCCAACAAAUCCCGAUAGGAGUUGCACAUAUCUCGUUCUCAGGGCACACCAUAUGAACACUACGUACAACUAAAACCAACCCUCAAGUUUCCCCGAGGUGGCGCUGCAAGUGGCUCUGUUUUGGACCAACACUGGCCCGGGGGCUUUAAAAUAAAGACGACCCUUGAGUCUGCAGAACCUAAGGGAAAAAAGGCUUAGGUGGCAAAUGGUAAAACCAAGGUUGGGCCUUGCUGGAGGAGUUUUAUUCAAAUCGAACUGUCAAGGGGUUCCCAUAACACCCAACUACGUAAGGAAUGCAAAAUCAAGGAACAUAACACUGGUAUGACGGAAACUAGGGCGGCAAGAGUGGAACAAAACACCAGGCACAAGGCCGACCCUUCCACCCUUUACCAAGUAUAUAGAUGCAUUAAAGUAAGCAAGAUAUAAUAAUGAUAUCCCAAAAUAUCCAUGUUCCAACAUGGAACAAGCUUCAUCUUCACCUGCAGCUAGCAACGCUAUAAGAGGGGCUGAGCAAAGCGGUAACGUAGCCAAACAACGGUUUGCUAGGAAAGGUGCAUGCUACCUCUUGAGCACUGCGUUGGUUUUCCCCGAAGAGGAAGGGAUGAUGCAGCAAAGUAUUUCCCUUAGUUUUUGAGAACCAAGGUAUUAAUCCAGCAGGAGGCUACGCGCGAGUCCCUCGUACCUGCGCAAAACAAAUAAAUUGUCAGGACCCCGACUCAAUGCCACAUCGAUCUAGCAUGUAACACCUCAUAUCACUUUGCGGCCUCACGCACGGUAUUCCCACGGGUGUCUCCUUACCUUUGCCCGGGACCGUUUGCGCCUUUUGGCACACGUAUAUGACAGUGUCGCUAGCAUCCAUAUGAUAAGGAGCCCGGGCUGACAUAGCUAGUCGUAAACCCAAAGUGGCACAGACUUACAGGGACAGGCAUCCAUGACCCAGCAUCGAACGUGUCGGUCAUCAGCGAGUGAAUCCAGGCUGUAGCACUGGGCUAGCAGGACUCCGGUGAACCGGGCUGUAGCGGGCUGACAGGACUCCGGUAUUCAUCGCGUGACAUUUCCCCGAAGGGACAGACACAGGAACGAAGAAGGACACAUGCCGGCCAGCCUAAGUGUUCCGGAGCAGCUGCAAGCUACCAUGGCUCAGUGGAAACACUAGGAGACAUUUCCCGGUAAGAGAGGCUACUAAGGAUAAACAACUAGAUAGCCAGAUCCCACACAUACCAAGCAUUUCAAUAACAUACACACAAUAUGCUCGAUAUGUGCAAAUACAACAUGGCAUCACAACAUGACUCUACGACACAAGUAAAUAUUCAAUAGGAUCCGAGGAGUGAGAUAUUACAAACAUGGGUCUCAUGACCCAACAAUCAGAGCAUACAAGUCAAAGCACAAGCGGAAGCUAUCAUGUCUAAGUACAGACAUCUAGAAAUGAAAAAGGCUGAGAAGCCUGACUAUCUACCAGAUCCUGCCGAGGGCACAAGAUCGUAGCUGAGGUAACAAGCUAAACGUCGAAGUCCACGCGAAACUAUUUGUGAGACCGAAGUCUCUCUGCAAAAACAUAAAAUAGGCAAACGUGAGUACAAAUGUACCCAGCAAGACUUACAUCAGAACUAACUACAUAUGCAUCAUUAUCAACAAGGGAUGGUGGGGUUUAACUGCAGCAAGCCAGCUUUGACUCGGUGGCUAUCCUAAACUACGACUGCAAGUAACUCUUUUGAGGUGGCGCACACGAGUCCACAAAUUCACCAUAUCAAUACACCACUAUGGAUCCGCUCCCGUCUCCCUACGAGAACGCCAUCCAUAGCACUCACGCUUAUCUUGCGUAUUAUAGAGUAUCCACUUUCACUUGUCUAUGAACUGAUAUAAGCAACCCAGAAGUCCUUUUCCGCGGACACGGCUAUUCGAAUAGAUGAUGUUAACCCUGCAGGGGUGUACUUCUUCAUACAUGUUUCCACCACUUAGCGUCUGCACACGACAUGUGCUCGGCAGACUUCAAGCGAAAGCCGACGUGGGUGUAGACCACGACCUACCUAAACACUCAAGUCUCUAGUCCAGGUUUAUCGCCUAUUCGGGUUCCAUCCAUGAGGAGAUCCGGCCGGAGUUUCGCUCACAGCCCCAAACGAUGUGAACAGGGUUCCCGAGAUACCAAACGGGCAUCCGGUACACCGUGCCACGUACCUACCGCAUCACAGCCCACCCCUACGGUCAGCGCUAUCCACGGCCUCCAGUAAGCUACAAACAUCAGAAACUACUUGCAACUCCUGGACAGAGGACUAGGGUGAAUAAGAAGUCGAGCGGGGUCAUAUUUCAGGGCCCAAUGUAUGGUAGUAGCUGAAUCAUGGAUCACAAACACAGAACUCAGUUCCUGAGGACGGCUGCAAUGAGAUAACCCACCAUGCACUCCUACAUGGCCUCUCACCGCUACCUUUACCAAAUCGUGUUCACACACUUAGCUCACACACAGUAGGACAUGUUCACACGCCUCUGAUUCAUCCCCGAUGAAUCAGACCUGACUCAACUCUAAGCAGUAGCAGGCAUGACAAACAAACAUGAAUGAGUAGGCACAUCAGGGCUCAAACAACUCCUACUCAUGCUAGUGGGUUUCAUCUAUUUACUAUGGCAAUGACAGGUCAUGCAGAGGAUAAAGGGGUUCAACUACCGCAGCAUGUAACAAUUGAAUCGGUGUUGUCCUAAUGCAGUAAAAGAGAGCAGGAGCGAGAGAGUAGGAUUGUAUUGGAAUGAACAAGGGGGUUUUUGCUUGCCUGGCACUUCUGAAGAUAACAUUGAGUCUUCAUCAGUGUCAACGAUCACAUCAUCGGUAUCACGUCUAUCGAGAGGGGACAAAUACCGGCAACACAGAAGGGAACACAAUCAAUGCAAUGCACAAUAUGAUGCAUGAUCAUGACAUGGCAAAAUGAAUGUGUUUUGGCUAAUGCAACUAGAAACAGAUUAAAUGAAGUUGGUUUGAAUAUAAAAUUCAAAUUCAAACUCCAUAUGUGAUUAAAUAAAUGCCCUUUAAUUGAUUUGUGCUAAACAGCAGCUAUAAGUUGUUCUAACAUGCAUGAAAAUGGUACAGAUGGAUUCCUUGAAUUUUUCUGAUAAUUUUUCAUAUAUAAAUUAUUUAAUUUGGAGUUACGGUUAAUUUUCUAUGAUUUAUUGAAGUUUAGAAUAUAUUCUGGAAUUAUUAAAUCAUUUCCUAAUUUAUUUUAAUUCCAGAAACAAAUACUGCGUCAGCAUGACGUAUUGGUGACGUCAGCAGGUCAAAGGUGUCGACCAGGUCAAACCUGACCAGUGGGGUCCACUGGUCAGUGACCCAGUCAACUAACCAGGUUAGUUAGCCCUAACUAACUUAGUUAGCCGGGCGGGGCCCGCAUGUCAAUGGCCUAUCUAAUUAGCUAGGUUAAUUAGCGCUAACUAAUCUAACACUAAUCUAGCAGGCGCCUGGGCCCACACGUCAGGGGGUCAAACCCCGGGUCAAACCCGCCGGAGUUGACCCGCGGCUUGUCGCCGGCGGAGCCAGAGACGGCGGAGGGGGUCGGAAAUCCUCCUCCGGCGACCAAAACAGCGACAGCGAUCAUCUACGCGUAGCUGGCGCUCAGCCGCAUCCAUCUAGGCAAGCGGGAGGGGCUGAGGUCGAACGGGCUCGGCGGAAUCGAGCUCGCGGCGGCGGCCGGAGCUCGGGGUUGGUGCGGGUUGGCGCUAGGGGGCACGGCAGGUCGCACGGGUGGGCGCGCUCGGCUCCUGGAAGGGUACUGAGCACGUUGCCGUGCUCGGGAGUUAGCUACGGUGGCUCUAGCACCGUCUGCGACAUUGCCGGCGGCGAGGAACUGUCGGCUCCGACAGUCGGGGCGGUUAGAAGGCACGGACGGGCACGGGGAGAGAGGGGAAAUGGACAGGGGCUCACGAGGGGUCGGGAGAGAAGCUCGGUGGGCUCGGGGAAGCCUCUGCAACGGCGAAUUGACGACGGCGAUCUCCGGGCACCGGAGAUGAAGACGACGACGCUCCGGUCGACUGCGGCCUCCUCUGGUCGCGUGCGUCGCGUGUGUAGCUCCACGGGGUCAGGGCGGAGCUCAGGGAUGUAUAGUGGGAGCGAGGGGGUGGCUGUGGCCCCGGUAAACGGCGUCGGCGGCGAUGGGCUCCGCUCGGGCGCGUGAGGGAGAGAGAGCAGAGGAGAGGGAGGAGCGAGGGAGAGCUACGGGAGAGUGAGAGAGGUCGUGGGGAACGAGGGGGGGGAGUGCGUGGCUCCCUCGGGUGCCUCCAGCGGCGAGCAGGUAAGCAGGAGGUGGCCGGAGCUCUUCGGGCGCGCGCCACGCCUCGCCUCUACCUACUGGCAGAGGAAGAAGAGGACAAGGGGGGGAGGAGGUGGGCUGGGCCGGCCAGAUGGAGCUGGGCCAGCUCUGGUGGGCUGCACGGGUAAGGCCAGGUAACUUUCUGCUCUGUUUUAUUUAAUUCUGUUCCGUUUUCUUUUAUUUAAUUCUUUUGCCACUGUUUGAAUUUUAAAAUAAUUCAAACAAUGCCAAAAACUCCUCUGAAUAUUUUUAUUUUGCUAGAUGGACUUUUCCAAAAGCUUAUAAAAUAUUUCAGGGGUAUUUGAAAUUAUAUUCUAAUUAUAUGAAUAUAAUUCAAAUUCAAAUAGCUAAUGAUUUAAAUUCAAAGUCCCAAAAUAAAUCCUUUUAAAAUGUUCAUUAUUUUUGGUUUGGAUCAAAGCCCUUGCCAAAAAUAUUAAACAUCUGAGAAGAGCAUUUUGGAGCAAUGAAUGAGAUUUCUAGGGUUUUUGCCCUUCUUUUAUUUAAGUUUUUGAGGCUUCCAAAAUUCCUCAGUUCAAGUUUCGAAAAUAUAGACAUGAUGCACACAUGAAGCUAGCCUAGAGCACUACCAGCAGCUAGGGAUGUGACAACUCACCCCCACUAAACAAGAAUCUCGUCUCGAGAUUCAAGCGUAGGGUAAGGUGAAGGGUAAACGCAACUAGUAUAAUCUUCACGAUUCAGGUUGCACUUCAUAGGAACGUUGAUUCGAUCACCAUCAUUGUCUUGAAGUCUUGCUCUGAGAAAUCCUGUCAACAUGACAUGGAGGGAAGAAGGAGACUCUAGAAGGGUCGAUCUUCUCGAAGAUCGAACAACUCACGGAAUGAGACAUAGGACCAUCUCUCGGGUUGAGACACGAGAUACACAUCAAGAGGGGUGGAAAGAAACGGAUGACGAAGGUUCACUAGGUAGACAACGAUUCCACACCUAAGAAGGUGGUAAACGAUUUUCCACGUAGCGAGGAGUUGAGUUGCCAUGAUACCACAACGAGGCACCUUAGGGAAGGUGACUCGUAGAGAUAUUUCCUUAAGUGGCAAAAAGAAUUACUUUUGAUUCAGAGAUCAUUGAAACUCUUUAAACCAGCCUAAGACAAUUCUCGAGCGAUCGUUUGGAGGGGGUCGGUAGAAUGGCAUACUCGGACUUGGAUGAUGUGGAUUACCUUGUUGAAGACAACGUAAUGGAUGAAUUUGCUUAUCACCGGAAAUGUAAGAGACCCAUGGUAGAAUGGCACAUUGGCGGUGCAAGCUGGGAACAAAAUGCAAAUACUGGGAAUGAUUCUGGUAACUGGGGAAGAACCCAACAACAGAGAGUGCAUUCACUGUUUGGAUAGGUCAUAGCAUUUCCGAGGAAACUGAGAGCAAACCCAGUUAGUGCCGAUGAUAACACAUAGCGCUUGUGCGUGCUCUCAAGAACUUGAGCAUUUCCACAUUCAUCAAGGUUUUACCAACAUCCGUUUCAAGGGUCUGGUAACACAACUUACUACCAUGAUGAAUGGUGAUGGAGGAUGCAGAUGCAAAGGAGGAUAACACUUCUCAGAUUUCAUCUUAGCGAGGCCAAGGAAAUAAAAUCUGGAUGAUCGACCGAGAGACAUUUAGCACUCCGCUUCUAAUGUUCUUCUUGAUGUGCUAGUGUAACCCAUUCAUAGAUAUGGUUUGAUAUCUAGAACAUCAAGUAAAGGUCGGACUUCGGGAGCACAAGAAUCCAUAAGGAACAACUAGGGAGGUAAAUCCUACGAAAUCCUUAUGGGGAGGUGGCCAACUUCCUCAAUCAAGAUACUACAAUAAUAGGUCUUCCGGCUGGGUGUGUUGGCCACGACAUCCACUUUACCGGUUAUCGAGGGACCAAUAUUAUAGUUCUUGGGAAAUGUUCCAAACCAUCAUAUCUGCCUGAGAUUCAGAUCUGGUUGGUGUCAGGAUAUUCCAGACUCAUCGAGUCUAGGAAGAAAAUGAAAGUUUGCAACACAAAUCGACGAGAUGACGUUGCGAGAUUCUCGGGGAAUGAACUACGAUAGUAAGCUCCAAAACAUGAGCUGAUUCUGCUACAACAUGUGAACACGAUGUCCAAGACAAGCAUGACCACAAAGUAGUCUUAUAAUAAAACACUACCGAGUUCAGGAGGGGGAACCAUCAUUAAUGACAUCGAAGUCUCCACGCGUGGAAGUCCAAAGAGUUCACCUUGGACAGACUCCUUUAUCCUUGAACAACUCAAUCAGUGGCUUGGUGUGCUAGGAUAUACAUAUAGAAUGGAGGUUGCAAAUCUCCAGACCACAGAAUACUUCGCACGUAUGCAUGACUGACUUGGGAUGAUUCCAGAGGAAGCAAAACUAACUUUCUCAAAUUCACGGCGGCAACUUUCACCAAAUGCACGUGUAUAAGAGGAAGUCACUCCUUUCAUCAAACAAAUACUUCAUGAGCUAGCAUGAAGAAAAUGCUUUUAAAAGUUUCCAACACUAGCUUAAUGUUCAACAAAAUCAUGGAGGAGAUAAGGAUGUUGUCAAUGGGCUCAACAACAAUUCAUCUAGGUUUCCUUUUUAAAGGAAUUACAUAGUUAAGUGAACACGGUGAUAGCAUUGGUCAGACCAAAGAUGUAAUGGUGUAUGCUCGAGGGAUCAACCACGAAUAAGACAACAUUACGAGCAUCAUUGGUACUGAUUUGAUUUGAUGAUAGCCCACUCUCAAAUCAAAGGAUUGAUAAGACAAUAGGUCCAGCAACUGAUAACAGGGAUCAAUCGAUGAAGAUAUCAUCUUUCUCCAACACACACACAUACACAGAAAGAUAUCCCUUAACAUGAACUAAGUCAGACAGGCUUUUAUCUUCCAACUCUCCAAGUUGUUGUCUAGCUUAACCAACUAGCUCAGGGAUAUCAAACACAGAUUCUUGGAGAAGGGUGGUUCACAAGAAACCAACUUGAUCACGAGCUCAACACAGCGGUCAGGUGACAACCUGGUAAUACUUCCGAGAAGAUCUUCGGAAAAUCACGAAGCACCGAUAUGUUACUAGGCUCGAGAACAAUCUUGCCUUUGAGGCAAGACGAUAUGAUCAAUAGAGCGAAGAUUUGAAAUAAUCCUAACUCAUCGAUCGAGGAGUGCACCGAGAACAAGGACUAGGUAGCACGAUCAGUCUUAGAAGGAUGAUUCAAAAACCAACACGCUAAGAAUGAAAUUAUUAUCCAUUAACUACCACGCAACAAGGUUGCUAGGAGUAUUGAAUUCACACGCCAUGAUUCAUUUGUCGGCAUUCCCGUUACAAUAACACAGGAACCGAGGAAUGAACAAUGAUGGCAAGAAGUAUCACUGUACCAAGAGUGCAUAGGAUGGUGCGCAAUUCCUAUAACAAUCUCGAUAUAAAAUAUGUAAUACUCCAAGGUAGAACAGAGCAAAAGCUGGGUUAGCAAUUUGUUCUGCGGAGCACAACUUCUUUGACCCAAUCCUGGAUAUGGAAGAGGUACUGGAGUUUGUUUCUCCUAGUCAUUCCGCGAUAGAAUGGCUUGACGGACCACAAGAGUAAUAGGCAUCGAUAAACGAACGCACACAUACUCUUGACUAUCAAUUGAUAGACGAGGGUCAGUAGACAACUAAAGAGGGACAACUCAAAGGAACAUAUAACUUUCUGAGUUGUGGAUGCAUAGAUUAGUAUGUCGAUCCAAGUUCAACAUAAUUCUUCCGGAUAACCCAUGCAGAAAGGUAGAACUGGCAGAGCCACAAUAUAUAAUGGAGAACUCAUCAAGAAUAAUCCUGUUGUGAUAUUUCAGUUCAACGAGGAACUUCUGCCAUAAGCAGUUCAUGGUAUUUGGAAGAAGAAGAUACCACGAACUUCAAGGACUAUCGCAAAGGUUACUAAUAUCCUAAAGGCACUAGCAAUUACUAUCAACAUGAAGUAGGUAGAGUGAAUCUCGGGUUCAAGAACCCAGGAACAGAAUACCUAUUACUAAGUAGCAUCACGGGAUGCUUUCGAGAAUAAAAGCCAGAAUCAUCACACUGGGAUCACAAAACAUUGCUAGAUUACUAGGUGACUCCCUAAACACCUAGGGCCAUAAUAGUAACUCCAACAUAAUGUCAAGGCAAUAGAAUACCUCAACUCAACAAUUAGUGUGAUUGAGCUGGCAUAAAGGAGCAUCGAAACCAGAGGAAAAGGAUUUUGCAAAUGCAUCAGACUAUUUAGAAACCUGGAAUGACUCGGACAGCAUAACGGCUGUAAAUGCUCAGAAGAGAUUUGAGACAUUCACAAAAAUGGUGGCAUAACCACUCAGAAGCACAAUAUCAAGGUUUCGAGAUCAACAAUUAACAUACGGGAGUAGUAGGAACUGAACUGAGACUUAAAUCCAACAAUCUUAUAAGUCCACUGAUUAGUAACACGUGAUCCUGAUAGAAAGAAGAGAUAGCCUAGUUCUUAAUCCCCGUAGGAAAGAUAAGAUGACUCAGAUCAGAAGACAUAAGGUAUAAGGAGUAAAAGAGCCUGACGUUCCAUCCCACAAUCAAUUCCCUUAUAUAACUAAAGAAUUUCUAGACUCAACUUCGACCAGUUUGGCUGGGUAAUCCUACACGCAGUCAAGCUCUGAUACCAACACUGUCAGGACCCCGACUCAAUGCCACAUCAAUCUAGCAUGUAACACCUCAUAUCACUUUGCGGCCUCACGCACGGUAUUCCCACGGGUGUCGCCUUACCUUUGCCCGGGACCGUUUGCGCCUUUUGGCACACGUAUAUGACAGUGUCGCUAGCAUCCAUAUGAUAAGGAGCCCGGGCUGACAUAGCUAGUCGUAAACCCAAAGUGGCACAGACUUACAGGGACAGGCAUCCAUGACCCAGCAUCGAACGUGUCGGUCAUCAGCGAGUGAAUCCAGGCUGUAGCACUGGGCUAGCAGGACUCCGGUGAACCGGGCUGUAGCGGGCUGACAGGACUCCGGUAUUCAUCGCGUGACAUUUCCCCGAAGGGACAGACACAGGAACGAAGAAGGACACAUGCCGGCCAGCCUAAGUGUUCCGGAGCAGCAGCAAGCUACCAUGGCUCAGUGGAAACACUAGGAGACAUUUCCCGGUAAGAGAGGCUACUAAGGAUAAACAACUAGAUAGCCAGAUCCCACACAUACCAAGCAUUUCAAUAACAUACACACAAUAUGCUCGAUAUGUGCAAAUACAACAUGGCAUCACAACAUGACUCUACGACACAAGUAAAUAUUCAAUAGGCUCCGAGGAGUGAGAUAUUACAAACAUGGGUCUCAUGACCCAACAAUCAGAGCAUACAAGUCAAAGCACAAGCGGAAGCUAUCAUGUCUGAGUACAGACAUCUAGAAAUGAAAAAGGCUGAGAAGCCUGACUAUCUACCAGAUCCUGCCGAGGGCACAAGAUCGUAGCUGAGGUAACAAGCUAAACGUCGAAGUCCACGCGAAACUAUUUGUGAGACCGAAGUCUCUCUGCAAAAACAUAAAAUAGGCAAACGUGAGUACAAAUGUACCCAGCAAGACUUACAUCAGAACUAACUACAUAUGCAUCAUUAUCAACAAGGGAUGGUGGGGUUUAACUGCAGCAAGCCAGCUUUGACUCGGUGGCUAUCCUAAACUACGACUGCAAGUAACUCUUUUGAGGUGGCGCACACGAGUCCACAAAUUCACCAUAUCAAUACACCACUAUGGAUCCGCUCCCGUCUCCCUACGAGAACGCCAUCCAUAGCACUCACGCUUAUCUUGCGUAUUAUAGAGUAUCCACUUUCACUUGUCUAUGAACUGAUAUAAGCAACCCAGAAGUCCUUUUCCGCGGACACGGCUAUUCGAAUAGAUGAUGUUAACCCUGCAGGGGUGUACUUCUUCAUACAUGUUUCCACCACUUAGCGUCUGCACACGACAUGUGCUCGGCAGACUUCAAGCGAAAGCCGACGUGGGUGUAGACCACGACCUACCUAAACACUCAAGUCUCUAGUCCAGGUUUAUCGCCUAUUCGGGUUCCAUCCAUGAGGAGAUCCGGCCGGAGUUUCGCUCACAGCCCCAAACGAUGUGAACAGGGUUCCCGAGAUACCAAACGGGCAUCCGGUACACCGUGCCACGUACCUACCGCAUCACAGCCCACCCCUACGGUCAGCGCUAUCCACGGCCUCCAGUAAGCUACAAACACCAGAAACUACUUGCAACUCCUGGACAGAGGACUAGGGUGAAUAAGAAGUCGAGCGGGGUCAUAUUUCAGGGCCCAAUGUAUGGUAGUAGCUGAAUCAUGGAUCACAAACAUAGAACUCAGUUCCUGAGGACGGCUGCAAUGAGAUAACCCACCAUGCACUCCUACAUGGCCUCUCACCGCUACCUUUACCAAAUCGUGUUCACACACUUAGCUCACACACAGUAGGACAUGUUCACACGCCUCUGAUUCAUCCCCGAUGAAUCAGACCUGACUCAACUCUAAGCAGUAGCAGGCAUGACAAACAAACAUGAAUGAGUAGGCACAUCAGGGCUCAAACAACUCCUACUCAUGCUAGUGGGUUUCAUCUAUUUACUAUGGCAAUGACAGGUCAUGCAGAGGAUAAAGGGGUUCAACUACCGCAGCAUGUAACAGUUGAAUCGGUGUUGUCCUAAUGCAGUAAAAGAGAGCAGGAGCGAGAGAGUAGGAUUGUAUCGGAAUGAACAAGGGGGUUUUUGCUUGCCUGGCACUUCUGAAGAUAACAUUGAGUCUUCAUCAGUGUCAACGAUCACAUCAUCGGUAUCACGUCUAUCGAGAGGGGACAAAUACCGGCAACACAGAAGGGAACACAAUCAAUGCAAUGCACAAUAUGAUGCAUGAUCAUGACAUGGCAAAAUGAAUGUGUUUUGGCUAAUGCAACUAGCAACAGAUUAAAUGAAGUUGGUUUGAAUAUAAAAUUCAAAUUCAAACUCCAUAUGUGAUUAAAUAAAUGCCCUUUAAUUGAUUUGUGCUAAACAGCAGCUAUAAGUUGUUCUAACAUGCAUGAAAAUGGUACAGAUGGAUUCCUUGAAUUUUUCUGAUAAUUUUUCAUAUAUAAAUUAUUUAAUUUGGAGUUACGGUUAAUUUUCUAUGAUUUAUUGAAGUUUAGAAUAUAUUCUGGAAUUAUUAAAUCAUUUCCUAAUUUAUUUUAAUUCCAGAAACAAAUACUGCGUCAGCAUGACGUAUUGGUGACGUCAGCAGGUCAAAGGCGUCGACCAGGUCAAACCUGACCAGUGGGGUCCACUGGUCAGUGACCCAGUCAACUAACCAGGUUAGUUAGCUCUAACUAACUUAGUUAGCCGGGCGGGGCCCGCAUGUCAGUGGCCUAUCUAAUUAGCUAGGUUAAUUAGCGCUAACUAAUCUAACACUAAUCUAGCAGGCGCCUGGGCCCACACGUCAGGGGGUCAAACCCCGGGUCAAACCUGCCGGAGUUGACCCGCGGCUUGUCGCCGGCGGAGCCAGAGACGGCGGAGGGGGUCGGAAAUCCUCCUCCGGUGACCAAAACAGCGGCAGCGAUCAUCUACGCGUAGCUGGCGCUCAGCCGCAUCCAUCUAGGCAAGCGGAAGGGGCUGAGGUCGAACGGGCUCGCCGGAAUCGAGCUCGCGGCGGCGGCCGGAGCUCGGGGUUGGUGCGGGUUGGCGCUAGGGGGCACGGCAGGUCGCACGGGUGGGCGCGCUCGGCUCCUGGAAGGGUACUGAGCACGUUGCCGUGCUCGGGAGUUAGCUACGGUGGCUCUAGCACCGUCUGCGACAUUGCCGGCGGCGAGGAACUGUCGGCUCCGACAGUCGGGGCGGUUAGAAGGCACGGACGGGCACGGGGAGAGAGGGGAAAUGGACAGGGGCUCACGAGGGGUCGGGAGAGAAGCUCGGUGGGCUCGGGGAAGCCUCUGCAACGGCGAAUUGAUGACGGCGAUCUCCGGGCACCGGAGAUGAAGACGACGACGCUCCGGUCGACUGCGGCCUCCUCUGGUCGCGUGCGUCGCGUGUGUAGCUCCACGGGGUCAGGGCGGAGCUCAGGGAUGUAUAGUGGGAGCGAGGGGGUGGCUGUGGCCCCGGUAAACGGCGUCGGCGGCGAUGGGCUCCGCUCGGGCGCGUGAGGGAGAGAGAGCAGAGGAGAGGGAGGAGCGAGGGAGAGCUACGGGAGAGUGAGAGAGGUCGUGGGGAACGAGGGGGGGAGUGCGUGGCUCCCUCGGGUGCCUCCAGCGGCGAGCAGGUAAGCAGGAGGUGGUCGGAGCUCUUCGGGCGCGCGCCACGCCUCGCCUCUGCCUACUGGCAGAGGAAGAAGAGGACAAGGGGGGGAGGAGGUGGGCUGGGCCGGUCAGAUGGAGCUGGGCCAGCUCUGGUGGGAUGCACGGGUAAGGCCAGGUAACUUUCUGCUCUGUUUUAUUUAAUUCUGUUCCGUUUUCUUUUAUUUAAUUCUUUUGCCACUGUUUGAAUUUUAAAAUAAUUCAAACAAUGCCAAAAACUCCUCUGAAUAUUUUUAUUUUGCUAGAUGGACUUUUCCAAAAGCUUAUAAAAUAUUUCAGGGGUAUUUGAAAUUAUAUUCUAAUUAUAUGAAUAUAAUUCAAAUUCAAAUAGCUAAUGAUUUAAAUUCAAAGUCCCAAAAUAAAUCCUUUUAAAAUGUUCAUUAUUUUUGGUUUGGAUCAAAGCCCUUGCCAAAAAUAUUAAACAUCUGAGAAGAGCAUUUUGGAGCAAUGAAUGAGAUUUCUAGGGUUUUUGCCCCUCUUUUAUUUAAGUUUUUGAGGCUUCCAAAAUUCCUCAGUUCAAGUUUCGAAAAUAUAGACAUGAUGCACACAUGAAGCUAGCCUAGAGCACUACCAGCAGCUAGGGAUGUGACAUAAAUCCUCGCAACCAACACAAAUAGGGGUUGUCAAUCCCUAUAAGGCCACUUACGAGAGUGAGAUCUGAUAGAUAUGAUAAAGAUAAUAUUUUUGGUAUUUUUAUGAUAAAGACGCAAAGUAAAAUAAAGGCAAAGCAAAUAGCAAAGUAGUAGGAGAUCAAUAUGAUAAAGAUAGGCCCAGGGGCCAUAGGUUUCACUAGUGGCUUCUCUCGAGAGCAUAAGUAUUCUACGGUGGGUGAACAAAUUACUGUUGAGCAAUUGACAGAAUUGAGCAUAAUUAUGAGAAUAUCUAGGCAUGAUCAUGUAUAUAGGCAUCAUGUCCGAGACAAGUAGACCGACUCCUGCCUGCAUCUACUACUAUUACUCCACUCAUCGACCGCUAUCCAACAUGCAUCUAGAGUAUUAGGUUAAAAACAGAGUAACGCCUUAAGCAAGAUGACAUGAUGUAGAGGGAUAGACUCAUGCAAUAUGAAGAAAACCCCAUCUUGUUAUCCUUGAUGGCAACAAUACAAUGCGUGCCUUGCUGCCCUUACUGUCACCGGGAAAGGACACCGCAAGAUUGAACCCAAAGCUAAGCACUUCUCCGAUUGCUAGAAAGAUCAAUCUAGUAGGCCAAACCAAACUGAUAAUUUGAAGAGACUUGCAAAGAUAACCAAUCAUAGAUAAAAUAAUUCAGAGAGGAUUCAAAUAUUAUUCAUAGAUAGACUUGAUCAUAAACCCACAAUUCAUCGGUCUAAACAAACACACCACAAAAAGAAGAUUACAUCGAAUAGAUCUCCACAAGAGAGGGGGAGAACAUUGUAUUGAGAUCCAAAAGAGAGAAGAACCAUCUAGCUACUAACUAUGGACCCGUAGGUCUGAGGUAAACUACUCACACUUCAUCGGAGGGGCUAUGAUGUUGAUGUAGAAGCCCUCCGUGAUCGAUGCCCCCUCCGGCCGAGCUCCAGAACAGGCCCCAAGAUGGGAUCUCGUGGAUACAGAAAGUUACGGCGGUGGAAUUAGGGUUUUGGCUCUGUCUCUGAUCAUUUGGGGGUACGUGGAUAUAUAUAGGAGGAAGGAGUAUGUCGGUGGAGCAACAAGGGGCCCAGGAGGGUGGAGACGCAGCUGCAUGACAUUCUUUGGGCCGUCCAUGACGGAAAAAACCGUGGUAGAAGCGAGGGGGAGGAAAAUUUCGGGGAAUUCCCGGUUACGGUGGGAGGUCGGGGGCCGAGCAAUGCGUGUUUCUCUCGUACAUGUACGCGUGUGUGUGUGAGGCGUUGGCUCUAAGUGAACCCGAGCGAGGAGUUGGGCUCUAACUAAACCUGAGCGAUUGCACUGCAGGCUACGCGUUACUGAACCCAAGCGAUCGAUCGAUGGCUGUUAACUGAACCUGAUCGAGCGAUUCCUUCGCUACUGCUGCUAACUGAAGCCGAUCGAUGGGAUGAACAGUGAGUGUNNNNNNNNNNNNNNNNNNNNNNNNNNNNNNNNNNNNNNNNNNNNNNNNNNNNNNNNNNNNNNNNNNNNNNNNNNNNNNNNNNNNNNNNNNNNNNNNNNNNNNNNNNNNNNNNNNNNNNNNNNNNNNNNNNNNNNNNNNNNNNNNNNNNNNNNNNNNNNNNNNNNNNNNNNNNNNNNNNNNNNNNNNNNNNNNNNNNNNNNNNNNNNNNNNNNNNNNNNNNNNNNNNNNNNNNNNNNNNNNNNNNNNNNNNNNNNNNNNNNNNNNNNNNNNNNNNNNNNNNNNNNNNNNNNNNNNNNNNNNNNNNNNNNNNNNNNNNNNNNNNNNNNNNNNNNNNNNNNNNNNNNNNNNNNNNNNNNNNNNNNNNNNNNNNNNNNNNNNNNNNNNNNNNNNNNNNNNNNNNNNNNNNNNNNNNNNNNNNNNNNNNNNNNNNNNNNNNNNNNNNNNNNNNNNNNNNNNNNNNNNNNNNNNNNNNNNNNNNNNNNNNNNNNNNNNNNNNNNNNNNNNNNNNNNNNNNNNNNNNNNNNNNNNNNNNNNNNNNNNNNNNNNNNNNNNNNNNNNNNNNNNNNNNNNNNNNNNNNNNNNNNNNNNNNNNNNNNNNNNNNNNNNNNNNNNNNNNNNNNNNNNNNNNNNNNNNNNNNNNNNNNNNNNNNNNNNNNNNNNNNNNNNNNNNNNNNNNNNNNNNNNNNNNNNNNNNNNNNNUGGAGGCUGGAUGAACACGAGCCCGUGGAGGCUGGAUGAACAGGAACCCGUGGACGCUGGAGGAGGUCGACGGUGGAUGAACAGUAGCUCGUGGAGGCUGGAGGGGGUCGACAGUGGAGAUGAACAGUAUCCCGUGUAGUCUCGUUUUGCGGUACGCCACACCCCUCCCAAUGACAGGACCCCCGUUUCGACUGUAGCGCUCCAACACAAGUCCGUUUCCUCCGUUUUGCGGUACGCCACACCCCUCCCGAUAACAGGACCCCCGUUUCGACCGUAGGAGGUCUGUUUCCUCUGUUUUGCAGUAUGCCAGACCCCUCCCGAUGAACAGGAUCCUGUUUCAAACGUGGCCGGUCGAACACAAGGCCGUUUCCUCCUUUCUGCGGUACGCUAGGCCUGGUUUCCAUCGCAUGUUCCAUCCAAGCCCUCCCGAACACGACGCAUUAUGUUGCCUCCCCAUGAACAUGACGCAUUUCGUUUCCUCCGCAUGAACACGACGCAUUCCGUUGCCUCCCCAUGAACACGACGAUGACAUUGUUUCUCCGUUUCGACUCAGCCAUAUACACGAGCCCUCGCCGUACGUAUGCGCGAGUAGGCGUUCGAGACCCCGCUCGUAUGUACACAUACGUGGCCGUAUUUUCUUUCUUGCACCCUAGCCACUGUAUGUACGUGUACAUGCUACAUGCGCGCCUCUACUACGACACGUGCAUGCCUCUACUACGACACGUGCGCGCCUCUACAUCGACCAGUAUGUACGUACACGUUCAUGACCAGAAUGACAACGCUACGUACUCUUCGACCAGGUGGGUCCCAACUGUCAGGCACUUCCUUGCCUGCGAAGAUGUAGCUGGUCGGUCCCAGCUGUCAGGAGGCGAAUCGUUUCUUUUUUCCCGAAAGCACUUCCUUGUGUGUGAAGAUGUAGCUGGUGGGUCCCAGCAGUCGGGGGCCUGGUGGGUCCCAGCAGUCAGGGGGGUGAAUCUUUUUUUCGGAUGCACUUCCUUGCGUGCGAAGAUGUAGCUCGUGGGCCCCAACAGUUAGGGGGGCGAAUCAUUUUUUCGUGAAAUACGGUGGCCCGGCCGGUGGGUCCCUACUGUCAGGUGGAGGAAUAAUUAUUUUGCGCGUAAUAAGGAGGCACUUCCUUGCGGCUGCCGUGGACCCAGCUGUCAGCCUCUCCACGUACAGUACUCUUUCGAUGGAAGUCGAUCGUUGACCAUGUUGACCACACCGCGCCGAGAGCACCAGGACAGUGGUCUGGACGACGGCGAGGCCUAGGAAGGGGACGAUACGGAACCGGGGAAGACGCAGCAGUGGAAGCCCGCGCGGAGAGGAGUGCGAUGGUUCACUGGUUCGGCUGCGGUGUGAGGCUGCCGUCGCCGCAGACUAACAGGGGGUGUGAAUGAGUAGAGGGAUGGCCUGGCCAGCGGUGGGAGUAAUACGGGGCGGUGAGGCCUCCGCGUCAUCACAGCCGGCCAUGGGAGGCAGGAGCACGCGACACGACCGACGCUGCUUUGGGCGGCUGGAGCAAGAAGACCAGAGGUUGAAGAAGCACUACGGCCAUUGGAUGGACAUCGUACGAUCACUACAGCUAGAAUCAUUUAUAUUGACUAAGUUAACAAAGCCCUUGGUACACGUUAACUUAGUAGGCCCACGGCUCGGAUUUGGCAGAGAACAUAUAGCCCAUUUGCGAUUUGUAAGAAUGUACAUCCCAUUUUUUAAUUCUAAUGGAAUUUACUACGGCCCAUUUACAGUUUGUUAAAAGUACAACCCAACUUCUAGCUAGGACAACGAUUAAUAAUUUCAAGCAACCGUUCAAAACAGAAUUCAAAAAAAAUCCCCACUUUUUGAUGGGAUCCGAAAUAUUUGUAUCCGAAAUUUCUAGUCAGGUUAAAUAUAAUUUCAAAAUAAAGUUGUAUUACAUUAAAAUCCAACGAAAUAUUGCGCGCGCAACAAGUAAUGAAAUUAAAAAAUUUAAAUUCAAAAAAUAAUAUAUUUUUCAACUAAUUACAUGUUUGAUGCAUAGUAACUGUCCAGUUAUUCUAAUUACAUCCCAUUUAUUAUUUCAUAAAAUCCAUUUUCUUGUUAAGCCUAAUGCAUACCUCUUAGGAAAGUUUGCAGCCCAGCGGGGCGGAGAAUAACAAGUUAACCCAGAUAUUGUGUACAACUGUCGGCCCAGUUGCAUUGCUGAUGUCGAAAAAAUCUAUUUUUUAUACACACAUUAAAAAAAUUGUAUAGAUAAGGAACAUUUUUAUACACACAUUUAACAAUUUUUAAAUACAUGUUUAACACUUUUUAAAACAUAUUUUUUGUCAACAGUGGGCCCACAGCGAGCGGAGGAGGUCACAAUACACAUAUUUUUUAAAUACAUGAUUAACACUUUUGCAAAAAAAAUUAGCCCACAGCGAGCCAAUUAGCUCCAGUCGGCCCACAGUGGGCCGACAGGGGCCAGUCGGCCAGCUGUAGGCCGACUGGAAUCCAAUCGGCCUGCUAUGGGCCGACUAGGCCCAGUCGGCCUGCAGCGGGCGGACGGUGUAUUAUUUUUGAAAAAAAAUUACCCAGCGUAAUAUUUAUGAAAAUUAAUAAAAAUGUAUUAUUUAAGAAAAAAUAGCGAAAAAGGCCUGUGUAGUACAGUACAACCUAACAUGGUUACUUAGCCCACAUUCAGCGACGCUGGAAAGGCCCAAACAAGGCUUCUGUACAACUUUUUGAAGUCACUGAGCUCAAUUAAUAACUUAAGAAAAAAGUUAGAUUAAAGUGGAACCUAAUUAAAAGCUGUCACGAGCAAAUAAAUAAUUCAACGGGUCCCACUUGUGUGUGUGUGUGAGAGAGAGAGAGAGAGACCCAUCGGCCGAUGCUCUUAAAUACAUCUUUCAGCCAUAUGCAUUGCUGAUGCUCAGUAAAAACUUAUAUAGUUGACACAAUCAUAUAGAACAUCAUAGCACACUCAACUUGCAUACAAAAAUUUCACGUAGGCGUCACAAUCAGGAUGGAAGCAGUGGAUCGCUACGGGAAGGGCUAUGUUGAAACCAACAAAGUCAUACAUAACGUUUCAUCGUCUUUAUCAAUGACGGGGAAAUAUCUUGAAUGUUGUGCAAAGAAAACAGACAGACAACACAAUAAGUUCUCCUAGCACAUUAAGUUGACAUACAACCCUUUCUAAAAAAAGUUCAGGUACAAAAUUAGAACAGGUCACAAUCAAAUGUACUAGCAUAUCAGUGCUUCACACCCAUAGCUCGGAUUUAACUAGUAUCUGACAAGAUUCAGUUGUUACCUCAAAUUAGAGCACAUCCAGGCAGCCAACCCUGCCUCUUCUCCCAAAGAAGCAGUGGCCUCCGCCACGCGAUGGAGUAGGCCCUGUGCCAUCCAUCGUUCCGAGCAACAUGGGGAAAGUCUUACAUUGACUCCUGUAAUGGACAUCAUCGACGGACCCUGGCACCAGCAGCGGUGGUAGGACUUCGAUUGAUGGAUUGACCACUUCUUCGACAUGCACGAACACUCGAUACAGGUACAUCCCUAACAUGGUCCGCGGCGGCCUUGGUGGCGACGAAUAGUACAACCCCGGUUCCUGCACCGGUAUCUCAACACCAAUCACCUUCGGUAUGGUGGACGGCUUCUUCAUCCAUGCCAUAACCGUCAGAGCCCAGCUGUCUGGAGGAACAAACAUACUUACGAGCUCACCUCCAAGGUCGUUGAUAAGCUCGUUCAUGGACUCGCUGUUCCAAGCACGUCGAGGCAUGCUGUGGAAGGUAAGCUUUCUUAAAAACUCAAGCUCAGAGGGCACCGAGCCCCAUCCUGGGUGCCACCGAUCAAAGCUCACCAGCGUGCCAUCGCAGAACAAACGCUGGGAAGAUUCGAACACACGAAUGUAGUCGAAAGUUGUCCGGAACCUGAGGAAGAAAUCAGCUGGUGGCGGACAGACUUUGACGAGCAAGUCACUUAUUUGGAUGCCGUGCGCGAUGCCAAGAGCUUUGACAAGGUCAUCCGGCGAGACGGGAGGCCAGUCGCCAUUGAUGGUUACCAUCAGCACUUUGCCGGCAAACUGGUCAUCAAGUGCCGCCAUGCCACUGUUGAGUGACAACACGCAGCGACCGAAGGCAGGACGGACCUCAGGAUCUCCGGCUCGGAGAUCCGCAUUGACCGGCGACAUGAUAGUGCGCUUGAGUACAGGGAGUAUAGGAGGUGGAUUUGGGGGAACUGGAGUAGGAAUCGAGAUUCCAGAGGUGGGGGAGGUGGGAGAACUGGAGUAGGAAUUUCGAGCACGCGCGAAUAUGCUCUCGGCGCGCAAGCACACGAAAACACCGGUGGCGCCCACAUGUCGGCCUAAGAGUCCUUAUUCAUUCUUUUUUGGAGAGCCCGGCCUUUUUUUAAGGAUCUUUUGAGAGCCCGGCCUGAGAUUCAUAAUUGACAUGUUUGGCAUUGCGUUACUACUCGGCCCAUAUUCAACGACACCUCACUGGCCCAAACAAGUGUACAUCAUCGAAAAGACACUGAGCUCAAAUUAUAUAACUUGAAAAAAGCAGAUAUACUCUGAACACUGGAGAAUGGUGAUGCCCUCAUUUAGCCCACCAAUAGUUCGAGACAAUAAACAAUUCCAAACAACGAUAUAUACAACAUUCAAACACUGACUAGUGACUACUACUGACAUAAACAGCAAGACAUGAUAGUUCAUAAGAAGUCUUGCUACACCACCAAAACGCACCCAUCUGCAGCGCUCAGACUCUCGUGAUCCAGACGAGAAUGGCAUUCUAAACAGAAGCAACUAUUACAUAGUUAGAGUGACAUAAACGAGGAUGACCAAAUGACAAGGAAUAUGCAUAACAAAAGAAAGAACUACCCAUCCAGAACCAGCAACAAAGACAACAAAGUCAUUCGAAGAGAUGAUCCAACACCAUCAUAAUUUGCAGCCCCGCUUCAGCGACCAGUGAUCCGGAGACACCAGUACUCCACCCUUUCGAUGCAACAGCCCAAUUACCUAUCAACCUGAAGGCUCGAACCACAUCACUGCCUGUCGUAAUUGAGACAUCCAAGGAUCAAAGUUAAUCCGGAUGCCGUUGUCAUUCUCACCUUCUUUUGGCUGCAGGCUGUAUCGUUGACAAUCAGGGGAGUUUGCUCCUGAACUCCUAGGGCUCGCCGUGUAGACACAUUUUUUCAUAGCAAACAGAGCCUCUCUGCCAUCAAGGUCCUUGCCAACGGUGAUCUCCUGCUUAAUCGGAUAAUUGAGUCCGAGAAACAGAGAGUGUGAACCAAGGCUGUUUACCCGCCUCCAACUAAAAAAUCCUAAAGGCCCCAACAAGCUGGUAUCCUGCUCAUAGACGUAACAGCCACUGUCCGGAUACUCACGUAUUACACGGUGCUUGUAUACAGUGGGGUUUUUUGCAAUAUAACUUUUCCGGCUCAUGUGUCUGAAUGAUCAUCAGUCUUUUGCCGUCGUCUGAUCGAGCGAGGAACCAGUUGUGCUUCCCUGUUUUUGGCAAAGGUGGUGUGAUUACAAAGGGCAGUAACUAUAGGGACACUGCAUCAUAUCAAAAAGGACAGACAUUGUUAAUGUAAGAUCAGCAUUGUUCAGAGUAUGAGUAGGAUAAUGCAAGAAACAACAUUGAUAUGUCCCUGUUGGAACUGGGAGGAAAAUACAAGGAAAUGUAUACUGGGUUCAAAAAUAUAGAAGUGCCAUGCAUGGUUAUACUCAUGUUACCUCGCAAUUGAUUCUUCAUAGGAAACUACCAUGUCAUGCAUGUUAUGUAAUCAUGUUCUGUCCUCACAAACAAAUUCUUCAAGGUAACUAACAGACCAUGCAUUGUUAUAUACUCGUGUUCUGUGGGAAAUUUUUUUGUGAGGAUAUUAUUCUAGCCAUUGAUUGCUAAAGGGCGAAUAUAGGUAUGUACACAUAGUAAGCAUUGCAGGAUUUCACUACUUCCAAAUAUAGAGUUCUCCAUAUGCACAUUUACUUCCCUAAUGUAUGGUUAGAUGAAACCAACAGUGUGGUGCAUGUUUCUACAUCAUGAAAAUGAGGAAACUAACAUGGCCAUUGAUACACACUCAUAUUUAGUAGUAGUAUAUAGAUUACUGUAAAAUAAGGAUAAUAUCCAUAUAUUCCUAACCGUUUGAUUGUUCAGGGUACAAAUUGGUUGUAAUGACAUGGUCACAAUCACAUGAAUUAACUCAUUCCAAAUAUAGCUGAUUUACGGCGUCUCUAAUACAUUGCCAUAGUUCUACUCAAAUUCUGCUCAAACAGAGAUAUGCCAAUCAUCACAAAAAGUUCAAACAGUGUCAUGGCGUCAUCAUUAACAUGAGAGGAAACAACUUACACGCGCCGUCCUAGCAAUACGUGGUGCCAUCUGCUUUCUCGAUCGCGUAGAUGAUGCCAUUGUGUUCAAUAGCAUCAUAGAAGUGUGUAUCAGCUUUGAUGAUGAUCCACUGCGAGCCGAGUUGUCUCCAGCUAAAGAAGGCACCAGCGUAAAGAUAGGCGAGUCCGCGGUCGAACAAGGCAAUUAGCUUGAAGUCUGCGUAAUUCGCAUGUUGUGUGGGCACUUGGCAGAUUACAAUCUUCUGCAAAACAAGGUCCGUCCAACUGACAUAGUAAUCUAGAUGACUUGGACCGCGAUGGUAAUACUCUAUAUAAUCCAACGGAGGAAGGAUAAUCUCAUGGGAGGUCUGGAAAUUCACGAGCACCAACUUUUUACAGUCUUCUCUGAAGGCAGCCAUCCAGUGGGAGUUCAUGCCGACCCAGUACAUACCUGCCAAGAAGUUUCAGGCGAUGGUGAUCGGAUCGAUGUCGAGGGAAAUGAUGUACGACGACCCACUACAUACCUGCAAAGAAGUUUUGGCUAAUGGAGAUCGGAUUGAAGUCGAGGGGCAUCAUGCACGCCUCUGUAUCAUGGUGAGCCAAUCUCGCAAGACCAGAUAGCAGCAAGCAGGGUGUCUUGAAAAGCUUAGGCCUCGCUUCGACGAUGGCCGUGUGCAUGUCCCUCGAGCAUGCAGCCAGCCGCAGGGUGCUCAACAUAUCCAUACACGAACAACAGAGGUCAAGGAUGCCACUGGGGAGAUUGCUCCAAUCGCGGCUCAUAUGGAUGCAGCGCGGUUCGCGUUCGGCCAUGGUGGAGUUUGGAAGGGGGCUUGAUUUACGGGGGAGAAGGAUGUCGGUGCUGGAGCGGCUAGCAAGGGAAUAGUGGUACUGGGGGAGGCGAGUGAGGCGACGGUACAUGGGGGCACAGUGAGAUGGAGACGGAGAGGGAGAUGGAGAUGGAGUGGUGCUAUGGGAGCGGAGAGGGAGAUGAGGCGAGGCGCCAAUGUGAUGUACAGUGGCGGUGACCGACUGCACUGUGCGCAGGGUGAGGCUGACUUUGGUAACCCGAACACGCCUCUUGGACUAGUGUCAGGCGCAGGGUGUUGUCACUUCACUGUGAGGACCGGAUGAAUAGUAUUUAGACCAUCAAGUGUACCACAGUUGUACUACUACUACUACCAGUAGGUACAUGAGUACUCCAGUAUUGUAUAGCGUAAAUAGGUCUCCCGUGCUAGCAUGCAUGUUCACUUCAUCGUUCAGGUAUCAUCCAUAUUGCGAGCAGAACCAAAUUCUUGUGCAUGCCCAAUCAACGCUCUAUCGUGAUGCAUGCAGUGGUCGUUAUGGUGCAUCAAGGAUGGCAUGCAGAUCGUUCCACACUUGAGAAGAGGAAAAAUGGAAAGGUAGAACGCGACAGCAGAGGAAGAGAACGCUGGCUAACGAGGCUGGGAGGGGACCGAGCAGGAAGUUAAUGCUCCACGCCUAAAGGUUUUGGGAAAACCUGAUUUUCAUAAGGUGACUUAUACUCACCUAAACGGAGGGAGUAUUCCUUAACCAGAGAAUGUUGUGUCUCCCACUCACGCGCUCAAAAAAAACUACGACACAUUUUUUUAUCUGUUUUCAUAGGUCCCAGGAUGGGCACGUACACGAACAGGUACGACUCAUCAGUCUACCUGCAUAGCCUUUUCGUUUAGUCUACCUAGCCGUCUAAUCAACUGCCUGCACGCCACUUCUCCCAUAUACUUCUCCAUCGGGAACCGAUUCUCCUCGGCUUGUUCACCUCCCCUUCGUCUUCAUUUGCAUCCAAACCCCACUGUGUUCACAUUGUUUUAACCUCUUUAAAUAAUCAUCUACUACUUCAGUUAGACUAGCCAUCUAAUCCUAAUUCUCCAAACGAUAGCCCUCCGUUCUAGCGGUUCCAAAUGGAGAUAGAGAUCGAGAUGCAGGUUUUUAGCGUCCAACAUGUCCUCGUGGAAGUCUCGAUGCGCAUAGUUUCCACCAUCACCGUCCACCCAAGGGUUGUUCGGCAGUGGAUCAACAAUGUAUCCAACUCCCUCGAAAAGGUAGAGACGGGGGUCAUCGAUCUCGACGCAGAGUACAUGGAGCGUGCCCCUGGGAAGAUCCAGCACGCCGCUGUCCUUCAGCUGUGCUUCGAAGAUGAUGUUUUGGUGUACCACAUCAUGCACUUGCCCUCCAUACCAGGUGAGCUUCACGAUUUCUUGUCUCGGGAGGACGUAUACUUCUGUGGGGCAGCCAUCGAAGGGGACAAACAGAAGCUGGAGCCGUACAAGCUUGAUUUGAAUAUCAUCGCUGACCUACAAACCAGAAUCAAAAUUCCUGUAGAAGUUUGUGAUAAACAGACACCAUCCCUAUUCGACGUAGCAAAUUUUGUGCUCGGUACAAAUCUUCAGAAGGGUGACGAGACAGUGGCAUUAAGGUUGUCUGGAUGGGAGAAUUAUCCCUUGACGUACGAGCGGAUAAAAUAUGCUGCCCUCGAUGCCCGUGUGAGUUUCGAGAUAGCUGCAAGGUCCAAAGAGCUUGUUGCAAAGCCGUCUCCCAUAGAGAAUGAGAACAAGAAGAAGAAGAAGAAGAAUAAGAAGAAGAAGAAGAAGAAGAAGAAGAUUAAUAAGAAGAAGAAGAAGAAGAAGAAGAAAAUGUUGCACCAGCAGGAGGGCAUUAUGGAUGGAUUAACUAUUUCCUCUCUUGUAAAAAAAUUAUUCCCUCUCGGUGUAUAUUGAUAUAGAUGGACUAUUUCGAUGGUGUGCAUGUCUUUGGAACAGAGUAGUAGCGUGGGUCCUCUUGACUAUAAGGAACUAUUUAUCUGCAUAUAUAGCUUCCUCUGCUACUCCUUCUAGUGAUCGAUAUGCAGUGCAUGUGUCCGUAGACAUGACAGCUUGUCCAUGGAAGUUCAACUACGGCGACCAUCAUGUUUCAUCUCGCGAUUCCCAUGACGCCUCUCCAACCCACGGCACCACGCCCCCCGACGUGCGCCUCACCCCUCUCGGCCGCACCGCCCCUCUGCCUUUGUGUGCAUGACAUGUGGGCCACCUAAAAUGCGACGAGCAUCAAGUUUCUACCACAGCCUCCCGCGAUUCCCAUGACGCCGCUCGAACCCAUGAAACCACACGUCCCCCGACCUGCGGCUCACCCCUCUUGGCCCCACUGCCCCUCUGCCUACGGGAGCAUUACAUGUGGACCAGUCACAUAUCGGGUCCACAUGUUAUUGACUCAAAGGUAGGUGUAGUAAGGCGCUGAAGCUCAGUCCCGACGGCCCUGAGAGGGAAAUGUAACUCCUGCGCCAGGGCUUGUGGUGCUCCCGCAGCACGAACUCGUGCCAAACUCGAGAUUUGUUUCUUUACUAUACAUGCACACAACGAUUUAAUGGACAUUGUAAUCUCAACAUGUGAUGGGGAGCUCUAAAUUUGAAUUUGAAACUUAUAAAACGAAAAGAUUCAAAACAAAUAAGCUAGGAGAGAGGGAGUAUAUCAUAGGAUGUGUCCCAUACAAAAUAAGUCCCCUGGUUUGUCACCGUGCAGAUGCGGUUAGAAAGGAGCACAUCGUCUUCCUACUCGUACAGCAAAAAAUCGGCCGCAGACAGCAUGGUCCGCCUUUGACUGCCAUGUGCAAGGUUCAUGCUAUCUUAUUCAAUCCCACCGUGGUUCCAUCGUACCAAUUCAUGCGGUAGCCUGUUGCAUGGCUGAUCCCACUGUUGGACAAAGGUUCUAUGGGAACGGUUUCACCAUUGUAAAUGUUGUGCAAAUUGAUGUUGGUACCCUCCCGUACAUAUGCAAGCCAAUCUCCACUCGCACCGAGCCAAACCUGUGAAACAGUGGGCAGGGGGAGAAUUAGGAAAUGGACACGGAAGUAGUCUUUAGAAUGCAUUUACUACAUGAUCAAACUCAUCUUACCUGCUCAUCGGAGGAAAUCCGAGUGCCCCUCAACGUCGGCAUCUCAAGGGGCGUCAACUUGCAACUACGACCACGCCGCGCUGGAGAGACCCCCAAGGAAACAUCCUCGUGCGUUACACGGAACAUCAAGAUGCAUUUGUAUGAGUAGGUUAUCUUGUGAGAGAAAAGGAUGAAUGAGGGAAGGCCUCUAGAGAUAGAGAUGGACACUACUACUACCAAUGUGCUGGCCCAUGCGUUGCAAUGGAUCCAAAGUAGUAGAAUAAUACUUGUUCACGUGCUUAAAAUAUAAACACUCUAGUUUUGAUAUACAUGUGUCAGCAGACAUGACAGCUUGUCCAUGGAAGUUGAACCACGGCGACCAUCACAUUUCUUGUUUCUACCACUAAGCCACUGAAGUUCGGUCCUGUGGGCCCCGAGAGGGAAAUGUAACUCCUGUGGCAGGCCUUGUGGUGCUCCCGCAGUACGAGCUCGUGACAAAACUGGAAUUUGUUUCUUACUACUACCAACUAGUACUAGUAAGGUACACGUGCAUUGCACGCAUGAGAUUCUGGUGGUUUGUGCAUUAUGCUUCUACAUGUGGAGCUUUCUGGAUUCUAACAUGUGGCAAAAUCUGGCGGAAUGUAAGGUUAGGCAAGUUUGAUUAACUUAGGCGAGUGUUUGAUUCAAGCCACACCUUAGGCAAGCACACAAAAAAUGUGGCAAGAUUCCCUUAGGCUUGCCGACUUGUUUCUCUCGUUUUGAAGAACUAAUAACUUUGCCUAAGCUUAGUUGUGGCAAAGUUAGGGUCUGUUUGAUUCAAAGGAUUUUCAUAGGAUCUUUGAAGGAUUAUAAUCCUUAGGAAUUUUUCCUACGUUGGUCGUUUGAUUCGUAGGAUUGAAUCAUGUAGAAUAUUUUCCUAAGGAUUCAUUUGUACUACGUUUCACAGGAAUUCUAACAUGCACUCCAACCUCUUGAAAGAAAUCCUUCAUUUUUCAUGUGACACAAUCAAACAAACUCAAAUCCUAUAGGGAUCCAAUGGACAUGCCAUUCCAAUCCUACUUUUUUCCUAUUCUUGUGUUUCUGCAAUCCUAUGAAUCAAAGAGGCCCUUAGUCAUGAAUUAAGUUCAACCAUGGAGUCUUCUAGAUUAUACAUGUGGCAGAAUCUGGUGGAUGUUAUCCAACGACCAGUAGUGCUCGGAUUUGCCAUCUUUGUACCCUCGGAUUGGCUUCAUCCAAUGACCAACUUCCAAAGUUUUUCACACACUAUAUAGGGGGUAUAGAUAUAGAUGUGCCGGUCCAUUGCAAUGGAUCCAAAGUAUAUAUAUCUAUUUAGUGGAGUGCACUCUAAACACAUUAUCUAUUUAUUUUUCUCUAACCUUCUGUAGCCAUGCAACCAAGCCACAUAAGCUUUAUGGGUGCCCCCCACAUCAUAUUAUUCAUACUACGUUGAUUGAAAAAUAGAUAAAUCACCCAAAACAAGAUCUUCCCAUUUUUUGUUCCUACGAUGUUGUGCCGUGCACGUACCUACUAGUUGUAUAGUGGUAGUACUAGUAAUAUAGUUUUAGGAGUACAAACUUGGUACUAGUAGGAGUAGUACUAGUACGGAAUGCUCCUACUCUAUCAACGAUCCCCGUCUGACACAAAAUUUCUUGGCUUCCGUGCUACAGCUAGAUCUUCCCCUCGUUUCUUUUUUCCAACCCGACAGCGGGCGGGGUGUCGGUUUGCUCAACGGUGGUCCCACAUGAAAGUGAAAAUGCUAGGCAACACGCCAUCCCUAAGCCAUGUGUCAUGUCGGAUGGUCCAUGUUGUACUCCCGAUUCCCGGGCGUGUGAGGGUGCGACGCGAACGCGGCAGGCCUUUUUCUUUUACUAGCAAUGUGCUCGUCCGUUGCGACGGAUCCAAAGUAGUAGAAUAGUAGUAUUUGUUCACAAAUUUGGAAGAAAUCACUAUUGUUUCGAUAUACUCCUAAUAUAUUACUCCCUCCGUACCUAAAUAUUUGUCUUUUUUGAGAUUUCAAAUGGACUAUCACAUAUGGAUUAUAUAGACAUAUUCUAGUGUUUCUAGCAAGAUGCCCGCGCGUUGCACGAAGUUGAUGGAAAAGGUAAGCACAAAUUAUAAAUUGACGGAUGGAGUACUAGUUACAGUGAUGCAUAUAAUUAAGCAAAGGGAUCACACAUGUCGGUAUUGACUGGAACGAGAAUGCAACAGCACAGAAUUAAGGCCACGAUGAUGCGAUCGCAGUGGUGCUUACAGAAGGCAAGAAGAAAGAUGGAUCCACGAACGUACGACCUCCUCCUCCUCCUCAACUUAGUGCGUUGGGCCACCGACCGGCGGCUAAGGAGCGGCGGCUUUUGUGGCGAGGUCGAGGUGCUUCUCAGCAAAGGCAUCCAUGGCUUCCAGCCGGUUGAGGAAGGCCAACGUCGUAGCGUCCUCACUGGCCUUGUAGAUACCUAUGUACACGAUUUCCUCGUACAUGUGGAUGUGUAGGUCGACGAAUUCUUGCAGGGCGAGGCACCUUGCGGUGAGCGCGACCUCCAGGUGGACAUUCUUCAUAGCGUCGGCGAGCAGUCACAGGGCCACCAGUGCUUGAAAGAGGUUCCGGCCAUGGAGGCCGAUUAGGGUGGCAGGCAAUGAGGAGCCCGGGCAUGCGGGUUGGAGGAGUACGGUGAUGUCGUCCGCGAGCUUCUUGAGGACGGUGAACUUGUUGCUGGUGGCAACGAUCAUAUGGUCCAACUGAGAGUCGUAGUUGGCCUCGAAGGCGGCCAUCCACCAGCCGGUCUCCAACACCAUCUGGAGAUGAUCCUCGGCGCCAUGCUGCAGGCCGGCAUCGUGGACCAUCUGGCGCAGCCGCUGGCCGCUCACGAGCAUCGCCGCCAUGGGUCUGGAGUGAGCUCUUUUGCGCUUAGUGUAGGUGCUUAGGCAAAUGCUUAGGUGUGUACAAUGUGGUAGAUGCAUUGGAAUGGAGGGGCGCCUUUAUAUGAGGGCAAACUGCGUUGCAUUCACAUCCUGCAGCCUCUUUUCCCGGACCUCCUCCCAUUACUUCCCUCAUGCAUUAAUUGAAGGAGGAUGCAUUGGCCGUUCAACAUAUCGGGAACCGCUACUCCCUCACUCGUCUACAUUAAAGCCAUAUCGGGAACUGCGCCGCCCACUGUCAAAUCGAAUACUCCCUCCAUCUAGGCGAGUAUUAAGUCAUCUUACGAAAACCAAAUAGUAAACACAUAGGCGUGGUGCAUUAACUCUCACGUUGUUUCUUAUUUUUUGAUAUAAAUAGAGGAAUCAACCAAGAAAAUAUGUGGGGCUUGUAUGCUUUUAAUGACUUGAGACUAUCAAACAUGACAUGCAGUGGUCAGUUCGUUGCACAAGAACAAAUACAACCCACGUCAGCACACACGCAUCUUAUAUAGCAUCACAUCCAAUGGCUAUAAAAGAUGAAUGAGACCAAAUUAUAUCUCAUCUAGAUGAGUUCUAGCAAAACUGUAUUAAUAAUACUUAGUACUCCCACUCCAUGUAUCAUAUAUUAGUAUCAUGUAGUACUUUGUUUAUUUAUGAGGUAUCCAGAUGGCACUGCACCGCCAAGAAAAGAGGGUAACAUCAAAAUUAUGGACUACUUUUUUGAGUAUGUUGGUAAGGUCCGUUCAUAGUCACUUGUUGAAAUCUCUAAAAAGACAAAUACUCCCUCCAUCCGGAAAUACUUGUCAUCAAAAUGGAUAAAAGGAAAUGUAUCUAGACGUAUUUUAGUUUUAGAUACAUCUCUUUUUAUCCAUUUUGAUGACAAGUAUUUUCGGACGGAGGGAGUAGAAAACAGAGUUGGUGAUGAUGGUGUGCGUGCCAUCCUGCAAUAUAGGCCGUCGGAUUUAUAUCUAACGGAUAGGAAAGAAACUAUGGAAAUUUUGCAAAAAUAUACCCACACGUCUCUCCACGUUCGCAAAUAAGGCCUUCCCUCGUUCAACCUUUUCUCUCACAAGAUAAACUACUCAUAGAAAUGCAUCUUGAUGUUCCGUGCAACGCACGGGCAGCUAGCUUAUUUCUUUUAAAAUAGUUGCUGCGAUAAUUGGGUUGAAGUGAUAUAUUUUAUGUCUGCCCCGAAUGAUUUCAGAUUCACUGGUAGUAACAAAGAAAAGGUUGCCUUGUUAAUUAACAGAAAACAGGCUGGAAACUAUCACAUGAGGCCGGUAAAAACAAGGCACACUGGGUUCAGCGUCAUCGUCACUACAGCUGUGCGCGCGCGAGAAGUGUACAUAUCGAGGGGGCUAUCGAGCAAGGCACCGAGACACAAUAUUUGACAGAGAAACCAAUUGACAGAUUAUGAUCAAAUCGAGUUGUCACCCUUCUGUUGUCAUUGUUGGGGGGGAGGGAGAGAAAGACAUAUCGAGAAUGUGCGUGGUAGGCACAGAGGCACAACUAGCGAGUGUGUGUGUCUGUGUGUGUGUGUGUGUUUGAAAGAGGAGUAGAUAGAUUAUUAUCAAGAUCGAUGUGCCACCCUACUAGCUCCUUCGGUGCCGGGGUAGUGUGUGUGUGUGUAUGUUUGAGAGAGAAGCCAGUCGAUAGAUUAGUAUCAAGAUCGAGGUGUCACCCUACUCCUUCAGUGUUGGGAAGUGUGGGUGUGUGGGGAGGGGGGCAGUGACACUCACAUAUCUCUACUAUUAUAAAAAACAGAGUUGAUGAUGAUGGUGUUCCUGCCAUCCUGCAAUAUAGGCCAUCCAGUUUAUAUCCAACGGACAAGAAGGAAACUAUGGCAAUUUUGCAAAAAGAAACCCACACCCCUCUCCGCAUUUGCAAAUAAGGCAUUCCCUCGUUCAUCCUUUUCUCCCAUAAGAUAAACUUCUCAUGCAAAUGCAUUUUGAUGUUCCGUGCAACGCAUGGGCAUCUUGUUAGUAGGGAGAAGAAGUUUGUGUGACACAUAUCUAGCUAUAUUAAGGGAUAGGUAGAUAGCAUAUGUGUGAGAGACAUUAGUGGCUGUGGGUGGGCGGAAUUAAAGGGGUGGGCGUGUUAGACAUAGAGAGCGUGUGUGUUUCUGUGUGAGAGACUUGUAGGACGGGGUAGAAAGAUGAAUUUAACCCUGACGGAGGGAGAGAAAUACAUGAAGUGCGCGUGUGUGAUUCCGAUGCCCACAGGGAAAUGAGAUAUGUAUGCGUGUGAGAGAGAUUGCACAAUUCAUUCACAUAUCACUAUCUAGCGAUCGUGGACGUGCAUCGCUUGAACAUAAGUCAAUAUCUACUUCGUAUCGUGGCCAAAGGUACAAUAUCGAUUCAACGCUAUAAAGAUUGGACACUCACAUGUCACAUUUUUUUCUAUUUAAAUAAGCCGUUUUAGUUGUGCAUGCCAAAGUUACAGUGAUGUUUCUUCAAACAACCAAUGUAGCUAUCAUGAACAUGCACCAUUGUUACUCUUGCAUUCAAAUUCAUUAGUAUUGGAUGAUUUAAGUUUCUAUUUUGAAGUAAUAUAUCUAAUAUUCAUAUAUGAAUUCAAUGGGUAUGCAAUUUAUGAAAUGGAGGCUAUGUAAUCAUAUGAGGUAACACUUUUAAGUAGCUGACUACAAUAUCCAUUUCUUUUUGUGCGUCUCCACACUAACACGUCAAUGCAUUAUGUUUAAAGUAAAUAACCAAUGGCUCUAAAUUAUCUAUUUACACGAGAAAUACAUAGGCUGAGCGUUUGAUCCCUUUUUUUGUGAACGCGCCACUACACCCGUACGAUUGGCCGCGCCCGUGUGAACGUCCAAGUUAUCAGCGCAUCAUCCCGAGUUAUUGUCUUUUUUUUGGGGUGGACUUCACACUAGUUAUUAACUGCUGACGAGUGCCCCGUGUACACAGUCUAGCAUGACCUUCCCGCUAGCACGGUCCAAAAUUAGUUGAAACUGGAUACGAACGAUCUCGCGGGCGGCAAAAUCUCCCGCCUCCUUCUAAAAUUUCCGCCACCUUAGUCUUUAGCAUGCGAAAUCCCCCUUUUCUCCUUGGUGCAUGGAGACCAAUAGUUACAAUACCACCCUCAUCUACAUGAUAGGUCGGGGCUGCUUUGGUAACUUCCAGUUCCCCCAAUACACGGCACCCCCAUUUCCUCUCCCCCUCCCACAAAAACGACUAACUCCACACUCCACAGCACCAGAGCAUCUUACAUCACGCCGUCCGUACUUCAUCGCCCUUUCUCCCCUCCCCUCUCGAAACCCUAGACUGCUCAUCCACCGGCGUACCAUAGCCCAUUCACUGCCAGCGGCGUCCACCUCGCCGGAUCUGCUUCUGCGGUAGCAUCUACCCCUCCCACCUCCCCUAGAAACAAGUAGACUACUCAUCCACCACUAUACCAUAGCCCAUUCAGUGAUGGCCUUGUCCACGGCACCGGAUCUGCUUCGCUGGUACUCUCGUCAACCGCCACGCAUCUGCAGCGGCUCAUUCGUACUCCCCACCGGAGACGCUUCGUCCACACCCCCUGGAGCCGCCCCACCGACGCCCCCGUGGACGGUCUCUGAUCCUCUUCGCCGACACCUUCCUCAACCCUACCGGAGCCUCUUUGCCGACACCUUCCUCAACCCUACUGGAGUAGCUUCGCCUAUAUCAUUCUCAACAAUACCGGGGCCGCUUUGCCAACUCACAAGUCCACGGCCUAAGAUCCGCUUCCUCGCACCCUCAUCCAACCUACCAGAGCAGCUUCUGACGCCCCAUCCACGGCCGCAGAUCCGCAUCGUCGACACCACCCUUAACCCAACCACCGGAGCAGCUUCACCUACGCCCUCGUCCAUGGGCAUAGAUCCGCUUCGCCCACACUGUAGUCCACCCUACCGGAGCCGCUCCACAAACACCCUACUCGACGGUUCUAGAUCUCCUUACCGGACCCCGACAGCCAGCGCAGCGUCAUCACCCUCGAUGUUUCUAACCUGAUUCCCAUAGUCUGGAGAGAUGCCAAGCACCCGCCACGGCCUAGGUACUUGUCACCUUUAAACCCGUCCAGCAUCACCUGCCCGAUGUACUUCAAAUAUACUAACCGGUCGCUGUUACCUGUUAUGCAGCUGGCAAAAACUACAAGGACGAUGUUUCUUCUGGAUCUAACAGCUUGGCCAACUAAGAUCCUGGACUGAGGCAUUGCUAUGAUCUUGUAAGCGUGUCUCUCUCUCUUGUAUUGUUCUGUGCCUGCCAGCGUGCUUUGCUAGGAUUUUCGACCAGUAAUCCCUUUGUGCAGACAAUGAUUUCUACUACUGGCUGCUAAAUUAGAUAUGUAGAUGUCAUACAGGAUACUACCUCGUACCUCCGUUCCUAAAUAUAAGUCUUUCUAGAGAUUCCACUAUAGGCUACAUACGGAGCAAAAUGAGUGAAUCUACACUCGAAAAUGCAUCUAUAUACAUCUGUAUGUGGUCCAUACUGGAAUUUCUACAAAGACAUAUAUUUAGGAACAGGGGUAGUACAUUACACAAAAUCGUAGGUGGCAUGUAGGAAUUCCAGUGCACUACAUUAGGCUCCCUUAGAGUGCCUGCUAGUCCAGCAUACAGAGUCAUGGCUAGUUUAUGGUACGCACACAAUCGUUAAUUGGUGGUUUAAAUAUGCGCAAGGGAUAUACAAUGUAGUAUCAUGUAGAGAUGUCUAAAAUUAGCCGUGUCAACUUGCAGAUAGGGUUACACAAUGAAAAAGUACAAGAUGUAUGUGGCAAUUUCAUGGAACAUCGCAAAAAAGGAGAGGCAGCGGUGAGCCUAUACAGUGUGCCAUGGUACGUCACUCCUCCAUUGCAAUCAUCGUGACAUGUUAUUUGUAUGCCAGUUCUAUUAGCCAAGUUUCUUAGCGACAGUUAUUACGAGUUAUCCUAAGAAAAUAAGCACAUGUGAAUAUAAGCUCCAUGUAAUAAGCCAACCAGUUAUUUCCAUUGCGUUUUUAGCUUAUCUUUGGUAUGAUCAGUGGAAAGUCUAGAUUGCAUUAUAUUUUUUUCAUUUUGCUGCCCAUAUGGAAAUUAAUUUGACUUGCAAACAUCACAAAUUGAACCCAGUGCAGUAAUUAAUAUGAUAGGAAAACAAACCAUCACUAUUUGCUCAAAACGCAAAUACAAAGAUACCAUCUACUUGGCACAAUCUACUUUGGUCAAUGUUUUCCAUAGAGAUCCCAUUGCCUAAUUUAAACGAAGAACGCAUGACCCACAUUUAAAUGAAGAACACUUAUUUAUUGAAAUUCGAUAGUCCAAGUGGCUGGUUAUUAUCAUAUAGCAGCACCACCUGAAAGCAUCAUAUAGCAGCAACAGCAGCUCAUAGCAACUCAUCAUACAGCAGCAGCAGCAGUCUGCAAUUCAUCAUAUACCAGCAGCAGCUCAUAGCAAUUCAUCAUAUAGCAGCAGCAGCAGCUCAUAGCAAUUCAUCAUAUAGCAGCAGGAGGAGCAGCUCAUAGCAAUUCAUCAUAUAGCAGCAACAAGAGCAGCUNNNNNNNNNNNNNNNNNNNNNNNNNNNNNNNNNNNNNNNNNNNNNNNNNNNNNNNNNNNNNNNNNNNNNNNNNNNNNNNNNNNNNNNNNNNNNNNNNNNNNNNNNNNNNNNNNNNNNNNNNNNNNNNNNNNNNNNNNNNNNNNNNNNNNNNNNNNNNNNNNNNNNNNNNNNNNNNNNNNNNNNNNNNNNNNNNNNNNNNNNNNNNNNNNNNNNNNNNNNNNNNNNNNNNNNNNNNNNNNNNNNNCUUGUAGCAACUCAUCAUAUAGCAGCAGCAGGAGCAGCUUGUAGCAACUCAUCAUAUAGCAGCAGCAGGAGCAGCUUGUAGCAACUCAUCAUAUAGCAGCAGCAGCAGCUCAUAGCAAUUCAUCAUAUAGCAGCAGCAGCUCAUAGCAACUCAUCAUACAGCAGUAGCAGCUCAUAGCAAUUCAUCAUAUAGCAGUAGCAGGAGCAGCUCAUAGCAAUGCAUCAUAUAGCAGCAGCAGAAGCAGCUCAUAGCAAUUCAUCGUAUAGUGGAAAGGGGAGAGGAGAUGCAAGCGGGCAGGGCAAUGAAUGCUUGCGUGUUUGUUUUUACUUGAGGGUCAGGUGUGACACGGGCGUCAGUAGUUGCAUUUUGAGUGUAAUAUAGGCAGACAACAGAGUCAUUUCACUAUUCCUCUUCCCUUCAAUUUUUAGUGAGGUUCUACCUGAAACACCCCCCUUGAAAGCGAAAUUAGUUAAGCCCAAGCCCAUAACUCAAAAAUGACUUCUUUACAUCUUUUAUGGCUUAUUUUGACAAUAUGCCCUGAAAAGGCAGAAUCGGACUGGCCCUUAACCUACAAUUCAAUUGUGCGUGAAAUGAUGAAUCACUCCUGCCUGCUAUCUGUACAUUUAGGCAUCAUCAUACAUGGCAUAACCUAAUACAUGUGCAUUCCAUUGUAGAAUCUGGAAAUAUGCAAUGUUUAUGUUAGUUCAUACGUUUCACAUGAUGUUUAAAUGCCCCUUAAAUCUGGUCAGUCAAGUGAUGGUCUUUAAGCCUCCUUCUUUGCUUCUUUUCUUGAUAUGUAAGAUUUGCUCACACAUCUAUUCAAUUGCUUGUUUGCAUCAGCCAGCCAUACUAGGACUGUUUGCUUUGAUUACUUGUUGUUCUUGACAUAACACUCUAACAGAGCUUGUCAACGAUUUAAACACUAAGGGCUGCUGUAGUGGGGCCUUGUCUAACUCAUAGGUGACAUAAAGGUUUGGUUGUACACUACACUAGGCUCUCCAAGAGUACCUGGAGAUCCAGUUCGAAGGUAUGCCUAGUUUUUACAUAGUGCAAACAUAGUAAAUGCUCAUUUCAUUGUGUGCAAGUGCAAGAGAUGCGGCAUGUUUCAUUAUGUGGUGUUGUUUUGUUAUAAUAUCAUUCUUUUGUGUUCACAGACUAGAAAGUAUGCAUAUUUAUCUUCCAAGGAGACGAGUAACUAGUUUGUGUCACCUUGUAGAGGGGGUGCAAUGAAGAUAAGAUUGAGGAUUUCCAAGUACAAGAUGUUAGGAAGGAUCCUUGCAAGAGAAGUAGGAGCUGCGCUGAGCCUCUUCAACCUGCUAAGGUAAGUCACUAUAUGCAACUCAACAGUUCAAUUCCUUGUUUGUUUCAGGCAUAGUUAAUUUUCUCUUUUCAAUUGCUUUAUUUGUCCUCAGUUAAUGAGAUGCCCAAAUAACCAUGCCUGAUGUUCGGUACUUGUAUCACUAUUAGUUGACAUAAGUAAAGGCCUUACCAUUUAAUUAUUCUGCCGAAGUGUGCCUGAAGCUUUGAAGUCUAUAAACCAACUAUUAUUGCAUGAGGCUCACAAUCUAGUUUAUACAACGCUAAUGAUUGCAUAGUUUUGCCUGCUAUAGUAUGUUUGUAUGAAACCCUCUGCUGUUCAUUAUGAUCCCUAAGACUUUAAUUGAGGCACAGAAUGGCCAACUGCUUGCUUACUUAUACGCAACAUGUUGUCUAAAUUUGUAACUUGUCUGUGUUUUCGAUUGGGCCCCAACAUCAUGCUCCUCUGGUGAGCUAAGAGGGGUUUCUGUAUGCAGGCUGCACAGACUAUCUUUUUUAUAAUUUUUAAAAUAUCACCUGCUUAUGCUUCAUGACGUGUAACAUUUUUUUUAAAGUGACGUGUAACAUUAUUGUUAGUCCUGUUUUGCCAUGUAGUACAAAAUAGUGUCUUGUUCGCUUCACUGUUGUAACUAUAUUUUUGCCCUAGUCAUGUGUACUUACAGAAACAUUUCAGAAUGAAGUGACAUCAACACAAAGAUCUGCGAGCAGUGCGGCAUGGCCGUUACCGAAUGAUUAUGGAUUGGAAUUGGAAUGUGCUGAUGUUAUCGAGCAUCAACUAGAGGUGGCAAGACAACGUGUACAUGAUUGUCAACGUAUAAUCAACAAGUUGAGACUGGACAUGCAGGUAUUAGAUGCAGGAGUAAAAAAAUGAAACAAGACACUGAGGUAACCAUGAAAGAAUUGGAGAUUUUGCAGACUGAAAUUUGUGCUAUCUGAAUCCGGCCAAUCCUAUUUUCUGAAGAGAUUGUAGUUCAAUUGGAGUUAAGUUGAUGCGCGUCCAUGAUGUAUGAGCUGUAUUUGCCCAGUGUAUGUAAUUUGUUGUUUGUGUAUGCUUUAUUAUCACCUAUGCCGAACCAUAAUGCCCGUGGGUAUAAUCGGCUGUAAUUUCUUUAUUGUAUAGUGUAGGAUUAUUCUACCUUUCUAUGCCUUGAUCUCUUUGUUGUAAUAGUGUAGGCUUUUUAGAGGUGAUAGUAUUGAGUAGGAUAAUUCUUUGAAUAUGCUAUAUCGUUCAAACGGGGGCCCAUUCGCCCGACCAUGGCCCUUCACGGGCCGUCGGAUCCAUGGGCCUUCUACGUCUCGUAGGAUCCAUGGGCCUUCGACGUCUCGUAGGAUCCAUGGGCCGCCGGCUCAUUUAUGGGUCUUGUACGGGCCUUUAAUGGGCCGUAGAUGGGCCUUUAAUGGAAAUCGUACGUUUUAUGGGCUGACCAUAACGGGCCGUUAAUAGGCCGUAUUUGGUGAUGCUAUGAAAAUGGCCCAACAGACUAACGGUCCGCAAACGGGACGACUAUAACGACGGGCUGAAUUUGGCCCACAAACAGAAAAUGACAGUAACAGGCCGUAAGUAACCGAAUGCUGCAAAUGAGCCCAAUAAUAAAUGGGCCCUCAGAAGGCCGAAAGUUAACUUGGGCUGGAAACGGCCCAACGGAAUAACAGGCCGUUAAUGGGUAUAAAGUGAUACACUGUUCAUUACGGGCCAGUUUCACCACGGGCCAUUAAUGGGUGUAAAGUAAUACACUGUUCAUUACGGUCCAGUUUCAGCACGGGCCGAUAAUGGGCCAAGAGUUACAAAGGGCCUCAUAUGGGCCGAAAGACGUCAUGGGCUAUACAUGGGCCAGAAGUGAAAACGGGCUGGAAUCAUAUUGGACGGCCCAGAUGACGCUACUGGGACUAAUUCGGAUAGGGCGUAACAGGCCUUGGAUUAGCGGGCUGUAAAUGCGCUAUAUGCGAACAGGCCGUUAACAGGCUUUCCAUGGGCCGGCCCGCCAGCUUUUGACCAAGUCAAAUGGGUCGGCCUUUUCACAGGAAUGGGCCACUGUUGGUCCGUGCCACGUGUUGACGUAUCAUAGGCGCCUUCUGUCCAGUGAGUGGAUGACAUCUGUCCCAACGAUGAGCCGGCACGUGUUUCCUCUAGCUAAUGAUGAUUUUACACGUGGAAAAUCCCCAUUGGUCGGGGCUGUUAACGGGUUAUCAGAUCCAAAACCCGACCCGAUAGCUUAACGGCGUUCCGUUACGGUGGAUGCCACGUGUCGGUCACCCCUUCUGUGACGCGCGAUUUAUCGUCAUGGAAGUGGACACUUCUGUGAUGAUAAUUUUGGUAAUGUCAUGGAACACUUCUACGACAGCACAGGUAUGACUAUCUUGAUUCUUUCAUAAAUUUGUCAUGGAUGUACAUGCAUGAAAAAAAAAGCGACCUACUGUGACAAACACGUAUCAUCACGGAAGUGUAUUUUUUUGUAGUGCUAUCAGUGGGUUAGAGGCUUGACAUGGCAAUAUGGGAGGCAUGAUAUAGCAAGUGGUAGGUAUCGCGGCAUAGCAAAAGAGCGAGCAACUAGCAAGCAAAGAUAGAAGUGAUUUUGAGGGUAUGGUCAUCUUGCCUGAGAUCUCGCAAGGAAGAAGAACGGGUCCAUGAAGAAGACAAACGGAUGUAGUCGAACGGAUGCUCACAACUCCGGAACGAAACCGAAGCUAACGAGAGAAGCAACCCGGAAAGAAGCAAGCAACAUGGUAAACAACCAUCACAUAACAUAGCAUGAUGCGCAAACAAUUAUGAUGCAUGUCCGGUUCAAAGAGGCAUGGCAUGGCAAAGUGCACAAACAACCCUACAAAUUAAGUGGAGCUCAAUAUGCAACUCCGUUGCAUAUUGACGAAACACCACGUGACUUAUUUAGUUUGAUCUUUUUUAUGUACCCAACAAUAUUAAAUGUUGUUAAACAUGGCAAGAGGGUGAAGCAUAUGGAAAACUACCUAUUUAGGCAAGUUUAAAUGAGGCCAGAAAUAACAAACAACAAUUCCGGAAAAUCCUCAUAUGCAUAUAUUAGGUUUGGUAUUGUUCUGCCCUAAACCAUAUUUUAGAUUUGUUAAACAUGCAAGAUGAGUGCACCAUGUUAAACUAGGAAUUUUUCUACCCCAUUUACAUAUAAAGUUUGUUAAGUUUGGAGCUAUGGUUAUUUAGUUAUGAAAUAAAUCAUUUUAACAAGUUAUUUAAGCAAAUUUAAUCAAACAAUAGUUUAAACAUCUUUAACAUAGAUGAAAGUUGCAAAUUAUUAACCUACACAAAAUUCUAAGCAAGUUUCAUAUAUGAAGUUUUAACAUGUGAUGCAGAGUUUGUGAGAUAUUAAAUGUAUGAACAUGAGGGUCUUUUCUGUAAAACAGCGUUCUCUGGAAUAUUAGUAAAAUUGCCUAGAGGAAAAAAACAUAACACGGGCCAAAUCUGGACAGCAAGCCCAAUAGAGGAAAAAAGGGGGCGCUGGGGUGGCCUCACCCAGUGGGCCUGACCCAGUUGAAGGAGAGGCCUGGCAGGCCAUCCGCGCUGCUGGGCUGUGCGGGGAAAGGGCGCUGGCGACGCGGUGGCCCAGGCGCUGGUGACGCGGUCAACGGGAGCGGGGCGGCGCUGCGAGCGGGUGACCUGGUGCUGCUCGUACCAACACAAGCAGUAGCAGGUCAUGGCGAUAUGGAAGACAGGCAGAGGCGCGAUGUGGAGGCAGGGGACCCGCGGGCGCGGCGGAUCCGGGUAGUCUGAGGGUCGAGGAGGCGGUUCCCGGCAACAGGAUCUUCAGCGGUGGCAUUGCUCGAUGGAGCAAAGCAGGCAGCAGCAGGAUCGUGCGGGCGAAGCAGAGGACGGCGGCGGACUUGGCGCGGCUCCUGGAUCCGGGCGCGAGCGAGGCUGGCGACGCAACGAAGGAGGCAGCGAAGACGGACCCGGGUGUGGGAUGGCACUAGGAGACCAGGACGGGGCACCGGCGAGGAUCCAUGGAGGCAGAGCUCCAUCCAGCGGCCAUGGGGGUCUCCCUGUCCAACAAGCAAGGAUAGAGAGACAACAUGAGAGAGAGGGAGACCGAGGAGGAAAAGGAAUAAGAAGGAGAAGGGGAGGUUUGUGUUGCUACUGCUAUCACCGGCGGCAAGCUCCAGCGCGGGCGGAGGCCAUCGGGCACGGGAGUGGCUUGGGGCUGUGCUCGUGGAGGGGGAACAUGGGGCUGCAGGAAGAGAAGUUGUGGAUCUCGUAGAUCAAGGAGAGGAGGCUGGUUCAGUGGAUCGGGUAGGGGAGAUCCCAAGGGGGGUUUGGUCAGGUGGCGGCGGCGAUGGGACAAACUCCUAGGUUUUAGGGUUUGAUCUAAUAUAUAUAUAUAUAUAACAAGUGGAUUUUUGGAUAGGGGCAUUUGGUCCCUCCGAUCUUAAUCGUACGGUCCCGGAUAAAUAGGUUAGGGAGCCCAAUUAAGAAAACGGAGACAUUUUGUAGAUGUUUGGGGAUGAUCUGGACCCAACGGUGAUGACUGAGCGGUACGGGUUCGGGGCAGUUUCGGACACGCACGAGAGGUCUAUGCACGGCACAAAGAGGGGUAGGCAUGGGCCUAGGUGGACUAUGGAGAGCGGGUUGGUUUGAGAGAAGAGGGGAGAGAUGCAGCCCGGCACGGUUUUCGAAGACCGAAAACGUCCAAUGAAAAGACCAGGUAUACUGCCGCUAUAGUUAUCCGUUGGGCCGUCAAACAGACUCUGAAUGUGAUGAAAUUUGGCAAGAGGCCUACUAACAACAAAACAACACCGCAUGCCAACUUUCAUCCCAAUCCGAGAACAUUUACUGGCCACUUAUAAAAUACUAUUUCAGACAUGCCGCAGGCGCGUGCAAGUGUGUCUGGGCUCAGAACUGACAACGGAGAGUACUAGGGAACCCGGACGAAUGCAAGUUUUGAAAACAUGAUGAUGCAAUGCACAUGAUGACAUGAUGAAAUGCAACACGCAAGCAAAAGACAUGUCAACGUCGGCGAAUAACAAGAAGACACCUGGCGCAUCCGCCUCGGGGCAUCACAACACUCCACCACUACGAGAGGAUCUCGUCCCGAGAUCUGGGAUGGCACCGGAGAGAAGCGCAAAAGGAAGAGGUAAAACAAAGUUGCUUCUUUGACAAACGAGUGAAACCAAAGAACCUUGAUAGGUUAAACCAUUUUGAGAAAAGAAAACAAUGAAGAUGAUCGAAGUUGAAAACACUACGUUAGAAAAGAGGAACAAGGAAGAACAAAUUCGGACAGCACUCUAGUUGAAAAGAGAUGUAUAAGGAACGAUAAGAAUCAAUUACGACAACACUCCGGUUAACAAGAUAGAGAAGAAAUAAGAAUGAUAUAAUUUGGAAAGCACUCCGACUGUAAAUGGAAGGAAUCGAACAUGAUCUUAACAAGAUGAGGAUACUUGAUGAGAUCAACAACACACUAGCUCCGGAACUAUUGAAAUAAUGGCACAAUGGGUAAAAAGAUUUCAAACGGCACUUCGGUUGAAAAGGGAGGCAAAACUUGAUAAGAUGAGAGAAAUUGAAAAAAGGGCACGAUACUCCGCUUAAAUGGACAAGCACAAAAAGAACAUGAUAUUUGACAAAACGAGAUGAUGGGUGAAUAUAGCAACAAUACAAAGCCUCCGGAAUGAAUGUAAGGAUGGAAUCAAAAGAACGGAGGAGAAAACCACAACUUCUGCCUCAAAUGAACUUGAAAAAGCAUAUUUAGGAGAAGAGUCGAACGGAGUUGUUGGAAAACCAACAAAGAAAAGAGUAAGCUUACAGUGGGCUUAUGGGAAACAUCUCAAAACUAUGAGGUGAAAUUCUGCCACUAUGGAAACAAAAGAUUGGAUUGAUAGCUAGAAAAGAAUAGGAAGCUUCUUCCACCAAGGUGAUAAGAAAACUUGGAUCAUAGGUAAUCACCACAAGGAGCAACAUUCCCAAUGGAAGGUUUUAGGUCAAAUUUAUACCAAGAUAACUCCAUGGAAGAAAAUGAUGGGUUUAAAUACCUCAUUCUUGUGAAUGAAGAAUGAUAUAUUACCACCUCAAAAGAUAAGGGAGAACAAUUGCACUCCGGAUUGCAAGAUGAAGAAUGCUUGGACUCCUCUGAGAAGAAUCUUGAAGAACGCUUCAAGAGUGAAUUAAAUCCUUGAUGAGCCAUCAUGUAGAGCCUCCAUGAAGAUCUUCGGUAAUAAAAGAAUAAUGAAGGAAAGAGAAGUUGAAAACACAAGGUGAAGCCUUGCGAUGAUUUAGAUGGAUCUUCGUGAUGAGAUAAUGCAAAAAAAACUUGGAACUCCAGAAAAGAAAGAUGAACAAAAGAAAUCAAGAAUUUUGAUGAACCUCUGGAAUAAGUAAUUAAUCACUUGGAUGAAAACAAUAAUAAGAAUUAUGUUAUGCGCAUCCUUCACCAAUUUAGAUUGAUGGCAAGCAACAAAUUUGGCAUACUACUUAUUCUCGUUGAAAGGGAUUAAGAUAGAUAUAGAGUCACUUGGGAAGGUCUUCAACAAACCACCGGUAGGAUUUGGAAACAACGAAUGAAUUGAUAUGGUAAUAAGAGGAAAGUAAUCUUGAACGAACCACCAUAAGAAUUGAAAAUGAAUGAAGAAAAGAUAAAGAAACACCGGGAAGAGAUAUAAAAAGAACAAAGGUACUUGAGAGAAUUUAGAUACAAAUGAACGAAGAGAUCAUGAAUUGAUUAGAGGAUAUUUGAAUGAUGCAUUGGUAAGAUUGGAGAACGAGAGCUGAAAGCUUGAAUGAAUAAUUCUGAGAUGAUGGGCUCUGGGGAAUCAAACUGAAAAGACUCCUGAAUUGCUCUGGAUGGGUGAAAAGAAUUCUCACAAGCAAAUAUAAUUAUGAGAGGGUGCCAACAAGCUAGAAUCAUGAAUCUUCAUGAGAACGGAGCAAGUUUUGGAGGAAAAACUCUUCUUCGGUCUUCAAAAUUCGAGAAUGGCGACAAGAAACACCACCAAGAAUUAUUGAGAUACUCCGGGAGAAUGAAAAGUGAAGAGGUUGAGCCAGCAAUGAAAAGAAUUUGAAAGAUCUUGGAGAAAGACAUAUGGCUGAUGAUAAUUCAUUCUUACGUCAAACUUGGAGAAGAAUUUGAGAAUAACUCCAGAAAAUUAGAAGAGUCAGGUAAGAUCCUGGGAAAAGACCUGUGGGUUAGGGCACACUCAAAAGAUACACCAUUGAAUGAUUACUUGAAAGGGAGAUUGCACCGGUUGAAUUAAACGGUUUGAAUGAGAUAACAUCCUCAAAAGAACUUGAACGAAUUGAGAAUGAACAGUAGCAUCUUCUGAGAUAUCUUCAGCACUCCGGAACAGAUGAAUAGGGAGAGGUGAGCAGUUAAGAAGUGCACCGGCAUGAGAAAACAUUUAAACGAGGAAAGGAUAUGAUCAACAAAGCUUGAAUUUAAUCCACCGGAGAAGAAAAAUAACGAAUAAUGAUGAACUUGAGGCUCCGUUAGUAUCUUUCUGAGAAUCACCGGAUAAGAAGAUUGAAGGGAAAGAAUGAAGAGACUUCGUGUGAAUAAAAUGGAUAGUUAUUUUGAAUAUCUCUGAGUCCUUGAAGAAAAAGGGUGGGAGGGCGGGAAAACAAAGGCAGCUUGGAAUAGAUAAAAAUGAGCACCGUUGAGAAGAACUGAUAAUUGAUCUUGCGGAUCGUGAAAUGAUCGGAUCCACUUGAAGAGAAACACGCCGGUUGAAAAAGAAUUGACAUGACAAACUCGAUUAUCAAGAAGGAUUGGUAUUCACAUAGAAAUAUGGGAACACCGCUUAGGAAAGGUAUGGAAUCAACAUUUGACUUAGAAGCAACUCGAUUACCACAAGCCAAAACAAAACAAGGAUUUGGCUUGCAAAAUAAGCCGGAAACAAACAUAUGAUAGAUCCCAUAUCGUAUCAUGUGUCUGUUGGAAAGAAUUCCUACAUGAUACUUGAAUUCCCACUUAUAAACUCCCGAAACUUUCUGGUUAUGCAAUCGGGUGUUGGGGAUAGAGGGGAAGCAUAAUAUCUCACCCAAAACUCAAAUCCUACAUCCAGCUGUAUCCAUCCUUCAACACAUAACCAAGAAACCUUUGGAAAUCAUUUAACUCAACCUUCGAAAAGCAUCCGUUAUACGAGUUAUGGCAAUACUCCCGAACUCCAGCCCCAGUACUGGGUGGCAUCGAGGUUAUCUCACCAACAACUGCAUAAAAGAGAUUUUCGAUGUCGGCGAACUCAGGUAUUCCAGAACUGCAACGAUAAAAUUGUGACGACAACACCUCGGAGCUCAACUCCCCGGGACACUGCCACAACCCCUAAAUGUCAAGAGGCACCAAGAAGAAUGUUCUCGUCACAAAACCAUCGGAACGAUUCCAAGACACCCGUGUGAUCCUAAAAAAAAUUCGUGAAAUUUGAGAAGACAAGAGUCAAAACUCUAUGUCAGGAUGCCUCACCAAAGCGACGAAGGGACUGAGGAGUCAAAAGAAUCCUACUCUCCGAUAUAUAUAAUCCUAUAAGACCCAAAACAUUUUUUCUAGACUCAUAAACGUCAACGAUUCGAUCAAGCAGGGGGCUCCUAAGUCGGGGAAGGCUCUGAUUACCAACUUGUAGCACCCACGAUGCGGCUAUAUCUCCCACGUGUCAGAGCAUGACUUAGAGGCAUAGCCACAUAGUAGGCAUGUCACAAGAGGGGUAAUCUUUACACAUCCCAUGUACUAAAUAAGAAAGGGAUAAGAGUUGGCUUACAAUCGCCACUUCACACAAUACAUAAAUAUAGCAUUACAUCAUCCAGAAUACAAUCAAUGUCCGACUAUGAAAUCAAAUAAAGAAAGAAAACCCCUAAUGCUAGAUACCUGAUCGCCCUGACUGGGCUCCACUACUGAUCAACUGGAAAUGAAACAACACAAUGAACACGAUCCUCAUCGAGCUCCUCCUUGAGCUCGGUUGCGUCACUUGCACGGUUAUCAUCGACACCUGCAACUGUUUGGAAGUAACUGUGAGUCACGAGGACUCAGCAAUCUCACACCCUCGCGAUCAAGACUAUUUAAGCUUAUGGCUAGGAAAAGGUAGUGAGGUGGAGCUGGAGCAAGCACUAGCAUAUAUGGUGGCUAACUUACGCAAAUGAGAGCGAGAAGAGAAGCAAAGCACGGUCGAGAAACUAUAAUGAUCAAGAAGUGAUCCUGAAACUAAUUACGUUCAAGCAUAACACAAGAACCGUGUUCACUUCCCGGACUCUGCCGGAAAGAGACCAUCAAGGCUACACACGCGGUUGAUUCAUUUUAAUUAAGUUAAGUGACAAGUUCUCUACAACCGGAUAUUAAAAAUUCCCAUCUGCCCAUAACCGCGGGCACGGCUUUCGAAAGUUCAAAACCCUGCAAGGGUGUCCCAACUUAGCCCAUCAUAGGCUUUCACGGUCAACGAAGGAUAUUCCUUCUCCCAGGAAGACCUCAUCAGACUCGGAAUCCUGGUUACAAGAUAUUUUGACAAUGGUAAAACAAGACCAGCAAAGCCACCCGAUGUGCCAACAAAUCCUGAUAGGAGCUGCACAUAUCUCAUUCUUAGGGCACACCGGAUGAACACUAUGUACAACUAAAACCAACCCUCAAGUUUCCCCGAGGUGGCGCUGCAAGUGGCUCUAUUUUGGACCAACACUCAGAGGAGCACUGGCCCGGGGGGGUUUAAAAUAAAGAUGACCCUUGAGUCUGCAGAACCCAAGGGAAAAAGGCUUAUGUGGCAAAUGGUAAAACCAAGGUUGGGCCUUGCUGGAGGAGUUUUAUUCAAAGCAAACUGUGAAGGGGUUCCCAUAACACCCUACCACGUAAGGAACGCAAAAUCAAGGAACAUAACACUGGUAUGACGGAAACUAGGGCGGCAAGAGUGGAACAAAACACCAGGCAUAAGGCCGAGCCUUCCACCCUUUACCAAGUAUAUAGAUGCAUUAAAGUAAGCAAGAUAUAAUAAUGAUAUCCCCAAAUAUCCAUGUUCCAACAUGGAACAAGCUUCAUCUUCACCUGCAGCUAACAACACUAUAAGAGGGGCUGAGCAAAGCGAUAACAUAGCCAAACAACGGUUUGCUAGGAAAGGCGGGUUAGAGGCUUGACAUGGCAAUAUGGGAGGCAUGAUAUAGCAAGUGGUAGGUAUCGCGGCAUAGGAAAAGAGCGAGCAACUAGCAAGCAAAGAUAGAGGUGAUUUCGAGGGUAUGGUCAUCUUGCCUGAGAUCCCACAAGGAAGAAGAACGGGUCCAUGAAGCAGACAAACGGAUGUAGUCGAACGGAUCCUCACAACUCCAGAACAAAACCGAAGCUAAUGAGAGAAGCAACCCGGAAAGAAGCAGGCAACAUGGUAAACAACCAUCACAUAACAUGGCAUGAUGCGCAAACAAUUAUGAUGCAUGUCCGGUUUAAAGAGGCAUGGCAUGGCAAAGUGCACAAACAACCCUACAAAUUAAGUGGAGCUCAAUAUGCAACUCCGUUGCAUAUUGACGAAACACCACGUGACUUAUUUAGUUCGAUCUUGUUUAUGUACCUAACAAUAUUAAAUCUUGUUAAACAUGGCAAGAGGGUGAAGCAUAUGAAAAACUACCUAUUUAGACAAGUUUAAAUGAGGUCGGAAAUAAAAAACAACAAUUCCGAAAAAUCCUCAUUUGCAUAUAUUAGGUUUGUACUGUUCUGCCCUAAACCAUAUUUUAGAGUUGUUAAACAUGCAAGAUGAGUGCACCAUGUUAAACUAAGAAUUUUUCUACCCCAUUUACAUAUAAAGUUUGUUAAGUUUGGAGCUAUGGUUAUUUAGUUAUGAAAUAAAUCAUUUUAACAAGUUAUUUAAGCAAAUUUAAUCAAACAACAGUUUAAACAUCUUUAACAUAGAUGAAAGUUGCAAAUUAUUAACCUACACAAAAUUCUAAGCAAGUUUCAUAUAUAAAGUUUUAACAUGUGAUGCAUAGUUUGUGAGAUAUUAAAUGUAUGAACAUGAGGGUCUUUUCUGUAAAACAAUGUUCUCUGGAAUAUUAGCAAAAUCGCCUAGAGGAAAAAAAUGUAACACGGGCCAAAUCUGGACAGCAAGCCCAACAGAGGAAAAAAGGGGGCGCUGGGGUGGCCUCACCCAGUGGCCCUGGCCCAGUUGAAGGAGAGGCCUGGAAGGCCAUUCGCGCUACUGGGUUGUACGGGGAAAGGGCGCUGGCGACGCGGUGGCCCAGGCGCUGGCGACGCGGUCAACGGGAGCGGGGCGGCGCUACGAGCGGGCGACCUGGUGCUGCUCGUACCAACAGAAGCAGCAGCAGGUCAUGGCGAUAUGGAAGACGGGCAGAGGCGUGAUACGUCCAUUUUGCAUCAUGCUUUUAUAUUGAUAUUUAUUGCAUUAUGGGCUGUUAUUUCACAUUAUGUCACAAUACUUAUGGCUAUUCUCUCUUAUUUUACAAGGUUUACAUAAGGAGGGAGAAUGCCAACAGCUGGAAUUCUGGGCUGGAAAAGGAGCAAAUACUAGAGACCUAUUCUACACAACUCCAAAAGUCCUAAAACUCCACGGAAUACCUUAUAAUAAAUAAUGAAAAAUCCUCGCCAAAGAUGAAGACCAGGGGACCCACACCCUGUCCACGAGGGUGGGGGCGCCCCCAGCCCCCCUAGGGCGCGCCCCCCUACCUCGUGGGCCCCCUGGUGGCUCUCUGAUGACCAUCUUCUGCUAUAUGAAGUCUUUCAUCGAGAAAAAAACAAGAAGCAACCUUUCGGGACGAAACUCCGCCGCCAUGAGGCGGAACCAAUCUAGGGCUCCAGUAGAGCUGUUCUGCCGGGGAAACUUCCCUCCCGGAGGGGGAAAUCAUCACCAUCGUCAUCACCAACGCUCAUCUCAUCGGGAGAGGGCAAUCUCCAUCAACAUCUUCAUCAACACCAUCUCAUCUCAAAACCCUAGUUCAUCUCUUGUAUCCAAUUCUUGUCUCCAAGUCCGGGAUUGGUAUCAAGGCUUGAUAAAAGAUUAUCUGGUAUUGCAAAUCUGAUGACAUAUUCUGGUAGAUUAACUCAUUGGAAAUCAGUGGUUUUUGCUCUUCCAAUUUAUGCAAUGGGUUGCAUCAUAGUGCCUUUCACUAUCUUAGAUCACUUUGAAAAUUCUGGCAGAAGUUUUCUUUGGUAUGGUAACAAGAUCAAUAAACAGGGUAAUUGUCUGGUUAAAUGGGAUACUGUCUGUCUCCCCAAAGAAGCAGGAGGAUUGGGAGUACUUGAUUUAAGAACUCAAAACAGAGCUCUUCUAAUUAAAUUUCUCUAUAAGUUUUUUAAUAAAUAGGAUAUUCUGUGGGUGGAAUUAAUAUGGAAUAAUUAUUAUUCUGAUGGCUCUAUACCCUCAUAUCCCACAAUGUUGGGAUCCUUUUGGUGGAGAGAUUGCUGCUCUAUCCUUCAGGAUUUUAAAAAUAUGACUACAUGUAUCCCCUCCACUGGCAACACCAUCUCACUCUGGCAUGAUAAGUGGAAUGAGGGCACUCUCCAGAGCAGAUUUUCUCAAUUAUACUCAUUUGCUAAAGAUACAGGCUAUAUAAUUGCCUCGGCUAUUGUUUCCUCAACCAGCAACUUUUAUGAGAUGUUUCAUUUACCCAUGUCAUCUAUGGAUGUUCAACAAAGCAAUGAGAUGUUGGAAAUCAUAAGUAACAUCCACCAGGAAAAUGACAAUAAAGAUUGCUGGCAAUUUCUCUGGAAAGGAAACAAAUACUCCAACAGAAAGAUUUAUCUGGAACUUAUUGGAAACCCACCAAAGGCAGCACCACCAUUUCAAUGGAUUUGGAAAUCAUGCAACCUGCCCAAACAAAAAAAUUUCUUCUGGUUGCUACUGCUUGAUAGAUUAAAUACUAGAGAUCUACUAAUCAGGAAGAAUUUUCAAAUACAAAACAGAAGAUGUGUUCUAUGUGAUGAUGAACCCAAUGAAUACCUACAACAGCUCUUUUUUGUAUGUGACUUCAGCACAAAUUUCUGGGCUGCAAUAGGUAUGGAAUGGAAUACAGAUCUUAAUACUAUUGAAAUGCUAAUGGAGGGCAAAAGCAGAGAUAAUGGCCAAGGAUUUAAGGAAAAGAUGAUAGCAGGGUGUUGGAGCAUACGGAAGCACAGGAAUGGCAUUAUCUUUGACAACAAUAACAGAAGUAUGACUCACUGCUUAUCAAGUUUCAAAGAGCAUUUUAGCACCAUUAUCAAGAAAGCAAGACCUAGUUUAAAGGAUGGGAUGCAAUCCUGGUUGGAUACAUUGUAAUUUGUUAAUCUUUUUGUACCAUGUACCUCUUCUGUACAGACCCAUGUAACACCACCCAUUAUUACUAGAAAAUAGAGUUACAGUGGGGAGCCUUUCCCCACUGUGUUUGCUCAAAAAAAAAUCCGGGAUUGGUGCUAGUAGGUUGCUAGUAGUGUUAAUUACUCCUUGUAGUUGAUGCUAGUUGGUUUAAUUGGUGGAAGAUCAUAUGUUCAGAUCCUUUAUGCAUAUUAUUACCCCUCUGAUUAUGAACAUGAAUAUGCUUUGUGAGUAGUUACGUUUGUUCCUAAGGACAAGGGAGAAGUUUUGCUAUUAGUAGUCAUGUGAAUUUGGUAUUCGUUCGAUAUUUUGAUGAGAUGUAUGUUGUCUAGCCUCUAGUGGUGUUAUGUGAACGUCGACUACAUAACACUUCACCAUUAUUUGGGCUUAGAGGAAGGCAUUGGGAAGUAAUAAGGAGAUGAUGGGUUUCUAGAGUGAUAGAAGCUUAAACCCUAGUUUAUGUGUUGCUUUGUAAGGGGCUGAUUUGGAUCCAUAUGUUUCAUGCUAUGGUUAGGUUUACCUUAAUGAUUUUGUUGUAGUUGCGGAUGCUUGCAAUAGAGGUUAAUCAUAAGUGGUAUGCUUGUUCAAGUAAGAACAUCACCCAAGCACCGGUCCACCCACAUGUCAAAUUAUCAAAGUACCGAACGCGAAUCAUAUGAACGUGAUGAAAACUAGCUUGACGAUAUUCCCAUGUGUCCUAGGGAGCGCUUUUCCUUAUAUAAGAGUUUGUCCUUUACUACAAAAGGAUUGGGCCACCUUGUUGCACUAUAUUUACUUUUGUUACUUGUUGCUCGUUACAAAUUAUCUUAUUACAAAACUAUAUGUUACCACUUAUUUCAGUACUUGCAGAGAAUACCUUGCUGAAAACUGCUUAUUAUUUCCUUCUGCUCCUCGUUGGGUUCGACACUCUUAUUUAUCGAAAGGACUACGAUAGAUCCUCUAUACUUGUGGGUCAUCAAGACUCUUUUCUAGCGCCGUUGCCGGGGAGUGAAGCGCCUUUGGUAGGUGGAAUUUGGUAAGGAAAAAAAUUAUAUAGUGUGCUAAAUUUACUGUCACUUGUUACUAUAGAAAGUAAUCCUCUGAGGGGCUUGUUCGGGGUAUCUUCACCCCGACCAGUAGAGCAAAGAGUUGCUCCUCAACCUACUGAACCUAUUGAAAAUGAAAUUCCCUAUGAGUAUCCUUCGGGUAUGAUAGAAAAACUGCUAGCUAAUCCUUUUACAGGAGAUGGAACAAAGCAUCCUUAUGAACACCUAAUAUAUGAGGAUGAAGUUUGUGGAUUAUUUAAGCUUGUAGGUAUACCCGAUGAUGUUGCUAAGAAGAAGGUCUUCCCUUUAUCUUUGAAGGGAGAUGCAUUGACAUGGUAUAGGCUAUGUGAUGAUACGAGAUCAUGGAACUAUAGAAAAUUGAAAUUGGAAUUUCAUCAAAAGUAUUACCCUAUGCAUCUUGUUCAUCGUGAUCGCAAUUAUAUAUAUAAUUUUUGGCCUCGCAAAGGAGAAAGCAUCGCUCAAGCUUGGGGGAGGCUUAAAUCAAUGUUAUAUUCAUGCCCCAAUCAUGAGCUCCCAAGAGAAACAAUUCUUCAAAAAAUUUAUGCUCGGCUUUCUGAAAAUAAUCGCACCAUGCUCGAUACUUCUUGUGCUGGCUCUUUUAUGAUGAAUACUAUUGGAUUUAGAUGGGAUUUAUUGGAUAGAAUUAAACGCAACUCUGAAGAUUGGGAUCUCGACAAAGGUAAGGAGUCAGGUAUGACACCUAAGUUUGAUUGUGUUAAAUCCUUUAUGGAUACCGAUAUUUUCCGUAAGUUUAGCACUAAAUAUGGACUUGAUUCUGAGAUAGUAGCUUCUUUCUAUGAAUCUUUUUCUAGUUAUGUUGAUCUCCCUAAGGAGAAGUGGUUUAAAUAUCAUCCUCCCAUAGAAGUAAAAGUAGUUGCACCAAUUAAAGUUGAAGAAAAUACUGUCACUUAUAAUGAUCCUAUUGCUCCUACUUGUUACGUUGAGAAACCACCUUUCCCUGUUAGGAUAAAGGAUCAUGCUAAAGCUUCAACUGUGGUUCGUAAAAGCAAUAUUAAAACAUAUACACCUCCUGAGCAAGUUAAAGUAGAACCUAAUAUUGCUAUUGUUAAAGAUCUCUUGUCUGAUAAUAUUGAUGGGCAUGUUAUUCAGUUCUGCGGUGAAACUACCAGAAUUGCUAAACCUUGUGCUAAAGAUAAAAAUAGACAUGUGGUAGGCGUGCCUGUUAUUUCUGUUAAAAUAGGAGAACAUUGUUAUCAUGGCUUAUAUGUGAUAUGGGUGCUAGUUCUAGUGCAAUACCUAUUGACUUAUACAGAGAAAUUAUGCAUGACAUUGCACCUGUUGAGUUAGAAGAAAUUGAUGUCACUAUUAAACUUGCUAAUAGAGAUACUAUUUCACCAAUGGGAAUUGUUAGAGAUGUUGAAGUCUUGUGUGGGAAAACUAAAUAUCCUGCUGAUUUUCUUGUUCUUGGUUCCCCACAAGAUAGCUUUUUCCCCAUUAUAUUUGGUAGACCCUUCUUGAAUAAUGUUAAUGCUACCAUAGAUUGCACAAGGGAUGUUGUUAUUGUCAGUUUAGAUGAUAUGACUCAUGAGUUUAAUUUCUCUAAAUUUAGUAAACAACACCAUGAAGAAGAAUUGCCUAGUAAGGAUGAAAUUAUUGGUCUUGCUUCUAUUGCCGUACCUCCUGGUGAUCCUUUAGAACAAUAUUUGCUAGACCAUGAGAAUGAUAUGUUUAUGAAUGAAAGAAGGGAAAUAGAUGAAGUAUUCUUUAAACAGGAACCAAUUCUGAAACACAAUUUGCCUAUUGAAAUCCUAGGGGAUCCCCCCCUCCACCUAAGGGUGAUCCCGUGUUUGAGCUUAAACCGUUGCCUGAUAAUCUUAAAUAUGCUUAUCUUGAUGAAAAGAAGAUAUAUCCUAUUAUUAUUAGUGCUAACCUUUCAGAGCAUGAAGAAGAAAGAUUAUUGAAAACUCUGAAGAAGCACCAUGCUACUAUUGGAUAUACUCGUGAUGAUCAUAAGGGCAUUAGUCCCACUCUAUGUUAACAUAAAAUAAAUUUGGAAGCAGAUGCCAAACCAGUUUGUGAUCCUCAACGAUGUCUGAAUCCUAAAAUGAAAGAAGUGGUAAGAAAAUAAAUACUAAAGCUUCUGGAGGCAGGUAUAAUUUAUCCCGUAGCUGAUAGUCAGUGGGUAAGUCCUGUUCAUUGUGUCCCUAAGAAGGGAGGAAUUACUGUUGUUCCUAAUGAUAAAGAUGAAUUGAUUCCACAAAGAAUUAUUGCAGGUUAUAGGAUGGUAAUUGAUUUCCGAAAAUUAAAUAAGGCUACUAAGAAAGGUUAUUACCCCUUACCUUUUAUCGAUCAAAUGCUAGAAAGAUUAUGCAAGCAUACACAUUACUGCUUUCUAGAUGGUUAUUCUGGUUUCUCUCAAAUACCUGUAUCGGCUAAAGAACAAUCAAAGACUACUUUUACAUGCCCUUUUGGUACUUUUGCUUAUAGAUGUAUGCCUUUUGGUUUAUGUAAUGCACCUGCUACCUUUCAAAGAUGCAUGAUGGCUAUAUUCUUCGACUUUUGUGAAAAGAUUUGUGAGGUUUUCAUGGACGACUUUUCCGUCUAUGGAUCCUCUUUUGAUGAUUGCUUGAGCAAUCUUGAUCGAGUUUUGCAGAGAUGUGAAGAAACUAGUCUUGUCUUGAAUUGGGAAAAGUGCCACUUUAUGGUUAAUGAGGGUAUUGUCUUGGGGCAUAAAGUUUCUGAAAGAGGUAUUGUACUUGAUAAAGCCAAGGUUGAUGCUACUGAAAAGAUGCCAUGUCCCAAGGACAUUAAAGGUAUAAGAAGUUUCCUUGGUCAUGCCGGAUUUUAUAGGAGGUUCAUUAAGGACUUCUCAAAAAUUUCUCGGCCUUUGACUAAUUUAUUACAAAAAGAUAUACCAUUUGUCUUCGAUGAGAAUUGUGUAGAAGCAUUUGAAAUACUUAAAAAAGCAUUAGUCUCUGCACCUAUUAUUCGGCCACCUGAUUGGAAUUUACCCUUUGAAAUUAUGUGUGAUGCUAGUGAUUAUGAUGUAGGUGAUGUUCUAGGGCAAAGAGUUGAUAAUAAAUUAAAUGUUAUCCAUUAUGCUAGUAAGACUCUAGACAAUGCUCAAAGAAAUUAUGCUACUACUAAAAAAGAACUUUUAGCAGUUGUAUUUGCUUGUGAUAAGUUCAGACCUUAUAUUGUUGAUUCUAAAGUAACUAUCCACACUGAUCAUGCUGCUAUUAAAUAUCUUAUGGAGAAGAAAGAUGCUAAACCUAGACUUAUUAGAUGGGUUCUCUUGCUGCAAGAAUUUGAUUUGCAUAUUGUUGAUAGAAAAGGAGCUGAGAACCCCGUUGUAGACAACUUAUCUAGGUUAGAGAAUGUUCUUGAUGACCCACUACCUAUUGAUGAUAGCUUUCCUGAUGAACAAUUAAAUGCCAUAAGUACUUCUCGUAGUACCCCUUGGUAUGCUGAUUAUGCUAAUUACAUAGUUGCUAAAUUUAUACCACCUAGCUUCACAUACCAACAAAAGAAAAAGUUCUUCUAUGAUUUGAGACAUUACUUUUGGGAUGACGCACAUCUUUAUAAAGAAGGAGUAGAUGGUGUUAUUAGACGUUGUGUACCUGAGCAUGAACAGGAACAGAUCCUAUGCAAGUGCCACUCCGAAACUUAUGCAGGAUACCACGCGGGAGAUAGAACUACACAUAAGGUAUUGCAAUCCGGUUUUUAUUGGCCUACUCUCUUCAAGGAUGCCCGUAAGUUUGUCCUAUCUUGUGAUGAAUGUCAAAUAAUUGGUAAUAUUAGUAGAUGUCAAGAAAUUCCUAUGAAUUAUUCACUUGUUAUUGAACCAUUUGAUGUUUGGGGCUUUGAUUAUAUGGGAUCUUUUCCUGCCUCUAAUGAAUAUACACAUAUUUUAGUUGUUGUUGAUUACGUUACUAAGUGGGUAGAAGCUAUUCCAACUAGUAGUGCUGAUCAUAACACUUCUAUUAAAAUGCUUAAAGAAGUUAUUUUUCCGAGGUUUGGAGUCCCUAGAUAUUUAAUGACUGAUGGUGGUUCACAUUUUAUUCAUGGUACUUUCCGUAAAAUGCUUGCUAAAUAUGACGUCAAUCAUAGAAUUGCAUCUCUGUAUCACCCACAGUCUAGUGGUCAAGUAGAAUUGAGUAAUAGAGAACUCAAAUUAAUUUUGCAAAAGACUAUCAAUAGGUCUAGAAAGAAUUGGUCCAAGAAACUUGAUGAUGCAUUAUGGGCCUAUAGAACUGAAUAUAAAAAUCCUAUGGGUAUGUCUCUGUAUAAAAUGGUAUAUGGAAAAGCAUGUCACUUACCUCUCGAACGAGAACAUAAGGCAUAUUGGGCUAUUAAAGAGCUCAAUUAUGAUUUCAAACUUGCCGGUGAAAAGAGGUUAUUUGAUAUUAGCUCACUUGAUGAAUGGAGAACCCAAGCUUAUGAAAAUGCCAAGUUGUUUAAAGAAAAGGUUAAAAGAUGGCAUGACAAAAGGAUACAAAAGCGUGAGUUUAAUGUAGGUGAUUAUGUAUUGCUAUACAACUUUUGUUUAACAUUUUUUGCAGGGAAACUUCUCUCUAAAUGGGAAGGCCCCUAUGUUAUCGAGGAGGUCUAUCGUUCCGGUGCCAUAAAAAUCAACAACUUCGAAGGCACAAAUCCGAAGGUGGUAAACGGUCAAAGAAUCAAACAUUAUAUCUUAGGUAAUCCCAUAAAUGUUGAAACCAAUAUUAUUGAAACCGUAACCCCGGAGGAAUACAUAAGGGACACUUUCCAGAAUGUUUUAGACUCCGAAAAGGAAUAGGUAUGUGGUACGGUAAGUAAACCGACUCCAAAACAAUUUUGAAGGCAAUAUUUCUCCGUUUUAGAAUAUUUAGAAAUAUAGAAAAUUAAGUAGCAGUCCGGGAAUGACACGAGGGCCCCACAAGGGUGGAGGGUGCGCCCUACCCCCCUGGGCGCGCCCCCUACCUCGUGAGCACCUCGUGUGCCUUUCGGACUCCGUUUUCUUGCACGAUAUGUAUUUUGGUCGGUAAAAAAUCAUUAUAUAUUCUCCCGAAGGUUUUGACUCCUAUAUUACACAAUUAUCCUCUAUUUUUGUUUCGAGUUGUCCCGCUGCAGAUUAGAUCAACAUGUCUUCCUAGGAUUCGCAAGGAGAAAUCUAUGUGGAUGAUUACUUAGCUAAUCCUAAGGUCUAUGGAGAUGUGGAGCACGAUGGUUGGACCACGGAGGAAGAAGAGGACUAUGAACCCAAUGGGAAGGAGGAGACGAGCUCAUAUGAAGACGAAUCCCCAUUACCUCAACCUGGGGAUAUGCACGUGGAGUUCAAAAAGUCAAGUCUCCCUGAUAGGGUAAAGAAACCAAAAUUCCAGUUUAUCCCUUUUCGUCUCUUGCAGGAAAAUAAGCAGGACCUAUGCAAAAAGAUAUUAACCUUGGAGUGGGAGAUUGAUGAUCUGAGGGAUCAAAAUGCCGUCCUCAAGCGUAAAUUAAGGGAGAAGUCUAUGCCAUCAACUAAGUCAGCAACACCUCCACCUUCUUCACCAACCAAGGAGAUAUAAUCACAUGGGUAUGGGCACUCCCCUUGGCAACCGCCAAGCUUGGGGGAGGUGCCCCGGUAUCGUAUCACAAUCGCAACUCCUAUCUUUACUGUUUUCCUUAGUUUGAUCCUAUUAGUAGUAUUUUGAUCUAGUAGAAUAAAGUUUAUGGCAUGAUCUAGUUUUCAGUUCUGCCUUAUGAUCUCUCUUUGUAAUCGAGUCCGUGAGCUAUAUAAUAAAGAUUAAUGUUGAGUCGAGGGCUUGAUUUUCUUGUUAUGAUCUUGGGUGAAUAAAAGAAAAGAGAAAAAGAAUAAGAAGAAACAAAAGUUCAUAUUGAUCUUAUUGAUAGUAAUGACUUCACAUAGAAAGAGUGUGACGAUUAAAAGUUGUUGGGAGUUGGCAGACAUAGCUUUGGUCAUCAUUGCAAUUAAUAGGAAGUAAUAAGGAAAGAGAGGUUUCACACAUAAAUAUACUAUUAUUGACAUCUUUUAUGAUUGGGAUCACUCAUCAAAAUAUGACAUGCUAAAGAGUUGAUGUUGGACAAGGAAGACAACAUAAUGUGUUAUGUUUUCUUAUAUUUGAGAUAAAGUAUGUUGUCAUGGAUCAUCCAACAUGUUGACCUUGCCUUUUUCCCCUUCAUGCUAGCCAAAUUCUCAGCACCAAGUAGAGAUACUACUUGCGCUUCCAAAUACCCUUAAACUAGUUUUGCCAUGAGAGUCCACCAUAUCUACCUAUGGGUUGAAUAAGAUCCUUCAAGUAAGUUGUCAUCGGUGCAAAGCAAUAAAAAUUGCUCUAAAUAUGUACGAUUAGUGUGGGAGAAAUAAGCUUUAUACGAUCUUGUGAUGUGGAAGUAAUAGAAGGGACAGACUACAUAAUAAAGGUUCAUAUCACAAAGGGCGAUAUAAAGUGACGCUCUUUCGCAUUAAGAUUUUGUGCAUCCAACUAUAAAAGCGCAUGGCAACCUCUGCUUCCCUCGGCGAAGGGCCUAUCUUUUAUUAUUAUCUUCUACCUUAUGCAAGAGUCAUGGUGAUUGUCGGUGUCAAAACCGGCGGAUCUCGGGUAGGGGGUCCUGAACUGUGUGUCUAGGCCGGAUGGUAACAGGAGGCAAGGGACACGAAGUUUUACCCAGUUUCGGGCCCUCUCGAUGGAGGUAAAACCGUACGCCCUGCUUGAUUAAUAUUGAUGAUAUGGGUAGUACAAGAGUAGAUCUACCACGAGAUCAGAGAGGCUAAACCCUAGAAGCUAGCCUAUGGUAUGAUUGUUGAUGUGUAUGUUGUCCUACGGACUAAAACCCUCCGGUUUAUAUAGACACUGGAUAGGGUUAGGGUUACAUAGAGUCGGUUACAAUGGUAGGAGAUCUUCAUAUCCGUAUCGCCAACCUUUCCUUCCACACCAAGGAAAGUCCCUUCCGGACAUGGGAUGGAGUCUUCAAUCUUGUAUCUUCAUAGUCCAGGAGUCCGGCUGAAGGUAUAGUUCGGCUAUCCGAACACCCCCUAAUCCAGGACUCCCUCAGUAGCCCCUGAAUCAGGCUUCAAUGACGACGAGUCCGGCGCGCAGUUUGUCUUCGGCAUUGCAAGGCGGGUUCCUCCUCCAAGUACUUCAUAGAAGAUUUUGAACACAAAGAUAGUGUCUGGCUCUGCAAAAUAAGUUUCCACAUAUUGCCAUAGAGAGAAUAAUAUUUACACAAAUCUAAUCCACUGACGUAUUCCGUUGCGUGACACACCACGGCCAAGCCUUUAUCCGAGUCGUUUCAGUAUCCCACCUCAGCGCGUUAUGCGAGGCGGUUUCCUUGGCACGUCUUGUCAAAGCAGAGAUCGUGUCCCCUUAUUCCGGGAUUCUCAUCAAUACGGGCGUGGGUAACCCAACCGCACCUUUGAUUACGGCGCUUGGAGAUAAGCGAGUUUUACCAGGCUGGUGGGGACAUGUAGUUGCGUCCACCCAUAUAAGGGGAUAAGGAUCCAUCUUUUCACCCACGCCUUCUUCCUCCUUUGCCUAUCCAUUCUUGCGCACUCGAGCUCCAGCGCCCAAGUCCGCACUACCACCUCAACCUUCUCCAGUCAUGUCCGGAGCGGGAGGCAAGUGGAUGGUCUCCUCCGUCAUGGAGGGACACAUCAAAAAGCUGAGGAAGGCCGGAUAUCUGGCUAGCGACAUCGCGCACCGGCUUCCUGAAAAGGGGCAGCUCAUCCCCACUCCUAGGCCCCAUGAGAGGGUGGUAUUCCUCCCCCAUUUCCUCCGCGGACUGGGCUUCCCUCUGCAUCCAUUUGUCCGGGGGCUCAUGUUCUACUACGGCCUGGAUUUCCACAAUCUGGCCCCGAACUUCGUCCUCAACAUCUCGGCGUUUAUCGUCGUGUGCGAGGCGUUCCUCCGCAUCCGCCCCCAUUUCGGCCUAUGGCUUAAGACUUUCAACGUCAAGCCAAAGGUGGUGCGCGGUAGCCAGGCGAAGUGCGGCGGUGCCAUGGUUGGCAAGACGGCCAACGUCCUGUGGCUCGAGGGCUUGAAGGGGUGGCAAUCAGGUUGGUUUUACGUCACCGAGCCACGCAACGCCGAAUGGGUCGCACCCCCUGAGUUUCGAUCCGGCCCCCCUACGCGGCUCACCUCCUGGAAGGAGACAUGCCUAUCUUGGGGUAAAAAAGGAGAGCUGACCGGACUCCAAACAUGCAUCCCAACCCUGGUGGACAAGAAGCUCAAGCUUGUCAAUGUAGUCCAGGUUAUGCUCAUCCGCUUGAUCCUCCCGUGUCAACGACGGGCCUUCAACCUGUGGGAGUUCGACCCGGCGCAGCAUCGAACUCUAAACAGGCUCUUCGACACGAUGUACGAAGAUGCCUGGAGGAUGCUUUUCAAGGGCGCCGAGGCUCCCGCAUCCGCUGCUGAGGAUCGCGGAUUCAGUACUCAGCAUCACGCUCAUGCGGUAAGCUGUCUUUGUCCUUUUACAGGGUAUCGGUUUUUCAUAGUUUGACUCUAUGCGGGAUCUGAGUUCCCUUAUCUUUGAUAGGAUUGGCAGGUGACAUCCGGACAGAUCAACUGUCCGGCUCCUUUGCCCGAAGGCCCAGCGGACGCUCUCUUGGCGAAGCUGCUGGUUCUGGUGCCCUAUGUGGUGCUGGAGAAGAAGGCCACGAAAAGGGCCACGGGGACUCGAAAGAGUGCCCGGCACCAGGAGGUAUCGAAUUCUUCAUCCGACAGUCCCGAAGCGCAUUCCUCUCAUGAAGACGAGGAGGAAGAAGAAGAGACCUCUCCCCCUUCAGCGGGAGGAGAGAAGAAAAGGAAGGCCGCCCUCUCUGAGGAGGCCGGAGGGUCCAAGAAGGGGAAAACCCUUCCUCCGGACUACUCCAACGACGCCGACAACGGAGAAGAGGAGUGGCAGCCCAGGGCCAAGCCCCGGGCAAAAUCAUAAGUAUCCGGAUACCGGAGUAAUUCAUAGUAUUCAUUUAUUGCACAGCUUUCCCUUAUGUCGAAUAUGCUUAUGCAGCCCACCCAAAGACCGGCUCGACGCGUCGUCGAAUGGCUCACUGGACUCGUCGGAGGUGAACUCGCUUCCGACUGCUUCCUCCCCCCGCCCUAUAGACGACACCGAGGUGUUGUACCAACAGGUUCCAAGCAGGGAGGAGGUGGUCCUGGAGGCGCCGCAAGGCGACCUCCCGGACUCCAGGAGUAAAGGGGAUGAAACCCCCCAGGGCUCCAAGUCCGGCUCUAGGCCGGACACCACUCCGGAACCUUCUUCCAAGAGGAGCAAGUCCACCGUACCGGCGAGCCCCGUCAACCCGGAGGCGCCGUACAAUAUGUUGGAGGCGCUCCAAGGCGCCUCCAUCGAUGAGGAGCACCGCGCUAUUAUGAGUGCGGUGGUCCAGAAGGUUCAGUUCACCAAGAGCUGACUGACUGAAGCUUGUACUAGCCUUUUGACAGGCUUUGAGGUAAGUAAAUAAUGUGUAAAUGAUAUUACCGCAUAGACAGUAGCCCCUGAUGCUCUGUUGGGCGUUCGGGAAGAAAAGCCGAAUAGAGGAUCAAAAAAUUCGCAGGAGUCUAACAAAAGGAGUCAAUAUGCGUGUGCAAGCUUCUCUGCUGGCGUCUGCCGUACUCACUGCAGAAGUGGACACGCUGAAGCAGAGCCUCAAGAAGUCCGAGCAAGAGCUCGGGCGUGCCAAGAAGCAGCUCGAGGAGAAGGAAGGUAAGAAAUACCUUGGUUGAAUAUGUAUAUAAAAAAGGUGCAAUUGCAAGAAAUGACAGGAUUAACAUGGCUAUUGUAGGGGCCACAUCUGAGGUGGCGACCCUUAAGCAAGUGCUGCUCGAGGCCGAGAAGAGUGCGGCUGCGGAGCACACCGAGCGGGAGAGGUAUGAGGCCAAGGUUGGCAAGGUGCGGCAAGAGCUCCAGGUUCUCAUGAAGAAACAUGAGAGUUUGGAGCUUGACUCGAAGACGCGAGCGUCCGAGCUCGCGGCGGCUAUUGAAAAUGCCAAGUCUGCCAAGGCCGAAUCCCAGAAAACCCUCCAGGAGUUGGAUGAGGUGAAGAAAAUAGCGGCGGGUAAGGCAUUCUCUAUGCAAAGUAAACACAUAAAUGUGUGUUACUUAAUACUUACCCGAAUCCGGAGCUCUCCAGGGGCAUUUGCAGAUCUUCCCCGGAGUGUAUCCGAUGCCGCCGCAUUCUACCGAGCCAAGGAGGGCAACUCGACAAAGAAGGUGUUCUGGUCUCAGUAUGCUGAGGCCGGACACCCCGUGCCCCUGAGCGACCAGGUGAAGCAACUGGUCGAGCUCCACAAGGCGGCCAAACAGGUCAUGAAGGGCCUCCUAGUUCGGCUGUGGCCUGGAGAGGCCCUACCUGGGAGCUAUUUCGGGCUGGUGCGGCGGCUGGUGGAGGCCUGUCCAAGGCUCAAAGUCAUCAAGCGCUCCGUCUGUAUUGAAGGUGCCCGUAGGGCCUUUGCCCGUGCUAAGGUGCACUGGGGCAGGCUGGAUGUGGAGAAGCUUGUGAAGGACGGGCCACCAACGGGGAAAGAGCAUCGCAAGCCCAAAAAUUACUAUAAGGAUGUUCUGAAGGGUGCCCGCCUUGUGGCGGAUGAAUGUACUAGGGAUGUAAUUUUUGAGUAAAACUCGCUCGUUUUUGUCCUGUGCGCUGAAAACUUGUUCAUAUGCGCCGAGCAAUGCUGCUUGAAUCUAAAAUAUUACCUUUUGUGCGGUUGUUUAUCAAUACUGAAAGAUGGCGAGUCGUCGGCUUCUGCCCCCUUGCCACUAGUGCUGGGGUGUUCGGGGAUAAAUCUAGGCGCUCUUUUUCCCAUGUUUGGGUCCUUCGAGGGAGGCGCUCAGCCCGACGAAUGAGGCAAUCGGACUAUAAUGCGUGAACACUCUCACAUAGCCAUAGAAUUCUAUAAUUUUAAAUUUUGGCGAAGCCCAUAGUAUUCGGAAGACCGAGUUUGGGGCGCUAUCCACGCCUUGGCCGGACAGAUCCGACUCGUCGCCCUAAGCGGCAUAAGUCUUUAGGGACUCGAAAAAACCUCUCGAAUAGCGACCAGCUCUCGCUUCAUCAUGACAGUCAAUUUUAGCUUUUCCACUGAGGUUCUUGGCCCAGCUCAACUGGGGCACAAUCGCAGUGGUUCUCCUAGUGCUACCUUAGCCGAUAUACCGGAACGUAAGGCACCAAAACAUAGGAGCCGGGCAAACACAACUAUUGACCCAAGACAUGAUUCGGAGCCGAUGCAUAUAAUGCUAUAAGUUCGGGUGCCGCACUUGUGAAAGUGUUCGGACUUCUCAUACCAUAUUGAGGGGUGCUAAAAGCCCCUGGCGUAUUUUGGCCAUACCAAGUUGUACGGGUGCAACAUGUCGUUAAGGAACAUUUAUUUAUAAAAAGAUAGUGCAAAAAUAGACAAAAGCUAUGCAUUGUUUAUUAGAAAUAGCUGCGAUCAAAGCAGAACGAUACAAGUAAUGCGAUAAACGAAAAGUUGGACUAUUUAACAUGUCUGCUCCAGGGGCAAACUGCGGAAUAGUAUGCGAAACAGGUAUACUGCUCGUGAUAGAGACCACCUGGGAUUUCCGUGAUGCGGCAUGGCUUGUCUGCUUCCCUGGUUCUUGCAUCGUUUGUGUGGCAAUUGAACUGCCGAACAGGCCUUCCGAAGAGUAGAGUCCUGGAGGUAAGAGAAAAGUAAAAAAAUCGGCAGCCCCUGGUGCGGUUUAAGCCGUGUUUUGGGCGUGCCGUGAUGGUGCCCCUCCCCCUAUGCCCAUGGUAUUUCUAGAGCGUAAUUAUGUAUGCGAAGUACUGGCGUCGCCUUUUUGCUAGGGUUGGGGUUGGGGCCGCAUUGCUACGCCUGCUCGGAACGUGCCAGGCGGUCUUGUUGUAGGUUACUCCGGGCGCGCUUGACGGUGUUCGGAUGUUUAAUGGCCGGACUGGAGAACUUCCUGGAGAGGCUGCUUUGUACUUCUGCUGCAAUGGCCGCCGUGUGCUCCUCCAUUCGGAGGGAGCGUUCGGUGUUUCCAUUGACCGUAAUUACUCCACGAGGGCCUGGCAUCUUGAGCUUAAGGUAUGCGUAGUGCGGUACCGCAUUGAAUUUGGCGAAUGCGGUGCGUCCGAGCAGUGCAUGAUAGCCACUGCAGAAUGGGACUAUGUCGAAGACCAAUUCCUCGCUUCGGAAAUUAUCCGGGGAUCCGAAGACCACUUCAAGUGUGACUGAGCCUGUACAGUUGGCCUCUACACCUGGUAUUACGCCUUUAAAGGUCGUUUUGGUGGGCUUAAUCCUCGAGGGAUCGAUGCCCAUUUUUCGCACUGUAUCCUGGUAAAGCAGGUUCAGGCUGCUGCCGCCGUCCAUGAGGACUCUAGUGAGAUGAAAUCCGUCAAUAAUUGGGUCUAGAACCAAUACGGCAAAUCCGCCAUGAUGGAUGCUAGUGGGAUGGUCUCUUCGAUCAAAGGUGAUCGGGCAGGAGGACCAUGGGUUGAACUUUGGGGCGAGUGGCUCUACCGCGUAUACGUCCCUUAACGCAUGCUUCCGCUCCCUUUUUGGGACGUGGGUGGCGUAUAUCAUGUUCACCAUCUGCACUUGUGGGGGGGAACCCUUUUGUCCAUUGUUGUUCAGCGGCCGGGGCUCCUCGUCGUCAUCGCUAUGCAGCCCCUUGUCUUCAUUGUCGGCGCUUAACUUGCCUACCUGCUUGAACACCCAACAAUCCCUGUUGGUGUGAUUGGCCGGCUUUUCGGGGGUGCCAUGUAUUUGGCACAAGCGGUCGAGUAUUCGGUCCAAGCUAGACGGGCCCCUAGGAUUCCUUUUGAAUGGCUUUUUCCGUUGACCGGAUUUAGAGCCUCUGAAUCCGGCAUUAACUGCCGUAUUCUCAGCAUUGUCGCUGUUAAUGCGGCGCUUCUGCUUGUUGCGACGCGACCUGCCACUAAUGUCCCUGGUGUCCGAACUACCAGGGUUCUUGGUCAUAUUGUUGCUACGAGCAAGCCAGCUGUCUUCUCCCGCGCAAAAGCGGGUCAUGAGUGUCGUGAGUGCUGCCAUAGAUUUCGGCUUUUCCUGUCCAAGGUGCCGGGCCAGCCACUCAUCACGGAUAUUGUGCUUGAAGGCUGCUAGCGCCUCAGCGUCCGGACAGUCGACUAUUUGAUUUUUCUUUGUUAGGAACCGUGUCCAAAAUUGCCUGGCCGAUUCCUCUGGCUGUUGAAUUACGUGACUCAGGUCAUCGGUGUCUGGGGGUCGCACAUAAGUGCCCUAGAAAUUGUCGAGGAAUGCGACUUCCAGGUCCUCCCAACAACUGAUUGAUCCUGUUGGCAAGCUGUUGAGCCAAUGCUGAGCUGGAGGUAUUUGAUGGCGUCAAAAUCGUCACCGCGGGCCAUGUGGAUAUGAAGGAGAUAAUCCUCGAUCCAUACCGCAGGGUCUGUUGUGCCAUCAUAUGAUUCGAUGUUUACAGGUUUGAAACCCUCGGGGAUUUGAUGAUCCAUUAUUUUGUCUGUAAAGCACAGUGGGUGUGCGGCGCCUUUUUACUGGGCGAUAUCAUGACGUAGCUCCAAUGAGUUUUGUCUAUUGUGUUCGGCCCUGCCGAAUUUGUGCCCGGCGUGACGGUUACCGUCUCGAGCCAUGGGGUGCCGACGCGAUCCGUAGAUCGAUCGUGUUUGCCUUGCCUUGUCCUCCAACAUGUCUCGUAAGUCCGGCGCAUAUUCCCGUGCCUUGGUACGGGGUGCGGCUUGAGUGGAGGGCCGGGAGGCCUCUCUAUCGUGGCCACGAGGUGGCCGUUCAGCCGCAUCAAGUGCUUCCUCCUCUAAUUGGGGUAGCAACCUGCGCUUUGGGUAACUCUUGGAGGGGCGUUCGAGUUUAUGCUCUUCGGCCGCAAGGACUUCGGUCCAUCUGUCAACCAGCAAAUCUUGAUCAGCUCGGAGCUGUUGCUGUUUUUUCUUGAGGCUUCUUGCCGUGGCCAUAAGCCUGCGUUGGAAACGCUUUUGCUCAACGGGAUCCUCUGGCACGACGAAUUCGUCGUCGUCGAGGCUUGCCUCGUCUUCGGAGGGAGGCAUAUAAUUAUCGUCCUCGACCUCUCUGUCUGUCACUCUCUCAUGAGGGCUGGUUUCUCGAUCCUCCUGUGCUAAACCUUGCUGGAGGGGGUUUUCUUCGGCACUCUCCGGAGUAUUAUUAUCUCCCGUGCUGGAAUCGUCGUUUUUGUGUUGGCGGGAUUUUGAGCGGCGCCGCUGACGCCGGCGCUUGGGCUGUUUCUUGGAGGGGUCAUCCUCCGCUGUUCCAUCGCCCUCUCCCUCUUUUGGGGUGUCCACCAUGUAUAUGUCAUAGGACGAGGUGGCUUUCCAGGGCCUGGUAGGCGCUGGUUCUUCAUCAUCUCCUUCAUCGGCGUCCAUACCGUCGAUGUCUUCGGAGUCGAAGUCGAGCAUGUCGGUUAGGUCAUCGACAGUGGCUACAAAGUGGGUGGUGGGUGGGUUUUGAAUUUCUUCAUCGUCCGUACCCCAACCUUGCUGACCGUAGUCUGGCCAGGGCUCUCCUGACAAAGAGAGAGACUUUAGUAACUUCAGGAUAUCGCCGAAAGGCGAGUGCUGAAAGACGUCCGCCGCUGUGAACUCCAUGAUCAGCGCCCAAUCGGAUUCGAUCGGCAGGGGCGCGGAGGGUUUAGAGUCCAGAGAAGAAUCCGGCUCCAUGGAGUCACGAGUUUCGCAGAGUACGGGGCUGGUGUUCGGCUCAACCGCCGUUGGGAUCACAGCCCCCGAGGUGGCAUCCAACCGCCCAUCCUUGAUCGGCGCGGUUGGCUCCGAACUAAGGGUCAGAGCCAAUGCGGGUGCGGCCUCCAGGGCACUGUUCGGCGGCAGAGCUAGAUCAUGCUCGUCGUGACAGUGCGGCGCGCUCGGCGGUGGUUCGAGUCCUUCGAAGAUCAAGUCCCCGCGGAUGUCAGCCGUGUAGUUUAAAUUUCCGAAUCUGACCUGACGGCCAGGGGCGUAGCUUUCGAUCUGCUCUAGAUGGCCAAGUGAAUUGGCCCGCAGUGCGAAGCCGCCAAAGACGAAGAUCUAUCCGGGGAGGAAGAUCUCACCCUGUACUGCAUCGCUAUUGAUGAUCGUAGGAGCCAUCAGGCCUGACGGCGACGUCACAGAGGAACUCUCAAUGAAAGCACCAAUGUCGGUGUCAAAACCGACGGAUCUCGGGUAGGGGGUCCCGAACUGUGCGUCUAGGCCGGAUGGUAACAAGAGGCAAGGGACACGAAGUUUUACCCAGGUUUGGGCCCUCUCGAUGGAGGUAAAACCCUACGUCCUGCUUGAUUAAUAUUGAUGAUAUGGGUAGUACAAGAGUAGAUCUACCACGAGAUUAGAGAGGCUAAACCCUAGAAGCUAGCCUAUGGUAUGAUUGUUGAUGUGUAUGUUGUCCUACGGACUAAAACCCUCCGGUUUAUAUAGACACCGGAUAGGGUUAUGGUUACAUAGAGUCGGUUACAAUGGUAGGAGAUCUUCAUAUCCGUAUCGCCAACCUUGCCUUCCACGCCAAGGAAAGUCCCUUCCGGACACGGGACGGAGUCUUCAAUCUUGUAUCUUCAUAGUCCAGGAGUCCGGCUGAAGGUAUAGUUCGGCUAUCCGAACACCCCCUAAUCCAGGACUCCCUCAGUGAUCUUCACCUUUCCUUUUUCAUUUUAUCCUUUGGCAAGCCCAGCAUGUUGGAAAGAACGUGAUAUAUAUAUAUAUAUAUAAUUGGAUGUAGGGGCAUGAGUUAUUAUUGUUGACAUUACCCUCGAGGUAAAAGGUUGUGGGGCGAAACUAUAAUCCCCUAUCUUUCUCUGUGUCCGAUUAAAACUCCGUAACCACAAGUAUUGCGUGACUAUUAGCAAUUAUGAAGGACUAGAUGAUAGUUGAGUAUGUGGACUUGCUUUUUAGCUCUGACAUAGACUCUUUCUGAUGUUAUGAUAAAUUGCAAUUGCUUCAAUGACUGAGGUUAUAGUUUGUUGGUACUCAAUAAGGUUUCUGAUUCAUACUUUUGCAUUGUGAAUAGAUCAUCACUUGAACAUAAGUAAUCAUAUGACAAUAUCUAUAUAUGUUGCUGUUAUGAGAAUAAUCAUGAUGCCUUCAUGUCCGUAUUUUAUUUUUAUCGACGCCUCUACCUCUAAACAUGGGGACAUAUUUAUUGUUAUCGUCUUUCGCUUGAGGACAAGCAAGGUCUAAGCAUGGGGAAGUUGAUACGUCCAUUUUGCAUCAUGCUUUUAUAUCGAUAUUUAUUGCAUUAUGGGUUGUUAUUUCACAUUAUGUCACAAUAAUUAUGGCUAUUCUCUCUUAUUUCACAAGGUUUACAUAAGGAGGGAGAAUGCCGGCAGCUGGAAUUUUGGGCUGGAAAAGGAGCAAAUAUUAGAGACCUAUUCUGCACAACUCCAAAAGUCCUGAAACUCCACGGAAUACCUUAUAAUAAAUAAUGAAAAAUCCUCGCCAAAGAUGAAGACCAGGGGGCCCACACCCUGUCCACGAGGGUGGGGGCGCCCCAACCCCCCCAGGGCGCGCCCCCUACCUCGUGGGCCCCCUGGUGGCUCUCCGAUGACCAUCUUCUGCUAUAUGAAGUCUUUCAUCGAGAAAAAAACAAGAAGCAACCUUUCGGGACGAAACUCCGCCGCCACGAGGCGGAACCUUGGCGGAACCAAUCUAGGGCUCCGGCAGAGCUGUUCUGCUGGGGAAACUUCCCUCCCGGAGGGGGAAAUCAUCGCCAUCGUCAUCACCAACGCUCCUCUCAUCGGGAGAGGGCAAUCUCCAUCAACAUCUUCAUCAGCACCAUCUCAUCUCAAAACCCUAGUUCAUCUCUUGUAUCCAAUUCUUCUCUCCAAGUCCGGGAUUGGUGCUAGUAGGUUGCUAGUAGUGUUAAUUACUCCUUGUAGUUGAUGCUAGUAGGUUUAAUUGGUGGAAGAUCAUAUGUUCAGAUCCUUUAUGCAUAUUAUUACCCCUCUGAUUAUGAACAUGAAUAUGCUUUGUGAGUAGUUACGUUUGUUCCUGAGGACAAGGGAGAAGUCUUGCUAUUAGUAGUCAUGUGAAUUUGGUAUUCGUUCGAUAUUUUGAUGAGAUGUAUGUUGUCUAGCCUCUAGUGGUGUUAUGUGAACGUCGACUACAUAACACUUCACCAUUAUUUGGGCCUAGAGGAAGGCAUUGGGAAGUAAUAAGUAGAUGAUGGGUUGCUAGAGUGACAGAAGCUUAAACCCUAGUUUAUGCGUUGCUUCGUAAGGGGCUGAUUUGGAUCCAUAUGUUUCAUGCUAUGGUUAGGUUUACCUUAAUACUUUUGUUGUAGUUGCAGAUGCUUGCAAUAGAGGUUAAUCAUAAGUGGGAUGCUUGUUCAAGUAAGAACAGCACCCAAGCACCGGUCCACCCACAUGUCAAAUUAUCAAAGUACCGAACGUGAAUCAUAUUAACGUGAUGAAAACUAGCUUGACGAUAUUCCCAUGUGUCCUCGGGAGCGCUUUUCCUUAUAUAAGAGUUUGUCCAGGCUUGUACUUUGCUACAAAAAGGAUUGGGCCACCUUUCUGCACUAUAUUUAUUUUUGUUACUUGUUGCUCGUUACAAAUUAUCUUAUUACAAAACUAUAUGUUACCACUUAUUUCAGUACUUGCAGAGAAUACCUUGCUGAAACCCGCUUAUUAUUUCCUUCUGCUCCUCGUUGGGUUCGACACUCUUACUUAUCGAAAGGACUACGAUAAAUCCUCUAUACUUGUGGGUCAUCAAGGCGCGAUGUAGAGGCAGGGGACCCGUGGGCGCGGCGGAUCCGGGCAGUCCGAGGGUUGAGGAGGCGGUUCCCGGCGUCGAGGAUCUUCGGCGGUGGCACUGCUCGAUGGAGCGAAGCAGGCAGCAGCAGGAUCGUGCGGGCGAAGCAGAGGACGGCAGCGGACUUGGCGCGGCUCGUGUAUCCGGGAGCGAGCGAGGCUGGCAACGCAACGACGGAGGCAGCGAAGACGGACCCGGGCGUGGGAUGGCACCAGGAGACCAGGACGGGGCACCGACGAGGAUCCAUGGAGGCAGAGCUCCAUCCAGCGGCCAUGGGGGUCUCCUUGUCCAACGAUCAAGGAGAGAGAGACAACAUGAGAGAGAGGGAGAUCGAGGAGGAAAAGGAAGAAGAAGGAGAAGGGGAGGUCGGUGUUGCUGCUGCUAUCGCCGGCAGCAAGCUUCGGCGCGGGCAGAGGCCAUCGGGCACGGGAGUGGCUCGGGGCUGUGCUCGUGGAGGGGGAACGUGGGGUUGUAGGUAGAGAAGUUGUGGAUCUCAUAGAUCGAGGAGAGGAGGUUGGUUCAGUGGAUCGGGCACGGGAGAUCCUGAGGGGGGAUUUGGUCAGGUGGCGGCGGCGAUGGGACAAACUCCUAGGUUUUAGGGUUUGAUCUGAUAUAUAUAUAUAUAUAUAUAUAUAUAUAUAUAUAUAUAUAUAUAACAAGUGGAUUUUUGGAUAGCGGCAUUUGGUCCCUCCGAUCUUAAUCGUAUGGUCUUGGAUAAAUAGGUUAGGGAGCCCAAUUAAGAAAACAGAGACAUUUUGUAGAUGUUUGGGGAUGAUCUGGACCCAACGGUGAUGACUGAGCGGUACGGGUUCGGGGCAGUUUCAAACGCGCACGAGAGGUCUAUGCACGGAACAAAGAGGGGUAGGCAUGGGCCUAGGUGGACUAUGGAGAGCGGGUUGGUCUGAGAGAAGAGGGGAGAGAUGCAGCCCGACACGGUUUUCGGAGACCGAAAACGUCCGACGAAAAGACCGGCUAUACUGCCGCUAUAGUUAUCCGUUGGGGCGUCAAACGGACUCCGAAUGUGAUGAAAUUUGGCAAGCGUCCUAUUGAUAACAAAACAACACCGCACGCCAACUUUCAUCCCAAUCCGAGAACAUUUUCCGCCCACUUAUAAAAUACUAUUUCGGACAUGCCGCGGGCGCGUGCAAGUGUGUCUGGGCUCAGAACGGACAACUGAGAGUACUAUGGAACCCGGACGAAUGCAAGUUUUGAAAACAUGACGAUGCAAUUCACAUGAUGACAUGAUGAAAUGCAACAUGCAGGCAAAAGACAUGUCAACGUCGGCAAAUAACUGGAAGACACCUGGCACAUCGGUCUCGGGGCGUCACAUGUGGUGAGCUUGAUGCUCGAAUAAUAAUAGCAAGCUUCUGUACAAGAAGCCCACAGGUAUAAUGGACGUACACAUUUGAAAGCAUAUGUGUGUGUCAGGGAUGCGCGGUCUAACCGCACGAAAGCUUUAAGGCUAAAGAGAAAAACGAAAAGAGAGAGAAAGACAAAAAAAUGUAUUAUGCGUAGAAUCUUCAGAGUCUGGCCGCGUUCCAGGGGUUCGGCUCGAGGCGAUUAUCUAACGCAUCACGCAGGCAGUAUGCUCCUCCAGUGAGAACUUCGUCGAUGAUGAAGGGACCCUCCCAUUUGGGCUUGAGUUUGUCCUUUUUCUUCUCCGGCAAGCGUAGAAUGAGUUCGCCAAUGUUAUAAUUCUUGGCCCGUACUUCUCUGCUUUGAUAUCUGCGAGCCUGUUGUUGAUAAAAUGUGGAAUGGGCUUUUGGAACAUCACGCUCCUCCCCCUAGGCGUCUAGGCUGUCCUGCCGAUCGAGCUCAGCCUCUCUCUCUUUAUACAUGCGCAGUCAUGUAUAAUGUCGCAGGGUAGCACAGCCUCUGCGCCGUACACCAUGAAAAGGGUGUGUAUCCGGUAGUGCGGUUGGGCGUGGUCCGCAGCCCCCAGAGUACGGAGUCAAGAUCCUCAACCCAGUGUGUGUCUGGUUCCUUCAAAUACCGCACUAGUCUAUGCUUGAUGCCGCUCAUAAUAAGAACAUUAGCUCGUACGACUUGACCGUUUUUCUGUGGAUGAUAGACAGAGGCGUAAUCGAGCUUGAUGCCUAGAUUAGCGCACCAGGUUUUCACUUCGUCGGCUGUAAAGUUGGAGCCGUUGUCAGUGAUGAUGCUAUGUGGAACACCAUAAUGGUGUAUGACGUCGGAUAUGAAUUCUAUCACUGGCCUGGACUCGGCCGUUUUAACUAGUUUGGCCUCUAUCCACUUAGUGAAUUUAUCCACCAUGACCAGCAAAUAUUUUUUCUUAUGGCUUCCUCCUUUAAGGGGUCCAACCAUAUCCAGUCCCCAGACCGCGAAAGGCCAAGUGAUGGGGAUUGUUUGUAGGGCAGUGGGGGCAUAUGGCUUUGGUUGGCGAAGAGUUGGCAUCCGACACAAUGUUGGACAAGGUCCUAUGCAUCUGCUCGGGCCGUCGGCCAAUAAAACCCUGUACGGAAGGCCUUGCUAACAAGGGCCCGAGCUACAACGUGGUGCCUGCCAAGACCGGCUUGAAUCUCAACCAGGAGCUCCCGCCCCUCCUCCUCGAAGAUACAUCUUUGAAGGACUCCGGUAGCCCUUUCUUAUAGAGUUCUCCGUCAUGAACCUUGUCGGCCUUCGAACGUCGGACAAUGCGGCGGGCCUGAUUCUGAUCCUCAUAAAGUUCUUUCCUAUUAAGGUAGGCCAAGAGGGGUUCGAUCCAUGGGGCAAUGACUGCCAUAAUGAGAUGGGCCGACAGUGUUAUUUCGAUGGCUGGGCCUCCGAUGAUAUCGGUGGGUUCGGAAUUUGGGGUUGUGUUCGGAUCCGGACUAGUAUUGCCGCUUUCCCCCUGCCACACCACGGAUGGCUUAAAAAGCCUUUCCAGAAAGAUAUUUUCUCAGUGAAGUGCUUAGAUUUGGGUUCAAUCUUGUGGUGUCCUUUCCCAGUGAUAGUAGGGGCAGCAAGGCACGUAUUGUAUUGUUCCCAUCGAGGAUAACAAGAUGGGUUUUUUAUCAUAUUGCAUGAAUUUAUCCCUCUACAUCAUGUCAUCUUGCUUAAAGUGUUACUCUGUUCUUAUGAACUUAAUACUCUAUAUGCAUGCUGGAUAGCGGUCGAUGUGUGGAGUAAUAGUAGUAGAUGCAGGCAGGAGUCGGUCUACUUGUCUUGGACGUGAUGCCUAUAUACAUGAUCAUACCUAGAUAUUCUCAUAAGUAUGCUCAAUUCUGUCAAUUUCUCAACAGUAAUUUGUUCACCCACCGUAAAAUACUUAUGCUCUUGAGAGAAGCCACUAGUGAAACCUAUGGCCCCCGGGUCUAUCUUCAUCAUAUUAAUCUUCCAACACUUAGUUAUUUUCCUUUGCUUUUAUUUUACUUUGCAUAUUUAUCAUAAAAAUACCAAAAAUAUUAUCUUAUCAUAUCUAUCAGAUCUCACUCUCGUAAGUGACCGUGUAGGGAUUGACAACCCCUUAUCACGUUGGUUGCGAGGAUUUAUUUGUUUUGUGCAGGUGCGAGGGACUCGCGCGUAGCCUCCUACUGGAUUGAUACCUUGGUUCUCAAAAACUGAGGGAAAUACUUAUGAUACUUUGCUGCAUUACCCUUUCCUCUUCAAGGGAAAACCAACGCAGUGCUCAAGAGAGCUAGCAAGAAGGAUUUCUGGCGCUGUUGCCGGGGAGGUCUACGCAAAAGUCAACAUACCAAGUACCCAUCACAAACCCUUAUUUCCCGCAUUACCUUAUUUGUCAUUUGACUCUCGUUUUCCUCUCCCCCACUUCACCCUUGCCGUUUUAUCCACCCUCUCUCUCUAUCCUCCCUCUCUUUCUCUAUUUGCCUCUUUUUUGCCCGUUCCCCGUUUGCUUGUCAUUAUGGCGAGUCCUCUAUCUACUCCGUUGUCUCCCGAGAAUGAAGUUCUAAAUUUUAAGCAAAGGGAGGGAGAAAAUCUAAAAGACUCCUGGUAUAGAAUUUGCAAUGCUCAAAAUAGAUCUACCAGGAAGCAAUCUACUUCCGUUCUUCUUCGCAAUUUUUAUGUAGGCGCUACUCAUUGGCAUAGAUAUAUCCUUAAUACCAUUACCGGAGGGAACUUCUUGGGUAGCCAUACUUUUUAUUCUUAUAAUGCUUUGAUAGAUUUGUUUGGCUCACCACCUCUUUUGGUUAAUGGAACUAUGUUAACUUUGGAGCAUGUAAUGCAAAAACUUGAAAUUAUUGAAAAUAAAGUUCCUACCGUUGAGUUAAUUGAAAAUUUUGAUAAAAAUAUCCACAACCAAAUUACCCAAUAUGGAUCUAAAUUGGGAGUAAUUUUGAAAAAUAUUAAAGAGAAGGAACCUAUAGUUAAUGAAAGAAUAAAUCAUGAUUCCACUAGAAUCGAUAAACUUGAGGGUAUCAUUACCAACUUGGGAAUUGUUUUUUCUUCCGUAAAGAAUACUCCAAGUCCUCCAACUAAAAUUUCCAAGCUUAUGUAUGUUCCUAAAAAUAAAGGUGAAUCCUCUAGCAAAGAAACCGCGGAUCUCAAAUCUCUAAGUAUUCAUCCUAAUCUUUUUGCCAUCAUUAAGGAACCAUUUGCUACUAAUUAUUUCUUCGAUCUUGUGCCUAAAAGUUUGAUAAUCAAUAAACAGAAAGCAACUCCUAAGUAUGGUAGAUGCCUCAUUGAAGAAUUACCUACCAAAGAUGGCAAUACCUAGAUCUAUCCUUGCUUUUUAUGCCUAGCUAGGGGCGUUAAACGAUAGCGCUUGUUGGGAGGCAACCCAAUUUUAUUUUUAUUCCUUUCUUUUUGAUCCUGUUUAGUAAUAAAUAAUUUAUCUAGCCUCUGUUUUGGUUGUGUUUUUUGUGUUUAAUUAGUGUUUGUGCCAAGUAGAACCGUUGGGAAGACUUGGGGAAAGUCUUUUUAAUCUUGCUGUAAAAAACAGAAACUUUAGCGCUCACGAGAACUGCUGCCUUUUUUAUUUGGAAAGUCAUAUUUAGUUAAUUAUUUUUGAAUAUGAUUAAUAGAUAAAUUACUCACGUCCAGAAAUUUAUUUUAGAAUUUUUAGGGUUCCAGAUCUUGCGCUAGGUACAGAUUACUACAGACUGUUCUGUUUUUGACAGAUUCUGUUUUUCGUGUGUUGUUUGCUUAUUUUGAUGAAUCUAUGAGUAGUAAAAUAGUUUAUAAACCAUAGAAAAGUUGUAAUACAGUAGGUUUAACACCAAUAUAAAUAAAGAAUGAUUUCAUUACAGUACCUUGAAGUGGUGUUUUAUUUUCUUUCGCUAACGGAGCUCACGAGAUUUUCUACUUUAAGUUUUGUAUUGUGAAGUUUUCAAAUUUUGAGUAAAGAUUUGAUGGAUUAUGGAACAAGGAGUGGAAAGAGCCUAAGCUUGGGGAUCCCCAUGGCACCUCCAAGAUAAUAUAAGGACACCAAAAAGCCAAAGCUUGCGGAUGCCCCGGAAGGCAUCCCCUCUUUCGUCUACUUCUAUCGGUAACUUUACUUGGAGCUAUAUUUUUAUUCACCACAUGAUAUGUGUUUUGCUUGGAGAGUCUUGUAUGAUUUGAGUCUUUGAUUCUUAGUUUACCACAAUCAUAUUUGCUGUACACACCUUUUGAGAGAGACACACAUGAUUCGGAAAUUAUUAGAAUAUUCUAUGUGCUUCACUUAUAUCUUGUGAGUUAUAUAGUUUUUGCUCCAGUGCUUCACUUAUAUCUUUUAGAGCGCGUCGGUGGAUUUGUUUUAUAGAAACUAUUGUUCUCAUGCUUCACUUAGAUUAUUUUGAGAGUCCUAAAAAACAGCAUGGUAAUUUUCUUUAAUUAUGUUAGGCAUUCAAGAUUAAUAAUAAAAAUUUCUUAUGAGUGUGUUGAAUACUAAGAGAAGUUUGAUACUUGAUAAUUGUUUUGAGAUACGGAGAUGGUGAUAUUAGAGUCAUGAUAGUUGACUAGUUGUGAAUUUGAGAAAUACUUGUGUUAAAGUUUGUGAUUCCCGUAGCACGCACGUAUGGUGAACCGUUAUGUGAUAAAGUCGGAGCAUGAUUUAUUUAUUGAUUGUCUUCCUUAUGAGUGGCGGUCGGGGACGAGCGAUGGUCUUUUCCUACCAAUCUAUCCCCCUAGGAGCAUGCGCGUAAUACUUUGCUUUGAUAACUUGUAGAUUUUUGCAAUAAGUAUAUGAGUUCUUUAUGACUAAUGUUGAGUCCAUGGAUCAUACGCACUUUUCUUCCUUCCACCAUUGCUAGCCUCUCUAAUACCGCGCACCUUUCACCGGUAUCAUACACCCACCAUAUACCUUCCUCAAAACAGUCACCAUACCUACCUAUCAUUGCAUUUCCAUAGCCAUUCCGAGAUAUAUUGCCAUGCAACUUUCCACCGUUCCGUUUACUAUGACACGCUCCAUCAUUGUCAUAUUGCUUUGCAUGAUCAUGUAGUUGACAUUGUAUUUGUGGCAAAGCCACCGUUCAUAUUUCUUUCAUACAUGUCACUCUUGAUUCAUUGCAUAUCCCGGUACACCGCCGGAGGCAUUCACAUAGAGUCAUAUUUUGUUCUAAGUAUUGAGUUGUAAUUGUUGAGUUGUAAGUAAAUAAAAGUGUGAUGAUCAUCAUUUUUAGAGCAUUGUCCCAAGUGAGGAAAGGAUGAUGGAGACUAUGAUUCCCCCACAAGUCGGGAUGAGACUCCAGACGAAAAAAAAGAUGCCAAAGAAGCCCAAAUAAAAAAGGCCAUAAAAAAGGGCCAAAUAAAAAAAUAUGAGAGAAAAGGAGAGAAGGACAAUGCUAUUAUCCUUUUACCACACUUGUGCUUCAUAGUAGCACAAUGAUCUUCAUAAUAGAGAGUCACCUAUGUUAUCACUUUCAUAUACUAGUGGGAAUUAUUCAUUAUAGAACUUGGCUUGUAUAUUCCAAUGAUGGGCUUCCUCAAAUUGCCCUACGUCUUCAUGAGCAAGCGAGUUGGAUGCACACCCACUUAGUUCCUUUUGUUGAGCUUUCAUAUACUUAUAGCUCUAGUGCAUCCGUUGCAUGGCAAUCCCUACUCACUCACAUUGAUAUCUAUUGAUGGGCAUCUCCAUAGCCCGUUAAUACGCCUAGUUGAUGUGAGACUAUCUUCCCAUUUUCGUCUCCUCCACAACCAUCAUUCUAUUCCACCUAAAGUGCUAUGUCCAUGGCUCACGCUCAUCUAUUGCGUGAAGAUUGAAAAAUUUUGAGAACACCAAAAGUAUGAAACAAUUGCUUGGCUUGUCAUCGGGGUUGUGCAUGAUUUAAAUACUUUGUGUGGUGAAGAUAGAGCAUAGCCAGACUAUAUGAUUUUGUAGGGAUAACUUUCUUUGGCCAUGUUAUUUUGAAGAGACAUAAUUGCUUAGUUAGUAUUCUUGAAGUAUUAUUAUUUCUAUGUCAACAUUGAACUUUUGUCUUGAAUCUUUUGGAUCUGAAUAUUCAUACCACAAUUAAGAAGAAUUACAUUGAAAAUAUGCCAAGCAGCAUUCCACAUCAAAAAUUUUGUUUUUAUCAUUUACCUACUUGAGGACGAGCAGGAAUUAAGCUUGGGGAUGCUUGAUACGUCUCCAACGUAUCUAUAAUUUUUGAUUGUUCCAUGCUAUAUUAUAUUCUAUUUUGGACAUUAUUGGGCUUUAUUAUACACUUUUAUAUUAUUUUGGAGACUAACCUACUAACCGGAGGCCCAGCCCAGAAUUGCUGUUUUUUUGCCUAUUUUAGGGUUUCGAAGAAAAGGAAUAUCAAACGGAUUCCAAACGGAAUGAAACCUUCGGGAACGUGAUUUUUGGAACGAACAAGAUCUAGGAGACUUGGACCCUACGUCAAGCAACCAACAAGGAAGCCACGAGGUAGGGGCGCGCCUAACCCCCCCCCCCCAAGGCGCGCCCUCCACCCUCGUGGGCCCCUGUUGCUCCACUGACGUACUCCUUCCUCCUAUAUAUACCUACAUACCCCCAGACGAUCAAAUACGGAGCCAAAACCCUAAUUCCACCGCCAUAACUUUCUGUAUCCAUGAGAUCCGAUCUUGGGGCCUGUUCCGGAGCACCGCCGGAAGGGGCAUCGAUCACGGAGGGCUUGUACAUCAACACGAUAGCCUCUCCAAUGAAGUGUGAGUAGUUUACCUCGGACCUACGGGUUCAUAGUUAUUAGCUACAUGGCUUCUUCUCUCUUUUUGGAUCUCAAUACAAAGUUCUCCCCCUCUCUUGUGGAGAUCUAUUCGAUGUAAUCUUCUUUUGCGGUGUGUUUGGUGAGACCGAUGAAUUGUGGGUUUAUGAUCAAGUUUAUCUAUGAACAAUAUUUGAAUCUUCUCUGAAUUCUUUUAUGUAUGAUUGGUUAUCUUUGCAAGUCUCUUCAAAUUAUCAGUUUGGUUUGGCCUACUAGAUUGAUCUUUCUUGCAAUGGGAGAAGUGCUUAGCUUUGGGUUCAAUCUUGCGGUGUCCUUUCCCACUGACAGUAGGGCAGCAAGGCAUGUAUUGUAUUGUUUCCAUCGAGGAUAACAAGAUGGUGUUUUUAUUAUAUUGCAUGAAUUUAUCCCUCUACAUCAUGUCAUCUUGCUUAAAGCGUUACUCUGUUCUUAUGAACUUAAUACUCUAGAUGCAUGCUGGAUAGCGGUCGAUGUGUGGAGUAAUAGUAGUAGAUGCAGGCAAGAGUCGGUCUACUUGUCUUGGACGUGAUCCAUAUAUACAUGAUCAUACCUAGAUAUUCUCAUAAGUAUGCUCAAUUCUGUCAAUUGCUCAACAGUAAUUUGUUCACCCACCGUAAAAUACUUAUGCUCUUGAGAGAAGCCACUAGUGAAACAUAUGGCCCCCGGGUCUAUCUUCAUCAUAUUAAUCUUCCAACAUUUAGUUAUUUUCCUUUGCUUUUAUUUUACUUUGCAUCUUUAUCAUUAAAAUACCAAAAAAAUUAUAUUAUCAUAUCUAUCAUAUCUCACUCUCGUAAGUGACCGUGUAGGGAUUGAAAACCCCUUAUCGCGUUGGUUGCAAGGAUUUAUUUGUUUUGUGUAGGUGCGAGAGACUCGCGCAUAGCCUCCUACUGGAUUGAUACCUUGGUUCUCAAAAACUGAGGGAAAUACUUACGCUACUUUGUUGCAUCACCCUUUCCUCUUCAAGGGAAAACCAACGCAUUGCUCAAGAGGUAGCACGCCGCAUCAAGCAUCCCCUCCUCCUACCUCCCUCCCCUCGCCGCUGCCUCGACGUACUGGCCGGGCUUUCCUUCCCUUGCUUGGUUCGGCGAGAACGGUCCUCGGGGUUGGGCGGCGGCGCCGUGUUUGCUCAGGGCGCAGCAGCAGGAGACAACGAUAGAGACGCGAGUUGUGGGCGGACGCAUGGAGGGGCUGCAACGACGGUGGUGUGCGGUGGGCGUCCGACGGUGACAGAUGGCCAGAUCUGGGCCUAGGCAGCGCGAGCUGCGGGCGCCCGCUCCUGCCGUGGUCGUGGCUGGUGGUGGUGGAGGCGCAUCGGCGGUGGUUGGUGGGCAUGUUGGUCGGGAUCCAGGCGUCCCACUGGCGGGACGAUGGCUGCAGUGCAGAUGGCUCCCCGGUGAGUUUCUUAGCGGUCGGCGGCGGUCCUUGGGGCCCCUCCUUGCCGGUGGUCGGGCCUACGAUGAUGGCUUUUCGCGGUUCUGCGUCGGCCGCUAAGAUGGGGCGACACAUGGGUGUGUCGGUGGGGAGGUUGGCUGGAGGGAUGGGCGGCGGCGACGUGCUCAGGCCACCCGUCACUGACACAUCGGUGUGUCGAUCCGGAUGUGUUCGCUCCCCCAUCUCCCCUUUUCCCUAGCCGCGUGCAGGCUAUCACAGCUCCUGAUGUUCAAGGCAGGUCUUAUGUCGCGGGUCAUCGGUCAGGGGCGUCCCUCUGGUACAAAGCUAGCCUCUUUGGAUGGUCUUGGGGUGCCUGGAUGAUGGGUGGCGGGAGGCGUGGAGUUCGAGGGCGGAACCUGCGUCUCAGGUGCGGGCGGGCAGCUAUGGCUUCGCAAGGGGCUUGACUGCGGGUAGUUGGCGGAGCGGGGGUGUGUCGGAGGGGUGUGAGCGUCGGGGUACAUCACUUGCCCAAUCCUUGUCGGGGCCGUGGUCGUCAUAUUUUUUUAAGGUUCCGUCGCGGUGCUCCCACUCCUUACAUGUGGCUCCGGAUGAAAACUUGAUCUUCGGAUCGGACAGUGGCGGCUAUCCGUGGUUGUACCCUUCUGGGAGGCACCGUCCUGGAUGCCCCAAAUAGUUUUUUUGGCUCAUCUCUAGUUUGUUUGGUUGUCGUCCGAGUGGUAUGACUGUGUCCGACACCUUUGUAUCUUGCCUUGAAUGUGUGUUGUGUGCCGUGGUGGCAUGUAUUUGUAUUGGUUCGCUUGGAUGUAUGUGAUGAUGAUUACUUUAUAAUAUAAAAUGGGAUAAACCAUUUUCGAUAAAAUUUAGGAAAGUGGUCAAAGUUUAUUUGGAAGUGUUUACAUAAAAGUUAACUGGUACUUGAAACUCAAAUUUUCCGUUGCAUCCCACUUAGUGUUACCUUCAAAUUUUUUGUUCCCUGGACUCAUUUUUUAACACUGUGCUCAACUAACCCAACCCUCCUCAAAUACUGUCUCUUAAAGCAACUCCAACAGGCCAACCCAAACGGACAGCGAUUUUGUCCGUUUUUUGUCCGCUCGAGUCGACCGUCCGCCCGAUGUCUGCUCUGUUUUAGAUUUGGGUCGGUAGUGCGUCCAACGCGCCGACCCAUAUGUGCCGGCAUGACUGGCUGGCCGUUCUUUUUCAACAAAUAGCUCAUUUUUGCAUUGCUUUUGCAUUCAAACAUAUAAAUAACAUAGUUUCAACCAAACAAAAUAGCAUAGUUUUACAAGCCAAAUAAAAAUAAAAAUGUCUCACAUAGUUUUGCAAGUCGAAUAAAGAAGAUAUAUCUAUUGGUUGCCAACAUGAGCCCACAUAUACUCAACCAAAUCAUUUUACAGUUGCACAUGAGUUUCCCAAUCACGCAUGUCAUGAUAAAAUUGGAUGAACUGUUCAAACCUUUCCACUCCUCCAUACUCAGGCACAAUAUUCUCACCCUGAAACUGAAACCCUUGAUCGUACAGAUGUUCCGGGCGCUCAUCUUCUACGAUCAUAUUAUACAUGAUUACACAAGCAGUUAUUACCUCCCAUAGUUUCUGCGUGCCCCAACUUAAAAAAAAACAGUAAACAUUUUUUUUGAAGGAUCUAUAUGAUGNNNNNNNNNNNNNNNNNNNNNNNNNNNNNNNNNNNNNNNNNNNNNNNNNNNNNNNNNNNNNNNNNNNNNNNNNNNNNNNNNNNNNNNNNNNNNNNNNNNNNNNNNNNNNNNNNNNNNNNNNNNNNNNNNNNNNNNNNNNNNNNNNNNNNNNNNNNNNNNNNNNNNNNNNNNNNNNNNNNNNNNNNNNNNNNNNNNNNNNNNNNNNNNNNNNNNNNNNNNNNNNNNNNNNNNNNNNNNNNNNNNNNNNNNNNNNNNNNNNNNNNNNNNNNNNNNNNNNNNNNNNNNNNNNNNNNNNNGUACAAUUUGCACGCUGGUGCAUCGGUUUGCAAGUGCAUUUGCACACGUAGGCUGGCAACUGUGCCAUCCACAAGUGUUUGGCCACGUAACUAUAGUCAACAUGUAGAGUGGGAAUAAAAGAAAGAAAUCAUAAAAAAAUCUAAAACAAUCAAACAUACUGAUCUGGCGCACCAGUGCCUAUUUAAGGCCAUCACCUUCUUGUUAAGGGUUUUCCUUACUAUAUUGGUCGGAGUGGGAAAAUUUCUUUGUACAAUGUUAGAUGCUUAGGGAGGUGAUUAAAAAAAUAAAGUGAAUUUUUCUGAAUCAUCAAUGCCUAUUUUUAUAGGAGAGACGCUUAGUUAAGCAUCUACCCUAUACAAAUAAGCAAAGGUGCUUAAGCAAAGCCUGAUUCAUUUAUCUAAGCACCACCACUAAGCAUCUUGCAUUGUAUAAGGUCUUAUGGUCCAGAGAUCAAGCAGCCCAACAAACGGAAAUCAACAGCUGGCAAGGCAUUUUAAAAAUCCCUACCAUCAGCCGGUUUACGGCUAGCAGUGGCCAUAUAGUAUUCACGGAGAUUGAUCAAAACCAAAAAAGAAAUGCUUCAAGUUCUAUAGAAAAACGUAGCAGUAGUACCGAGUACGCCCGAAUUAACACUCGUUUGCAUAUAUACUGUCUUUUUUGCGAAUAGUUUACAUAUAUACUAUUAUAAAUGCCAAGAAAAUUACAAGUAACAAGCAGAAUAUGUGCCUCAUGCUACACAAUUUUAGCGUCCCGACGACAAUGGCAGAAAGAUUUCCAUCACAUAGAUCAGAUCUCUGCGUACUUGCAUAACUGUCGCAUAGCUCCUGAUUAGUUUGUCUCAUCUUGUGCUCCAUUCUCUUCUUUCUUCAUAAAUCUUUGAAGAACUCAUUGUCAUCGUAGAGGUGACCGAACCGUAUAUGUAAAACCAGGAUUCCACUUUGCGGCCAAAUAAAAUAAUCCAGCCUGUAAACGGUGUUUGCCAUAUGUUCUAAUUGCACUGUUUAACAGAUGAGUCAGCCUUCCGAUGGUUUCGACAUUUCUCCUAAAAGCUUCCCAUGUACGAACCUGAUAUACAUGGUAAACACACAUGAUCUUCCACUUCUCCGUACGAAGUUUUAUUUCAUGUCGUAGUGAUGCUGAUUUUAGUAUAACUGUAGGUUUAGCCAUUGUUCUCAUGCCAAACUCAUCAAGAAUACAUAGCCUAAGCAUCUUCUUUGGUCCAAAAACUUUGUCUUCUCCGUGAACUAGACAUCCAACCUUCUGUUUGAAAGAAAGAAAAACUUCCUCGGAUCCUUCGGUUGCUUCAUCCUAGGUUAUGAGAUGAGCUUCAAAAAGUUAACUCCUGAGAGUGUCCAGUAAUAACACUACCACUAUGUUGAAUAAACCAAAAAGGGAUAACUAGAGUUAUACAUAUAGAUAUAACACAAUAACGCAUGCUGUUGAUGAUAACACACACACAACUAGAGUUAUACAUAUAACACAAUAACGCAUGUUGUUGAUGAUAACACACACACNNNNNNNNNNNNNNNNNNNNNNNNNNNNNNNNNNNNNNNNNNNNNNNNNNNNNNNNNNNNNNNNNNNNNNNNNNNNNNNNNNNNNNNNNNNNNNNNNNNNNNNNNNNNNNNNNNNNNNNNNNNNNNNNNNNNNNNNNNNNNNNNNNNNNNNNNNNNNNNNNNNNNNNNNNNNNNNNNNNNNNNNNNNNNNNNNNNNNNNNNNNNNNNNNNNNNNNNNNNNNNNNNNNNNNNNNNNNNNNNNNNNNNNNNNNNNNNNNNNNNNNNNNNNNNNNNNNNNNNNNNNNNNNNNNNNNNNNNNNNNNNNNNNNNNNNNNNNNNNNNNNNNNNNNNNNNNNNNNNNNNNNNNNNNNNNNNNNNNNNNNNNNNNNNNNNNNNNNNNNNNNNNNNNNNNNNNNNNNNNNNNNNNNGCACGCACACACUCACACAUGGAUUUCACUAUAAAUCAGACGUAUGAUUCUUUAGCAUGUCAAAUCAAAUAUUUGAGAUGAUAGAUUAUGUUGUCUUGAGGAUGAUAUUUUUUUAGCAAGCAUGACAAGUCCUAGCAAAAGACUGAACAUGGCAAGGAUUGGUCAUGCUUGCUAAAAAAAAUUAUCACCCUCAUGAUAACAUAUUUUGACGUAAAAGUGUUUGAUUUGUCAUGCUUAAUCUGAUGUCAUAUUUUUACGACUCGGUCUCCAUCCUUUUUCCCUCCUCCAAGUAAAGGCGGCUAGGGUUUCUGCCUGUCGUCGGCGGCACCGCCGAUUUCCCAUGUCUCCUGUGGCAUUAGGGUGGGUGCGCGGUGGACCCCGGCCCUUGGCGACGGGAGGGCUUUGUUUUCAGGUGCUUCUUCAAGUUUUGUUAUGAUUUGUGUCAUGCUUAAAAAGACGAGACGGGGCGGCUUCUUGAAGAUGGAAUAAGGUUCUCCCCGCCUAGCCCCCGUCCCAAUGGUGUGUCUAGCGUCGUCGGAGGGCGUAUGAAGUUGUGUCUCUGGCAGAUCUCGCGGGAUUUGGUUGGUGUUUGUCUUUGGUGGAUCCGCUCGGAUCCGGUCUUUGUUUGUCUUUGUUCAUAUAUGUCUUUAGGUUGGAUCCUUCCGAUCAAAAAUUCUCUUCAUCGACGGCGGUUGUUGUUCUGGGGCAUUGGUCCUAUGAGACCUUAGCAAGUUUCCUGUAAAAAAAAAAUUUGAUGUCAUUUUUUAACAUUAGCACAAAAAAAUAUUCGCAAAAACUACAACUAUUAAGGACGUACUUACCUGCUGCCUUGCGAGAUAGCCAUGAUAUCCAUAGAGGUAAAAGCACUGGGAGUCCUAGAAUUUGUCCGAGAUGUGAUGGUUUAGUCCUACAAUUUGCAAAAUGUACCUAUCUAGUCCUACAACUUGCAUCCAAUGUGCAACUUUGGUCUUGGACCAAUCACAGAGCAACAACCGGACUGCUCGGGCCCGAGCCGGUCAGCACGUGCAUAUUUGCAAAAUCCCCCCUGCCUUUCCUUAUAAUGAACCCGCAGUACAGGAAACUGCAUAGAUAAAUCUAGAUAGUAAACCUACGGAGCUAGUGUGAGUAUGUGACCAGGAAACCGACCAGAAUUUUACAUUCGUCGGACCGUGUUCAUUAUAAAGCAGUACUAGCACACAGUCUGCAAGAGUGUGUGGAAUGGAUGAAUGCUCAGGCUUCUACCAUAUGCCUCCGUGUCGGCAGCCGCGGCACGAGAUCUGCCGGCCCCGCCUCGCCGGCCAACCAGGGCUGCCAGCGGCCACAAAGCAGAAGCAAAGCUGCUGCUCCGCCGGGGCCUCUGAAACUCUGGUGCUGCUGCCAAUGUUCUGUAAUAGUGCUAGUAACAACGAACUCCUAGAGCAUGGACAUGAGGCCCUCAAGGCUAUCGUAUCGGAGGUGCUUCUUCUUCAGCCGCCUGCGCCGCGUGUUGCUCGCCCUGCCAAAACCACAGCCCAGCUGCUUAGAAACACGGAGGUGGAUGGAUGCAGGAGAGCGAUGCUCUGUGCGUCAAGAUGGAUGCGUCACUGCUGUUUAUGCAACUGUGGGAGUGGUGCCGCGCUCACCAGUACUGGUUGUGGAACACCACGUUGUCCGUGGGCACGUGCUUCCCGUCGUCGUUCCGGUUCCACUGGUACGCGGCGUGCGUCCGGUUCAUCAGCUGCAGGGUCGAGUGGCCGAAGCUCACCUCCCUGAACGCAGAGUAGUCCGGCUGCGGAUCACUGAACCUGCAAACAUUCAGGAGGUGUUUGGUACAGCACAAGGUAACGGGACUGGUAAUGGAAUCAGGUAGCGGUGGGAUCGGGGUGAAACGGGAGCAUUUGCUUUUCUGUUUGUUUCAUGCAUGUAAAGCUAUCAAGUUACAAGACUGCGUUUGGAGGUGCUGUGUAAUCAGAUUACAUCACUGAAUCAAACUGGCACUAACUUUACACAUAAAAUCAGUGAACAGAAUUUCAAAACAUCUAUUUCGCAUAGAAUUUUAAAAAAACAUUUUACAUGAAUAAACACAAAUACAUCUCUACGGAUUCUUAAUCGGGAUUUAAACACACUUGAAAAUAAAACAAAAUGUUAGAAUUUUUUAGAACAAUAAAAUGUCAUAUUUGAAGGACACUUCGGAGUUCUAAAUGAGUAUAUCAAACCAUAGAUACAAAUUCGUAAUUAACACCAUUUUCAAAGUCAAGACCCUUGCAAACCAGCUUCAUCCUCAACCAUGGAAUGUUCCUUCAAUCUUACCGCACCACCGUCUUUGAAAAAAAAAGUGUUCUUUCUUAUCAACCCUGCCUAUUUCUCUCAUUUGCCAAUAAGCAUGGAUUGGAUAAAAAAUGAUUAGGAAAAGUACUAAUCAUACGAAUACACAGUAGCUAUAACAUUGUCGUUGUUGUCGACUAAAUAGAAAAAUAUAAAUCAGCACUUCUUAGGUGUAAUGCACGCAUAUGGAUUACUAUGCAAGAACAAAAUAAAGAAAAAAGAAAAGCACUCUCAUAUAUUGGGUUACUAACACAAACAUCAAUGUUGUAUACUGCAAGAACAUAUACUCUGAUAAAUAUUCAGGCCAUGAUAUAUAUUCGGACAUUAGCAUAGUUGUCGGCUGCAGCAGGCCCAACAAUAAAAGAACUGGCCAGCAGACCUUAGACCUCACAUCAAUGUUCAACAUCUAUAAAUUCUAAAGGAUAAAGGUCAUAUAGCUAAAGGAUAAAAGACAUAUUUUCUAUCCAACCCAAACACAACCCAAACAUAGGUUAUAUUUUCUAUCCUUCGUUGGGAGAUGUUGUAUAACUAAAAAGUCCAGAUGUGCACAUUUGCAAGCGGUAACUUUGUAAACAGGAAUUAAUAAUGAUGUUGAUACUGUGGGAGAGUGAAGAUAUGGGUCAUACUAGCAUAUGGUAUUAUUAUCUGGACCGUUGGAUGGGUGAAUCGGCAGGUGGGAAUCACAUUCAAUGCGAAUCGCGCGAGCCGCAGAAAUUGCUGUAUGUCGAGCGGCGAACGCAUGGUGCGUAUAGUACCCCGUAUGUACUGCGUGGGAGGCCCACGCCCUCGGCGGGAACGGCGUCGCGGGCUUGUUAAGGACCGCUGGUCCUGUUAAAACAUCAUACAUGGACCGUGCUCCAGAAUUUUUUGUGUUCCGUAGCUGUGUGCGUGCCCGUUGGCUAGGUAAAAAAAGCGUGUGCCCUGUCAGAGGCUGGUUGACGCCUCAGAAUGUUGUAUUCCGUGGCGGAGAGCGUGCAUGGCGGCGGCGGUGGCGGCGGCGAGGGGAGUAUGGAGAAUGCCCCUGCCUCAUCUGGGGAGUCGGACAGCCGGACCCGAGAUCGCCCAGCUGGAUUGAAAAGUACAGAGAGCGAUUUUUUUCUGAAUUAUUUUACACCCAGCACUGCAUUUACCUACAAUUUUCUUUUUCUGUUGGUCUACAUGUUGUGUAGUAGAUUAGUCUGCGAUUCUGAACUCGUGAUUCCUUUUUAGUGUCUAUUAAGACAAGAGAAAGAUCGACAUAGUAUAAGAUUAAUGAAUAAAAAAUGGACCCUGGGAUGGUGCCCCCAUGAAUUGCUGAUGUACUAGACAGUAGGAGAUUCCUUCCAUGUUUUGUGUUCACCCCCACGAUCCGAUCAAAAUAAUUCUGGUGUGGCACAAAAAAAGGGAUUACAUUUAGGUCGUUCACCAGGAUCGGCUUGAGUUGCUGGUGUGAAGGGUGGUGGGAGGGGGUUCGGUGGGUUGGGUGGGCUUAUGUAUGUUAGCUUCUUGGUCGGCUACUGGCGGAACCGUCAAAUUUAUUCCUUUUCCAUGUGUUGGAGUGCAUUAGAGCAAGUCCAGCAGUUCCCCUAAAAUUUCUCCCCUAUAUCUCAAAACGAGGGACUCCCUUAAAAAGAUUCUCCGCUAAAAAUUGCUCAACUCCAGCAGUUCCCCUAAACAUCUCCCUUAUUCUAUAUUUAAAGAAUAUUUCAUAACUACCAACGGCUAGUUUUCAACGGCUAGUUUUCCAACGGCUAGUUUCAGCCCUAUAAAUACAUGAUCACCCCUCAUAUCUAUCACAAUCCUGAUCGUGCCUCCUCUUCUACUUCUCUUUCGCCAUCUCUCUGCCAUCUCUCCACAACGAAAUGAGUCACCGUCGAAGUUUGGCCCGGCAGUUUUGCGAAGAUUCCUCCUCCGAAGAUGAGGAACUCAUGAUGGCUGCAAUUGUAGCAGAGCAAGAAGAAGCCCGGUUGGAUGCUCCACGACAUGGAGGUUCACAACCGGGACGUCAAUCUCUUCAGCGCGAUUUUGUGGAACGCUUUCAGAAUCUCCACAAGGACUAUUUUGCAGAGAACCCCACCUUCAAGGCAAGGAUGUUUCGCAAUAGGUAUGAAAUUGGUGCAUCUGUUUUGUUUCCACCAUAGUAGUCGCUCUUCAUGUCUCAUUUAAGUUUUUCUUCACAGGUAUAGAAUGCAUCGUCCUCUUUUUCUGCGCAUAGCAAGUGCUAUAGAGGCACAUGAUAGCUAUUUUCCCUGAGAAGAAAUAGUGCUGGUGUUCCUGGUUUACAUCCUUAUCAAAAUUGACCUCGGUAUUUCGAAUCCUAGCUUAUGGGAUAGCAGUUGAUCUUACUGAUGAGUAUUGUCGGCUAGCAAAGUCCACCGCUUUAGAAAAUCUUAGAAGAUUUGUGCGUGCUGUGAUCGAGGUCUUUGGGGGUCAAUACCUGAGAUCUCCAAAUGCUGAAGAUACUGCUAGAUUACUUGCAAUUGGAGAGCAAAGGGGGUUUCCGGGUAUGCUCGGAAGCAUCGACUGCAUGCAUUGGAAGUGGAAAAAUUGCCCUACUGCACACAAAGGGUUUUUUGUUGGCCAUAAACGCGUACCCACGGUCAUUCUUGAAGCCAUUGCUUCACAAGACCUUUGGAUUUGGCAUUCUUUCUUUGGUUUACCAGGAUCACCCGUUCACCCGUGUUUGCAAACCUAGUUGAAGGGCAUGCUCCAGAAGUGAAUUAUACCAUCAAUGGUCACAACUACAACACGGGGUAUUACCUUGCAGAUGGCAUAUAUCCGCAGUGGGCAACAUUUGUGAAGACAAUUCCAAAUCCAAAAGGUGAGAAGAACAAAGAUUUCUCCCGGUUUCAAGAAGCAUGUCGGAAGGAUGUCGAACGAGCCUUUGGUGUUCUGCAAGCUCGUUUUGCUAUUGUACGUGGACCGGCAAGGUAUUGGGAUCUGGAGACACUCGGAGAAGUGAUGACAGCUUGUAUCAUCCUGCAUAACAUGAUAAUAGAAGAUGAGCGUGGAAGUCGUGUAGACUACCGCUACGAUAACAUGGGAGAACUAGUGACACCUUCUCACCGAGAGGCGGCUACAUUGACUCAGUUUCUUCAAGCUCAGAGUGAUAUUCAAGACAAACAAGUUCACUGUCAGCGUCAAGUUGAUCUAGUUGAGCACCUGUGGCAGAUCCGUGGACUGAUGUAGCUUUCAAUAAUGUAGUCUAUGUCACCAUUUUAGCUUAUGCAAGUGUGUACUGUUUUUCAAUUAUAAUGGGAGUGUAAGCACUAUCUGUAUCAUUUUCUAAAUAAUGGAAGCAAUUAUCUAGCUAACAUAGUCAGCCAAAUGUUUCAGAGACAUAGUACAGAUUACUACACAUAGUUCAUCCAAAUGGUUCAAAGAUAAUAAUUAGUACAGAUUACAAGACACAUUUCAUCCAAAUGGUUCGAAGAUAAUAAGUAGUACAAAUUACAAGACACAUUUCAUCCAAAUGGUUCGAAGAUAAUAAGUAGUACAGAUUACAACACAUAGCUCAAGCCGACGAGUUACGCUGUCGGUUGAUGAUUUGACUCUUCCUUAAUUUGUAGAAUUCUUUUUCUUGCUCAUCCAUGCCACUAAGGUCCAUGCUCAUUAUUUUGCUUUCUUCAGCCCCCAUCAUGCGUUCUUCCGCCAUUCUCAUGAUUCGUAUCUUUUCUUCUUCUAAUUCCAUUUUUUUCUUGUAUUGCAAGUUUCUUUCUUUCUUCUACCAACCUAUCUUCUUCUCUCUGUUUGUCCAUUGCAAUCAUGAGCUCAAAUCGCUCUUGUCUUUUUGACUCCCUUGUCUCCAAGAUACCCUCAAAUGAUUCCAUGACACUACUAUUACCUGUACUGAAAGAACUUUGAGACCGCCAUGCUGCAUCUUUAGCCCUCUUGAUUCCAGGUGGCCUUUUCUUGGGAACAACUUUAGAGGGAGAUGUAGCUUCAUCCUCAAACAAACUAGCAGAUGAUGAAUUAGGAGUAUCCAAGGAGGAUGUCUUCUGUUUUUUCUGGGGCCGAGAUUUCCACUUCUCGGUGUCUUCCAACUUAUUAAAGCAAUGCAUCAAUCCAAAUGAUUUAUUUGCCUUGUCUCCAUUGGCAUAGAGAACAAUCGCUUGACAUAGCUACAUUAAUACAUAUGCAUCAGCAGAACAAAGAUAUGAACAAAACAGGAACCAUGCAAAGCAUAUUUGUUACCUUAUUUUCACGUGUCAUCCCACUUUGGUUCCUAUUCUGGACCUGAAUAUAACAUGCACAAAACCUAUUCACUUGUUCUUGAAUAAUAGCCCAACGAUGCUGAAGAGAACCUUGUGUGCGACCAUGGUCUUCAGAUUUAUUGGCAUGGAAGUAAGCAUCGAUUCUUUUCCAAUAACAAUCACGAGAUUGGUCUACUCCUAUGAUUGGAUCUUGAGUUAUCUCGAGGUACGCAUCCACCAAAGUUAAGUCUUCAGCCUUGCUGAAAUUCUUUUGCCUCUUCGAAGCGCUUGCUUUCGAAGCGCUUGCUUUCUUCGCCUUUGCUUUCGAAGACCUUGCUUUCACAGGGGUAGACUCUUCAGUCUCUUCGAGAUCAGUUUGUUGUUCUUCAAGCCCUUCGAGAUCAAUUUCUUGUUCUACAUGCCCUUCAAGAUCGACAUGUUGUUCUUCAGUCCAGUGCAAAUCAUUCAAUCCGGCAUCAUUAUGCAAUAGAUCAAAAUAACUCUGAUCGUCCAUUACCAAAAUCUGAAAUAGAAACAAGAAACAAUAAGCUUCAACACAAAUAAAUAGUAGUAGCAGUAGCAAAAAUUUCUAGCAAGCUAUCUCUAUGUUCUGUAUGUAAAAAUGUGCAGCAAUCUCUCUCUGCUUGCUGCUCUCUAUGUCACAUCUGUGUGCUAUUUGGUCCUGCACAUAUCUCUCUAUCUCACAUCUUUGUACUCUUUCUCAAAUAAAUAGCAAUAGUAGUAGCACUGAAGACGCACAAGCAAUCUGGAACAUCACCUUUGUCUAUCCAUAUUUGCACGCAUGCAACAACUCCACCAGCCAGCCCACACCGGCAUCCAACCCUGUCUCUCCUUCUCUGUUCUUCCUCUACAUGAAACAACAGCUCCUCCCUUCAAUCCCCUCCAGCAGCAGCUGCUGGCAGACCUUCUCCCGCUCUGCUCUCUACCCGAGCAGGAGCUCCUCCCUCCUCCCUUCAAUCCCCUCCAGCAGCAACUGCUAGCAGACCCCCUCCCGCUCUGCUCUCUACCCCGAGCAGGAGUUCCUCCCUUCGAGCCCAUCCUCACCUUCAGCCACGACGGCCAUGCCCGUCCCCCUGUAUCCAAUGCCCGAUGGCUCUUCAAGCAAGCCACAACGGCCGCGCCCCUGUAUCCACUGCCCGACGGCGACCUCUCUCCCUCCCUAGAUUUGCUACUUUGCUCGGAUCUGAGAGAAAAUCAGUGAAUGAACGAACCUGGGAUGCAGUGGCGGCGGCGGCGUGGUGGCGGGAGGGAGAUUUCCGGACGUAGCCGUUGCCUCCACCUGCGAGUCGGGGAGGGGAUCGGGGAGGUCGUCGUUCCCCUAGAUAGAGGGGAGAGAGAGGGCGAUUUGGGGGAGACCAGAAAAACGGGGAGGGGAUCGGGGAACUGCUGGAGGCGUUUUUUUGCUGUUCUCCCCUAAAAUAACGAUCGGGGAGGGUUUCGGGGCGCUGCUGGACUUGCUCUGAAGGAGCAUGUUUUCACAGAGAGAGAACAUGCAAAAUUAAAAACAAAAAAAGACUGAUCCCGCUGUCCAGUUUUGUGUGCUGCAUCGCUGAUGUACUAGAUGUGUUAUUUUUCAUGCAGAGUUCGUUUAGGCUCUAACCUGGCAGAGAGAACCCUCUGUCCUGUUAGGAUGGGGGCCCUCGAAAAAACAAUAAGAGGCUUUGCGGAACGAGAUGGAGAGGAGGUUGUUAAGCCAAAAUUACGCACGAAUUUUGACUUGUUGACUGAGGGUACGACUUCUACAACUUCAUGCAGUAGGAGUGAGAGUGCGAACCUUAUUUCAAGGAUGUUUUCUGUGAAAACUGACCAGCACCCAAACGAGCGAGAGUGUGAACCAUAUGCUCAAGAACUAUGUGCCACCCGGCUCUCCGAUGCAUAAGUUUGUCAGGCAGUACAUGCGGUUGUUGUUUGAUCUCCAAUAGGAGUAUAAUUAUGAAGAGAAGAGAAUUAAAAUUGUAAGUGGGGUUUCAUCGAGACAAAACCUUUCUAGCUAUGCCUGAGUUCUAACAUGAUGUUCUGUGCAGGCGUGUGUAGUCUUACGGAUAAAUUCUUUCAUUGAGAUGCACAUUAGCAAGGUGUACACCCGUGCAACGUUCUGAGCAGUUUGGGCUAGUCCUAUACGAGGCUGGGGGAUAUCAGGUAAGGAGGUGGAGAAGCAUGCAUUGUACAAGGCACAACCCACACACGUCCGGAGAGCCACGAAAAGUGGAGCAGGGUUGUUUUCCUAUAUGGCUGACAAUGGCUCAGAGUUUGAGUGCGAAUGUGGGCUGUUUGAGCACAUGGGCAUGUUGUGCUACCAUAUUCUGAAGGUUGUGCUACCAAGGAUGCUCGAGAAAUACUGCCGGAGCACCUGCAGCACUACCAGCGAGAUCAGCUUGGCUCUACAUUGCUGACUUUCCGGCAUAAUCGCAUGUAUGUGCAGGCGUUGGAGUUGGUCAGGUUGGAUGACGCCAGUGUCGAAGCUUAUGAUACACUAUGGGGCUCUUCAAUUAAGCAAUGACUUUCAUGGCUCCUUUCCACCAGGCGAGGUAUGGGCUUGGACUAGAGGAUCUUGCAAUUGGCAAGAAACAAGGCAAUGUAGAUGAAGGAUAUAGCAAAGCUGGGCAAGAUGAGGAUGUCAUGUUGUCAGGCCACAACAAUCCUUUGGUUGGCCUGGGAGUGCCAUCAAAUAAGAGAGGUGCAGGGAGGCCAACGAACGCGAGAGAUCGGCUACCUUAGGAAGGCAUGAGUAAGAGGGGUAGAUUCUGUAGCGUCUGCAAAAUUCAAGGCCACAGAAGAACAACCAGCCUGCAGAGAGAUGUCUCGAAAGUUCAGAGGAAGGAGGCCAAGUGCAGCAAGUGUGGUGUUGCUGGGCACAAGAAGAACAAGGCCAGCGGGUAAUGUUGCGCAGUGUCUUGCUGUAGGGGUUAGGGCCAAAGUGGAUGUAACUGCACGCUAAUGAACUAUUGUCAUGAUAAGUGUAGUAAACUGUACUGAGAGAUAACUGAAUUUUAUUUGUGUAUGUCUGAAUAAAUGCAUUAGCAGUACUAUGCGUGCAACUCUUCUGGUAGAUGUUGAUUUGAAAGGAAACCAUGCAUGUUGGAGGCGCACAGUGCCACGCGGCUGGCAUGCCCGUGCUGAGAGGGUCAGGUAGUUUGAACUUUUAUAUUUUGGACUUGUACAAGGUGUUUACGGUUGGGUGUGCUGAUGGUCCAAGAAAAAGAAUCACGGCCGAGAUCGUAGCGGAAGAAGGUAGGUCCUGGCCAUAAAGGAGAAAGGACACGCCGCGUGGGUACUGUUCUAUAAAUAACUCGCCGUAGCAAUACACCAUUGAAUACAGCUGUGCGCGUGGAUCCCAAGAUAGACCAACUGCUCAGAUAAUGCUACCAUAUGGUAGUAUGAGCCAUAUCGAAUUUUCGAUACUGUGGUCACAAAGUAAAUAGUCUAUAUGAUGAAAAAGAUUGACUCUGUAGCUAGCUCGAAUAUAGCCAUACCUUUUUUUUAUCAUUGAGAAGAUUGUCAGGAGAUCUUGUAUUUUCAGUUAAUGUGGUCACAAAAGAUUGAAGUUUGAAAAUUGAAAUUUGCUUGCUAAAAGAAAUUAAUUUCUAAUCAAGUGUAUGGUUAGCACUAGAUAUAUGAGUAGCAAUUUUUACUCUUUAUUGAUUAUUGUCGUAUUCGCAAGACACAAAUGUUAUAUCAAACAAAACAACUUAUAGAUCUUUCAUCGGAGAGGAAAAUCACUACAAGCUAAGUAAAAGAAAAUAAGUAAUAGCAAAAGCAUGGCCAACAACAUUCAGGAAGAGCUGACCACUGGGUGGGAGGAGAGUGGCGAGCGGGACACAACCGACGAAGUGCGCCGCUGCUGGGAGAAGGAAUAUUAAAGAGGUUGAUACUUCAGAUCCUGCACAAGAAAGCAACAGAAAAUAGAAGUAUCAUGAGAAAUCAAAGCUCAGAUCUCUUUGAGUAGAACAAACAGAAAUCAAACCUAUCGAGCCUGUACUGCGGGUUCAUUACAAGGAAAGGCAGGGGGAUUUUGCAAAUAUGCGCACGUUGACUGGCUCGGGCCCAUACAUGCAAAUAGGCUAAUAAACCUAAUUAUUGCGCGUAAUGUUGCUUCUAAUUAUUAUAAGGGCGACGGCGUUGGUAGGCUUUCUAUCGGAACUCGGGUGGGGUAACGUGAGUUCUAACCUAAAUCCUGCAAGAUUUAUGUGGGAACCUUCGUACCGGAAGACCGAUCUAGAUCCGUUGCGUACGGUGCAUCCAACACCGCCCCGUUUAUAUACACUACUGCGUGUCUAAAAAAAGAUAUAUACUCCCUUCAUUUCAAAUUACUCGUCGCAGAAAUGGAUAUAUCUACAACUAAAAUACAUCUAGAUAUAUCCAUAUUUGCGACAAGUAAUGAACGGAAGAAGUACUACUGUACGUAAGAAACUAUUGCACCUACGAUUAGUCCUUUUUCCGAUUAUUAUACGAUGCGAAAUACAGUGGUCGCUGCAUGAGUCCUACUCACGUGAGGUUCGAUCUCCUUCGUCGGACAAUAUUCGUAUACGAAAUAUCGUAUCCUGUGCGGCGGCACGCUACCACCAUUGGUGCGAGUCGAUCAAAGCAACUCCAACGCGGACCCAUUUCGUCCCUCCAUAUUUGUCAAUGCGCAUAAAAAUGAUGGUCCAACGAGCGAUUCAUUCUCAAAACGCGUCCGCUUCGUGUUUGCGCGGACCCAUUUCCAAUCCAAAUUUGGGCAUGAAAUGUGUCGGCGCGGACACGUGUGUGUCUGCUCGGUGUCUGCGCGUCAGCACACGGCGGCCGGUCAAUUACCUCUGACGUCUUUAUUAAUGACGACCAUAGACCGCGAGCACACACGUCAACGAGGGCGAGCGUCCUUUUUAAUUCGGGCGUGCGGAGGCGAGGGGGGGUGCAGCCUCAUCCUCUUCCAGCCUCCCGUCCCCAUCUAGCCACCCUGUUGCUCCCCCGCUGGCGACAACCCUACCCUAACACGCGCCACCAUGGGCUUUUUCGCCGGCAAGAACAAGGGCAAGGCGCUGACUCUUCGCGUACACUCGUGCUCCGCCAUCCUCCGCCGACGUCUGCCCGCUCGGCGAGGCAACGGCUCCACUCCCAGUGCACCAGGCGAGGUGGCACUGGGAGAACCGCACCCCCUCCCUUACCCGACGUGAGCCUGCCACAUGAAUGGCAUUUGGAUCCGGGUACGAUCCCAGUGCCGAAGGUGCUACGGUUGGCGCAGACGCAUGCGGAGGAGGUGCGGCGCCGGCGGGAGCAGAUGCCGCUGGAGCAGCGCCUCAACCCCUUCUAGGUAGCAAGCUCUCCCGAUUGGGAGGUCUUGUACACCCUCGAGCACAAGGAUUAGCGCCGGCGUGGCGUCCAGCACAUGCGGGCUAGCACCUCGUCGCCCCCCGUCAUGCGUGACAAGGACCUGGAGGAGGAGGCCUACCAGUUGGUGCUGGCGGCUGCCAUGUAGGAAAGCGCAGAGGAGGAGCAGCGCAAGGCGGCGGAGGAGGAGGCGGUGUAACAGGCACGCCUAUCGGAGGCCUGUUGGGAAAUGUAGAAAUAAUUCAAAAAAAUUCCUACGUGUCACCAAGAUCAAUCUAGGAGAUGCUAGCAACGAGAGAGAGGGAGUGCAUCUUCAUACCCUUGAAGAUUGCUAAGAGGAAGCGUUACAAGGAACACAGAUGAUGGAGUCGUACUCGCGGCGAUUCAAAUCGCAGAAGAUCCGAUCUAGCGUCGAACGGACGGCGCCUCCGCGUUCAACACACGUACAGCCCGGGGACGUCUCCUCCUUCUUGAUCCAGCAAGGGGAGAGGAGAAGUUGAGGGAGAGCUCCGGCGGCACGACGGCAUAGUGGUGGAGCUUGCAGUUCUCCGGCAGGGCUUCGCCAGGCACUACGGAGGGGGAGGAGGUGUUGGAGAGGGGAAGGGUUGCGCCGGGGAAGGGGGUGCGGCUUCCCUCUCUCUCCCUCACUAUAUAUAGGAGGAAGGGGGAGGAGGAGGCGCCCUAGGGUUUCCCUAGGGGAGGGGCGGUGGCCACAGGGGAAACCCUAUAUGGGUUUGGGCGCCUCGACCUGUAAGAAACUUACCCCCCAAGCCGGGAGGGGCGGCUGCCCUAGGGGAGGUGCCCCACCUCUCCAGGUUACGUGAGAGGGGGUGCGAGGGGCGCACAGCCCCUUAGUGGGCUGGUGUGCCCCCUCCCCUUGGCACAUAAGGCCCCCCAACGCUUGUGAGGGCCUCCGAAACACCUUUCGGUCACGCUGGUCGUCACUCGGUACUCCUAGAACAAUUCCAGACUCCAAUACCCUUCGUCCAAUAUAUCGAUCUUCACCUCCGGACCAUUCCAGAGUUCCUUGUCACGUCCAUGAUCUCAUCCGGGACUCCAAACAACCUUCGGUAACCACAUAAUAUUCCCAUUACAACUCUAGCGUCACAGAACCUUAAGUAUGUAGACCCUACGGGUUCGGCAACCAUGCAGACAUGACCGAGACAUCUUUCCGGCCAAUAACCAAGAACGGGAUCUAGAUACCCAUGUUGGCUCCCAUAUGUUCCAUGAUGAUCUCAUCGGAUGAACCACGAUAUCGAGGAUUCAAUCAAUCCUGUAUACAAUUCCCUUUGUCUAUCGGUAUAUUACUUGCCCGAGAUUCGAUCGUCAGUAUCUCUAUACCUUGUUCAAUCUCGUUACUGGCAAGUAUCUUUACUCGUUUCGUAACACAUGAUCCCAUGACUAACUCCUUAGUCACAUUGAGCCCAUUAUGAUGAUGCGUUACUGAGUGGGCCUAGAGCUACCUCUCCGUCACACGGAGUGACAAAUCCCAGUCUCAAUAUGUGCCAACCCAAUAGACACUUUCGGAGAUACCUGUAGUGCAUCUUUAUAGUCACCCAGUUACGUUGUGACGUUUGAUACACCCAAAGAACUCCUACGGUAUCCGGGAGUUACACAAUCUCAUGGUCUAAGGAAAUGAUACUUGAUAUUAGAAAAGCUCUAGCAAACAAACUACACGAUCUUGUGCUAUGCUUAGGAUUGGGUCUUGUCCAUCACAUCAUUCUCCUAAUGAUGUGAUCUCGUUAUCAACGACAUCCAAUGUCCAUGGUCAGGAAACCACAACCAUCUAUUGAUCAACGAACUAGUCAACUAGAGGCUCAAUAGGGACAUGUUGUGGUCUAUGUAUUCACACAUGUAUUAUGGUUCCCGGUUAAUACAAUUAUAGUAUGAAUAAUAGACAAUUAUCAUGAACAAGGAAAUAUAAUAAUAACCAUUUUAUUAUUGCCUCUAGGGCAUAUUUCCAAUAGUCUCUCACUUGCACUAGAGUCAAUAAUCUAGUUCACAUCACCAUGUGAUUAACACUCAUAGUUCACAUCGCCAUGUGACUAACACCCAAAGAGUUUACUAGAGUCAAUAAUCUAGUUCACAUCAACAUGUGAUUAACACCCAAGAGUUUACUAGAGUCAAUAAUCAAGUUCACAUCACCAUGUGAUUAACACUCAAUGAGUUCUAGGGUUUGAUCAUGUUAUGCUUAUGAGAGAGUUUUAGUCAACGGGUCUGCAACAUUCAGAUCCGUGUGUACUUCACAAAUCUCUAUUUCAUAUUGUAGAUGUUGCUACCAUGCUCCAAUUGGAGCUAUUCCAAAUGGUUGCUCCACUAUACGUAUCCAGUUUGCUACUCAGAUUCAUCCGCAUAGGUGUUAAAGCUUGCAUCGACGUAACCCUUUACGCCAAACUCUUUAUCACCUCCAUAACCGAGAAACAUUUCCUUAUUCCUAAGGACAAUAUUGAUCGCUGUCCAAUGAUCCACUCCUGGAUCACUCUUGUACCCCCUUGCCAGACACUGGCAAGGCACAUAUCAGGUGUGGUACAUAGCAUGGCAUAUUGUAUAGAGCCUAUGGCUAAGGCAUAGGGGACGACCUUUGUUCUUUCUCUUUCUUCUGCCGUAGUCGAGCAUCAAGUCUUAACUUCACACCUUACAACUCAGGCAAGAACUCCUUCUUUGACUGAUCCAUCUUGAACUCCUUCAAGAUCAUGUCAAGGUAUGUGCUCUGUGAAAGUCUUAUCAGGCGUCUUGAUCUAUCUCUAUAGAUCUUGAUACCCAGUAUGUAAGCAGUUUUACCAAGGUCUUCCUUUGAAAGACUCCAUUCAAACAACCCUUUAUGCUUUCCAGAAAUUUUACAUCAUUUCCGAUCAACAAUAUGUCAUCUACAUAUACUUCUCAGAAAUGUUGUAGUGCUCCCACUCACUUUCUUGUAAAUACAAGUUUCUUGCAAACUUCGCAUAAACUCAAAAGUUUUGAUCACCUCAUCAAAGCGUAUGAUCCAACUCCGAGAUGCUUGCUCCAGUCCAUAGAAGGAUCACCGGAGUUUGCAUACCUUUUAGCAUCCUUAGGAUUGACAAAACCUUCUAGUUGUAUCACAUACAGCCUUUCCUCGCGGAAACCGUCAAGGAAACUUUGUUUUGACAUCCAUCUGCUAGAUUUCCUAAAUGUAAAUGCAGCAACUGCUAACAUAAUUCUAACAGACUUUAGCAUCGCUAUGGUUAAGAAAGUCUCAUCACAGUCAACUCCUUGGACUUGUCGAAACUUCUUUUAGACAAGUCGAGCUUCAUAAAUGGUGACAUUACCAUCAGUGUCUAUCUUCUUCUUAAAGAUCCAUUUAUUCUCAAUGGCUUUCCGAUCAUCGGGCAAGUCCACCAAAGUCCAUACUUUGUUCUCAUACAUGGAUCCUAUCUCGGAUUUCAUGGCUCCUAGCCAUUUGUUGGAAUCCGGGCCCACCAUUGCUUCUCCAUAGCUCGUUGGUUCACUGUUGUCCAACAACAUGCCCUUUAAGACAGGGUUACUACUCAGAAGUUGGACGCACCCUUGUCGACCUACGAGGUUCGAUAGUAACUUGAUCUGAAGCUCCAUGAUCAUCAUCAUUAGAUUUCUCUUCAACUGACGUAGGUGCCACAGAAACAUCUUUCUAUGCUGCGCUACUCUCUGGUUGAAGUGAAGGUUCAACAACCUCAUCAAGUUCUAUCUUCCUCCCACUCAAUUCUUCCGAGAGAAAACUCUUUCUCGAGAAAGGACAUGUUUAUAGCGAUAAACACUUUUCCCUUAGAUCUGAGAUGGAAUGUAUACCCAAUCAUCUUCUUUGGGUAUUCUAUGAAGACACAAUUGUCCGCUUUGUGUUUGAGUUUUUCUGGCGGAAGCGUAUCGACAUAGGCAUCGCAGCCCCAAACCUUAAGAAACAACAACUUAGGUUUCUUGCCAAACCAUAGUUCAUACGGUGUCAUCUCCAUGGAAUUUAGAUGGUGCCCUAUUUAAAGUGAAUGUAGUUGUCUCUAAUGCAUAACCCCAAAAUGAUAGCGGUAGAUCCGUAAGAGACAUCAUAGAUCGCACCAUAUCCAAUAGGGUGUGAUUACGAUGUUCGGACACACCAUUACGCUAUGGUGUUCUAGGUGGCGUCAACUAUGAAACUAUUCCACCUUGUCUUAAGUGAUUGCCAAACUCAUAACUCAGAUACUCUCCCCUUGAUCAGAUCGUAGGAACUUGAUCUUCUUGUUACGAUGAUACUCAACUUCAUUCUGAAAUUGCUUGAACUUUUCAAAUGUUUCAGACUUAUGCUUCAUUAAGUAAAUGUACCCAUAUCUAGUCAAUUCAUUGGUGAAGGUGAGACAAUAACGAUAUCCACCGCACGCGUCAAUACUCAUCGGACCGCACACAUCAACAUGUAUGUUUUCCAACAAGUCACUUGCCCGUUCCAUUGUUCCAAAGAUCAUCUUGCCAACGAGGCAUGGUUCUCAUGUGUCAAGUGAUUCAAAAUCAAGUGACUUCAAAAGUCCAUUAGCAUGGAGGUUCUUCAUGCACUUUACACCAAUAUGACCUAAGCGGUAGUGCCACAAUAAAGUGGUGCUAUCAUUAUCAACUCUACACCUUUUGGCAUCAAUGUUAUGAACAUGUGUAUCACUACGAUCGAGAUUCAAUAAACCAUUCACAUUGGGUGCAUGACCAUAGAAGGUGUUAUUCAUGUAAACAGAAUAACCAUUAUUCUCUGACUUAAAUGAAUAACUGUAUUGCAGUAAACAUGAUCUAAUCAUGUUCAUGCUCAACGCAGACACCAAUGCAAACAACAUUUAUCUGGGUUCAACACUAAUCCCGAAGGUAGAGGGAGCGUGCGAUGGUGAUCACAUCAACCUUGGAACCACUUCCAACACACAUCGUCACCUCGCCCUUAGCUAGUCUCCAUUUAUUCCGUAGCUUUUGUUUCGAGUUACCAAUAUUAGCAACUGAACCGGUAUCUAAUACCCAUGUGCUACUAGGAGUACUAGUAAGGUACACAUAUAUCAAAUAUACUUUUCUUGAAGUUGCCAACCUUCUUAUCUACCAGUGACCGUUCCCCUAAUAGAAGCACUUCAUCUCAGGUUCCGCUACCAGUGACCGUCCCCUAAUAGAAGCACUUCGUCUCAGGUUCCGCUUUCUUGAAGUAUUUGAGGCAGUUCCGCUACCAGUGACCGUUCCCCUAAUAGAAGCACUUCGUCUCAGGUUUGGGUUCUUGGGUUUCUUCACUGGAGCGGCAACUGGCUUGCCGUUCAUGAACUUUCCCUUCUUGCCCUUGCCCUUCUUUGAAACCAGUGGUCUUGUUAACCAUCAACACUUGAUGCUCCUUCUUGAUUUCUACCUUCACGGUGUUAAGCACGACGAACUGCUCCGGGAUCAUCUUCCCUUGCAUGUUAUAGUUCAUCAUGAAACUCUAGUAGCUUGGUGAUAGUGAUUGGAGAACUUGUGUCAAUCACUCUCUUAUCUGGAAGAUUAACUCCCACUUGAUUCAAGCGAUUGAAGCACCCAGACAUUCCGAGCACAUGCUCACUAGCUGGGCUAUUCUCCUUCAUCUUGUAGGCAAAGGUCUUGUCAGAGGUCUCAACCUCUCAACAUGGGCAUGCGCCUGAAAUACCAAUUUCAGCUCUUGGAACAUCCCAUAUGUUCCAUGGUGUUCAAAACACUUUUGGAGCCCCGACUCUAAGCCGUAAAGCAUGGCGCACUAAACUAUCAGGUAGUCAUCGGAACAUGUCUGCCAGAUGUUCACAACAUCCACAAACGACGCCAGAGGGGUUGGCACACCGAGCGGUGCAUCAAGGAUAGAAGCCUUCUGUGUAGCAGUGAGGACAAUCCUCAGACUACGGCCCUAGUCCGCAAAAUUUCUUACAAUAUCUUUCAACUUAGUCUUUCUCUAGGAGUGUAUUAAAACAAGGAGAUAAAGCGCGAGCUAUUAAUCCACAACAUAAUUUGCAAAGACAAUUUAGACUAUGUUCAUGAUAAUUAAGUUCAUCUAAUCAAAUUAUUUAAUGAACUCCCACUUAGAUAGACAUCCCUCUAGUCAUCUAAGUGAUACAUGAUCCGAAUCGACUAGGCCGUGUCGAUCAUCACGUGAGACGGACUAGUCACCAACGGUGAACAUCUCCAUGUUGAUCGUAUCUACUAUACGACUCAUGUUCGACCUUUCGGUCUCUUGUGUUCCGAGGCCAUGUCUGUACAUGCUAGGCUCGUCAAGUCAACCUAAGUGUAUCACAUGUGUAAAUAUGGCUUACACCCCUUGUAUGCGAACGUUAGAAUCUAUCACACUCGAUCAUCACGUGGUGCUUCGAAACAACGAACCUUCACAAUGGUGCACAGUUAGGGGGAACACAUUUCUUUAAAUUUUUAGUGAGGGAUCAUCUUAUUUAUGCUACCGUCGUUCUAAGAAAAUAAGUUGUAACCAUGACAAACAUCACAUGCAAAUCAUAAAGUGACAUGAUAUGGACAAUAUGAUCUUGUGCCUUUGAUGUCCAUCUUCGUGGCACGACAUGAUCACCUUCAUCACCGACAUGACACCAUGAUAUCCAUCAUCAUGAUCUCCAUCAUUGUGUCUUCAUGAAGUUGUCUCGCCAACUAUUACUUGUACUACUAUGGCUAACGAUUAGCAAUGAAGUAAAGUAAUUACAUGGCGUUUUUCAUUGACACGCAGGUCAUACAAUAAAUUAAGGCAACUCCUAUGGCUCCUGCCGGUUGUCAUACUCAUCUACAUGCAAGUCGUGAUUCCUAUUACAAGAACAUGAUCAAUCUCAUACGUCACAUAUAUAUAAUUCAUCACAUCCUUUUGGCCAUAUCACAUCACAAAGCAUACCCUGCAAAAACAAGUUAGACGUCCUCUAAUUGUUGUUGCAUGUUUUACGUGGCUACUAUGGGUUUCUGGCAAGAACGUUUCUUACCUAUGCAAAAGCCACAACGGUGAUAUGCCAAUUGCUAUUUACCCUUCAUAAGGACCCUCUUCAUCGAAUCUGAUCCGACUAAAGUGGGAGAGACAGACACCCGCUAGCCACCUUAUGCAUCAAGUGCAUGUCUGUCGGCGGAACCAGUCUCAUGUAAGAGUACCUGUAAGGUUGGUCUGGGCCGCUUCAUGCCAUAAUGCCGCCGAAUCAAGAUAAGACUAGUAAUACUAAGCAAAUUGACCAAAUCAUCGCCCACAACUACUUUGUGUUCUACUCAUGCAUAGAAUCUACGCAUAGACCUAGUUCUGAUACCACUGUUGGGGAACGUAGCGAUAAUUCAAAAAAAUUCCUACGCGUCACCAAGAUCAAUCUAGGAGAUGCUAGCAACAAGAGAGAGGGAGUGCAUCUUCAUACCCUUGAAGAUCGAUAAGCGGAAGCGUUACAAGGAACGCGGAUGAUGGAGUCGUACUCACGGCGAUUCAAAUCGCGAAAGAUCCGAUCUAGCGCCGAAUGGACGGCGCCUCCGCAUUCAACACACGUACAGCCCGGGGAUGUCUCCUCCUUCUUGAACCAGCAAGGGGAGAGAAGAAGUUGAGGGAGAGCUCCGGCAGCAUGACGACGUGGUGGUGGAGCUUGCAGUUCUCCGACAGGGCUUCACCAAGCACGACGGAGGAGGAGGAGGUGUUGGAGAGGGGAAGGGCUGUGCCAAGGAAGGGAGUGCGGCUUCCCUCUCUCUCCCUCACUAUAUAUAGGGGAAGGGGAGGAGGCGCCCUAGGGGAGGGGCGGCGGCCAUAGGGGAAACCCUAUAUGGGUUUGGGCACCCCCACCCCUAGGAAACUUGCCCCCCAAGCCGGGAGGGGGGCUGCCCUAGGGGAGGCGCCCCUAGAUACAUCCAUUUUGCAUCAUGCUUUUACAUUGAUAUUUAUUGCAUGUCACAAUACUUAUGCCUAUUCUCUCUUAUUUUAUAAGGUUUGAACGAAGAGGGAGAAUGCCGGCAGCUGGAAUUCUGGGCUGGAAAAGGAGCAAAUAUUAGAGACCUAUUCUGCACAACUCCAAAAGUCCUGAAACUCUAUGGAAGUCAGCUUUGGAAUAUAUAAAAAAAUUGGGCGAAGAAAGCACCAGAGGGGGGCCACCCACCAUCCACGAGGGUGGGGGCGCGCCCCCUAUCUCAUGGGCCCCCUGGCAGGCCUCCGGUACCCAUCUUUGUCUAUAUGAAGUCUUUCACCCUGGAAAAAAAUCAUUAGCAAGUUUUCGGGACGAAACACCGCCGCCACGAGGUGGAACCUUGGCGGAACCAAUAUAGGGCUCCGGUGGAGCUGUUCUGCCGGGGAAACAUCCCUCCAGGAGGGGGAAAUCAUCACCAUCGAUCCUCUCAUCAGGAGGGGGUCAAUCUCCAUCAACAUCUUCACUAGCACCAUCUCUCAAUCCCUAGUUCAUCUUUUGUAUCCAAGCUUUGUCUCAAAACCUCAGAUUGGUACCUGUGGGUUGCUAGUAGUGUUGAUUACUCCUUGUAGUAGAUUGAUAACCCACAAGUAUAGGGGAUCGCAACAGUUUUCGAUAAGUAAGAGUGUCGAACCCAACGAGGAGCUAAAGGCAAAACAAAUAUUCCCUCAAGUUCUAUCGACCACCGAUACAACUCUACGCACGCUUGAUGUUCGCUUUACCUAGAACAAGUAUGAAACUAGAAGUACUUUGUAGGUGUUGUUGGAUAGGUUUGCAAGAUAAUAAAGAUAACGUAAAUAAAAAGUAGGGGCUGUUUAGGUAAAGACACAACUAAAUUAGUUUUAGUAGAGAGCUUUUUGUUACGAGAAAGUUAUUUGUCCCUAGGCAAUCGAUAACUAGACCGGUAAUCAUUAUUGCAAUUUUAUUUGAGGGAGAGGCAUAAGCUAACAUACUUUCUCUACUUGGAUCAUAUGCACUUAUGAUUGGAACUCUAGCAAGCAUCCGAAACUACUAAAGAUCAUUAAGGUAAAACCCAACCAUAGCAUUAAACCAAUCUUGAUCAUCAAAUAGCCCAUACGACAAAACAGAUCUACUCAAACAUCAUAGGAUAGCCAUACAUCAUUGGGAAAUAAUAUAUAGCAUUGAGCACCAUGUUUAAGUAGAGAUUACAGUGGAUAAGAGAGAGGUUACACCACUGCAUAUAGGGGGGAAGAGUUGGUGAUGAUGGCGGUGAAGUUGUUGGUGAAGAUUGCGGUGAUGAUGAUGGCCCCCGGUGGCACUCCGGCGCCACCGGAAGCGAGGGGGAGAGAGCCCCCCUCCUUCUUCUUCUUCCUUGACCUCCUCCCUAGCUGGGAGAAGGGUUUCCCCUCUGGUCCUUGGUCUCCAUGGCAUGGGAGGGGCGAGAGCCCCUCUGAGAUUGGAUAUGUCUCUCUGUCUCUCUCUAUUUCUGUGUUAUCAGAUUCUGCCCUUUCACCGUUUCUUAUAUUCCCGGAGAUCUGUAACUCCAAUUGGGCUGAAAUUUUAACAGGAUCUCUAUCUGGAUAUUAUCUUUCUUGCGGCAAAAGAAGGGCAUCAACCGUCUUACGGGGUGGCCACGAGGGUCAGGGCGCGCCCCUGCCUCGUGGCCCCCUCGGCAUCGUCUCGCGUGGAUUUUUCUUCCCAAAAAUCUCAUAUAUUCCAAAAAAAAUCUCCGUCGGUUUUUAUCCCGUUUGGACUCCAUUUGAUAUGGAUUUACUACGAAACAAAAAACAUGCAACAAACAGAAACUGACACUGGGCACUGGAUCAACAUGUUAGUCCCAAAAAUAGUAUAAAAACUUGCCAAAAGUAUAUGAAAGUUGUAGAAUAUUGGCAUGGAACAAUCAAAAAUUAUAGACACGACGGAGAUGUAUCAGCAUCCCCAAGCUUAAUUCCUGCUCAUCCUCGAGUAGGUAAAUGAUAAAAAGAUAUUUUUGAUGUGGAAUGCUACCUAGCAUAAUCUUGAUCACAUAUCUAAUCAUGGCAUGAAUAUUAAGAUACAAGUGAUUCAAAGCAAUAGUCUAUCAUUUGACAUAAAAACAAUAAUACUUCAAGCCUACUAACAAAGCAAUCAUGUCUUUUCAAAAUAACAUGGCCAAAGAAAGUUAUCCCUACAAAAUCAUAUGGUCUGGCUAUGCUCCAUCUUCACCACACAAAAUAUUCAAAUCAUGCACAACCCCGAUGACAAGCCAAGCAAUUGUUUCAUACUUUUGACAUUCUCAAACCUUUUCAACUUGCAUGCAAUACAUGAGCGUGAGCCAUGGACAUAGCACUAUAGGUGGAAUAGAAUGGUUGUUGUGGAGAAUACAAAAAGGAGAAGAUAGUCUCACAUCAACUAGGCGUAUCAACGGGCUAUGGAGAUGCCCAUCAAUAGAUAUCAAUGUGAGUGAGUAGGGAUUGCCAUGCAACGGAUGCACUAAGAGCUAUAAGUGUAUGAAAGCUCAGACUGAAAACUAAGUGGGUGUGCAUCCAACUUUCUUGCUCAUGAAGACCUCGGGCGUUUGAGGAAGCCCAUCAUCGGAAUAUACAAGCCAAGUUCUAUAAUGAAAAUUCCCACUAGUUUAUGAAAGUGAUAACUCUAAGAGACUCUCUAUAUGAAGAACAUGGUGCUACUCUGAAGCACAAGUGUGGUAAAAGGAUAGUAACAUUGCCCCUUCUCUCUUUUUCUCUCAUUUUUUUAUUUUUUUCUUUAUUUUUUGGUGGCUUAUUUGGCCUCUUUUUUUAUUUGGGCUUCUUUGGCCUCUUUUAUUUUUUUUAAAGUCCAGAGUCUCAUCCCGACUUGUGGGGGAAUCAUAGUCUCCAUCAUCCUUUCCUCACUGGGGCAAUGCUCUAAUAAUAAUGAACAUCACACUUUUAUUUACUUACAACUCGAUACUAGAACAAAGAUAUGACUCUAUAUGAAUGCCUCCAGCGGUGUACCAGGAGGUGCGAUGAUCUAGCGUAGCAAUGACAUCAAAAAACGGACAAGCCAUGAAAACAUCAUGCUAGCUAUCUUACAAUCAUGCAAAACAAUAUGACAAUGAUGCUCAAGUCAUGUAUAUGAUGAUGAUGGAAGUUGCACGGCAAUAUAUCUCGGAAUGGCUAUGGAAAUGCCAUGAUAGGUAGGUAUGGUGGCUGUUUUGAGGAAGGUAUAUGGUGGGUUUAUGGUACCAGCGAAAGUUGCGCGAUACUAGAGAGGCUAGCAAUGAUGGAAGAGUGAGAGUGCGUAUAAUCCAUGGACUCAACAUUAGUCAUAAAGAACUCGCAUACUUAUUGCAAAAGUCUAUUAGCUAUCAAAAAAGUACUACGCACAUGCUCCUAGGGGGAUAGAUUGGUAGGAAAAGACCAUCGCUCGUCCCCGACCGCCACUCAUAAGGAAGACAAUCAAUAAAUAAAUCAUGCUCUGACUUCGUUACAUAACGGUUCACCAUACGUGCAUGCUACGGGAAUAACAAACCUCAACACAAGUAUUUCUACAAUCCACAACUACCCACUAGCAUGACUCUAAUAUCACCAUCUUUAUAUCGCAAAACUAUUGCAAGGAAUCAAACAUAUCAUAUUCAGUGAUCUACAAGUUUUAUGUAGGAUUUUAUGACUAACCAAGUGAAUGACCGAUUCCAGUCAUCUCUCUAAAUAGAUAUAAGUGAAGCAAGAGAGUUUAAUUCUUUCUACAAAAGAUAUGCCCAUGCUCUAACAAAUAUAAGUGAAGAAAAAGAGCAUUCUACAAAUGGCGGUUUUCUAUGUAAAGAGAAACAGGCAAUCCAAACUUCAAAUGAUAUAAGUGAAGCACAUGAAGCAUUCUAUAAAGCCAUACUCAAAAGAUAUAAGUGAAGUGCAUAGAGCAUUCUAUAAAUCAACCAAGGACUAUCUCAUACCAGCAUGGUGCAUAAAAUAAAAAUGAAAACUAAAUGCAAAAGACGCUCCAAGAUUGCACAUAUCGCAUGAACGAAACGAAUCCGAAAAUAUACCGAUACUUGUUAAAGAAAGAGGGGAUGCCUUCCGGGGCAUCCCCAAGCUUAGACGCUUGAGUCUCCUUGAAUAUUUACUUGGGGUGCCUCGGGCAUCCCCAAGCUUGAGCUCUUUCCUCUCUUCCUUCUUCUCACAUCGAGACCUUCUCGAUCAUCGAACACUUCAUCUGCGCAAAACUUCAACAGAAAACUCGGUAAGAUCCGUUAGUAUAAUAAAGCAAAUCACUACUCUAAGUACUAUUCCAAACCAAUUCAUAUUUUGUUUUCGCAUUGUUUCUACUGUAGUAUAAAUUUUUCAUGGCUUAAUCUACUGAUAUAAAUCGAUAGUUUCAUCAAAAUGAGCAAACUAUGCAUCAAAAACAGAAUCAGUCUAAAACAGAACAGUCUGUAAUAAUCUGAACAUUCACCAUACUUAUGAUACUUGAAAAAUUCUGCAAAAAUUAGGAAAAAUAAACAAUUUGCACAGAAAGACAGCGGAAAAGGAAUCAGAACCGUUUGACGUUCCAGUAAAAAAAUGUAAAAUCGCGCACUACAACCAUAGUUUCUGUCCUGCACCGUGCAAACCAACAAGCAUUGUAAACAUCCUAAAGGCAAACCUUGGCACAUUAUUUUUAUAAUACAAUGGAAUUGUACAAGGGGAUAAUUAUUUUUAUUGAAAAGUUUCUGUAAUCAAGAUUCACAAAUUUUUCGUGAGCAUGAACAAAGUUCAAGGCUAGCUCCCACUUCAACAAUACUCGUCUUUCUGCAUUUUCACUUUCCUUUUUGAAAAAGUUUUGGGUUCCCCUCUUUAUUUUUGUUGUUUUUAAACUAUAUGAAAGCACUCAACAGAAAUAAAUUACUCUCUAAAACUUCCGGGUUGUCUCCCUGGCAGCGCUUUCUUUAAAGCCAUUAAGCUAGGCAUAUAGUGCUCAAGUAGUGAAUCCACCCGGAUCCCAAGGUAUAUCAAAGCCAAUUUUAAUUAACAAUGAUUUAUUAUUUAGUAGUGAGCACAAAGCAAUAUAUAUCAUGUAACAAUGAAGUCUAACUCUCUUCCUAUGCAUCGGCAUGUCAUAAAAGAACAAUUCAUGCACACAUAGUAAAGGCCAAUGCAUAGUAUAAACAGUUUCUUGCAAUUUUAUCGUGUGGGAAACAUAGAGAGGUGGAGAUAUAGUUCCUCUCUCAUAAUAAUUGCAAGUAGGAGCAGCAAGCACAUGCAUAUUAUAUCUAUCAAAAUCAUCAUGUGUAGUAGUAAAAGGCAACCCAUCAAUGUAAUCCUUAAUAAGCACAAACUUCUCCGAUAUAGUGUAGUUUGGAGAAUUCAAAAAGAUAAUAGGACUAUCAUGUGUGGGUGCAAUAACAAAAAUUUAAUGUUUAACAUAAGGAACUAUAGCAAGUUCAUCUCCAUAAGCAUAAUUCAUAUUGGCAUCUUGGCCACAAGCAUAGCAAGCAUCAUCAAAAAGGGAUAUUUCAAAAGAAUCAACGGGAUCAUAGCAAUUAUCAUAGCAUUCAUCCUUUGGUAAGCAUGAAGGGAAAUUAAACAAUGUAUGAGUUGAGGAGUUACUCUCAUUAGAAGGCGGGCACGGGUAAUCAAUCCGCUCUUCCUCCUUUUGUUCUUCGCUCUCCUCCUCAUCUUUUUCAUCCAAUGAGCUCACACUUUCAUCAAUUUCUUCUUCCAUAGAUUCCUGCAAAAUAUUAGUCUCUUCUGGGACAGAGGAGACUUUCUCAAUAAAUGCAUCAAUAUCAGAAUUGUAUUCAUAAUUCUCAUAACAAUAUUGAAGGAUAGCUAAAUUUUCAGGUCUGUAGACAGCAUCAUAAAGAUUUUCAUAUUCAUUGAACAUAGAUUCAAUUUCAUAAGCACCCAUAAAAGCACCAAAUUCUUAUAUUUUUUCCACAUCAUAGUAGUCAUAUAUACCUCUAGCAUAAGAAGCCAAAUUUUCAUUAUCAUUAAAUUCACAUGAAAAGGGAAGGUGUGGAGCCUUCAUCCUAGAGCAAUAAGUAUAAUCAUAUCUCAAGCAUAGUUGCCUAGCAUACCAAUACAACAUAUAAAUUUGAUCCCAUAAUAGUUUCCCUUUUUUAGUCAAGCGAUAAUCCCUAAAGUAUUCAUGUUGAUCUAACGUGUCUCCCAUUACCAAAUUGAAUGGGGUUUUCUCUGCAUUAUCAAAGUAGUACAUAAUAUCUGUCACAUAACGAGCAUCGAGGGUUUUAGGAGGUUCCUCAUCUCCAUGAGCAACAAGUACACCUAAUUUUUUUGGUAUUUCGUCUUCCAUAUCCAUAACUAAAGAUAAAGGACAACUAAGAACAGCAAAUAAAAAUUACUUAGUGAUAAAGCAAACAAGCACACACGAGAAUAUUCACCCCAUGCUAUUGCUCCCCGGCAACGGCGCCAGAAAAAGGUCUUGAUAACUCACAAGUAUAGGGGAUCGCAACAGUUUUUGAUAAGUAAGAGUAUCGAACCCAACGAGGGGCUAAAGGCAAAAUAAAUAUUCCCUCAAGUUCUAUCAACCACCGAUACAACUCUACGCACGCUUGAUGUUCGCUUUACCUAGAACAAGUAUGAAACUAGAAGUACUUUGUAGGUGUUGUUGGAUAGGUUUGCAAGAUAAUAAAGAUCACGUAAAUAAAACGUAGGGGCUGUUUAGGUAAAGACACAACUAAAUUAGUUUUAGUAGAGAGCUUUUUGUUACGAGAAAUUUAUUUGUCCCUAGGCAAUCGAUAACUAGACCGGUAAUCAUUAUUGUAAUUUUAUUUGAGGGAGAGGCAUCAGCUAACAUACUUUCUCUACCUGGAUCAUAUGCACUUAUGAUUGGAACUCUAGCAAGCAUCCGCAACUACUAAAGAUCAUUAAGGUAAAACCCAACCAUAGCAUUAAAGCAUCGAGUCCUCUUUAUCCCAUAUGCAACAACCCCCUUACUCAGGUUUGUGUUUCAGUCACUCAUGCAACCCACUAUAAGAGAAUCAUGAACUAUUGCAACACCCUACAGCGGGGAUCCCUCACGCUUGCAUGACACAAAGAGCACCAUAGGACAGCACCAAUAAUAAAACAUGCAACUCAAACCAAUCUUGAUCAUCAAAUAGCCCAUAGGACAAAACAAAUCUACUCAAAUAUCAUAGGAUAGCCAUACAUCAUUGGGAAAUAAUAUAUAGCGUUGAGCACCAUGUUUGAGUAGAGAUUACAGCGGGUAAGAGAGAGGUUACACCACUGCAUAGAGGGGGGAAGAGUUGGUGAUGAUGGCGGUGAAGUUGUUGGUGAAGAUUGCGGUGAUGAUGAUGGCCCCCGGUGGCACUCCGGCGCCACCGGAAGCAAGGGGGAGAGAGCCCCCCUCCUUCUUCUUCUUCCUUGACCUCCUCCCUAGAUGGGAGAAGGGUUUGCCCUCUGGUCCUUGGUCUCCAUGGCAUGGGAGGGGCGAGAGCCCCUCCGAGAUUGGAUCUGUCUCUCCGUCUCUCUCUGUUUCUGCGUUCUCAGAUUUUGCCCUUUCACCGUUUCUUAUAUUCUCGGAGAUCCGUAACUCUGAUUGGGCUGAAAUUUUAACACGAUCUCUAUCCGGAUAUUAGCUCUCUUGCGGCGAAAGAAGGGCAUCAACCGCCUUAACGGGUGGCCACAAGAGUCAGGGGGCGCGCCCCCUGCCUCGUGCCCCCCUCAGGCAUCGUCUCGCGUGGAUUUUUCUUCCCCAAGAUCACAUAUAUUCCACAAAAAAUCUCCGUCAGUUUUUAUCCCAUUUGGACUCCGUUUGAUAUGGGUUUACUGCGAAACAAAAAAACAUGCAACAAACAGGAACUGACACUGGGCACUGGAUCAAUAUGGUAGUCCCAAAAAUAGUAUAAAAACUUGCCAAAAGUAUAUGAAAGUUGUAGAAUAUUGGCAUGGAACAAUCAAAAAUUAUCGAUACGACGGAGACGUAUCAUUGAUGCUAGUUGGUUUAUUUGGUGGAAGAUCAUAUGUUCAGAUUCUUUAUGCAUAUUAGUACCCCUCUGAUUAUGAACAUGAAUAUGAUUUGUGAGUAGUUACGUUUGUUCCUGAGGACAUGGGAGAAGUCUUGCUAUAAGUAGUCAUGUGAAUUUGGUAUUCGUUCGAUAUUUUGAUGAGAUGUAUGUUGUCUUUCCUCUAGUGGUGUCAUGUGAACGUCGACUACAUGACACUUCACCAUUGUUUGGGCCUAGGGGAAGGCAUUGGGAAGUAAUAAGUAGAUGAUGGGUUGCUAGAGUGACAGAAGCUUAAACCCUAGUUUAUGUGUUGCUUUGUAAGGGGCUGAUUUGGAUCCAUAUGUUUCAUGCUAUGGUUAGGUUUACCUUAAUACUUCUUUUGUAGUUGCGGAUGCUUGCAAGAGGGGUCAAUCAUAAGUGGGAUGCUUGUCCAAGUCAGGGCAGUACCCAAUCACCGGUCCACCCACAUAUCAAAUUAUCAAAGUACCAAACGUGAAUCAUAUGAACGCGAUGAAAACUAGCUUGACGAUAAUUCCCAUGUGUCCUCGGGAGCGCUUUCCUUUAUAUAAGAGUUGUCCAGGCUUGUCCUUUGCUACAAAAAGAAUUGGGCCAUCUUGCUGCACCUUAUUUACUUUUAUUACUUGUUACCUGUUACAAAUUACCUUAUCACAAAACUAUCGGUUACCGAUAAUUUCAGUGCUUGCAGAGAAUACUUUACUGAAAACUGCUUAUCAUUUCCUUCUGCUCCUCGUUGGGUUCGAUACUCUUAAUUAUCGAAAGGACUAUGAUAGAUCCCAUAUACUUGUGGGUCACCAAGACUCUUUUCUGGCUCCGUUGCCAGGGAGUGAAGCGCCUUUGGUAAGUGGAAUUUGGUAAGGAAAAAUUUAUAUAGUGUGCUGAAAUUUACUGUCACUUGUUACUAUGGAAAGUAAUCCUUUGAGUGUCUUGUUCGGGGUAUCUUCACCCCGACCAGUAGAGCAAAGAGUUGCUCCUCAACCUGCUGAACCUACUAAAAAUGUUUAUUUCGAAAUUUCUUCGGGUAUGGUAGAGAAAUUGGUAGCUAAUCCUUUUAUAGGAGAUGGAACACUACAUCCUGAUUUGCACCUAAUCUAUAUGGAUGAAGUUUGUGGAUUAUUUAAGCUUGCAGGUAUGCCCGAGGAUGUUAUCAAGAAGAAGGUCUUCCCUUUAUCUUUGAAGGGAAAGGCAUUGACAUGGUUUAGGCUAUGUGAUGAUAUUGGAUCAUGGAACUACAACCGAUUGAAAUUGGAAUUUCAUCAGAAGUUUUAUCCUAUGCAUCUGGUUCAUCGUGAUCGUAAGUAUAUAUAUAUAAUAUUUGGCCUCGCGAAGGAGAAAGCAUCACUCAAGCUUGGGGGAGGCUUAAGUCAAUGUUAUAUUCAUGCCCCAAUCACGAGCUCUCAAGAGAAAUUAUUAUUCAAAAAAAUUAUGCUCGGCUUUCUCUCAAUAAUCGAUCCAUGCUCGAUACUUCUUGUGCUGGAUCUAGGCCUGGGCGUUCGGUAGAAACCGAAAUCUCGGCUUCUACUAUUUGGUUUUUUCUGUGAAUUCGGUUAUCUAAAAUGAAAACAGAAAUAGACACCAAAAAUCAGCUAACCAAAGUUUUGGUUAACCAAUUUUUCGAUUCGGUUUUUGGUAUUAACUGAAUUUGGGACCAAGUACAGAAAAUAUUUUUCUACAGCAUGCACUCACCUAUUGUAACUGUAGAAACAAUAAACUCAAAACCACACUAUCGUUUCCUUGGGGCGAGUUAACUAUUGUGUGCGUUAUACCUAGUGUGCCUUACCUUCUUAAGUAGCCAAGCCCGCCAUCACAUCAUGUGUAGCUAGGCGAGGUGGGAUAAAUCCAUGUGAAGUUGCGUACUCUGCUGGCUGGGAGAAAUUACUAUGCAAAAGUAUGGGCCCUGGAGAGUUUCUUGUAUGUGGUAGGCCCAGGAGAGGUUCCCUGACUCGCACAUGCAGGCAGCCACGCGAAGUGCCUGGCAAGAUAGCGACCUGAGCGCUUAGGAUUCUGCAUGUUUGAUCAGGUUACUUCGGUCUAUGUUUCGGUAAACGGUAUAAAGCCAAACUGUCCGAAUUAAAUUCGGUUAGUAUAAUUGAAAACCAAAUUUUACUGUAGCAAUGAGAAAACCGAAAAUUCGGUUUUUUCGGUUCCGGUAUCGGUUCGGUCUUCGGUUCAUCGGUUUUUAUGCCCACCCCUAACUGGAUCUUUUAUGAUGAAGACUAUUGAAUUCAUAUGGGAUUUGUUGGAAAGAAUUAAACGCAACUCUGAAGAUUGGGAACUCGACGAGGGUAAGGAGUCAGAGCAGGAAGAAAUGAAAUUAUUGAAAACUCUGAAGAAGCACCGUGCUUCCACUGGAUAUACUCUUGAUGAUCUUAAGGGCAUUAGUCCCACUCUAUGCCAGCACAAAAUAAAAUUGGAGAAAGAUGCUAAACCGGUUGUUGAUCACCAAUGACGGUUACAUCCCAAGAUGAAAGAAGUGGCAAGAAAAGAAAUACUAAAGCUUCUGGAGGCAGGUAUAAUUUAUCCCGUUGCUGAUAGUCAGUGGGUAAGUGAUAACCCACAAGUAUAGGGGAUCACAACAGUUUUCGAGGGUAGAGUAUUCAACCCAAAUUUAUUGAUUUGACACAAGGGGAGCCAAAUAAUAUUCUCAAGUAUUAGCAGGUGAGUUGUCAAUUCAAUGGGUUACUUUAAUCUGGAAUAGUUACUAUGAUGAUGGACUUCCACAUGCUAUAGUUCCAGUUGGGUCAUUUUGGUGGGGGGAUAUACUCAAGCUCUCUGAUGCAUAUACUGCAAUCUCCUCAGUUCACAUCAAUAGGGGAGACUCUGCCCUUUUCUGGUCUGAUGCUUGGUUAAUUGGUGGCUCUUCAAGAACUCUAUGUUGGAGGUUACCUCGGCUUUUCUACUUUGUUAUUAAUGACAAACUCUCUGUGAAUGAAUUCCUCAUCUUUUAGGACCUAUACUCAAUGUUCUUCUUGCCUUUGUCACAUGAGGCUACUCUGGAGCUGCAAGUUUUGGAAGCUUGGAUCCUGGAUUUACAUAGAGACAUCACUCUGCCAGAUGUUUGGAUAUGGCCUGGAAAAUCUGGUGAAUACUCUGCCAAGAGCUUUUACACUCUUAUGCAUUCUCAUUUGCCAACCAUAUUGCCAUGUAAGUGGUUGUGGGAUAGCAAGUGCACCAUGAAGAUCAAAGUGUUUGGUUGGUUGUUGUUUUUUUUGAUAGACUCAAUACCAAGGACUUAUUAAUUCGUAGGCACUGGAGAUCACCUAUGCAUGACAAUCUCUCUGUUAUCUGCAAUGAGCUAGUCUAUGAGGAUAGGUUGCACUUGUUUUUUAACUGUAACUUCAGUCGCAGAGUAUGGAAUUAUAUUUCCAUUUAUUGGUCCAGGGGAUCUGAAAUUCAGCAAUUUAUUCAGCAUGCAAGAUGAAGGUUUAAGCAUCCCUUCUUCUUUGAAGUUAUGCUCACUGCAGCUUGGAAUAUAUGGAUCCUCAGGAAUGGCAGGACUUUCAGAGGAGAAAAUGCAACCUUUGCUGCUUGGAGAUGUAAUUUUGUACAUGAUCUUACUCUUCUAGCUCAUAGAAUGAGAGUAAAUAUUAGAGACAAGUUGUAUGCUUGGAUUAACUCUCUAACUUAGCUACAGGUAGGUAGGUAGUUAGACUCUUUUUUUCUUCCUUUUAUUCCUUGCUUUCUUCACUAGCUUGUACAGUUGCUACUUCUUUAUUUAAUAAAGGGCUGUGGAGCUUUGCUCUACAGUAAAUAUUCAAAAAAAAAUCAACCACACCUGAAAACUUAAUAUCUGCAGCAAGGUAUUUAGUAGCAAAGUAAUAUGAUAGUAGUGCUAACGGUAGCAAAAGUAAUAUUUUUGGUUUUAUAGUGAUUGUAACAGUAGCAACGGAAAAGUAAAUAAGCGAAGAACAAUAUUUGAAAAGCUUGUAGGCAUUGGAUUGGUGAUGGAGAAUUAUGUUGGAUGCGAUCGAUCAUGCAAUAGUUAUAACAUAGGGUGACACAGAACUAGCUCCAGUUCAUCAAUGUAAUGUAGGCAUGUAUUCCGAAUAUAGUCAUACGUGCUUAUGGAAAAGAACUUGCAUGACAUCUUUUGUCCUACCCUCCCGUGGCAGCGGGGUCCUAUUGGAAACUAAGGGAUAUUAAGGCAUCCUUUUAAUAGAGUACCGGACCAUAGCAUUAACACAUAGUGAAUACAUGAACUCCUCAAACUACGGUCAUCACCGGUAAUAGUCCCGAUUAUUGUCACUUCGGGGUUAACGGAUCAUAACACAUAAUAGGUGACUAUAGACUUGCAAGAUAGGAUCAAGAACUCACAUAUAUUCAUGAAAACAUAAUAGGUUCAGAUCUGAAAUCAUGGCACUCGGGCCCUAGUGACAAGCAUUAAGCAUAGCAAAGUCAUAGCAACAUCAAUCUCAGAACAUAGUGGAUACUAGGGAUCAAACCCUAACAAAACUAACUCGAUUACAUGAUAAAUCUCAUCCAACCCAUCACCGUCCAGCAAGCCUACGAUGGAAUUACUCACGCAAGGUGGUGAGCAUCAUGAAAUUGGUGAUGGAGGAAGGUUGAUGAUGAUGAUGGCGACGAAUUCCCCUCUCCGGUGCCCCGAAUGGACUCCAGAUCAGCCCUCUCGAGAGAGUUUAGGGCUUGGCGGCGGCUCCGUAUCGUAAAACGUGAUGAAUCCUUCUUCCUGAUUUUUUUCUCCCCGAACACGAAUGUAUGGAGUUGGAGUUGAGGUCGGUGGAGCGUCAGGGGGCCCACGAGGCAGGGGGGCGCGCCCCCCACCCUCAUGGACAGGGUGUGGGCUGAUACGUCUCCAACGCAUCUAUAAUUUUUGAUUGCUCCAUGCUAUUAUAUUAUCUAUUUUGGAUGUUAAUGGGCUUUAUUUUACACUUCUAUAUCAUUUUUGGGACUAACCUACUAAUCGGAGGCCCAACCCAAAUUGCUGUUUUUUGCCUAUUUUAGGGUUUCGAAGAAAAGGAAUAUCAAACGGAGUCCAAAAGGAAUGAAACCUUCGGGAACGUGAUUUUCUCAACAAACGUGAUCCAGGAGACUUGGAGUGGGCGUCAAGAAACAAACGAGGCGGCCACGAGGCAGGGGGCGCGCCUACCCCUGGGUGCGCCCUCCACCCUCGUGGGCCCCUCGUUGCUCCACCGACGUACUUAUUCCUCCUAUAUAUAUCCACGUACCCCCCAAACAUCCAGGAGCACCACGAAAACCUAAUUCCACCGCCGCAACCUUCUGUACCCGAGAGAUCCCAUCUUGGGGCCUUUUCUGGAGCUCCACCGGAGGGGGAAUUGAUCAUGGAGGGCCUCUACAUCAACUCCAUGGCCUCUCCGGUGAUGUGUGAGUAGUUUACUUCAGACCUUCGGGUCCAUAGUUAUUAGCUAGAUGGCUUCUUCUCUCUCUUUGGAUCUCAAUACAAAGUUCUCCUCGAUCUUCUUAGAGAUCUAUUCGAUGUAAUCUUCUUUUGCGGUGUGUUUGUCGAGAUCCGAUGAAUUGUGGGUUUAUGAUCCAGUUUUGUCUAUGAACAAUAUUUAAUUCUCCUCUAAAUUCUUUUAUGUAUGAUUGGUUUAUAUUUGCAAGUCUCUUUGAAUUAUCAGUUUGGUUUGGCCUACUAGAUUGAUCUUUCUUGCAAUGGGAUAAGUGCUUAGCUUUGGGUUCAAUCUUGUGGUGUUCGAUCCCAGUGACAGAAAGGGAACCGAUACAUAUUGUAUUGUUGCCAUCGAGGAUAAAAAGAUGGGGUUUAUAUCAUAUUGCAUGAGUUUAUCCCUCUACAUCAUGUCAUCUUCCUUAAAGCAUUACUCUGUUCUUAUGAACUUAAUACUCUAGAUGCAUGCUGGAUAGUGGUCGAUGUGUGGAGUAAUAGUAGUAGAUGCAGAAUCGUUUCGGUCUACUUGUCUCGGACAUGAUGCCUAUAUACAUGAUCAUACCUAGAUAUUCUCAUAACUAUGCUCAAUUCUAGCAAUUGCUCGACAGUAAUUCGUUUACCCACCAUAAUACUUAUGCUCUUGAGAGAAGCCACUAGUGAAACGUAUGGCCCCCGGGUCUAUCUUCCAUCAUAUUAAUCUUCCAAUACUUAGUUAUUUCCUUUGCCUUUUAUUUUAAUUUGCACCUUUAUUUCUCUUUAUCAUAAAAAUAAGAAAAAUAUUAUCUUAUCAUAUCUAUCAGAUCUCACUCUCUUAAGUGACCGUGAAGGGAUUGAUGACCCCUUUAUCGCGUUGGUUGCGAGGUUCUUAUUUGUUUGUGUAGGUGCGUGGGACUCAAGCGUGAUCUCCUACUGGAUUGAUACCUUGGUUCUCAAAAACUGAGGGAAAUACUUACGCUACUUGACUGCAUCACCCUUUCCUCUUCAAGGGAAAACCAACGCAGUGCUCAAGAGGUAGCAAGACGGAUUUCUGGCGCCGUUGCCGAGGAGAUUCGCACCAAGUCAAGUCAAGCACAAGUCAAGACAUACCAAGUACCCAUCACAAACUCUUAUCCCUCGCAUUACAUUAUUUGUCAUUUGCCUCUCGUUUUCCUCUCCCCUACUUCACCCUUGCCGUUUUAUUUCCCUCUCUUUUCCGCUCUCCUUUCUUUCGCCUUGUCGGAAUCAGAAAGGGUUGGGGGUUCUCUCCCGAGUUUUAGUACUUUUGACAAUCCUUAUGUUCUCUCUAAACUCAUAAAAAUGAUGAUAUGGAAAGACCUACCGAAGUUAUUGAUGAGAAUCAUAAUAAUUUUGAUGAAGAUGAUUCCAGAAUUUUUCGUUAUUUACUUGAUGAAUCUGUGAAAGAUGCUUGGGAUAGACUAUUAAGGAUCCGGGCCAGCUAUGUGCCCCAAUACCAAAUUGAAAUUUACUUAAAGAGCUUUUAUAUUGCCCUACCUUCUUAAUUUAAGCAUGUCCUAGAUUCUAUUUUUGAAGAAGGUUUUCUUGAAGGGGAUGCCAUAGAUACUUAUGAAAAGAUGAAAACCAUAUUUGGGCACCCCAUGAAUGAGAAACUUGAAACCACAUCUCUUUUGCUCUCCUACCAAAACGAAUCUAUCAAAGAGAUGAAAGCUAGCUUAGAUGCAAAUUUCCAUAAAAUGCUUAAUCUUUCUUCUACCAUUAACAACCAUGUGCUUUAUAAAAAUAGAAAGAUUAAUGCCAUAGAUAAUAAGUUUGCUCUUUUCUUCCCUAAAACCAAAGAUGGCAAUACCUAGAUCUAUCCUUGCUUUUAUGCCUAGCUAGGGGCGUUAAACGAUAGCGCUUGUUGGGAGGCAACCCAAUUUUAUUUUUAUUCCUUGAUUUUUGCUCCUGUUUAGUAAUAAAUAAUUUAUCUAGCCUCUGCUUUGGUUGUGUUUUUUGUGUUUAAUUAGUGUUUGUGCCAAGUAGAACCGUUGGGAAGACUUGGGGAAAGUCUUUUUGAUCUUGCUGUAAAAAACAGAAACUUUAGCGCUCACGAGAAUUGCUGCCAUAUUUAUUUGGAGAGUGAUAUUUAGUUAAUUAUUUUUUAGAUUAUUAAUAGAUAAAUUCCUGACGUCCAGCAAUUUAUUUUAGAAUUUUUGGGGUUCCAGAAGUUUGCGUUAGCUACAGAUUACUACAGACUAUUCUGUUUUUGACAGAUUCUGUUUUUCGUGUGUUGUUUGAUUUUUUUGAUGAAUCUAUGGCUAGUAAAAGAGUUUAUAAACCAUAGAGAAGUUGGAAUACAGUAGUUUUAACACCAAUAUAAAUCAAGAAUGAUUUCAUUACAGUACCUCGAAGUGGUGUUUUGUUUUCUUUCGCUAACGGAGCUCACGAGAUUUUCUAUUUAAGUUUUGUGUUGUGAAGUUUUGAAGUUUUGGGUAAAGAUUUGAUGGAUUAUGGAACAAGGAGUGGCAAGAGCUAAGCUUGGGGAUGCCCAUUGCACCCCAAGGUAAAAUUCAAGGACACCAAAAAGCCUAAGCUUGGGGAUGCCCCGGAAGGCAUCCCCUCUUUCGUCUUCGUCUAUCGGUAACUUUACUUGGAGCUAUAUUUUUAUUCACCACAUGGUAUGUGUUUUGCUUGGAGCGUCUUGUAUGAUUUGAGUCUUUGAUUUUUACUUUACCACAAUCAUCCUUUCUGUACACACCUUUUGAGAGAGACUCACAUGAUUGGAAAUUUAUUAGAAUACUCUAUGUGCUUCACUUAUAUCUUUUGAGCUAUAUAGUUUUUGCUCUAGUGCUUCACUUAUACCUUUUAGAGCAUGGCGGUGGUUUUAUUUUAUAGAAAUAAUUGAUCUCUCAUGCUUCACUUAUAUUAUUUUGAGAGUCCUUUAGAACAACAUGGCAAUAAUAAAAUCUUUCAUACAAGUGCAUUGAAUACUAUGAGAAGUUUGAUACUUCAUAAUUGUUUUGAGAUAUGGAGAUGGUGAUAUUAGAGUCAUGCUAGUUGAGUAGUUGUGAAUUUGAGAAAUACUUGUGUUAAAGUUUGUGAUUCCCGUAGUAUGCACAUAUGGUGCACUGUUAUGUGAUGAAGUCGGAGCAUGAUUUAUUUAUUGAUUGUCUUCCUUAUGAGUGGCGGUCGGGGACGAGCGAUGGUCUUUUCCCACCAAUCUAUCCCCCUAGGAGCAUGUGUGUAACACUUUGUUUCGAUAACUAAUAGAUUUUUUCAAUAAGUAUGUGAGUUAUUUAUGACUAAUGUUGAGUCCAUGGAUUAUACUCACUCUCACCCUUCCACCAUUGCUAGCCUCUCUAGUAUCGCACAACUUUCGCCGGUACCAUAAACCCACCAUAUACCUUCCUCAAAACUGUCACCAUACCUACCUAUUAUGGCAAUUUCCAUAGCCAUUCCGAGAUAUAUUUCCAUGCAACUUUCCACCGUUCCGUUAUUAUGACAUGCUUUAUCAUUGUCAUAUUGCUUUGCAUGAUCAUGUAGUUGACAUCGUAUUUGUGGCAAAGCCACCAUUCAUAAUUCUUUCAUACAUGUCACUCUUGAAUCAUUGCAUAUCCCGGUACACCGCCGAAGGCAUUCACAUAGAGUCAUAUUUUGUUCUAAGUAUCAAGUUGUAAUUCUUGAGUUGUAAGUAAAUAAAGUGUGAUGAUCAUCAUUAUUAGAGCAUUGUCCCAAGUGAGGAAAGGAUGAUGGAGACUAUGAUUCCCCCACAAGUCGGUAUGAGACUCCGGACGAAAAAAAGAAGAAGAGAAAGGCCAUAAAAAAGGAGAAGGCCCAAAAAAUGAGAGAAAAAGAGAUAAGGGACAAUGCUACUAUCCUUUUUCCACACUUGUGCUUCAAAGUAGCACCAUGAUCUUCAUGAUAGAGAGUCUCCUAUGAUAUCACUUUCAUAUACUAGUGGGAAAUUUUCAUUAUAGAACUUGGCUUGUAUAUUCGAAUGAUGGGAUUCCUCAAAAUUCCCUAGGUCUUCGUGAGCAAGCAAGUUGGAUGCACACCCACUUAGUUUCUUUUGUUGAGCUUUCAUACACUUAUAGCUCUAGUGCAUCCAUUGCAUGGCAAUCCCUACUCACUCACAUUGAUAUCUAUUGAUGGGCAUCUCCAUAGCCCGUUGAUACGCCUAGUUGAUGUGAGAAUAUCUUCUCCUUUUUGUCUUCUCCACAACCAACAUUCUAUUCCACCAUAUAGUGCUAUAUCCAUGGCUCACGCUCAAGUAUUGCAUGAAGAUUGAAAAAGUUUGAGAACAUCAAAAGUAUGAAACAAUUGCUUGGCUUGUCAUCCGGGUUGUGCAUGAUUUAAAUAUUCUAUGUGGUGAAGAUAGAGCAUAGCCAGACUAUAUGAUUUUGUAGGGAUAAUAGGGAUCAAACCCUAACAAAACUAACUCAAUUACAUGAUAAAACUCAUCCAACCCAUCACCGUCCAGCAAGCCUACGAUGGAAUUACUCACGCACGGCAGUGAGCAUCAUGAAAGUGGUGAUUGAGGAAGGUUGAUGAUGACGAUGGCGACGGAUUCCCCUCUCCGGAGCCCUGAACGGACUCCAGAUCAGCCCUCCCGAGAGUUUAGGGCUUGGCGGUGGCUCCGUAUCAUAAAACGCGAUGAAUCCUUCUCCCUAAUUUUUUCUCCCCGAACACGAAUAUAUGGAGUUGGAGUUGAAGUUGGUGGAGCGUCAGAGGGCCCUCGAGGCAGGGGGGCGCGCCCAGGGGGGUAGGCGCACCCCCCCACCCUCGUGGACAGGGUGUGGGCUGAUAUGUCUCCAACGUAUCUAUAAUUUUUGAUUGCUCCAUGCUAUUAUAUUAUCUAUUUUGGAUGUUAAUGGGCUUUAUUUUACACUUUUAUAUCAUUUUUGGGACUAACCUACUAACCGGAGGCCCAACCCAAAUUGUUGUCUUUUGCCUAUUUUAGGGUUUCGAAGAAAAGGAAUAUCAAACGGAGUCUAAACGGAGUGAAACCUUCGGGAACGUGAUUUUCUCAACAAACGUGAUCCAGGAGACUUGGAGUGGGCGUUAAGAAACAAACGAGGUAGCCACGAGGAAGGGGGCGCGCCUACCCCCUGGGCGUGCCCUCCACCCUCGUGGACCCCUCGUUGCUCCACUGACGUAAUUAUUCCUCCUAUAUAUAUCCACGUACCCCUAAACAUCCAGGAGCACCACGAAAACCUAAUUCCACCGCCGCAACCUUCUAUACCCGAGAGAUCCCAUCUCGGGGCCUUUUCCGGAGGUCCACCAGAGGGGGCAUUGAUCACCGAGGGCCUCUACAUCAACUCCAUGGCCUCUCCGGUGAUGUGUGAGUAGUUUACUUCAGACCUUCGGGUCCAUAGUUAUUAGCUAGAUGGCUUCUUCUCUCUCUUUGGAUCUCAAUACAAAGUUCUCCUCGAUCUUCUUGGAGAUCUAUUUGAUGUAAUCUUCUUUUGCGGUGUGUUUUUCGAGAUCCGAUGAAUUGUGGGUUUAUGAUCCAGUUUAUCUAUGAACAAUAUUUGAUUCUCCUCUGAAUUCUUUUAUGUAUGAUUGAUUUAUAUUUGCAAGUCUCUUCAAAUUAUUAGUUUGGUCUUGCCUACUAGAUUGAUCUUUCUUGCAAUGGGAGAAGUGCUUAGCUUUGGGUUCAAUCUUGCGGUGUUCAAUCCUAGUGACAGAAAGGGAACCGAUACGUAUUGUAUUGUUGCCAUCGAGGAUAAAAAGAUGGGGUUUAUAUCAUAUUCCAUGAGUUUAUCCCUCUACAUCAUGUCAUCUUCCUUAAAGCAUUACUCUGUUCUUAUGAACCUAAUACUCUAGAUGCAUGCUGGAUAGCGGUCGAUGUGUGGAGUAAUAGUAGUAGAUGCAGAAUCGUUUCGGUCUACUUGUCUCAAAACAAUCAUGAUAUGAUAUAGCAAGAUGGUAUCUCGCUAGCCCUUUCUGAGACCGCAAAACAUAAAUGCAGAGCACCUUUAAAGAUCAAGGACUGACUAGACAUUGUAAUUCAUGGUAAAAGAGAUCCAGUCACAGUCAUACUCAAUGUAAACUAACAGUAAUGGAUGCAAAUGAUAGCGGUGCUCUCCAACUGGUGGUUGUUAAUAAGAGGGUGAUGACUCAACAUAAAAGUAAAUGGAUAGGCCCUUCGCAGAGGGAAGCGGGGAUUUGUAGAGGUGCCAGAGCUCGAUUUUGAAAUAGAUAUGAAUGUUAUUUUGAGCAGUAUACUUUCAUUGUCAACAUAACAACCGAGAGAUCUCGAUAUCUUCCAUGCUACACACAUUAUAGGCGGUUCCCAAGUAGAAUGAUAAAGUUUAUACUCCCCCACCACCAACAAGCAUCAAUCCAUGGCUUGGCCGAAACAACGGGUGCCUCCAACUAGCAACAAUCCUGGGGGAGUUUUGUUUGCAAUUAUUUUGAUUUGAUUUGAGCAAGUGGCUGGGCAUCCCGGUGACCAGCCAUUUUCUCGUGAAUGAGGAGCGGAGUCCAAUCCUCUUGAGAAUAACCCGCCUAGCAUGGAGGAUACACACAGCCCUAGUUGAUACAUGAGCUAUUCGAGCAUAUAGAAUAGAAUGUUUAUUUGAAGGUUUAGAGUUUGGCACAUACAAAUUUACUUGCAACGACAGGUAGAUACCGUAUAUAGGCAGGUAUGGUGGACUCAUAUGGAAUAACUUUGGGGUUUAUGGUAUUGGAUGCACAAGCAGUAUUCCCGCUUAGUACAAGUGAAGGCUAGAAAAAGACUGGGAAGCGACCAGCUAGAGAGCGACAACAGUCAUGAACAUGCAUUAAAAUUAAUCAACACGGAAUGCAAGCAUGAGUAGGAUAUUCACCAUGAACAUAAAUAUCGUAGAGGCUAUGUUGAUUUUGUUUCAACUACAUGCGUGAACAUGUGCCAAGUCAAGCCACUCGAAUCGUUCAAAGGAGGAUGCCACCCUAUCAUACCACAUCACAACCAUUUUAAUAGCAUGUUGGCACGCAAGUUAAACCAUUAUAAACUCCUAGCUAAUUAAGCAUGGCAUAAGCAACUACAAUCUCUAAUUGUCAUUGCAAACAUGUUUCUUUCAUAAUAGGCUGAACCAGGAACGAUGAACUAAUCAUAUUUACAAAAACAAUAGAGGUCGAGUUCAUACCGGCUUUUCUCAUCUCAAUCAGUCCAUCAAAUAAUCAUCAUUAUUGCCUUUCACUUGCACGACCGAAUGGUGUGGAUAAUAAUAAUAGUGCACGUGCAUUGGACUAAGUUGGAAUCUGCAAGCAUUCAAUUCAAGAGAGGAGACAAGGUAAUAUGGGCUCUUUGUUAGAUCAACAAUAAUGCAUAUACAAGCCACUUAACAUUUUCAUUAUGGUCUUCUCCUCUCGACCCCCAAAGGAAAGAAAAGAAACGAAACUAUUUACACGAGAAAGCUCCCAACAAGCAAAAAAAGAACGAGAAAUCUUUUUGGGUUUUCUUUUUAAUUACAACUACUAUAGGCAUGGAAAGUAAACUAGCUAAAAGCUACAACUAUUUUUGUUGUUUUUCUUAAGGUUUUUCAAACACACAAGAAGGAAGCGUAAAAACAAAAUAAACUAGCAUGGAUGAUACAAUGAAAAAGUAUGGGCACCGACAAUUGGCAUGAGUGUGUGAACAUGAAUGUAAUGUCGGUGAGAGAUACGUACUCCCCCAAGCUUAUGCUUUUGGCCUAAGUUGGUCUAUGCCCAUGGAUCAAAGUUGUAGCUGUGGUCAUAUUGAGAUGCAGCGGCAAUUGCCUGAUGAGCUGCAGCUUGGAGGCAAGCUGCCUCCGCCCUCCUCUCGUACUCGGCCGCCUCCUCCCUGGUUAUAACAUAUCUCCCUUUUGCCUGAAAAUCAAAGAAAGUAGGAGCAGGGAGAGCGAUGUGAUAGGUGCAUCGUUUUUCGAAGAUUAGUCGGUACUGGAGGAAAUGAUUGUUCCUCUCAACAAACUGAUGAUGAACCAUGGCAUUAUAAUCUAAAUAAGCAUGAGGCAACUCAAUAUCAUCUCCACGUAUGGGUAUCUCAAGAGAAUCAGCUAAACGGGUUGCAUAAAUUCCACCAAAGAAAUCUCCAUCAAUACUAUUAUUAUACAACCUACGUGCAACAAUGGCCCCCAAGUUAUAUUGUAUAUCUCCUAAUACAGCACUCUUGAGAACACUAAGAUAGGGAACACACAUGUGACAUGCCUCAUCCUUACCGUUAAUGCAUCUACCUAUGAAGAGAGAAAAAUAAUGUAUUGCAGGAAAAUGAAUGCUCCCUAUGGUAGCUUGCGUGAUUUCCCUAGAUUCCCCCAUAGUUAUACUAGCAAGAAAGUCUUUAUAUUCAGAUUUGCGAGGUUCACUAACAUUACCCCACUGUGGGAGUUUAGAAGCAGUAUUAAAAUCUUCUAAGUCCAUGGUAUAAGAUUUAUCAUAAAGAUCAACUAGGACAGUUUGAGAAUUGUGUUAUGAUGUAAAUGUAAACCUUCUCACAAAUGAAUCAGUUAAAUAGAGGUACUGAUGGCACUUAUCUGCCACGAAGCUCUCAAGAUCGGCGUUACGCACAUAUGCUUCAAAUUCCUUCUUAAUCACUGCCCGAACCAUGAAGUCCUCUGACGACCAUUCACAAGGCCGCACUUGAGCAUCUCUUGGUAGUUCAUUGUCCGGCUCGCGUAUUGCAGGCCUUAGGCCUUGCUUCCUUGAGGAACCAUUUUGGUACAUUUUCCUAAACAUAUUUCUUCCUCUGAUUUUUUUUGAAAUUUUUAGUGACUUAAAAUAAAAGUGAACCAAACUCAGCAAAAUUGAUAGCAACUACUCCUACAAGUGUCUAGAGGCUAUAUCAUGUAUUAAAACAACUUCUGACCACAUAAAUUUGACAUGUGUAACGCCCCGAGACCGAUGUGCCAGGUGUCUUCCUGUUAUUUUUUGUUGUUGCCUUGUCAUUUGCUUGCGUGUUGCAUCUUGUCAUGUCAUCAUGUGCAUUGCAUCAUCAUGUUUUCAAAACCUGCAUCGUCCGGGUUUCUCCCCAUUCCUUAUGUUGUCCUUUCUGAGCCCAACCACACUUGCACGCGCCCACGGCAUGUCCGAAAUAAUAUUUUAUAAGUGGCCAAGAAAUGUUCUCGGAUUGGGCUGAAAGUUGGCAUGCCGUCUUACUAUAGUGUAGAUAGACCGCCUGUCAAAUUUCAUCGCAUUCGGAGUUCGUUUGACGCCCCAACGGAUAACUAUAGCGGUAGUAUAGCCGGUCUUUUCGUCAGACGUUUUCGGUCUCCGGAAAUAGAUGACGGGCCCUCUCUCUCUCUUCUCCCCCUCGCAGUCUCGCCACAGCCCACCUAGGCCAUCCUCCUUCCCCUCUUUGCUUCCGGAGUUGUCCGAUGCGACCGCACGGUCCGAAACCCUCUCUGCACAGUGUAUCGAACCCCUCACGUGCGCGUCCGAGUUGUCCCGAACCCAACCCGGGCAGUCAUCACCGUGGUGUCUGGAUCAUCCCCAAACAUCUACAAAAUGUCUCCAUUUUUCUUUUUGGGAUACCUAGCCUAUUUUUUCCCGUCCGUCCGAUUACGAUCGGAGGGACAUAACCGCCCUAAACCGAUUUCAUCUGCUAUAAAUAUAAGGUCUAACCCUAGAUCCUAGGGGUCUUGUCCCAACAAUCCCACCGCGCCGCCACUCCACCUGUUUUUCCUAGGGAUCCCUCCCGGACCAACCCGCAUCAAACCCCCGAUCCAAAAAAUAUCCUCUCGACCUCUCCCCACCAACCGAGGCCUCCCCUCGAUCCAACCCUCCUCUGCCUCCCUGCCCGUUCUGGAUCGAGCCCGAGCCAACGAGCGCUGCUGUUGUUUCCCUCAAUCUCGUGUCUCUCUCCAACACCAUCGCUCGAUCUGGACUAGGAGGGCCCCGAGCUCCUUGACCACCGCCUCCUCUGCCUCGUUCCCGAAGCCGUUGGCGCCAAGCUCCUCCUAUGGCCGCCGCCGCUAGCGUCCUCGACCACCAGGCUGUGCCUCUAAUCCCUCUCCCUGUUCCCUUUUCGCUGAAGCCCCCUCUCCCGUUCCCUCACGAUCUCUCUCUGUGUUCAAGGCAGCGCCGCCUUGGAGGCUUCCUGAAGGAUCAUGGCCGCCACCUCGCCAGAUCCGCCGGAUGCCGCCGGGCAUGGAGCCGCCUUGCCAGAUCUGCGCCUUGCCUUGUCCCUGGUCCGGCCAUCGUCCUCAUCCGGCAGAGGGCGCCGCCGUCCCCCUGUUCCAGCGUAGCCGCUGCCGGCCUCGCCUCUGUGCGAGUGAGACGAGCUUUUCCCUCUUCCACAGAGAUCCCGAGCUCUCACGACGACCCCUCUCCAUCCUGUCGCUGUGGGAGUACCACCUGCGUCCGCCUCGCCUGUUUGUGCUCCCGGCUUCGAGCGACAGGACGAGACGACGAGCGCCUCGCCCGCUCGCAUUGACCGCGCAAGUCCCGCGACCGACCGCAUGCACCUGGGCUGCCUCACCUUCGCCUGUGACUGCGUCGAACGAGCACGACGCCCCAGCGCCGCGCCUGGGCUGCCUCCCUUCCAGGCUCUCCAAGGCCCAGCACCCCCCCCUUUCGGCCUACCUCUCUACCGAUCUGGGCCAGGCCAACUGGGUGAGAGAACCCCCAGCCCCUCCUGUGCACUGAUGGGCCAACCAGAUCCGGCCCGUAUCCUGUUUUUUUUACAUAGUAUGUUUUCCUAUUUUUCCCAGAGAACGUCAGUUUUGUAGGAAAGACCCUCUUGUUCAUGCAUUUAAUAUCUCACAAACCGUGCAUCGGAUUAAAAUAAGUUAUAUAUGAAACUUGCUUAGAAUUUUGUGUACAUUAAUAAUUUGCCACUUUCAUCUAUGUUUAAAAUGCUGUUUGCAUAUAUUUUGCCUAUUAUCAUGUUAAGAUGAUUAUAUUCAUAACUUAACAACCGUAACUCAGAAUUUAAUAAACUUUAUAUGUAAAUGGGGUAGAAAAAUCCCUAGUUUAACAUGACGGCCUUACUUUGCAUGUUUAACAACCCUAAAAUUGUGUUUAGGGCAGAACAGGACCAAACCUAAUAUAUGCAUAUGAGGAGUUUUCAGACUUGUUGUUUUGUUGUUCCGGCCUCAUUUAAACUUGCCUAGAUUAGAUAGUUUCAUCAUGCUUCACCUCUUGCCAUGCUAACAACAUUUAAUCUUGUUGGGUACAUAAACAAGAGAGAACUAAAUAAGUCAUGUGGUGUUUUCUUCAAUAUGUAACUCCGUUGCAUAAUGUGCUCCACUUAAUUUGUAGUAUUGCUUGUGCGCUUUGCCAUGCCAUGCCUCAUUAAUCCGGACAUGCAUCAUAUUUGGUUGUGCCUCAUGUCAUGCUUAUGUGAUGAUUGUUUACUAUGUUGUUUGCUUUCUUUCCGGUGUACUUCUUCUCGGUAAUCCGGUAACGUCGCGUUUGUGAGGACCCGUUCAUCUACGUCCAUUUGUCUUCUUCAUGGACUCGUUCUUCUUCCUUGCGGGAUUUUAGGCAAGAUGACCAUACCCUCGAAAUCACUUCUAUCUUUGCUUGCUAGUUGCUCGCUCUUUUGCUAUGCCUAUGCUGCAAUACCUACCACUUGCUUAUCAUGCCACCCAUAUUGUUGAACCAAGCCUCUAACCCACCUUGUCCUAGCAAACCAUUGUUUGGCUAUGUUACCGCUUUGCUCAGCCCCUCUUAUAGCGUUCUUAGUUGCAGGUGAAGAUUGAAGUUUGUUCCUUGUUGGAACAUGGAGAUGUUGUUCCUUGUGGGAACAUGUUUACUUGUUGGGAUAUCACAAUACCUCUUAUUUAAUUAAUGCAUCUAUAUACUUGGUAAAGGGUGGAAGGCUCGGCCCUUUGCCUGGUGUUUUGUUCCACUCUUGCCGCCCUAGUUUCCGUCAUAUCGGUGUUAUGUUCCCGGAUUUUGCGUUCCUUACGUGGUUGGGCUAUUAUGGGAACCCCUUGACAGUUCGCCUUGAAUAAAACUCCUCCAGCAAUGCCCAACAUUGGUUUUACCAUUUGCCACCUAGCCUCUUUUUCCCUUGGGAGUCGCGCUCCUGAGGGUCAUCAUUAUUUUAACCCCCCCGGGCCAGUGCUCCUCUGAGUGUUGGUCCAAACUAGAGCCCCUUGCAGCGCCACCUCGGGGAAACUCGAGGGCUGGUUUUAGUUAUAUGGACUGCUCAACUAAGUGUGCCCUGAGAACGAGAUAUGUGCAGCUCCUAUCGGGAUUUUUCGGCACAUUCGGGCGGUGUUGCUGGACUUGUUUUACCAUUGUCGAAGUUGUCUUGUAGAACCGGGAUGCCGAGUCUGAUCGGAAUGUCUCGGGAGAAGGUUUAUCCUUCGUUGACCAUGAGAGCUUGUGAUGGGCUAAGUUGGGACACCCCUGCAGGGAUUUGAACUUUUGAAGCCGUGCCCGCGGUUAUGGGCAGAUGAGAAUUUGUUAAUGUCCGGUUGUAGAAAACCUGAAGUUGACCUUAAUUAAAAUACAUCAACCGCGUGUGUAACCAUGAUGGUCUCUUCUCGGUGGAGUCCGGGAAGUGAACACGGUGUUGGAGUUAUGUUUGACGUAGGUUGCUCUAGGAUCACUUCUUGAUCAUACUUUUAUCGACCGUGCUUUGCCUAAUCUUCUCGCUCUCAUUUGCGUAUGUUAGCCACCAUAUAUGCUAGUCGCUUGCUGCAGCUCCACCUCAUACUUUUACCUUACCCAUAAGCUUAAAUAGUCUUCAUCGCAAGGGUGCGAGAUUGCUGAGUCCCCGUGGCUCAAAGAUUACUUCCAAAACCAGUUUGCAGGUGCCGAUGAGUCCGUGCAGAUGACGCAACCAAGCUCAGGAGGAGCUCAAUGAAUAUCUUGUCCUUUGUGUUGUUUCGUUCUAGUUGAUUAUUACUGGAGCCCAGUUGAGGUCGAUCGGAGACCUUGUCGCAUUUGGGGUUCUUCUUUUAUCUUGGUUCUGUAGUCAGACCUUGAUUGUAUUUGGAUGUUGUAAUGCUUUAUUCAUGUAAGUGUGUGAAGUGGCGAUUGUAAGCCAACUAUGUACCUUUUUCCCUUAUGUAUUACAUGGGUUGUGUGAAGAUUACCUCACUUGCGACAUUGCUUUCAAUGCGGUUAUGCCUCUAAGUCGUGCUUCGACACGUGGGAGAUAUAGCCGCAUCGAGGGCGUUACAAGUUGGUAAUCAGAGCCUUCCUCGAACUUAGGAGCCCCCCUGUUUGAUCGAAUUAGCUGACGUCGUUGAGUCUAGAAAAAUGUUUUGAGUCAUUUAGGAAUUAUAUAUCGGAGAAUUUAGGAAUUCUUUUUACUCCCCAGUCCCUUCAUCGCUCUGGUAAGGCAUCCUGACAUAGAGUUUUGACUCUUCUCUUCUCGAAUUUCACUAAAAAAAAUUAGGAUCACGCGGGUAUCUUGGAAUCGUUCCGAUCGAUUUGUGACGAGAACAUUGUUCUUGGUGCCUCCUGACAUUUAGGGGUUGUGGCAGUGUCCCGGGGAGUUGAGCUCCGAGGUGUUAUCGUCACAAUUUAAUCGUUGCAGUUCUGGAAUACCUGAGUUUAGUUUUGCCGACAUCGAAAAUCUCUUUUAUGCAGUUGUUGGUGAGAUAACCUCGACGCCACCCAGUACUGGGGUGGGAGUUCGGGAGUAUUGCCAUAACUCGUAUAACGGAUGCUUUUCGAAGGUUGAGGUAGACGAUUUCCGAAGGUUUCUUGGUUAUGUGUUGAAGGAUGGAUACAGCUGGAUGUAGGAUUUGCUAGUUUGGGUGAGAUAUUAUGCUUCCCCUGUAUCCCCAACACCUGCAUAACCGGAAAGUUUCGGGAGUUUAUAAGUGGGAAUUCAAGUAGCUCUUAGGAUAUCUUUCCGACAGAUGUAUGAUAUGAAAUUGGAGUUCGACGUCUAGUGGUCCGCCUAUUCACGGCUGGUUUUACAGUGGUCUCGUUGUGUCUUAAAGAGUCCUUGGCUAUGCCGACUCGGGGACGCUUCGUAUGUCAUGUGCACUGCCUUGUACAUGAUGGUGCUGUAUGAUCGAGCCCGUGUAGGCCCCACCACAAAAACUUCGGACGAAAUCUCUAUCAUAUGUUUGUUCCGGCUUAUUCUGCAAGCCAAUCCUUUGUUUUUUUUGAGUUGUGGUAUUUGAGUUGCUUCGAAGUCAAAUGUUGAUUCCAUACCUUUUCCUAAGUGGUGUUCUCAUACUCCGAUGUGAAUACCAACCCUUUUGAUCAUCAAGAUUGUUUUUGUCAAUCCUUUUUAACCGGCUUGCUUCUCUUCAAGUGGAUCCGAUCAUUUCUACAUCCGAAAGAUCAAGCAUCAGGUUCUUCUGAACGGUGUUUAUUUCAUCCGUCCCCAAGUUGCCUUUGUUUUCCCACCCACCCACCCUUUUUCUUCAAGGAAUCCAAUGUUUUAAUCAAGUAUCAUUUAUAUUCUUGUGAAGUCUCUACAUUCUUUUCCUUCAUGUUCUUACCCGGUGAUGCUCUUGAAGAUUCUAACGGAGAUUCAAGUUCAGCAUUAUUCAUUCUUUUUCUUCUCCGGUGGAUUCAAUUCAAGCUUUGUCGAUAAUAUCUUUUCCUCGUUUCAAUGCUUUUCUUAUGCCGGUGCACCUCAUAAUAAUUCACUUCUCGCUAUUUAAUUGUUCCGGAGUGCUGGAGAUAGCUCGAAGAUUCGUGUUUCCACUCUACAUUCGUUCAAGCUCUUUCGAGGAUGUUAUCUCAUUCAAGUCAUUUAAUUCAACCGGUGCAUUCUCCUUUUCAAGUAAUCAUUCCAACGGUGUUUAUUUUGAGUGGGCCCUAACCCACAGGUUUUUCCCAGGAUCUUACCUGACUCUUCUUAUUUUCCCGGAGUUUUUCAAAUACAUUUCAAAGUUUGACGUAAGAAUGAAUUAUCAUUAGUCUAAUGCCUUUCUCCAAGAUCGGUUAAAUUCUUCUCAUCGUUGGCUCAACCUCUUCGCUUUUGAUUCUUCCGGAUUGUCUAAACAAUUCAUGGUGGUGUUUCUCAUCGUCAUUCUCAGAUUUGAAGACCGAAGAAGAGUUCCUCUAAAUCUUGCUCUUUUCUUUUCAAGAUUCAUGGUUCUAGCUUCAUGCCGUCCUCUCAUAAUUGUUUUCGACCGUGAGAAUUCUUCUUACCUAUCCGGAGCAUUUCAUGAGUUGUUAUCAUUUCUUUCCUCUGAAGGCCAUCUUUUCAAAUAUCACUCAUUCCCAGCUUUCAGCUCUCAUACUCUAAAUCAUACCGGUGCUUAAAUCAAGGAUUCUCUAAUCAGCUCGUAAUCUCUUCGUUCUCAUGGAUCUAAAUUCUCUCAAGCAUCUUCGUUUAUUUGCUAAUCCUUCCCGGUGUUUCUUCAUGUUUUAUUCGUUCUUUUUCAAUUCUUAUGGUGGUUCGUUCAAGAGUGCUUCUCUUUCGUUAUCAUACAAAUUCAUUCAUUGUUUCAAUCCUACCGGUGUUUCAUUGAAGACCUUCCCAAGUCUGAUGUUAUAUCUCUCUUAAUCUUUUCUACGAGAAUAAGUAAUAUGCCAAAUCCGUUGAUUGUCAUCAAUUUAAAUUGGUGAAGGAUAAGCAUAAUGUAAUUCUUAUUCUUGUUUCAUCCAAGUGAUUAAUUCCUUAUUCCGGAGGUCCAUCAAAUUCCUGAAUUCAAUUGUUUUAUCUUCUCUUUUUCCCGGAGUUCCAAGCUCUAAUUAUCACGGAGAUCCAUCUAAAUCAUUACAAGGUUUCACCUUGUGUUUUCAACUUCUCUUUCCUUCCGUUUGAUCAUUCUUUUGCUUAACGGAAUUCUUCAUGAAGGUUCUGCAUGAUGGUUCAUCAAGGAUUUAUAUUCCUUCUCGAAGUGUUCAUCGAGAUUCUUUUCUAAGGAGCUCAAGCAUUCUUCAUCUUGCAUCCGGAGUGCAAUUCUUUCUUCCGUAUCAUUGGAGGUGCUAUUAUGUCAUUCUUGAUAAUUUGAAUUCAUGUUUCAUGAUUCACAUGUUGUCAUGAAUGAGAUAUUUUAAAUCCAUCAAUCUCGUCAUUGGAGUUAUCUUGGGUUAUAUUUCACCUAAAGCUUUCCCUAAGGAUUUGUUAUUAUUUAUGGUGACUAUAAAUGAUCCAAGUUCUUCAUUUAUCCUCCCGGUGAAAUAAGUUUCUCGUCUCCUUAUUCAUAUCAAUCCAAUUCUUUUUCCCGUGAGUGGCAGGUUUUCAUCUCUUAAUUUGAGAUGUACUCCACAAGACCAUAUCAAGUUUAUUCUUUUCGUUGUUGGUUUUCCUACAACUCCGUUCUAGCAUUUGUUGUAAGCGUGCUCCCUCAAGAUCUUGUUUCCCUUUGUUCAUUCCAUUUCAUUCUUUUUUUCUGGAGGCCUUGUGAUGUUGCUCUUUUCAAUCAUCAUCUCGAAAUGUGAAGAUCAUGUUUUUCUCAUGCUUAUCCUAUUUAACCGGAGUGUUGUGACCUUUUUGCUCAAGUUCUUUUCGCCUUAUCAAGCCUUGCACCUCUUUUCAACUGGAGUGCCAUCUGAGAUCUUUCUUACCCUUGUUCCAUUCAUUCAAUAUUUCCGGGGGCAGUGUGUUGUUGAUUUCAUCAAGUAUCACCCAAUCUUCUCAACAUCAUGUUCGAUUCCUUCCAUUUAUAGUCAGAGUGCUGUCCAAAUUUAUAUCAGUCUUAUUCCUUCUCUAUCUUGUUUUAACCGAAGCGUUAUCGUAAGAGAUCCUUGUCGUUCUUUGUACAUCUCGUUUUUACCGGAGUGCUUGCAUAUACUUCUUGUCUAUUGUAACCCUUGUCUUAUGUCUUUCAACCUCGAGGUUUUUCGCAAUGUUCCUUGUUCCUCUUUUCUAACAGAGUGUUUCCAACUUUGUUCAUCUCUGUUGUAUUCUUUCUUUCAAGUUGUUCAACCUUUCAAGGUUCUUUGGUUUCACUCAUUUGUCAAAGAAGCAACUUAGUUUUACCUCUUCUCUUCCUUUUUCCGUUUCCUCCGGUGCCAUUCUAGAUCUCAAGACGAGAUCCUCUCGUAGUGGUGGAGUGUUCUAACGCCCCGAGACCGAUGUGCCAGGUGUCUUCCUGUUAUUCGCUGUUGUUGCCUUGUCAUUUGCUUGCAUGUUGCAUCUUGUCAUGUCAUCAUGUGCAUUGCAUCAUCAUGUUUUCAAAACCAGCAUCCGUCCGGGUUUCUCCCCAUUCCUUCUGUUGUCCUUUCUGAGCCCAACCACACUUGCACGCGCCCGCGGCAUGUCCGAAAUAAUAUUUUAUAAGUGGCCGAGAAAUGUACUCGGAUUGGGUUGAAAGUUGGCGUGCGGUCUUAUUAUAGUGUAGAUAGACCGCCUGUCAAAUUUCAUUGCAUUCAGAGUUCGUUUGACGCCCCAACGGAUAACUAUAGCGGCAGUACAGCCGGUCUUUUCGUCGGACGUUUUCGGUCUCCGAAAACAGAUGCCGGGCCCUCUCUCUCUCUUAUCCCCCUCGCAGUCUCGCCACAGCCCACCUAGGCCAUCCUCCUUCCCCUCUUCGCUUCCGGAGUUGUCCGAUGCGACCGCACGGUCCAAAACCCUCUCUGCAUAGUGCAUCGAACCCCUCACGUGCGCGUCCAAGUUGUCUCGAACCCAACCCGGGCCGUCAUCACCGUGGUGUCCGGAUCAUCCCCAAACAUCUACAAAACGUCUCCAUUUUUCUUUUUGGGAUACCUAGCCUAUUUUUUCCCGUCCGUCCGAUUAUGAUCGGAGGGACAUAACCGCCCUAAACCGAUUUCAUCUGCUAUAAAUAUAAGGUCCAACCCUAGAUCCUAGGGGUCUUGUCCCAACAAUCCCACCGCGCCGCCACUCCACCUGUUUUCCCUUGGGAUCCCUCCCGGACCAACCCGCAUCAAACCCUCGAUCCAAAAAAUAUCCUCUCGACCUCUCCCCACCAACCGAGGCCUCCCCUCGAUCCAACCCUCCUCUGCCUCCCUGCCCGUUCUGGAUCGAGCCCGAGCCAACGAGCGCUGCUCUUGUUUCCCUCGAUCUCGUGUCUCUCUCCAACACCAUCGCUCGAUCUGGACUAGGAGGGCCCCGAGCUCCUUGACCACCGCCUCCUCUGCCUCGUUCCCGAAGCCGUUGGCGCCAAGCUCCUCCUAUGGCCGCCGCCGCUAGCGUCCUCGACCACCAGGCCGUGCCUCUAAUCCCUCUCCCUGUUCCCUUUUCGCUGAAGCCCCCUCUCCCGUUCCCUCACAAUCUCUCUCUGUGUUCAACGCAGCGCCGCCUUGGAGGCUUCCUGAAGGAGCACGGCCGCCACCUCACCAGAUCCGCCGGAUGCCGCCGGGAAUGGAGCCGCCUUGCCGGAUCUACGACUUGCCUUGUCCCUGGUCUGGCCAUCGUCCUCAUCCGGCAGAGGGCGUCGCCGUCCCCCCCCCCCCGUUCCAGCGUAGCCGCUGCCGGCCUUGCCUCUGUGCGAGUGAGACGAGCUUUUCCCUCUUCGACAGAGAUCCCAAGCUCUCACGACGACCCCUCUCCAUCCUGUCGCUGCCGGAGUACCACCUGCGUCCACCUCGCCUGUUUGUGUUCCCGGCUUCGAGCGACAGGACGAGACGACGAGCGCCUCGCCCGCUCGCGUUAACCACGCAAGUCCCACGACCGACCGCACGCACCUGGGCGGCCUCACCUUCGCCUGUGACCGCGUCGAACGAGCAUGACGCCCCAGCGCCGCGCCUGGGCUGCGUUCCUUCCAGGCUCUCCAAGGCCCAAGGCCCAGCACCCCCCCUUUCGGCCUACCUCUCUACCGAUCUGGGCCAGGCCCACUGGGUGAGAGAACCCGCAGCCCCUCCUGUGCACUGAUGGGCCAACCAGAUCCGGCCCGUAUCCUGUUUCUUUUACAUAAUACGUUUUCCUAUUUUUCCCAGAGAACGUCAGUUUUGCAGAAAAGACCCUCUUGUUCAUGCAUUUAAUAUCUCACAAACCGUGCAUCGGAUUAAAAUAAGUUAUAUAUGAAACUUGCUUAGAAUUUUGUGUAGAUUAAUAAUUUGCCACUUUCAUCUAUGUUUAAAAUGUUUAAAAUGCUGUUUGAAUAUAUUUUGCCUAUUGCCAUGUUAAGAUGAUUAUAUUCAUAACUUAAUAACCGUAACUCGGAAUUUAAUAAACUUUAUAUGUAAAUGGGGUAGAAAAAUGCCUAGUUUAACAUGAUGGCCUUACUUUGCAUGUUAACAACCCUAAAAUUGUGUUUAGGGCAGAACAGGACCAAACCUAAUAUAUGCAUAUGAGGAGUUUCCAGACUUGUUGUUUUGUUGUUCCGGCCUCAUUUAAACUUGCCUAGAUUAGAUAGUUUCAUCAUGCUUCACCUCUUGCCAUGCUAACAACAUUUAAUAUUGUUGGGUACAUAAACGAGAGAGAACUAAAUAAGUCAUGUGGUGUUUUCUUCAAUAUGUAACUCCGUUGCAUAAUGUGCUCCACUUAAUUUGUAGUAUUGCUUGUGCGCUUUGCCAUGCCAUGCCUCAUUAAUCCGGACAUGCAUCAUAUUUGGUUGUGCAUCAUGUCAUGCUUAUGUGAUGAUUGUUUACUAUGUUGUUUUCUUUCUUUCCGGUGUACUUCUACUCGGUAAUCCGGUAACGUCGCAUUUGUGAGGACUCGUUCGUCUACGUCCAUUUGUCUUCUUCAUGGACACGUUCUUCUUCCUUGCACGAUUUCAGGCAAGAUGACCAUACCCUCGAAAUCACUUCUAUCUUUGCUUGCUAGUUGCUCGCUCUUUUGCUAUGCCUAUGCUGCGAUACCUACCACUUGCUUAUCAUGCCACCCAUAUUGUUGAACCAAGCCUCUAACCCACCUUGUCCUAGCAAACCGUAAUUUGGCUAUGUUACCGCUUUGCUCAGUCCCUCUUAUAGUGUUCUUAGUUGCAGGAGAAGAUUGAAGUUUGUUCCUGGUUGGAACAUGGAGAUUUUGUUCCUUGUGGGAACAUGUUUACUUGUUGGGAUAUCACAAUACCUCUUAUUUAAUUAAUGCAUCUAUAUACUUGGUAAAGGGUGGAAGGCUCGGCCUUUUGCCUCGUGUUUUGUUCCACUCUUGCCGCCCUAGUUUCCGUCAUAUCGGUGUUAUGUUCCUGGAUUUUGCGUUCCUUACGCGGUUGGGCUAUUAUGGGAACCCCUUGACAGUUCGCCUUGAAUAAAACUCCUCCAGCAAUGCCCAACAUUGGUUUUACCAUUUGCGACCUAGCCUCUUUUUCCCUUGGGAGUCGCGCUCCUGAGCAUCAUCAUUAUUUUAACCCCCCCGGGCUAGUGCUCCUCUGAGUGUUGGUCCAAACUAGAGCCCCUUGCAGCGCCACCUCGGGGAAACUCGAGGGCUGGUUUUAGUUGUACGGACUGCUCGUCUGAGUGUGCCCUAAGAAUGAGAUAUGUGCAGCUCCUACCGGGAUUUGUCGGCACAUUCGGGCGGUGUUGCUGGACUUGUUUUACCAUUGUCGAAGUUGUCUUGUAGAACCGGGAUGCCGAGUCUGAUCGGAAUGUCUCAGGAGAAGGUUUAUCCUUCGUUGACCGUGAGAGCUUGUGAUGGGCUAAGUUAGGACACCCCUGCAGGGAUUUGAACUUUCGAAAGCCGUGCCCGCAGUUAUGGGCAGAUGGGAAUUUGUUAAUGUCCGGUUGUAGAAAACCUGAAGUUGACCUUAAUUAAAAUACAUCAACCGUGUGUGUAACCGUGAUGAUCUCUUCUCGGUGGAGUCCAGGAAGUGAACACGGUGUUGGAGUUAUGUUUGACGUAUGUUGCUCUAGGAUCACUUCUUGAUCAUACUUUUAUCGACCGUGCUUUGCCUUCUCUUCUCGCUCUCAUUUGUGUAUGUUAGCCACCAUAUAUGCUAGUCGCUUGCUGCAGCUCCACCUCAUACUUUUACCUUACCCAUAAGCUUAAAUAGUCUUCAUCGCAAGGGUGCGAGAUUGCUGAGUCCCCGUGGCUCAAAGAUUACUUCCAAAACCAGUUUGCAGGUGCCGAUGAGUCUGUGCAGAUGACGCAACCAAGCUCAGGAGGAGCUCAAUGAAGAUCUUGUCCUUUGUGUUGUUUCGUUCUAGUUGAUCAGUAGUGGAGCCCAGUUGAGGUCGAUCGGAGACCUUGUCGCAUUUGGGGUUCUUCUUUUAUUUUGGUUCUGUAGUCAGACCUUGAUUGUAUUUGGAUGUUGUAAUGCUUUAUUCAUGUAAGUGUGUGAAGUGGUGAUUGUAAGCCAACUAUGUACCUUUUUCCCUUAUGUAUUACAUGGGUUGUGUGAAGAUUACCUCACUUGCGACAUUUCUUUCAAUGUGGUUAUGCCUCUAAGUCGUGCUUCGACACAUGGGAGAUAUAGCCGCAUCGAGGGCGUUACAACAUGCAAGCUCAAGAACAAGGGCACAUAAGCAGCAAAAAUUUGCAAUAAGUAAAGCACUAGAACAAAAACUAAUUGGACCAUUGGAGGAGUCACAUACCAAAGAACAAUUCCCCAAAGCAGUUUUGUGAAUGGAGCUUUGAGCAAGGAGAUCGAAAAUGGCAGCAAGAUGAGCAAGAACUCGGAUUUGAGCUAGCUAGUGAUUUUUUUGGGAGGAAGAAGGUGUUUGUGGUGGCUGGAAUAAGUGGAGGGGGCCCACGUGGGGUCCACAAGGCAGGGGGCGCGCCCAGGGGGGUGGGCGCGCCCUCCACCCUCGUGGGCACAUGGCUGCUCCCCCUGCUGUGUUCCCAGUGCCAGAUAUUCUCAAAUAUUCCAGAAAAAAUCAUAUUUAAAUUUCAGGGCAUUUGGAGAACUUUUAUUUUCGGGGUAUUUUUUAUUGCAUAGAUAAUUCACAAAACAGGCAUAAAAUACAAAAUUUUGUUUAUUUAAUAUAAAUAACAGAAAGUAAAAAGAGGGUACAGAGAGUUGUGCCUUCUAACUUCAUCCAUCUCAUGCUCAUCAAAAGGGAUCCACUAACAAGUUUGAUCAGGUCUUGUUAACAAACUCAUUUCGAAUAACAUGAAACCAGAUAAAUUUCGAAUAACACUAGGUUACCUCAACGGGGAUAUGCACAUCCCCAACAAUAAGAAUAUCAUAUUUCUUCUUGACCGUAGGAAGAGGAAAUUCAAAACCUCCAAUAGUGAUUGUUGAAAAGUGACAUUGCCUUUGUUGAAAUCAAUAACAGCCCCUGCAGUAUUCAAGAAGGGAAUACCAAGGAUAAUCGACAUACUAUCGUCCUCGGGAAUAUCAAGAAUAACAAAGUUCGUUAAAAUAGUAAUGUUUGCAACCACCACAGGCACAUCCUCACAAAUACCGACAGGUAUAGCAGUUGAUUUAUCAGCCAUUUACAAAGAUAUUUCAGUAGGUGUCAACUUAUUCAAAUCAAAUCUACGAUAUAAAGAGAGAGUCAUAACACUAACACCGGCUCCAAGAUCACAUAAAGCAGUUUUAACAUAGUUUCUUUUAAUGGAGCAUGGUAUAGUUGGUACUCCUGGAUCUCCAAGCUUCUUUGGUAUUCCACCCUUAAAAGUGUAAUUAGUAAGCAUGGUGGAAAUUUCAGCUUCCGGUAUCUUUCUCUUAUUUGUAACAAAUUCCUUCAUAUACUUAGCAUAAGGAUUCAUUUUAAGCAUAUCAGUCAAACACGUACGCAAAAAGAUAGGUCUAAUCAUUUCAGCAAAGCGCUCAAAAUCCUCAUCAUCCUUCUUCUUGGAUGGUUUAGGUGGAAAAGGCAUGGGUUUCUGAACCCAUGGUUCUCUUUCUUUACCGUGCUUCCUAGCAACGAAGUCUCUCUUAUCAUAACGUUGAUUCUUUGAUUGUGGGUUACCAAGAUCAACAGCAGGUUCAAUCUCUACAUCAUUAUCAUUUCUAGAUUGAGCAUCAAUAUGAACAUCAUCAUUAAAAUUAUCACUAGGUUCAUGUUCAUUACCAGAUUGUGUUUCAGCAUCAGAAAUAGAAAUAUCAUUGGGUGUAACACCCUCGAUGCGACUAUAGCUCCCACGUGUCGAGGCACGACUUAGAGACAUAAUCGCAUUGAAGGCAUAUGUCGCAAGUGAGGUAAUAUUCACACAACCCAUGUAAUACAUAAGGGAAAGAGAUACAUAGUUGGCUUACAAUCGCCACUUCACACAAUUACAUGAAUAAACAUUACAUCAAUCAAAUACACUCAUGGUCCGGCUACGGAACCAAAAUAAAAGAAGAACCCCAAAUGCAACAAGGUCCCCGAUCGACCCCAACUGGGCUCCACUACUGAUCGACUAGAACGGAACAACACAAAGGACAAGAUCUUCAUCGAACUCCUCCUGAGCUUGGUUGCGUCAUCUGCACAGACUCAUCGGCACCUGCAAGCUGGUUUUGGAAGUAUCUGUGAGCCACAGGGACUCAGCAAUCUCGCACCCUCGCGAUCAAGACUAUUUAAGCUUAUGGGUAAGGUAAAGGUAUGAGGUGGAGCUGCAGCAAGCGACUAGCAUAUAUGGUGGCUAACAUACGCAAAUGAGAGCGAGAAGAGAAGGCAAAGCACGGUCGAUAAAAGUAUGAUCAAGAAGUGAUCCUAAAACAACCUACGUCAAGCAUAACUCCAACACCGUGUUCACUUCCCGGACUCCUCCGGAAAGAGACCAUCACGGUUACACACGCGGUUGAUUCAUUUUAAUUAAGGUCAAGUUCAGGUUUUCUACAACCGGACAUUUACAAAUUCCCAUCUGCCCAUAACCACGGGCACGGCUUUCGAAAGUUCAAAUCCCUGCAGGGGUGUCCCAACUUAGCCCAUGACAAGCUCUCACGGUCAACGAAGGAAUAGACCUCCACCCGAGACAUUCCGAUCAGACUCGGUAUCCCGGUACAACAAGACAUUUCGACAGGGUAAAACUAAACCAGCAACACCGCCCGAAUGUCCCGACAAAUCCCGAUAGGAGCUGCACAUAUCUCUUUCUCAGGGCACACUCAGAUUGUCCUAGGUAUGGGUAGGCUAGCCCAGAGUUACCCCUGGUGGUCACCGGUAGCUGACAGUUGGACCAACACUCAAAGGAGCACUGGCCCGGGGGGGUUAAAAUAAUGAUGACCCUUGAGUCCACGAAACCCAAGGGAAAAAGAGGCUAGGUGGCGAAUGGUAAAACCAAUGUUGGGCAUUGCUGGAAGAGCUUUACUUAAGGCGAACUGUCAAGGGGUUCCCAUAAUAGCCCAACCGCGUAAGGGACGCAAGAUCCGGGAACAUAACACCGAUAUGAUGGAAACUAGGGCGACAAGAGUGGAACAAAACACCAGGCAUAAGGCCGAGCCUUCCACCCUUUACCAAGUAUAUAGAUGCAUUAAUUAAAUAAGAUAUAUAGUGAUAUCCCGACAAGUAAAUAAAAGAUGUUCCAACAAGGAACGGCCUCCAAUCUUCACCUGCAACUAGCAACACUAUAAGAGGGGCUGAGCAAAGCGGUAACAUAGCCAAUCAACGGUUUGCUAGGACAUGGUGGGUUAGAGGUUUGGCAUGGCAAUUUGGGAGGCUGACAAGCAAAAGGUAGGCAUCGUAGCAUUGGCAUAGCAAAGAGCGAGCAAACUAGCAUAGCAAAGAUAGUAGUGAUUUCGAGGGUAUGGUCAUCUUGCCUGAAAUCCCACAAGGAAGAAGAACGAGUCCAUGAAGAAGACAAACGGACGUAGUCGAACGAAUCCUCACAACUCGAUGUUAUCGGAACCAACCCGAAGAAGCAACACCGUAAAGAAGCAGACAAUAUAGUAAACAACCACAACAUGAACAUGGCAUGAUGCACAAUCAAGUAUGAUGCAUGUCCGGUUUAAUGAAACAUGGCAUGGCAAAAUGCACAAUCAACACUACAAGUUAAGGGGAGCUCAAUAUGCAACAAGUUGCAUAUUGACGGAACACCACAUGCCUUAUUUAGUUCUCUCUUGUUUAUGUACCCAACAAUAUUAAAUGUUGUUAAACAUGGCAAGCGGGUGAAGCAAAGUAAAUCUACCUAUCUAGUCAAGUUUAAAUGAGGCCGGAAGCAACGAACAACAUUUCCGGAAACUCAUAUGCAUAAUUUAAGGUUUGGUACUGUUCUGCCCUAAAUAUAUUUUAGAGUUGUUUAACAUGCAAAGUAAAGCCACCAUGUUAAACUAGACAUUUUUCUACCCCAUUUACAUAUAAAGUUUAUUAAAUUCGGAGUUACGGUUAUUUAGUUAUGAAAUAAAUCAUUUUAGCAUGGCAUAGGAGCAAAUUAAAGCAAACAACAUUUUUAAUAUCUUUAACAUGGAUGAAAGUUUCAUAUUAUUAAUGUACACAAAAUUCUGAGCAAGUUUCAUAUAUAAAACAUUUUAAUCCGAUGCAUGGUUAGUGAGUUAUUAAAUGCAUGAACUAGGGGGACUAAUCUAUAAAACAACAGUCUCAGGAUAAAUAGGAAAACCCCAGGCGCUGAAAAAAAGCAUGACAUGGGCCGAAAUGGACUAGCCCAACAGCAGGAAAAAAACAGGUGGCGCUGGGGGCGGCUCACCCAUGGGCUUCGGCCCGGACGGUGGAAGAGGCAGGCCGCGAAGGGGCUCGCUAGGCCGCGCGUGGGAGCUGGGCCAGGCUAGGGCGGCGCGGAUCUGGAGCUGGGCUUGGCGCUGCGCUGCGCUGGCCGGGGAAGAUGGGCCAGCCCAUGAAGGAGGAGGAGGCAGGCCGAGGCGGGGCGGCGCGCUGGGCCGGACUCAGGGCCCGCGAAGGAGUCAACGGGGGCGCUCGUCGUCUCCCGAUCGGAUCGGGGAGGCAGGGCGAGGCGGAGAUCCAUGGCGACGACACCGGCGAGGCUGGGCGACGAGCCAGCGAGGGAACGGCGCCGGGGAAGCGGGGACGGCGGAUCCCGGUCCGGCGGGGCCAGAUCCGGUGGAUCCCGACCGGGUUCGGGUGAAUAUGUGGCCGGCGGCGGCGAACUCCAUGCCGUCGGGUCCCUACUGCUGCGAGCUGGGGUUGACCGGCGAGCUGCUCCGGCGAGCCGGAUGAGGUGGCACAGAGGAAUGGCGACGAGGACCUGGAUCGGGCUCGCGCAAGUUUUGGACGACGGCGGCUCGGGCCAGCGCGGGCGUGCGAUGGGCCUGCAGGGCCGACGCGGUGGAGGGAGAGGAGAGAGAGGGUGGCGGCGCUGACGUGUCGCGCGCUGAGUGGGUGAGGGCGCUGGCGGCGGUGAGCUGGCGCUCUCCGGUUGGUCGGAGUGAGGUGGCUGAGGGCGGCGAACAUGUCCGGCGCGGACGAAAUUGUCCGGCGGCGCGAGGUGGACGAAGGUUAGGGUUUGGACUGCGUGAAAAUUCGGAGGGGAUCACAUAUUUAUAGGUAGAGGGAGCUAGGAGAGUCCAAAUGAGGUGCGGUUUUCGGCCACGCGAUCGUGAUCGAACGACCGAGAUGAUGGAGCAGAGUUAGGUGGGUUUUGGGCCAAAAUGGAAGGGUGUUGGGCUGCAACACACACGAGGCCUUCUCGGUCCCUCGGUUAACCGUUGGAGUAUCAAACGAAGUCCAAAUGGUACGAAACUUGACAGGCGGUCUACCGGUAGUAAACCAAGGCCGCUUGGCAAGUCUUGGUCCAAUCCGUAAAUGUUUAAUCUCCACACAUGAAAGAUGGGAAGAAAUGACCACCAGAGGAGAACGAAGCACCGGAAUGCAAAACGGACAACGGGGAAAAAGCUCGGGUGCAUGAGACGAACACGUAUGCAAAUGAAAUGUGCAUGAUGACAUGAUAUGCAAAGCAUGAUAUGCAAGCAAUGACAAGGCAACAACAGCGAAUAACUGAACGACACCUGGCACGUCGGUCUCGGGGCGUUACAACACUCCACCACUACGAGAGGAUCUCGUCCCGAGAUCUAGAAUGGCAUCGGAGGGACAACGGAAGAGAUAAGAGAAGAGGUAAAACAAAUUGCUUCUUUGACAAACGAGUGAAACCAAAGAACCUUGCGAGGUUGAGCAAAUUCGAGACAGAAAACAACGAGGUGAACAAGGUCAAAAACACUCCUUUAGAAAAGAGGAACAAAGAACAUUGCGGAAAACCUUGAGGUUGAAGGGCAAGAUAUAUAUUGAAAACAAUCCGAUUAAAGAAGGGGAUCAAGUAAGAACAAAAUUCGGGCAGCACUCCGGUUGAAAUGAAAAUAAUUGAAUAAGAACUUGAACAGAAGGGCACAACACUCGGUUAAAUGGAUAAACCGAGGAAAGAACACAGUCCUGACCAAACAAGAAGAUGGGUGAAAAGAACAACACCACAAUGCCUCCGGAACGAAAGAAUAGAAGUAUAGAUAAUUGAAAUAAAAGAAUGGAGAAGAAAAUGCCAACUUCUGCCACAAAAGAGCUUGAAAAGGCAUCCUCAGGAGAAAAGUCGAACGGAGUUGUUGCACCAACAAUGAAAAGAGUAAGCUUGUAGUGGGCUUAUGAAGAACAUCUCAAAACUACGAGGUGAAAUUCUGCCACUAACGAAAACGAUAAAUUGGAUUGAUAUGAACAAGGAGACGAGAAGAAUCUUUCACCGGGAGGAUUAAUGAAGAACUUGGAGCAUUUAUAAGCACCAUAGAUAGUAACAAUCCUUAGGGAAUGCUUUAGGUGAAAUAUAACCCAAGAUAACCCCAAUGACGAGAUUGAUGGACUUUAAAAAUACCUCAUCCUUGACCACAUCUGAAUCAUGAAACAUGAACUCAAAUAUCAAGAAUGACAUAAUACCACCUCCAAUGAUACGGAAGAAAGAAUUGCACUCCGGAUAGCAAGAAGAAGAAUGCUGGAGCUCCUCUGAAAAGAAUCUUGAUGAACACUUCGAGAAGGAAUUAAAUUCUUGAUGAACCAUCAUGUAGAACCUUCGUGAGAACUCCGGUAAAGAAAAGAAUGAUCAAACGGAAAGAAAGGGUAGUUGAAAACACAAGGUGGAGCCUUGUAAAGAUUUAGAUAGAUCUUCGUGAUUACAUAGUUGAAAGAGGUUGGAACCCCGGGAAAAGAUAAAAUGAAACAAAUGAAACCGAGAAUUUGAAGGGCCUCCAGAAUAGGGAAUUAACCACUUGGAUAAAACAAGAAUUAGAAUUAAAUUAUGCUUAUCCUUCACCAAUUAAAUUGAUGACAAUCAAUGGAUUCGACAUAUUACUUAUUCUCGUAGAAAGGAUUAAGAGAGAUAUCGCAUAAACUCGAGAAAAUCUUCAACGAACCACCGGUAGGAUUGAAAAGAACAAAAGAAUUGAUAUGAUAAGAAAGAAGAAAAUCUUGAACGAACCACCGUAAGAAAUGAAAACGAUUGAAGAAAAGAUAAAGAAAACACCAGGAAGAAUUAGCAAAUGCACGAAGAAGCUUGAGGGGAAUUAGAUACAUCAGAGCGAAGAGAUCAAGAACUGAUUAGAGGAUAUUUGAUUGAUGCACCGUCAAGAUAGGAGAAUGAUAACUGACAAUUGAGAAUGAAUAAAUCUGAAUUGAUGGACUCUGGAUAACAAACUGAGGAGACUCUUAAAUUGCUCCGGAAGGGUGAAAAGAAUUCUCACAACCAAAAACAAUUAAGAGAGAAUGGCAUAAAGCUAGCACCAUGAAUCUUGGAGAGAAUGGAGCAAGAUAUGAAGGAAAAAUUCUUCUUCGGUCUUCAAAAUCCGAGAAUGACGACGAGAAAUACCAUCCAAUUGUUGAGACACUCCGGAAUGAAGAAUGGAAAAGUUGAGCCAACGAAGAAAAGAUUUUGGCAGAUCUUGAGAAGACAUUUGACUGAUGAUAAAUCAUUCUUAUGUCAAACUUUGAAAAGAAUUUGAGAAUACCUCCGGGAGAAUAAGAAGAGUCAGGUAAGAUCCUGGGAAAAGACCUGUGGGUUAGGGCCCACUUAAAAGAAACACCGUUGAAUGAUUACUUGAAAAAAGAGAUUGCACCGGUUGAAUUAAAUGACUUGAAAGAGAUAACAUCCUCGAAAGAGCUUGAAUGAAAGCAGAGUGGAAACACGAUUCUUCUAGAUAUUAUGAGCACUCCAGAACAAUUGAAUAGCGAGAAAAGAAUGAACAUGAGGAGCACCGGUAUGAGAAGGCAUUGAAAUGAGGAAAGGGAUAUGAUCAACACCAAAUCUUAAUUUUAAUCCACCGGAGAAGAAAACAAGUGAAGAGUGACGAACUUGAAGCUCCGUUAGAAUCUUCCUGAUAAUCGCCGGAUAAGAAUAUUGAAAGAAAAGAAAGAAGAGACUUCACAUCAAUAAGAUGGAUACUUGAUUAAGAAAUCUGAGUCCUCCAAGAAAAAACAAGGGAGGGAGGGCGGGAAAAACAAAGGCAACUUGGAGAUGGAUGAAACAAACAACAUUGAGAAGAACUGAUAAUUGAUCUUGCGGUUCUUGAAAUGAUCGGAUCCACUUGAAGAGAAACACACCGGUUAAAAAGGAUUGACAUGACAAACUUGAUGAUCGAGAAGGACUAGUAUUCACAUAGGAAUAUGAGAACGCCAUUUUGGGAAGGUAUGGAAUCAACACUUAACAUUGAAGCAACUCGAAUACCACAACUCAAAACAAAACAAAGGAUUGGCUUGCAGAAUAAGCCGGAACAAACAUAUGAUAGAGUUUUCGUGGUGGGGCCUACACGGGCUCGGUCGUACAUCACCAUCAUGUACAAGGCAGUGCACAUGACAUACGAAGCGUCCCCGAGUCGGCAUAGCCAAGGACUCUUUAAGACACAACGAGACCACUGUAAAACCGACCGUGAAUAGGCGGACCACUAGACGUCGAACCCCAAUUUCAUAUCAUACAUCUGUCGGAAAGAUAUCCUAAGAGAUACUUGAAUUCCCACCUAUGAAACUCCCGAAAUGUUCCAAGUUAUGCAAUCAGGUGUUGGGGAUACAGAGGAAGCAUAAUAUCUCGCCCAAAUCUAGCAAAUCCUACAUCCAACUGUAUCCAUCCUUCAACACAUAACCAAGAAACCUUCGGAAAUCAUCUACCUCAACCUUCGAAAAGCAUCCGUUAUACAAGUUAUGGCGAUACUCCCGAACUCCCGCCCCAGUACUGGGUGGCGUCGAGGUUAUCUCACCAACGAACUGCAUAAAAGAGAUUUUCGAUGUCGGCGUACUAAACUCAGGUAUUCCAGAACUGCAACGAUAAAAUUAUGACGACAACACCUCAGAGCUCAACUCCCCGGGACACUUCCACAAAACCCCUGACAGGAGGCACCAAGACAAUGUUCUCAUCAUAAAACCAUCGAAACGAUUCCAAGAUACCCGCGUGAUCCUAAAAAAAAUUUAGUGAAAUUUGAGAAGAGAAGAGUCAAAACUCUACGUCGGGAUGCCUUACCAGAGCGAUGAGGAGACUGGGAAGUAAAAAGAAUUCCUAAACUCGAUAUAUAAUUCCUAAAGGACUCAAAACAUUUUUCUAGACACAACUUGGCUGCUAAAAACGAUCAAGCAAUGGGGCUCCUAAGGACGGGGAAGGCUCUGAUUACCAACUUGUAACACCCUUGAUGCGACUAUAGCUCCCACAUGUCAAGGCACGACUUAGAGACAUAAUCGCAUUGAAGGCAUAUGUCGCAAGUGAGGUAAUCUUCACACAACUCAUGUAAUACAUAAGGGAAAGAGAUACAUAGUUGGCUUACAAUCGCCACUUCACACAAUUACAUGAAUAAACAUUACAUCAAUCAAAUACACUCAUGGUCCGGCUACGGAACCAAAAUAAAAGAAGAACCCCAAAUGCGACAAGGUCCCCGAUCGACCCCAACUGGGCUCCACUACUGAUCGACUAGAACGGAACAACACAAAGGACAAGAUCUUCAUCGAACUCCUCCUGAGCUUGGUUGCGUCAUCUGCACGGACUCAUCGGCACCUGCAAGCUAGUUUUGGAAGUAUCUGUGAGCCACAGGGACUCAGCAAUCUCGCACCCUCGUGAUCAAGACUAUUUAAGCUUAUGGGUAAGGUAAAGGUAUGAGGUGGAGCUGCAGCAAGCGACUAGCAUAUAUGGUGGCUAACAUACGCAAAUGAGAGCGAGAAGAGAAGGCAAAGCACGGUCGAUAAAAGUAUGAUCAAGAAGUGAUCCUAAAACAACCUACGUCAAGCAUAACUCCAACACCGUGUUCACUUCCCGGACUCCGCCGGAAAGAGACCAUCACGGUUACACACGCGGUUGAUUCAUUUUAAUUAAGGUCAAGUUCAUGUUUUCUACAACCGGACAUUUACAAAUUCCCAUCUGCCCAUAACCACGGGCACGGCUUUCAAAAGUUCAAAUCCCUGUAGGGGUGUCCCAACUUAGCCCAUGACAAGCUCUCACGGUCAACGAAGGAAUAGACCUCCACCCGAGACAUUCCGAUCAGACUCGGUAUCCCGGUACAACAAGACAUUUCGACAGGGUAAAACUAAACCAGCAAUACCGCCCCGAAUGUGCCGACAAAUCCCGAUAGGAGCUGCACAUAUCUCUUUCUCAGGGCACACUCAGAUUGUCCUAGGUACGGGUAGGCCAGCCCAGAGUUGCCCCUGGUGGUCACCGGUAGCUGACAGUUGGACCAACACUCAGAGGAGCACUAGCCCGGGGGGAUAAAAUAAUGAUGACCCUUGAGUCCGCGAAACCCAAGGGAAAAAGAGGCUAGGUGGCGAAUGGUAAAACCAAUGUUGGGCAUUGCUGGAAGAGCUUUACUUAAGGCGAACUGUCAAGGGGUUCCCAUAAUAGCCCAACCGCGUAAGGGAUGAAAGAUCCGGGAACAUAACACCGAUAUGAUGGAAACUAGGGCGGCAAGAGUGGAACAAAACACCAGGCAUAAGGCCGAGCCUUCCACCCUUUACCAAGUAUAUAGAUGCAUUAAUUAAAUAAGAUAUAUAGUGAUAUCCCUACAAGUAAAUAAAAGAUGUUCCAACAAGGAACGGCCUCCAAUCUUCACCUGCAACUAGCAAUGCUAUAAGAGGGGCUGAGCAAAGCGGUAACAUAGCCAAUCAACGGUUUGCUAGGACAUGGUGGGUUAGAGGUUUGGCAUGGCAAUUUGGAAGGCUGACAAGCAAAAGGUAGGCAUCAUAGCAUUGGCAUAGCAAAGAGCGAGCAAACUAGCAUAUCAAAGAUAGUAGUGAUUUCGAGGGAAUGAUCAUCUUGCCUGAAAUCCCGCAAGGAAGAAGAACGAGUCCAUGAAGAAGACAAACGGACGUAGUCGAACGAAUCCUCACAACUCGAUGUUAUCGGAACCAACCCGAAGAAGCAACACUAGAAAGAAGCAGACAACAUAGUAAACAACCACGACAUGAACAUGGCAUGAUGCACAAUCAAGUAUGAUGCAUGUCCGGUUUAAUGAAACAUGGCAUGGCAAAAUGCACAAACAACACUACAAGUUAAGUGGAGCUCAAUAUGCAACGAGUUGCAUAUUGACGGAACACCACAUGCCUUAUUUAGUUCUCUCUCGUUUAUGUACCCAACAAUAUUAAAUGUUGUUAAACAUGGCAAGCGGGUGAAGCAAAGUAAAUCUACCUAUCUAGUCAAGUUUAAAUGAGGCCGGAAGCAACGAACAACAUUUCCGGAAACUCCUCAUAUGCAUAAUUUAAGGUUUGGUACUGUUCUGCCCUAAACAUAUUUUAGAGUUGUUUAACAUGCAAAGUAAAGCCACCAUGUUAAACUAGACAUUUUUCUACCCCAUUUACAUAUAAAGUUUAUUAAAUUCGGAGUUACGGUUAUUUAGUUACGAAAUAAAUCAUUUUAGCAUGGCAUAGGAGCAAAUUAAAGCAAACAACAUUUUUAAUAUCUUUAACAUGGAUGAAAGUUUCAUAUUAUUAAUCUACACAAAAUUCUGAGCAAGUUUCAUAUAUAAAACAUUUUAAUCCGAUGCACGGUUAGUGAGUUAUUAAAUGCAUGAACUAGGGGGACUAAUCUAUAAAACAGCAGUCUCAGGAUAAAUAGGAAAAACACAGGCGCUGAAAAAAAGCAUGACAUGGGUCGAAAUGGACUAGCCCAACAACAGGAAAAAAAACAGGUGGCGCUGGGGGCGGCUCACCCAUGGGCUUCGGCCCGGACGGUGGAAGAGGCAGGCCGCGAAGGGGCUCGCUAGGCCGCGCGUGGGAGCUGGGCCAGGCUAGGGCGGCGCGGAUCUGGAGCAGGGCUUGGUGCUGCGCUGCGCUGGCCGGGGAAGAUGGGCCAGCCCACGAAGGAGGAGGAGGCAGGCCGAGGCGGGGCGGCGCGCUGGGCCGGACUCAGGGCCCGCGAAGGAGUCAACGGGGGCGCUCGUCGUCUCCCGAUCGGAUCGGGGAGGCAGGGCGAGGCGGAGAUCCAUGGUGACGACGCCGGCGAGGCUGGGUGACGAGCCAGCGAGGGAACGGCGCCGGGGAAGCGGGGACGGCGGAUCCCGGUCCGGCGGGGCCAGAUCCGGUGGAUCCCGACCGGGUUCGGGUGAAUAUGUGGCCGGCGGCGGUGAACUCCAUGUCGUCGGGUCCCUACUGCUGCGAGCUGGGGUUCACCGGCGAGCUGCUCCGGUGAGCCGGACGAGGUGGCGCAGAGGAAUGGCGACGAGGACCUGGAUCGGGCUCGCGCAAGUUUUGGACGACGGCGGCUCGGGCCAGCGCGGGCGUGCGAUGGGCCUGCAGGGCCGACGCGGUGGAGGGAGAGGAGAGAGAGGGUGGCGGCGCUGACGUGUCGCGCGCUGAGUGGGUGAGGGCGCUGGCGGCGGUGAGCUGGUGCUCUCCGGUUGGUCGGAGUGAGGUGGCUGAGGGCGGCGAACAUGUCCGGCGCGGACGAAAUUGUCCGGCGGCACGAGGUGGACGAAGGUUAGGGUUUGGACUGUGCGAAAAUUCAUAGGGGAUCACAUAUUUAUAGGUAGAGGGAGCUAGGAGAGUCCAAAUGAGGUGCGGUUUUCGGCCACGCGAUCGUGAUCGAACGACCAAGAUGAUGGAGCAGAGUUAGGUGGGUUUUGGGCCAAAAUGGAAGGGUGUUGGGCUGCAACACACACGAGGCCUUCUCGGUCCCUCGGUUAACCGUUGGAGUAUCAAACGAAGUCCAAAUGGUACGAAACUUGACAGGCGGUCUACCGGUAGUAAACUAAGGCUGCUUGGCAAGUCUCGGUCCAAUCCGGAAAUGUUUAAUCCCCACACAUGAAAGAAGGGAAGAAAUGACCACCGGAGGAGAACGAAGCGCCGGAAUGCAAAACGGACAACGGGGAAAAAGCUCGGAUGCAUGAGACGAACACGUAUGCAAAUGAAAUGCGCAUGAUGACAUGAUAUGCAAAGCAUGACACGCAAGCAAUGACAAGGCAACAACAGCGAAUAACUGAACGACACCUGGCAUGUCGGUCUCGGGGCGUUACAUUGGGAUUCUCAGGUGUGUCAACAACAGGUUCACUAGAAGCAUGCAAAGUCCUAUCAUUUUUCUUUUUCUUACUCUUAGAAGGACUAGGUGCAUCAACAUUAGUUCUCUGAGAAUCUUGCUCAAUUCUCUUAGGAUGGCCCUCAAGAUACAAAGGUUCCUGAGUCAUUUUACCACCUCUAGUCAUAACUCUAACAGCAUUAUCAUUCUUCUUAUUAUUUAAUUCAUUGAGCAAAUCAUUCUGAGCUUUAAGUACUUGUUCUACUUGAGUGGUAACCAUAGAAGCAUGUUUACUAAUAAGUUUAAGUUCACCUUUAACACUAGCCAUAUAAUCACUCAAGUGUUCAAGCAUAUCAGCAUUGUGUUUCAAUUGUCUACCAACAUAAGCAUUGAAGCUUUCUUGUUUAACCAUAAAGUCAUCAAACUCAUCCAAGCAUUGGCUAGCAAACUUAGUAAAUGGAAUUUCACAUUUAUCAAAUCUAUAGAGAAAAUUUACCUUUACUACCUGUGUCGAGUUAUCAAGACCAUGUAUUUCUUCAAUAGGUGGUAAAUUCUUAACAUCUUCAGCUUUAAUACCUUUUUCUUUCAUAGAUUUCUUCGCCUCUUGCAUAUCUUCAGGACUGAGAAAUAGAAUACCCCUUUUCUUCGGAGUUGGCUUAGGAGUUGGUUCAGGAAGUGUCCAAUUAUUUUCAUUAGUCAACAUAUUAUUCAAUAGCAAUUCAGCUUGAUCAACAGUUCUUUUCUUGAAAACACAACCAGCACAACUAUCCAUGCGGUCUCUGGAAGUAUCAGUUAGUCCAUUAUAAAAGAUAUCAAGUAUUUCAUUUUUCUUGAGAGGAUGAUCAGGCAAAGCAUUAAGUAAUCGGAGAAGCCUCCCCCAAGCUUGUGGGAGACUCUCUUCUUCAAUUUGCACAAAAUUAUAUAUUUCCCUCAAGGAAGCUUGUUUCUUAUGAGCGGGGACAUAUUUAGUAGAGAAGUAAUAAAUCAUAUCCUGGGGACUCAGCACACAACCAGGAUCAAGAGAAUUAAACCAUGUUUUAGCAUCACCCUUUAAUGAGAACGGAAACAACUUAAGGAUAAAGUAAUAGCGAGUUUUCUCGUCAUGAGUAAACAAGGUGGCUAUAUCAUUUAAUUUAGAAGAUGUGUCACAACAGUUUCAGAUUCAUAGCCAUAAAAAGGAUCAGAUUCAACCAAAGUAAUUAACUCAGAAUCGACAGAGAAAUCAUAAUCCUUAUCAGUAAUAAAGAUAGGUGAAGUAGCAAAAGCAGGGUCAUAUUUCAUUCUAAUAUUCAAAGACUUUUCUUUAAGCUUAGCUAAUAAUUUAUUAAGAUCAGAUCUAUCAUUGCAAGCUAAGAAGUCUCUAGCAGUUUCUUCAUCCAUAACACAACCAUCAGGCACAACAUGCAAUUCAUAUCUAGGGGGAGAAUCUUCAUCAUCACUUUCAUCAAUAUUAUCACAUUCAAUAAUUUCAUUCUCUCUAGCCCUAGCAAGUUGUUCAUCAAGAAAUUCACCUAGUGGCACAGUAUUAUCAAGCAUAGAAGUAGUUUCAUCAUAAGUAUCAUGCAAAGCAGAAGUGGCAUAAUCAAUAACAUGCGACCUAUCAGAAUCAAUAGCAGCAGUAGGUGUCGCAAGUUUACUCAAAACAGAAGGUGAAUCAAGUGCAGGGCUAGAUGGCAGUUCCUUACCUCCCCUCGUAGUUGAGGGAAAAAUCUCGUUCUUUGAUCUUUCAAGUUCUUCAUAGUGAUAAGUAGAUAUAAAUCCCAAGUGACUCAAAGAAUAGAGCUAUGCUCCCCGGCAAUGGCGCCAAAAAAUAGUCUUGAUAACCCACAAGUAUAGGGGAUCACAACAGUUUUCGAGGGUAGAGUAUUCAACCCAAAUUUAUUGAUUCGACACAAGGGGAGCCAAAGAAUAUUCUCAAGUAUUAGCAGCUGAGUUGUCAAUUCAACCACACCUGGAAACUUAAUAUCUGCAGCAAGGUAUUUAGUAGCAAAGUAAUAUGAUAGUAGUGGUAACGGUAGCAAAAGUAAUAUUUUUGGUUUUAUAGCGAUUGCAACAGUAGCAACGGAAAAGUAAAUAAGCAAAGAACAAUAUAUGAAAAGCUCAUAGGCAUUGGAUCGGUGAUGGAGAAUUAUGUCGGAUGCGAUCGAUCAUGCAACAGUUAUAACAUAGGGUGACACAGAACUAGCUCCAGUUCAUCAAUGUAAUGUAGGCAUGUAUUCCGAAUAUAGUCAUACGUGCUUAUGGAAAAGAAUUUGCAUGACAUCUUUUGUCCUACCCUCCCGUGGCAGUGGGGUCCUAUUGGAAACUAAGGGAUAUUAAGGCCUCUUUUUAAUAGAGUACCGGACCAAAGCAUUAACACAUAGUGAAUACAUGAACUCCUCAAACUACGGUCGUCACCGGUAAUGGUCCCGAUUAUUGUCACUUCGGGGUUAAUGGAUCAUAACACAUAAUAGGUGACUAUAGAAUUGCAAGAUAGGAUCAAGAACUCACAUAUAUUCAUGAAAACAUAAUAGGUUCAAAUCUGAAAUCAUGGCACUCGGGCCCCAGUGACAAGCAUUAAGCAUAGCAAAGUCGUAGCAAUAUCAAUCUCAUAACAUAGUGGAUACUAGGGAUCAAACCCUAACAAAACUAACUCGAUUACACGAUAAAUCUCAUCCAACCCAUCACCGUCUAGCAAGCCUAUGAUGGAAUUACUCACGCACGGCGGUCAGCAUCAUGAAAUUAGUGAUGGAGGAAGGUUGAUGAUGACAAUGGCGACGGAUUCCCCUCUCUGGAGCCCCGAACGGACUCCAGAUCAGCCCUCCCGAGAGAGUUUAGGGCUUGGCGGCGGCUCCGUAUCGUAAAACGCGAUGAGGCCUUCUCCCUGAUUUUUUUCUCCCCGAACACGAAUAUAUGGAGUUGGAGUUGAGGUCGGUGGAGCAUCAGGGGGCCCACGAGGCAGGGGGCGCGCCCAGGGGGUAGGCGCACCCCCACCCUCGUGGAUAGGGUGUGGGCCCCAUGACGUGGAUUUUUCUUCCAGUAUUUUUUAUAUAUUCCAAAAAUAAUCUCCAUUGGUUUUCAGGUCAUUCCGAAACUUUUAUUUCUGCACAAAAAUAACACCAUGGCAAUUCUGUUGAAAACAGCGUCAGUCUGGGUUAGUUCCAUUCAAAUCAUGCAUGUUAGAGUCCAAAACAAGGGCAAAAGUGUUUGGAUAGGUAGAUACGAUGGAGACGUAUCAGUAAGUCUUGUCCAUUGUGUCCAUAAGAAAGGAGGUAUUGCUGUUGUUCCUAAUGAUAAGGAUGAAUUGAUCCCACAAAGAAUUGUUAUAUGUUAUAGAAUGGUAGUUGAUUUCCACAAACUAAAUAAAGCUACUAAAAAGGAUCAUUACCCUUUACCUUUUAUUGAUGAAAUGCUAGAAAGAUUAUCUAAGCAUACACAUUUUUGCUUUCUAGAUGGUUAUUCUGGUUUCUCUCAAAUACCCGUGUCAAAAGAGGAUCAAGAAAAGACCACUUUCACUUGCCCUUUUGGUACCUUUGCUUAUAGACGCAUGCCUUUUGGUUUAUGUAAUGCACGUGCUACCUUUCAAAGAUGUAUGACUGUGAUAUUCUCUGACUUUUGUGAAAAGAUUGUUGAGGUUUUCAUGGAUGAUUUCUCCGUUUAUGGAACUUCUUUUGAUGAUUGCUUAAGCAACCUUGAUCGAGUUUUGCAGAGAUGUGAAGAAACUAAUCUUGUCUUGAAUUGGGAGAAGUGCCACUUUAUGGUUAAUGAAGGUAUUGUGUUGGGGCAUAAAAUUUCUGAAAGAGGUAUUGAAGUUGAUAAAGCUAAAGUUGAUGCUAUUGAAAAGAUGUCGUGUCCAAAGGACAUUAAAGGUAUAAGAAGUUUCCUUGGUCAUGCCAGUUUUUAUAGGAGGUUCACUAAAGACUUCUCAAAAAUUUCCAAGCCUCUGACUAAUCUCUUAAAAAAAUGUUCCUUUUUUCUUUGAUGAUGAUUUUGUAGAAGCAUUUGAAAUACUUAAGAAAGCCUUGAUUUCUGCACCUAUUGUUCAGCCUCCUAAUUGGAAUUUACCCUUUGAAAUUAUGUGUGAUGCUAGUGAUUAUGCUGUAGGUGUUGUUCUAGGACAAAGAGUUGAUAAGAAAUUAAAUGUUAUUCAAUAUGCUAAUAAAACUCUAGACAGUGUCUAGAGAAAUUAUGCUACUACUAAAAAGGAAUUUUUAGCGGUUGUGUUUGCUUGUGAUAAGUUCAGACCUUAUAUUGUUGAUUCUAAAGUAACUAUUCACAUUGAUCAUGCUGCAAUUAAACAUCUUAUGGAAAAGAAAGAUGCUAAACCUAGACUUAUUAGAUGGGUUCUCCUACUACAAGAAUUUGAUUUGCAUAUUAUUGAUAGAAAGGGAGCUGAGAACCCCGUUGCAGACAACUUGUCUAGGUUAGAGAAUGUUCUUGAUGACCCACUACCUGUUGAUGAUAGCUUUCUUGAUGAACAAUUAGAAGUCAUAAAUGCUUCUUGUACUGCUCCAUGGUAUGCUGAUUAUGCCAAUUACAUUGUUGCUAAAUUUAUACCACCUAGUUUCACAUACCAGCAAAAGAAAAAGUUUUUCUAUGAUUUGAGACAUUACUUCUGGGAUGACCCACACCUUUAUAAAGAAGGAGUAGAUGGUGUUAUUAGACGUUGUGUACCUGAGCAUGAACAGGAACAGAUCCUAUGCAAGUGUCACUCCGAGGCUUAUGGAGGACACCAUGCUGGAGAUAGAACUGCACAUAAGGUAUUGCAAUCCGGUUUUUAUUGGCCUACUCUCUUCAAGGUUACCCGUAAGUUUGUCUUGUCUUGUGAUGAAUGUCAAAGAAUUGGUAACAUUAGUAGACGUCAAGAAAUGCCUAUAAAUUAUUCACUUUUUAUUGAACCAUUUGAUGUUUGGGGCUUUGAUUAUAUGGGACCGUUUCCUUCCCCUAAUGGGUAUACACAUAUUUUAGUUGCUGUUGAUUAUGUUACUAAGUGGGUAGAAGCUAUUCCAACUAGUAUGCUGAUCAUAACACCUCUAUUAAGAUGCUUAAAGAAGUUAUUUUUCCGAGGUUUGGAGUCCCUAGAUAUUUAAUGACUGAUUGUGGUUCACAUUUUAUUCAUGGUGCCUUUCGUAAAAUGCUUGCUAAGUAUGAUGUUAAUCAUAGAAUUGCAUCCCCAUAUCACCCAUAGUCUAGUGGUCAAGUAGAAUUGAGCAAUAGAGAGCUUAAAUUAAUUUUGCAAAAGACUGUUAAUAGAUCUAGAAAGAAUUGGUCAAAGAAACUUGAUGAUGCAUUAUGGGCCUAUAGAACUACGUAUAAAAAUCAUAUGGGUAUGUCUCCAUAUAAAAUGGUUCAUGGAAAGCAUGUCACUUACCUCUCGAACUAGAACAUAAGGCAUAUUGGGCCAUUAAAGAGCUCAACUAUGACUUCAAAGUUGCCGGUGAGAAGAGACUAUUUGACAUUAGCUCACUUGAUGAAUGGAGAACCCAGGCCUAUGAAAAUGCCAAACUAUUUAAAGAAAAAGUUAAAAGAUGGCAUGACAAAAGGAUACAAAAAUGUGAGUUUAAUGUAGGUGAUUAUGUAUUGUUGUACAACUCUCAUUUAAGAUUUUUUUUGCAGGAAAACUCCUCUCUAAAUGGGAAGGUCCUUACGUUAUCGAGGAGGUAUAUCGUUUCGGUGCCAUAAAAAAUCAACAACUUCGAAGGCACAAAUCCGAGGGUGGUAAACAGCCAAAGAAUCAAACAUUAUAUCUCAGGUAAUCCUAUAAAUGUUGAAACUAAUGUUAUUGAAACCGUAACCCCGGAGGAGUAUAUAAGGGACACCUUCCAGAAUGUUUCAGCCUUCGAAAAGGAAGAGGUAUGUGGUACGGUAAGUAACCCGACUCCAAAACAGUUCUAAUAGCAAUUUUUCUCUGUUUUGGAAUAUUUAAGAAAAUAGGAAAAUAAGAAGCAGUCCGGAAAGGACACGAGGCAUCCACGAGGGCGGAGGGCGCGCCCUACCCCUUGGGCGCGCCCCCUGCCUCGUGGGCACCUCGUGUGCCCUUCGGACUCCGUUUUCUUGCAUGAUACUUCUUUUGGUCGGUAAAAAUUCAUUAUAUAAUCUCCAGAAGGUUUUGACCACCAUACCACGCAAUUAUCCUUUGUUUUUGUUUUGAGCUGUUUUCUGCCAGAGUUGUCAAGGCCAGGCAUCAUGUCGUCCCCUUCCUCCAACAAUGAGGGCGACGAUGCUUGGCUAAUGAAGAUAGAGCUGAAGAGAGAAGAACACGGGGAGAUCAACAAGGAUGAUGGGAUCAAGAAGGCCAUGGAGGAUCAAGCUCCAGCAGAAGAAGAAGAAGAUAUCCUUCAACCUCAUUACAAUCUUCUUACCCCUAGUGAAAUUGAAGCUUUCAAGAUGAUUGAGAUAGUUCGAGUGCAGAACAAGUAUCUAACUCGUGAAAAUAUUAUGUUGCAAGAACAUAUCACCACACUCAAGGGCAUUAUUAUUAAGUUAGAGCACCUCCUAUGCUCGAUGUUGGACGAAAAGCCUACGUCAUCAACAAUCCCUUCAUCACCACCUCUGAGUAAAGAGACAUAAACACAUGGGUAUGGGCACUCCCCUUGGCAACUGCCAAGCUUGUGGGAGUGCCCCGGUAUCGUAUCACCAUGACACUUUUAUCUUUACCGUUUUUCUUAGUUCGAUCCUUUUGGUAAUAUCUUGAUCCAGUAGAAUAAAGUUUUAGUAUGAUCUAGUUUGGAGUUUUGCUUUAUGAUCCUUCUAUGUAAUCGAGUCCGUGAGCUAUAUAUAAUAAAUAUUAGUUGUGAGUUAAGGGCUUUGCUAUCUUGCUAUGAUCUUGAGGGAAUAAAAGUAAGAAUAAAAAGAAAUAAAGAGAUCAUAUUGAUCUUAUGGAGAGUAAUGACUUCACAUAUAAAGAUUAUGAUGAAUAAAAGUUGUUGGGAGUUGACAAACAUAGUUUUGGUCAUCGUUGCAAUUAAUAGGAAGUAAUAAAGAAAGAGAGGUUUUCACAUAUAAAUAUACUAUCUUGGACAUCUCUUAUGAUUGUGAGCACUCAUUAAAAUAUGACAUGCUAAAAAGUCGAUGUUGGACAAUGAAGAUAAGGUAAUGGGUUAUGUUUUCUUACAUCCGAAAUAAAUUAUAUUGUCAUGGAUCAUCCAACAUGUUGAGCUUGCCUUUCCUCUUCUUGCUAGCCAAAUUAUUUGCACCAAGUAGAGAUACUACUAGUGCUUCCAAAUAUCCUUAAACCCAGUUUUGCCAUGAGAGUCCACCAUAUCUACCUAUGGAUUGAGUAAGAUCCUUCAAGUAAGUUGUCAUUGUUGCAAGCAAUAAAAAUUGCUCUCUAAAUAUGUAUGAUUUAUUAGUGUGGAGAAAAUAAGCUUUAUACAAUCUUGUGAUGUGGAAGAAAUAAAAGCGACGGACUGCAUAAUAAAGGUCCAUAUCACAAGUGGCAAUAUAAAGUAACAUUCUUUUGCAUUAAGAUUUAGUGCAUCCAACCAUAAAAACAUAUGACAACCUCUGCUUCCCUCUGUGAAGGUCCUAUCUUUUAUUUUUGUCUUAUACUCUAUACAAGAGUCAUGGUGAUCUUCACCUUUCCUUUUUACAUUUUAUCCUUUGGCAAGCACUGUGUGUUGGAAAGAUCCUGAUAUAUAUAGCUAAUUGGAUGUGGGUUUUCAAAAACUAUUAUUGUUGACAUUACCCUUGAGGUAAAUGGUUGGUAGGAAAAACUAUAAGCCCCUAUCUUUCUCUAUGUCCGAUUAAAACUCCAUACCCAUAAGUAUUGCAUGAGUGUUAGCAAUUGUGAAAAACUAAAUGAUAGUUGAGUAUGUGGACUUGUUGAAAAGCUCUUAUAUUGACUCUUUCCGAUGUUAUGAUAAAUUGCUUGCUUCAAUGACUGAGAUUAUAGUUUGUUAGUUUUCAAUGAAGUUUCUGAUUCAUACUUUACAUUGUGAAUAAGAUUGUUACUUUAGCAUAAGAAAUCAUAUAACAAUAUAUGUAUAUUGCUGUUCUAAGAAUGAUCAUGAUGCCCUCAUGUCCAUAUUUUAUUUUAUCGACACCUCUAUCUCUAAACAUGUGGACAUAUUUUUCGUUAUCGGCUUCCGCUUCAGGACAAGCGAGGUCUAAGCUUGGGGGAGUUGAUACGUCCAUUUUGCAUCAUGCUUUUAUAUCGAUAUUUUUGCAUUAUGGGCUGUUAUUACACAUUAUGUCACAAUACUUAUGCCUAUUCUCUCUUAUUUUACAAGGUUUGAACGAAGAGGGAGAAUGCCGGCAGCUGGAAUUCUGGACCGGAAAAGGAGCAAAUAUUAGAGACCUAUUCUGCACAACUCCAAAAGUCCUGAAACUCCACGGAAGUCAGUUUUGGAAUAUAUAAAAAAUAUUGGGUGAAGAAAGGACCAGAGGGGGCCACCCACCAUCCACGAGGAUGGGGGCGCACCCCCUGUCUCGUGGCCCCCCUGGCAGGCCUCCGGUGCCCAUCUUUGGCUAUAUGAAGUCUUUCAUCCUGGAAAAAAUCAUAAGCAAGCAUUCAAGACGAAACACCCCCGCCACGAGGUGGAACCUUGGCGGAACCAAUCUAGGGCUCCGGCGGAGCUGUUCUGCCGGGGAAACAUCCCUCCGGGAGGGGCAAAUCAUCACCAUCGUUCCUCUCAUCGGGAGGGGGUCAAUCUCCAUCAACAUCUUCACUAGCACCAUCUCCUCUCAAUCCCUAGUUCAUCUCUUGUAUCCAAUAUUUGUCUCAAAACCUUACAUUGGUACCUGUGGGUUGCUAGUAGUGUUGAUUACUCCUUGUAGUUGAUGCUAGUUGGUUUAUUUGGUGGAAGAUCAUAUGUUCAGAUCCUUUAUGCAUAUUAAUACCCCUCUGAUUAUGAACAUGAAUAUGAUUUUUGAGUAGUUAUGUUUGUUCCUGAGGACAUUGGAGAAGUCUUGAUAUAAGUAGUCAUGUGAAUUUGGUAUUCGUUCGAUAUUUUGAUGAGAUGUAUGUUGUCUUUCCUCUAGUGGUGUCAUGUGAACGUCGACUCCAUGACACUUCACCAUUGUUUGGGCCUAGGGGAAGGCAUUGGGAAGUAAUAAGUAGAUGAUGGGUUGCUAGAGUGACAGAAGUUUAAACCCUAGUUUAUGUGUUGCUUCGUAAGGGGCUGAUUUGGAUCCAUAUGUUUCAUGCUAUGGUUAGGUUUACCUUAAUACUUCUUUUGUAGUUGCGGAUGCUUGCAAGAGGGGUUAAUCAUAAGUGGAUGCUUGUCUAAGUAAGGGCAGUACCAAAGCACCGGUCCACCCACAUAUCAAAUUAUCAAAGUACCGAACGCGAAUCAUAUGAACGUGAUGAACACAAGCUUGACGAUAAUUCCCAUGUGUCCUCGGGAGCGCUUUCCUUUAUAUAAGAGUUUGUCUAGGCUCGUCCUUUGCUACAAAAAGGAUUGGGCCAUCUUGCUGCACCUUAUUUACUUUUAUUACUUGUUACCCGUUACAAAUUACCUUAUCACAAAACUAUUUGUUACCGAUAAUUUCAGUGCUUGCAGAGAAUACCUUACUGAAAACUGCUUAUCAUUUCCUUCUGCUCCUCGUUGGGUUUGACACUCUUACUUAUCGAAAGGACUAUGAUAGAUCCCCUAGACUUGUGGGUCAUCAACCCCACCUCUCCAGGUUAUGUGAGAGGGGGUUGGAGGGGCACACAGCCCCUUAGUGGGCUGGUGUGCCCCCUCCCCUUGGCCGAUAAGGCCCCCAACGCUUGCCAGGGCCUCCGAAACACCUUUCGGUCACACUGGUCGUCACCCGGUACUCCCAGAACAAUUCUGAAAUCCAAUACCCUUCUUCCAAUAUAUUGAUCUUCACCUCCGGGCCAUUCCGGACUUCUUCGUCACAUCCGGGGUCUCAUCUGGGACUCCGAACAACCUUCGGUAACCUCAUAAUAUUCCCAUUACAACUCUAGCGUCACUGAACCUUAAGUGUGUAGACCCUACGGGUUCGGGAACCAUGCAGACAUGACCAAGACAUCUUUUCGGCCAAUAACCAGUAGCGGGAUCUGGAUACCCAUGUUGUCUCCCACAUGUUCCACGAUGAUCUCAUCGGAUGAACCACGAUGUCGAGGAUUCAAUCAAUCCCGUAUACAAUUCCCUUUGUCUAUCGGUAUGUUACUUGCCCGAAAUUCGAUCGUCGGUAUCUCUAUACCUCGUUCAAUCUCGUUAUUGGCAAGUCUCUUUACUCGUUUCGUAACACAUGAUCCUGUGACUAACUCCUUAGUCACAUUGAGCUCAUUAUGAUGAUGUGUUACCGAGUGGGCCCAGCUACCUCUCCAUCACACGGAGUGACAAAUCCUAGUCUCGACUUGUGCCAACCCAACAGACACUUUCGGAGAUACCUGUAGUGCACCUUUAUAGUAACCCGGUUACGUUGUGACGUUUGAUACACCCAAAGCACUCCUACGGUAUCUCGGAGUUACACAAUCUCAUGGUGUGACGCCCCGAAUCCAUUGCACCAGGUGUCUUCCAGUUAUUCGCCGACGUUGCCAUGUCUUUUGCUUGCAUGUUGCAUUUUGUCUUAUCAUCGUGUGCAUUGCAUCAUCAUGUUUUCAAAACCUGCAUACGUCCGGGUUCCCCCAGUUCCGUCCGUUGUCUGUUCUGACCCCAGACACACUUGCACGCGCCCGCGGCAUGUCCGAAAUAGUAUUUUAUAAGUGGCCGGAAAAUGUUCUCGGAUUGGGUUGAAAGUUGGCGUGUGGUCUUAUUAUAGUGUAGAUAGACCGCCUGUCAAGUUUCAUCGCAUUCGAAGUUUGUUUGUUAGCCCAACCGUUAAACUAUAGCGGCGUUAUAGCCGGGCACACGUUGGAUGUUUUCGGUCUCCGGAAACAAUCGUCGGGCCUCCCUCUCUUCGCUUCUCAUAGCUCGAGACCGUCUACACAGACCACUACCUACCGCCAGCUCCAACCUAAGCUCUCUCGUCAGCCUGCGGCCCUCCUCGCGCGCGCGUCCGAAAAUUGUCCUGGACCCGACCUGGACAAUCGUUACCGUUGUGUCCGGAUCAUCCCCAAACAUCCCUAAAUCAUCAUCGGUUUCUCUUUUGGACUCCCUAGCUAUUUUAUUCGCGACCGUCCGAUUACGAUCGAAGAGACCUAACCGCCCUAAGCUGAUCUGACUUACUAUUUAUAGUCCACCCUCAGUCAUUUUGGACAACCGUAAAAAUUCUCCACCUUGUGCCAUCCAUCCCAUUCCCCACGCCACCGCCACUUCCCUUGUAUUCAGCAUCGAUCCAACCAGCAACCCCCACCUCUCCCUCUCAGAUCGACCCCGCGCUCGAUCUCGAUUGGAUCUAGAGCCUCCUCCUCCCUCUUCGAUCCAGAGGAGUGGAGAUCCUCCUCGCUCUCCCGAAACCCCUGCCUCCUCUCUCGUCCACCGGGAACAGUGCCACCCCUCUCCUUCCCGUGCUUCCUCUCCUCUUGCUCGUCCCUGACCUCUCUCUUCCCCUUCACAGGUGCUCCACUCGCCAUGGCCCCGAGCUCUGCCGUACCAAGUCCAUCCCCACGUCGUCCCUACACCGGCGCCGUCCAAGCACGUUUUCCGGCCUCCCUCAUUUUUCCCGCAUCACUGGAUAUCGCGCCAAGUACAGCGCCGCCUUGUCCCUGCAUUGCAGCGAGCCACUGCCUGCGUUAACCCGCUGCUGCUCGUCUUCAUCGAGCUGGCCAAGCCCCAGGAAUGCCAUGGCCACCUCUCUUCUCCUCACGGGUCCUGGACCCCUGCGCCCCGUCACCAGCGUCUGGCGCCGCCAUGGAUUCGCGCCAAGGAUUCCUUACCUCCGCCCGGUUCCUCUCCCGCCAUCGCCUGCUUCCGCCUGGCGUUGCAGCUGCCGCCGCCCCACCAAGGCUCGUCGCCAGCCUCCCCUGCCGAGUCCCGCGCCGCUUGCCGCUCCCUGCUGACUCCGCCGGAGCCGCGCCUCUCCACGCCUGAGAACGUCGGCCAUCUCCCUCAUCGGAGUCGCGCCCUGCUUUCUUUGCUUCGCCCAUGCCCCUGUUUUGCCUGAGGGGAAUGAGCAACGCAGCCCGUGCUCGAUCCGCUGGCACACGUUGACCACAACCACGCUCCGGGCCACUUCGGCGCUAAGGCCCAACCGUGGCCUCCUCUUUGGCCCAGCUCCCGUUUAGGUCUGCUAGGCCGAUGUGAGCAGCCCCACAUUUUCCCCCCCUGUGCAUGUUGGCCCGUUUACAGAUUCGGUCCGUUUUGUUUUUUCCUUGCUGCUACGAUUUUAGCAAUUAAACCUGAGACUGGAGUUUUUACAAAAAGGUCCCUAAACUUCAUGCAUAUAAUAACUUAAUAACCGUGCAUCGGUUUAAAAUGAUUUAUAUAUGAGACUUGCUUAGAAUUUUGUCUAGUUUAAUAAUUUCCAACUUUCAUCAAUGUUUGAAAUGUUUAAAAUGUUGUUUGUGUAAUUUUGUCCAUAUGCCAUGCUAAAAUGCUUUAAUUCAUAACUAAAUAACCGUAGCUCCAAAUUUAAUAAACUUUAUAUGUAAAUGGGGUAGAAAAAUGCCUAGUUUAUCAUGGUGGUUUUACUUUGCAUGUUUAACAACUCUAAAAUUUUGGUUAGGGCAGAACAGGACCGAACCUAAUAUAUGCACAUGAGGAGUUUUCCAGACUUGUUGCGUGUUGUUCCGGCCUCAUUUAAACUUGCCUAGAUAGGUAGUUUUCAUUUGCUUCACCCCUUGCCAUGUUAAUCAACAUUUAAUAUUGUUGCGUACAUAAAUGAGAUCGAACUAAAUAACUUGAAUGUGGUGUUCUGUCAAUAUGCAACGAAGAGCUCCACUUAACUUGUAGUGUUGUUUGUGCACUUUGCCUUGCCAUGCUUCAUUAAACCGGACAUGCAUCAUACUUGUUUGCGCAUCGUGCCAUGUUUAUGUGGUGGUUGUUUACUAUGUUGUUUGCUUCUUUCUGGUGUUGCUUCUUCAGGCUAGUUCUGAUAAUGUCGUGUUGUAAGGAUUCGCUCGACUUCGUCCGUUUGUCUUCUUCAUGGACUCGUUCUUCUUCCUUGCAGGAUUUCAGGCAAGAUGACCAUACCCUCGAAAUCACUUCUAUCUUUGCUUGCUAGAUGCUCGCUCUUUUGCUAUGCCUAUGUUGCGAUACCUACCACUUGCUAUAUCAUGCCCCCCAUGUUGCUAAGCCAAGCCUCUAACCCACCUUGUCCUUGCAAACCGUUGUUUGGCUAUGUUACCGCUUUGCUCAGCCCCUCUUAUAGCGUUGUUAGUUGCAGGUGAAGAUUGGAGCUUGUUCCAUGUUUGGAACAUGGUUAUUUUGUUGGGAUAUCACAAUAUCUCUUAUUUAAUUAAUGCAUCUAUAUACUUGUUAAAGGGUGGAAGGCUCGGCCUUAUGCCUGGUGUUUUGUUCCACUCUUGCCGCCCUAGUUUCCGUCAUAUCGGUGUUAUGUUCCCGGAUUUUGCGUUCCUUACACGGUUGGGUUAUAAUGGGAACCCCUUGACAAUUCGCCUUGAAUAAAACUCCUCCAGCAAUGCCCAACAUUGGUUUUACCAUUCGCCACCUAGCCUUUUCUUUACCUUGGGUCGGCCGGCUCAAGGGUCAUCUUUAUUAAACCCCCGGGCCAGUGCUCCUCUGAGUGUUGGUCCACCUUGUUAGCCGCCGGUGGCCACCAGGGGCAACUCUGGGCUGGCCUACCGGAAGUUUGGACAAUCCGGUGUGCCCUGAGAACGAGAUAUGUGCAGCUCCUAUCGGGAUUUGUCGGCACAUUCAGGUGGUGUUGUUGGACUUGUUUUAUCAUUGUCGAGGAUGUCUUGUAACCGGGAUGCCGAGUCUGAUCGGAUUGUCUUGGGAGAAGGAAUAUCCUUCGUUGACCGUGAGAGCUUGUGAUGGGCUAAGUUGGGACACCCCUGCAGGGAUUUCAACUUUUGAAAGUCGUGCCCAUGGUUAUGGGCAGAUGGGAAUUUGUUAAUGUCCGGUUGUAGAAAACCUAACGUUUAUCUUAAUUAAAAUGCAUCAACCACGUGUGUAACCGUGAUGGUCUCUUUCCGGCGGAGUCCGGGAAGUGAACACGGUGUUGGAGUAAUGCUUGACGUAGGUUGUUCUAGGAUCACUUCUUGAUCAUAGAUUCUCGACCGUGCUUUUGCCUUCUCUUCUCGCUCUCAUUUGCGUAUGUUAACCACCAAAUACGCUAGUCGUUUGCUGUAGCUCAACCUCAUACCUUCUACCCUACCUAUAAGCUUAAAUAGUCUUUCGCGAGGGUGUGAGAUUGCUGAGUCCCCGUGACUCACAGAUACUUCCAAAACCAGUUUGCAGGUGCCGAUGUUAUCGAGCAGGUGGCGCAACCAAGCUCAAGGAGGAGCUCGAUGAAGAUCUUGUCCUUUGUGUUGUUUCGUUCUAGUUGAUCAGUAGUGGAGCCCAGUUGGGGUCGAUCGGGGAUCUGUGUAGCAUUUGGGGUUGUCUUCUUUUAUUUUGGUACCGUAGUCGGACCUUGAUUGUAUCUGGAUGAUGUAAUGUUUUAUUCAUGUAUUGUGUGAAGUGGCGAUUGUAAGCCAACUAUGUAUCUCUUUCCCUUAUGUAUUACAUGGGUUGUGUGAAGAUUACCUCACUUGCGACAUUGCUUACAAUGCGGUUAUGCCUCUAAGUCGUGCUUCGACACAUGGGAGAUAUAGCCGCAUCAUGGGCAUUACAAGUUGGUAAUCAGAGCCUUCCCCGACCUUAGGAGCCCCUAGCUUGAUCGAAUCGCUGGCAUGUUGAGUCUAGAAAAAUGUUUUGAGUCUUAUAGGAUUAUAUAUAUAUCGGAGAGUAGGAUUCUUUUUACUCCUCAGUCCCUUCGUUGCUCUGGUGAGGCAUCCUGACGUAGAGUUUUGACUCUUCUCUUCUCAAAUUUCACUAAAAAAUAUAUUUUAGGAUCACGCGGGUAUCUUGGAAUUGUUUCGAUGGUUUUGUGACGAGAACAUUGUUCUUGGUGCCUCCUGACACUUAGGGGUUGUGGCAGUGUCCCGGGGAGUUGAGCUCCGAGGUGUUGUCGUCACAAUUUUAUCGUUGCAGUUCUGGAAUACCUGAGUUUCGCCGACAUCAAAAAUCUCUUUUAUGCAGUUGUUGGUGAGAUAACCUCGACGCCACCUAGUACUGGGGUGGGAGUUCGGGAGUAUUGCCAUAACUUGUAUAACGGAUGCUUUUCGAAGGUUGAGGUAAACGAUUUCCGAAGGUUUCUUGGUUAUGUGUUGAAGGAUGGAUAUAGCUGGAUGUAGGAUUUGCUAGUUUUGGGUGAGAUAUUAUGCUUCCCCUGUAUCCCCAACACCUGAUUGCAUAACCGGAAAAUUUCGGGAGUUUAUAAGUGGGAAUCCAAGUAGCUCUUAGGAUAUCUUUCCGACAGAUGUAUGAUAUGAAAUUGGGGUUCGACGUCUAGUGGUCCGCCUAUCCACGGUUGGUUUUACAGUGGUCUCAUUGUGUCUUAAAGAGUCCUUGGUUAUGCUGACUCGGGGAUGCUUCGUAUGUCAUGUGCACUGCCUUGUACAUGAUGGUGUUGUACGAUCGAGCCCGUGUAGGCCCCACCAUGAAAACUUCGGACGAAAUCUCCAUCAUAUGUUUGUUCCGGCUUAUUUUUCAAGCCAAUCCUUUGUUUUUUUGUUUUGAUUGUGGUAUUCGAGUUGCUUCGAAGUCAAGUGUUUAUUCCAUACCUUCGUAAGCGGUGUUCCCAUAUUCCUAUGUGAAUAGUAAUCCUUCUCGAUCAUUGAGUUUGUCAUUUCAAUUUCUUCUCAACCGGUGAGCUUCCCUUCAAGUGGAUCCGAUCACUUCAACAUUUGCAAGAUCCAAUCUCAGUUCUUCUCAACGGUGUUCAUUUCAUUCGUCCCAAGCUGCCUUUGUUUUCCCACCCACCCACCCUUUUUCUUCAAGGGCUCGGAUUUCUUAAUCAAGUAUCAUCUUAUGGAUGUGAAGCCUCUCCAUUCUUUUCCGUCAAUAUUCUUACCCGGUGGUUCUCAUGAAGAUGCUCUACUCGUUCAUCAUCCUUCGUUCUUUUCUUCUCCAGUGGUUUAAAAUCAAGCUUUCGGCGUUGAUAUCAUAUCCCUUUUUCCUCGUUUCAAAUACCUUCUCAUACCGGUGCACCUCAUAAUAAUUCACUUCUCGCUAUUCAUUUGUUCGGGAGUGCUGAAGAUAUCUCAGAAGGCUCGUCCUGUCUUUCAAGAUCAGUUCAACCUAUUUCGAGGUUGUUAUCUCAUUCUAGCCAUUUAAAUCUUACUGGUGCAUUCUCUCUUUUAAAUCAUUCUACGGUGUUUCUUUUGAGUGGGCCCUAACCCACAGGUCUUUUCCCAAGAUCUUACCUGACUCUUCUUAUUUUUCCCAGAGCUAUCCUCAAAUUUCAUUUUGAAGUUUGACAUAAGAAUGAAUUAUCAUCAGUCAAAUGUCUUUCUCCAAGAUCUUUAAAAUUCUUUUCAUCGUUGGUUCAACCUUUCUAAUUUUCAUCCCGGAGUAUCUCAACAAUUCAUGGUGGUGUUUCUCAUCGGUAUUCUCAACAUUUGAAGACCGAAGAAGAUUUUGUCUCUCAAUCUUGCUCCAUUCUCUUCAAGGUUCAUGACUCUAGCUUCGUGCCAUCCUCUCAUAAUUGUUUCGAUUGUGAGAAUUUCUUUUCACCCAUCCGGAGCAAUUCAAGAUUCUUUUUGAUUUAAUUCUCCGAAGGCCACCAUUUCGGGUUAUUCAUUGUAACGCCCUCGAUGCGACUAUAGCUCCCACGUGUCGAGGCACGACUUAGAGACAUAAUCGCAUUGAAGGCAUAUGUCGCAAGUUAGGCAAUCUUCACAAACAUCCCAUGUAAUGUAAUAAUAAAAGGGGAGAACAUAGUUGGCUUACACUCGCCACAUCAAUCAAGAACAUAAGAGCCUUUCCGGUUAUGCAAUCAGGUGUUGGGGAUACAGGGGAAGCAUAAUAUCUCACCCAAACUAGCAAAUCCUACAUCCAGCUGUAUCCAUCCUUCAACACAUAACCAAGAAACCUUCGGAAACCAUCUACCUCAACCUUCGAAAAGCAUCCGUUAUACAAGUUAUGGCGAUACUCCCGAACUCCCGCCCCAGUACUGGGUGGCGUCGAGGUUAUCUCACCAACGAACUGCAUAAAAGAGAUUUUCGAUGUCGGCGAACAUAUCUCAAGUAUUCCAGAAUUGCAACGAUAAAAUUAUGAUGACAACACCUCAGAGCUCAACUCCCCGGGACACUUCCACUAAACCCCUGACAGGAGGCACCAAGUCAAUGUUCUCAUCAUAAGCCAUCGGAACGAUUCCAAGAUACUCGUGUGAUCCUAAAAAAAAUUAGUGAAAUUUGAGAAGAGAAGAGUCAAAACUCUACGUCAGGAUGCCUUACCAGAGCGAUGAGGAGACUGAGAAGUAAAAAGAAUUCCUAGACUCUCUGAUAUAUAAUUCCUAAAUGACUCAAAACAUUUUUUCUAGACACAACUCGGCUGCUAAAAACGAUCAAGCAAUGGGGCUCCUAAGGUCGGGGAAGGCUCUGAUACCAACUUGUAAUGCCCUCGAUGCGACUAUAGCUCCCACGUGUCGAGGCACGACUUAGAGACAUAAUCGCAUUGAAGGCAUAUGUCGCAAGUUAGGCAAUCUUCACAAACAUCCCAUGUAAUGUAAUAAUAAAAGGGGAGAACAUAGUUGGCUUACACUCGCCAUGUCAAUCAAGAACAUAAAUAACAUUACAUCAUCCAAAACACUCAUGGCCCGACUACGGUGCCAAAAUAGAAGAAAACCCAACAUACGACAACGGUCCCAAUCACCCCCAACUGGGCACCACUACUGAUCAUCGGGAAAGGAAACGUAGUAACGCUGAGAGUCUUCGUCGAACUCCCACUUGAGCUCGUACUCAUCACCUGGACCUGCAUCUGGAGUUAUAGUAUCUGUGAGCCACAGGGACUCAGCAAUCUCGCACCCUCGCGAUCAAGACUAUUUAAGCUUAUAGGAAGGAAAGGCAAAUAUAUGUGGAGCUGCAGCAAGCGACUAACAUAUAUGGUGGCUAACUUACUCGCAAAAGAGAGCGAGAAGAGGAGGCAAAGCGCGAGCGAGAAUCUAGAGGAACAACCUGCGCAAACAUUACUCCAACACCGUGUCCACUUUCCGGACUCCGCCGAGAAGAGGCCAUCACGGUAACACACUCGGUUGAUUCAUUUUAAUUAAUUUAGGUUCAAGUUAUCUACAACCGGACAUUAACAAAUUCCCAUCUGCCCAUAACCGCGGGCACGGCUUUCGAAAGUUCAAUCCCUGCAGGGGAGUCCCAACUUAGCCCAUGACAAGCUCUCACGGUCAACGAAGGAAUAGACCUCCUCCCAAGACGUUCCGAUCAGACUCGGUAUCUCGGUAACUCAAGACACUUCGACAGGUUAAAACAAGACCAGCAACACCGCCCGAAUGUGCUGACAAAUCCCGAUAGGAGCUGCACAUAUCUCUUUCUUAGGGCACACUCAGAUGAGACAUCCUACGAGUAAAACCAACCCUCAAGUUGCCCCGAGGUGGCCCCGCAGUCUACUCGGUCGGACCAACACUCAAAGGAGCACUGGCCCGGGGGGGUUUAAAAUAAGAUGACCCUCGGGCUCCGAUAACCCAAGGGUAAAGAGGCUAGGUGGCGAAUGGUAAAACCAAUGUUGGGCAUUGCUGGAAAAGGUUUAAUCAAGGCGAACUAUCAAGGGGUUCCCAUUAUAACCCAACCGCGUAAGGAACGCAAAAAUCCGGGAAUAUAACACUGAUAUGAAGGAAACUAGGGCGGCAAGAGUGGAACAAAACACUAGGCGAGAGGCCGAGCCUUGCACCCUUUACCAAGUAUAUAGAUGCAUUAAGAUAACAUAGCAAUAUAAUGAUAUCCCAACAAGUAAUAAAUGUUCCAACAAGGAACGGCCUUCAAUCUUCACCUGCAACUAGCAACGCUAUAAGAGGGGCUGAGCAAAGCGGUAACAUAGCCAAUCAACGGUUUGCUAGGACAAGGUGGGUUAGAGGUUUGACAUGGCAAUUCGGAGGCUGACAAGCAAAUGGUAGGCAUCGUAGCAUUGGCAUACCAAAGAGCGAGCAGACUAGCAUAGCAAAGAUAGUAGUGAUUUCGAGGGUAUGAUCAUCUUGCCUGCACAGUUGUCAGAGUUGACUGGAUCCUCACAAGCAAACUCAACGGGUUCCUCGGUAGUGAACUCGUCUGCCAGCUCUACCCAAACAAGACAAACAAGCAACAAGGAUACAAUCAACCACGUGCAAGCUCAAACAAUAAGAUGCAAUGAUGACAUGCUAUGCGGGAUGCGAAAUGCAAGAUAUGACAGGAAAUGCAUGAACCUGGCCUCAACUUGGAAAACCAAGUGUACCACUAGAAAGAUGAGAUGAAAUCGCUUGAAAACGAUAUAAGGAUCAUCGGAAUCGGAGUUACGGUUUGGAAAUGGCAAGCGUUUUAAAAAUGACACCGGUGUGCAAUUUACAGCAAGUAGGCAUCUAAAUGCAACGAAAUGAACAUGCUACAGCACCCAAACAUCACAACAAAAUACAUGGCGGGGAUGCACACAAGAUGCUUAACAAAAGACUAGCACUGAGCUACGGCCAAUUAAUCCAUUAUGAGGUUCAAACAAGCAUGGCAAAACGCAAAUGCAAAACAGAUUCCAGACUUGGUGAAAUUAACACUUGUCUGAAAUUUCAGAUCACGAAGCCCUCUUCGGAGCAGCAAAACAACAUGAUACAUGACCUGAUUAAGACAAGUAAGAACAUGGCAUGGAGCUACUCAACAAGCUUAACAAAAGAUCCAAAGUGACCUGGGGCCAAAAGGGUUCACAAAAUAUACUAACGGGCACACGAACAUAGCUAAAACACAACCAGUUUUCAGACUUAGUGAAAACUGAGACAUGCUGAAAUAUAACUCACGAAGGCAUGUAAACGAGCUCGAUGCACUCACUACGGUGCAAGUCAUGGCAAGGCAAGCAUGCAUCCAUUAAGAAGGCACAAAAUGCUAGCUAGACAUGGCAAGAACAAUGGCAUAGCAUGCACGGAACAACUACAAUAACAUCGGCAAAAUCGCAAACGAGUUGACGAUCUGCCCAGAUUCACCACGAAGCAAAAGUAGAGCUCGAUUGACUCAAGCUAGGGUGCUCCAUAAUUGCAAACAAAGACAUGGAUGGAUAGAGCAUAACAAGAUUAACAAAACUCCCUUACUGAUCAUCCUCAAAAGAGGCACGGAUCACUAGGAAACAAGCUGAACAUAUGGCAUCAUGAACUAACUAAUCCCAGACUUGGUGAAAACAACUAAGUCUCUAAAAACAGAUUACCGGGUGCCUCACUUUGCAAGCUUGCACAAGUCACCACACACAUCCUAAAAAUGCAUGGGUUGCACCUCUGGAAAGAAGACAAAAUCCUUAACAAAACAUAUGAAGGACUCACAGGCAUAGCAUGCACACAAUAAUCAUGGCAAAAAUGACAAAAGUCUAAGAUGAACUAGCAGAUCUGACAAUUAACUCACGAAACCUCCUUCUAACAGCAUUUUGGGCAUCAAAAUGAGCUCAAAUGAAAAUGAUGCAAUGGAAUGAAAUGAUGUACUCGUCGAGACGAACAUUUUGAUAUACUAUAUGUCCAAAACGGAGUUACGGAUGCAAAGUUACGGCAGGUCAAAGUUUGCUCGAAAUUAGGGUUCGGGAGAGAAAAGUCAACCUUCAAAAUAUCUCAGAUCCAGAUCGGCACUGUUCACCGGCGCGUAUCCCGAGGUUCGUCGACCGGCGAUGGCGGUGGUGGCCGGAGAUGGAGGGGAGAGGCUGGGGCCGAGCCGGAUCCGGCGAGAGGAGGCGCGGGCGGCGGCGAUGGUGGCCCGCGGCGGCGGCGGUGGCGGCGAGGAACGCCGGCGGCUCGGGCGGCCGNNNNNNNNNNNNNNNNNNNNNNNNNNNNNNNNNNNNNNNNNNNNNNNNNNNNNNNNNNNNNNNNNNNNNNNNNNNNNNNNNNNNNNNNNNNNNNNNNNNNNNNNNNNNNNNNNNNNNNNNNNNNNNNNNNNNNNNNNNNNNNNNNNNNNNNNNNNNNNNNNNNNNNNNNNNNNNNNNNNNNNNNNNNNNNNNNNNNNNNNNNNNNNNNNNNNNNNNNNNNNNNNNNNNNNNNNNNNNNNNNNNNNNNNNNNNNNNNNNNNNNNNNNNNNNNNNNNNNNNNNNNNNNNNNNNNNNNNNNNNNNNNNNNNNNNNNNNNNNNNNNNNNNNNNNNNGGCCGAGCGGGCUUCGGCGGCAGCGGCGGGCAGGCGUGCCAUGUGGCAGAGCAGGGUUGGCUGGGCGCGGCGGGGCGGACGCGUCCGGCCUGGCGCAGACACGUCCGGCUGCGGCGGGAUUUUUUUAGGGUUUCGGGGAGAGAGAGAUCCGAAAAUGGAGGGGGGGGCUAUUUAUAGGCAUAAGUGGAGCUAGGAGAGUCCAAAUGAGGCGCGGUUUUCGGCCACGCGAUCGUGAUCAAACGCUCUAGAGCAUGGAGCAGAGUUUGGUGGGUUUUGGGCCAAAUUGGAGGGGUGUUGGGCUGCAACACACACGAGGCCUUUUCGGUCCCUCGGUUAACCGUUGGAGUAUCAAACGAAGUCCAAAUGAUACGAAACUUGACAGGCGGUCUACUGGUAGUAAACCAAGGCCGCUUGGCAAGUCUCGGUCCAAUCCGGAAAUGUUUAAUCCCCACACACGAAAGAAAGCUAGAAAUGACCACCGGAGGAGAACGAAGCACCGGAAUGCAAAACGGACAACGGGGAAAAAGCUCGAAUGCAAAAGACGAACACGUAUGCAAAUGCAAUGCACAUGAUGACAUGAUAUGAGAUGCAUGACAAAGGCAACAACACACAGAGACAAAGACCCGAACCCGAGAAAUAAAUAUAACUUAACGCCGGAAACGGCAAGAGUUGGAGUACAAAUUGGGAAAGUUACAUCUGGGGCGUUACAUUCAUACUCAGCUUUCAGCUAUUGUUCUCCAAAUCUUACCUGUGAAUCGUUCAAAUAUCCCCUAAUCAGUUCAUGAUCUCUUCGUUCUCAUGUAUCUAAAAUCCCCUCAAGUAUCUUCAUUCGUUUCCCAAAUUCUUCCCGGUGAAUUGUGCCUUUGCUAUUUUCAUUUUCAAUUCUUACGGUGGUUUGCUCAAGAUUCUCUUCCAUGGUUAUCAUAUCAAUUUAUUCGUUGUUUCAACCCUUCCGGUGGUUCGUUAAAGACCUUCCCAAGUUUGACGCUAUACCUAUCUUAACCCUCUCUACGAGAAUAAGUUGUAUUCAAUCCAUUGCUUGUCAUCAAUUUAAUUGGUGAAGGAUAUGCAUAACAUAAUUUGUAUUCUUGUUUCAUCGAGUGAAUUCAAUUCUUUAUUCCGGAGGCUCUUCAAAUUAUCGGUUUCAUUUGUUUCAUCUUCUCUUUUUCCCAGAGUUCUUUUCAAUUUUACCCUUCCUUUUGAUCAUACUUUUGUUGCUGGAGUUCUUUCAUGGAGGCUCUACAUGAUGGUUCAUCAAGGAUGUAAUUCCUUCUCAAAGUUUUCAUCGAGAUUCUUUUAAGGAACUCAAGCAUUCUUCAUCUCGCAUCCGGAGUGCAAUUUUUUCUUCCGUAUCAUUGGAGGGGGUAUUAUGUCAUUCUUGAUAAUUCGAGCUCAUGUUUCAUGAUUCACAUGUUGUCAAGAAUGGGAUAUUUAAACCCAUCAAUCUCUUCUUUGGAGUUAUCUUGGGUUAUAUUUCACCUAAAGCCUUCCCUAAGGAUUGUUGCUAUCUAUGGUGUUCAUAAAUGACCCAAGUUCUUUUAUCCUCCCGGUGAAAUAGUUUGUUGUCUCAUUGUUCAUAUCUAUCCAAUCUAUCAUUUCUGUUAGUGGUAGAAUUUCACCUCAUAGUUUUGAGAUGUUUUCCAUAAGUCCACUACAACCAUGUUCUUUUCUUUGUUGGUUUUUCCAACAACUCCGUUCAACCUUUCUUCUAAAGAUGCCUUUUUCAAGCUCUUUUGUGGCAGAAGUUGGCAUUUUCUUCUCCAGUCUUUUAUUUCAACUAUCUAUCUUCAAUUCUUUCGUUCCGGAGGCAUUGUGUUGUUGCUCUCUCCUCUCAUCAUCUCGAAUGUUGAGGAUCGUGUUUCUUUUCGUGCUUAUCCAUUUAACCGGAGUGUUGUGCCCUUUUGCACAAGUUCUUUUCGCCUUAUCCAACCUUGCAUCUCUUUUCUACCGGAGUGUUGUCUGAAUUUGUUCUUCCUUGUUACUCUUCCCUAUCGGAGUGCUUUCAACUUUGUUCUUCUUUGUUGCAUUCUUUCUUUCAAUCUGUUCAACCUCUUAAGGUUCGUGGUUUCACUCGGUUUUCAAAGAAGCAACUUAGUUUUACCUCUUCUCUUUCUCUUCCGUUGUCCCUCCGGUGUCAUUCUAGAUCUCGGGACGAGAUCCUCUCGUAGUGGUGGAGUGUUGUGACGCCCCGAGACCGUUGCGCCAGGUGUCUUCCAGUUAUUCGCCGACGUUGCCAUGUCUUUUUCUUGCGUGUUGCAUUUCUUCAUGUCAUCAUGUGCAUUGCAUCAUCAUGUUUUCAAAACCUGCAUCCGUCCGGGUUCCCCCAGUUCCGUCUGUUGUCCGUUCUGAGCCCAGACACACUUGCACGCGCCCGCGGCAUGUCCGAAAUAGUAUUUUAUAAGUGGCCGGCAAAUGUUCUCGGAUAGGGUUGAAAGUUGGCGUGUGGUCUUAUUAUAGUGUAGAUAGACCGUCUGUCAAGUUUCAUCGCAUUUGGAGUUCGUUUGUUAGCCCAACCGUUAAACUAUAGCGGCAUUAUAGUCAGGCACACGUUGGACGUUUUCGGUCUCCGGAAACAGUCGCCGGGCCUCCCUCUCUUCUCUUCUCUGAGCUCGAGACCGUCUACACAGCCCACUACCUACCGCCAGAUCCACCCUAAGCUCUCUCGUCAGCCCGCGGCCCUCCUCGCGCGCGCGUCCGAAAAUUGUCCCGGACCCGACCUGGACAGUCGUUACCGUUGUGUCUGGAUCAUCCCCAAACAUCCCUAAAUCAUCAUCGGUUUCUAUUUUGGAGUCCCUAGCUAUUUUAUUUGCGACCGUCCGAUUACGAUCGAAGAGACCUAACCGCCCUAAGCUGAUCUGACUUACUAUUUAUAGUCCACCCUUAAUCAUUUUGGACAACCCUAAAAAUUCUCCACCUUGUCCCAUCCAUCCCAUUCCCCACGCCGCCGCCACUUUCCUUGUAUUCAGCGUCGAUCCAACCAGCAACCCCCACCUCUCCCUCUCAGAUCGACCCCGUGCUCGAUUACAAUUGGAUCGAGAGCCUCCUCCUCCCUCUUCGAUCCAGAGGAGUGGAGAUCCUCCUCGCUCUCCCGAAGCCCCUGCCUCCUCUCUUGUCCACCAGGAACAGUGCCGCCCCUCUCCUUCCCGUGCUUCCUCUCCUCUCGCCCGUCCCUGACCUCUCUCUUCCCCUUCACAGGUGCUCCGCUCACCAUGGCCCAGAGCUCCGCCGCACCAAGCCCGUCUCCAUGUCGUCCCUGCACCGGCGCCGUCUAAGCACGUUGUCCGGCCUCCCUCGUUUUUCCCGUGUCACCGGAGAUCGAGCCAAGUACAGCGCCGCCUCGUCCCUGCGUUGCAGCGAGCCACCGUUUGCGUUGACCCGCUGCUGCUCGUCUUCAUCGAGCCGGCCAAGCCCCAGGAACACCAUGGCCGCCCCUCUUCUCCUCACAGGUCCUGGACCCCUGCGCCCCAUCACCAGCGUCCGGCGCGGCCAUGGAUUCGUGCCAAGGAUUCCUCACCUCCGCCCGGUUCCUCUCCUGUCGUCACCUGCUUCCGCCUGGCCUUGCAUCUCCCGUCGCCCCGCCAAGGCUCGUCGCCGACCUCCCCUGCCGAGUCUCGCGCCCCUUGCCGCUCCCUGCUGACUCCACCGGAGCCGCGCCUCUCCACGCCUGAGAACGCCGGCCAUCUCCCUCGUCAGAGUCACGCCCUACUUCCUCUGCUUCGCCCACGCCCCUGUUUUGCCCGAGGGGAAUGAGCAGCGCAGCCCGUACUCGAUCCGCUGGCACGCGUUGACCACAACCACGCUCCAGGCCACUUCGGUGUUAAGGCCCAACCGUGGUCUGCUAGGCCGAUGUGAGCAGCCCCACAUUUCCCCCCCUGUGCAUGUUGGCCCGUUUACAGAUUCGGUCCGUUUUGUUUUUUCCUUGCUGCUGCGAUUUUAGCAAUUAAACCUGAGACUGGAGUUUUUAUAGAAAGGUCCCUAAACUUCAUGCAUAUAAUAACUUAACAACCGUGCAUCGGUUUAAAAUGAUUUAUAUAUGAGACUUGCUUAGAAUUUUGUCUAGUUUAAUAAUUUCCAACUUUCAUCCAUAUUUGAAAUGUUUAAAAUGUUGUUUCUGUAAUUUUUCCCAUAUGCCAUGCUAAAAUCCUUUAAUUCAUAACUAAAUAACCGUAGCUCCGAAUUUAAUAAACUUUAUAUGUAAAUGGAGUAGAAAAAUGCCUAGUUUAUCAUGGUGGUUUUACUUUGCAUGUUUAACAACUCUAAAAUUGUGGUUAGGGCAGAACAGGACCAAACCUAAUAUAUGCACAUGAGGAGUUUUCCGGACUUGUUGCUUGUUGUUCCGGCCUCAUUUAAACUUGCCUAGAUAGGUAGUUUUCAUUUGCUUCACCCCUUGCCAUGUUAAUCAACAUUUAAUAUUGUUGGGUACAUAAAUGAGAUCGAACUAAAUAACUUGAAUUUGGUGUUUCGUCAAUAUGCAACGAAGAGCUCCACUUAACUUGUAGUGUUGUUUGUGCACUUUGCCUUGCCAUGCUUCAUUAAACCGGACAUGCAUCAUACUUGUUUGUGCAUCAUGCCAUGUUUAUGUGGUGGUUGUUUACUAUGUUGUUUGCUUCUUUCCGGUGUUGCUUCUUCGGGCUAGUUCUGAUAAUGUCGUGUUGUGAGGAUUCGCUCGACUUCGUCCGUUUGUCUUCUUCAUGGACUCGUUCUUCUUCCUUGCGGGAUUUCAGGCAAGAUGACCAUACCCUCGAAAUCACUUCUAUCUUUGCUUGCUAGAUGCUCGCUCUUUUGCUAUGCCUAUGCUGCGAUACCUACCACUUGCUAUAUCAUGCCCCCCAUGUUGCUAAGCCAAGCCUCUAACCCACCUUGUCCUAGCAAACCGUUGUUUGGCUAUGUUACCGCUUUGCUCAGCCCCUCUUAUAGCGUUGUUAGUUGCAGGUGAAGGUUGGAGCUUGUUCCAUGUUUGGAACAUGGUUAUUUUGUUGGGAUAUCACAAUAUCUCUUAUUUAAUUAAUGCAUCUAUAUACUUGGUAAAGGGUGGAAGGCUCGGCCUUAUGCCUGGUGUUUUGUUCCACUCUUGCCGCCCUAGUUUCCGUCAUAUCGGUGUUAUGUUCCCGGAUUUUGCGUUCCUUACACGGUUGGGUUAUAAUGGGAACCCCUUGACAAUUCGCCUUGAAUAAAACUCCUCCAGCAAUGCCCAACAUUGGUUUUACCAUUCGCCACCUAGCCUUUUCUUUACCUUGGGUCGGCCGGCUCAAGGGUCAUCUUUAUUAAACCCCCGGGCCAGUGCUCCUCUGAGUGUUGGUCCACCUUGUCAGCCGCAGGUGGACACCAGGGGAAACUCUGGGCUGGCCUACCGGCAGUUUGGACAAUCCGGUGUGCCCUAAGAACGAGAUAUGUGCAGCUCCUAUCGGGAUUUGUCGGCACAUUCGAGCGGUGUUGCUGGACUUGUUUUAUCAUUGUCGAGGAUGUCUUGUAACCGGGAUGCCGAGUCUGAUCGGAUUGUCUUGGGAGAAGGAAUAUCCUUCGUUGACCGUGAGAGCUUGUGAUGGGCUAAGUUGGGACACCCCUGCAGGGAUUUGAACUUUCGAAAGCCAUGCCCGCGGUUAUGGGCAGAUGGGAAUUUGUUAAUGUCCGGUUGUAGAAAACCUAAAGUUUAUCUUAAUUAAAAUGCAUCAACCACGUGUGUAACCGUGAUGGUUUCUUUCCGGCGGAGUCCGGGAAAUGAACACAGUGUUGGAGUAAUGCUUGACGUAGGUUGAUCUAGGAUCACUUCUUGAUCAUAGAUUCUCGACCGUGCUUUUGCCUUCUCUUCUCGCUCUCAUUUGCGUAUGUUAGCCACCAAAUACGCUAGUCGCUUGCUGCAGCUCCACCUCAUACCUUCUACCCUACCUAUAAGCUUAAAUAGUCUUGAUCGCGAGGGUGUGAGAUUGCUGAGUCCCCGUGACUCACAGAUACUUCCAAAACCAGUUUGCAGGUGCCGAUGUUAUCGAGCAGGUGGCGCAACCAAGCUCAAGGAGGAGCUCGAUGAAGAUCUUGUCCUUUGUGUUGUUUCGUUCUAGUUGAUCAGUAGUGGAGCCCAGUUGGGGUCGAUCGGGGAUCUGUGUAGCAUUUGGGGUUGUCUUCUUUUAUUUUGGUACCGUAGUCGGACCUUGAUUGUAUCUGGAUGAUGUAAUGUUUUAUUCAUGUAUUGUGUGAAGUGGCGAUUGUAAGCCAACUAUGUAUCUCUUUCCCUUAUGUAUUACAUGGGUUGUGUGAAGAUUACCUCACUUGCGACAUUGCUUAAAAUGCGGUUAUGCCUCUAAGUCGUGCUUCGACACGUGAGAGAUAUAGCCGCAUCGUGGGCAUUACACAUGGUCUAAGGAAAUGAUACUUGACAUUAAAAAAGCUCUAGCGAACAAACUACACGAUCUUGUGCUAUGCUUAGGAUUGGGUCUUGUCCAUCACAUCAUUCUCCUAAUGAUGUGAUCCUGUUAUCAAUGACAUCCACUGUCCAUGGUCAGGAAACCACAACCAUCUAUUGAUCAACGAACUAGUCAACUAGAGGCUCACUAGGGACUUGUUGUGGUCUACGUAUUCACACAUGUAUUACGGUUCCCGGUUAAUACAAUUAUAGCAUGAAUAAUAGACAAUUAUCAUGAACAAGGAAAUAUAAUAAUAACCAUUUUAUUAUUGCCUCUAGGGCAUAUUUCCAACAAGGCCAUCACACUCUCCACUUCUGGCAACUGUGUCAUACCGCCGCUGAUGCCGCCGUCCCCUGUCAAGCUGUGACGCCCCCGAUUCAACCGUACACUAAUCACACACGCAAAUGUGUAUGAUCAAGAUCAGGGACUCACGGGAAGAUAUCACAACACAAGUCCAGACACAAAUUAAAAUAAUACAAGCUUCAUAUUACAAGCCAGGGGCCUCGAGGGCUCGAAUACAAGCUCGAUACACAAGCGUCAGCGGAAGCAACAAUAUCUGAGUACAAACAUAAGUUAGACAAGACUGUCUUAAGAAGGCAAACGCAAAAGCAACAACGAUCGAAGAGGCAAGGCCUCCUGCCUGGGACCUCCUAACUACUCCUGGUCGUCGGCGGUCUCCACGUAGUAGUAGGCAUCCUCCGGGUAGUAGUAGUCGUCGACUGGGGUGUUCUGCUGCUAAUCUGAGCGUGUGGUCUGUGUUACCCCUUCAGUGUUCUAUUAAUGGUCAAGCCUUGAUUCGGUUUUGAUCUGCAUUGUGCUUGUGCACCUAUGUAAUGUAAUUUUUUGAUUAUAUAAGCAUAACCCCAGGGGCCCUUAAUCCAAGCAUGACUUGCAACCUACCUACCUGCAAUAGAAAAAUCUAUAAUCUAUACAAAUUGCAGCAUAGAUAUGUGCAAUGUGAUCUAUAAUCCAUUCUGCGGUGUGCCAAUGUAGUUCUAGUAUGCCGGUGUAGUUUAGUUGAUGAUGAUUGCUUACUUAGUUCACUCAUGUUCAAAUUGCAACAAUGUGUGUUCUCAAUAGUCAGCCAUGAGUUAUUGGAAAUGUUUUUGAUGAUUUGCUCCUUGUCAUACACAACAGGUUUCCAUUGUGGUAACUAUAGUGGUAACUAAGUACCUGUAGUCAGCCAUGAGUUAUUGAAUAUGUUGGUUUCUUCUUCCUGACUUACCACGGUGCCCUCUAUAGUGGUAACUAAGUAUCUCUAGUAUGCACAAAAAUUGAGUUGUUCUGUACUUCCUUGAUGCUAACGUGCACUGCAACUUCAAGAUCGAUAAGUUCUGCCUUGUUAAGAAUGCGUUGUUUAUGUUACACUUUGUGCAACUCGUUCUUGUUCUACUUUCACUUGGAGUGUGCUGACCUGUGAUAGUAAAGAAGCCUUAAUUCAGUUUUUGAGACAGCUUAACCCAAGCAUGAGUUCCUGCCAACCUGCAAUAGGAAAAAAUCUAUAGUUUAUUCAAAUAGCGGCAUAGAUAUGCUUUCCAUUCUGUAGUGUGCCAGUGUAGUUCCAGACUUCUAGUUGAUUUCCAUAUUGCAGGCCAUAUUGGUAUGUUGAUCUAACUGGUCUGUGUCUUCCAUCAGUCAGCAUGAGUUCAGCUACAAGGUGGUCUCUAAGUGUCUUUUGAAUAGGCUUAGGCCUCUUCUAGACGACAUUAUUUCUCCUGAGCAGAGUGCUUUUAUUCAAGGAAGGAUGAUCACGGAUAAUGCCUUGAUUGAUUUCGAGUGUAUCCACUACAUUAAGCAGGAAAAAGAUCCCACAAGAAGGUGUUGUGCUUAUAAAUUGGACCUGUCUAAAGCAUAUGAUAUGGUGGAUUGAAGCUUCUUGAGGCAAAUGAUGCAAAAUUUGGGGUUUGCACAUCGAUGGAUUGACUGAAUAAUGACCUGUGUCACAUCAGUGCGAUAUUCUAUUAAAUUAAAUGGGACCCUCUUAGAUUCAUUUGCACCGUCGCGUGGGCUACGGCAAGGUGAUCCUCUCUCUACAUUUUUAUUUUUGUUCGUUACAGACGGUCUCUCUGCACUACUGAGGAAUAGGGUGAAUAUGGGAAAUAUUACACCAGUUAAAAUUUGUCAGAGGGCGCCUGGUAUCUCACAUCUCUUAUUUGCGGAUGAUACCCUUCUGUUCUUCAAGGCCUCUCAUGCACAAGCUCAAGAAGUUAAGUCAUGUUUGAAUAUGUAUGCAUCUGCCAUAGGACAAUUGUUAAACUAUAAUAAAUGUUCAAUCUUAUUUAGGGAUACAUGCCCGUUACUGGUUCAAGAGGAAGUAAGAGAAGUCCUAGCUAUCCCAAUUGCGGGCAUUCAGGAGAAGUACUUGGGUCUACCAACUCCGGAUGGGCAUAUGUCAAAAGGAAAAUUUCAAAAUCUUCAAGCUCGACUUUUGAAAAGGCUAAUCCAAUGGGGAGAUGGUCAUUUGGCUCAACCUGGUAGGGAAGUGUUGAUAAAAUCAGUUGCACAAGCAUUGCCCACUUAUAUUAUGGGGUCUUUAAGCUUCCUUAUUCAGUUUGUGAUGAUCUAACUAGCUUGGUUAGAAACUUUUAUUGGAGAGUGUCUGAAGGCAAAAGGAAGGUCCACCGGAAGGCUUGGUCAAAGCUGCAGCAGCCUAAGUGUAAAGGAGGUGCCGGGUUUCGAGACUACCGUAUUUUUAAUCAAGCACUAUUGGCCUGCCAAGCAUGGAGACUAAUCACAAAGCCGGAGUGUCUGUGUGCUCUGUAGAAGGCUCGCUAUUAUCCAAGUGGGAAGUUGGAAGAUACUGUUUUCACGGGCAACGCUUCUUCUACGUGGACAACUAUUUCUCAUGGUCUAGACCUUCUAGAAAAGGGAUUAAUAUGGAGGAUCGGCAACGGACAGAGUGUCUGUAUCUGGCGUGACAAUUGGAUACCGAGGCCUUUUUCUUACAAGCCAAUUUCUUUGCAGGGGAGAUGCCGUAUGAGAUAUGUAUCACAGCUCCUGAACGCCAAUGGAUCAUGGAAUGGUCAACUUUUACGUUCGAUCUUUUUGCCAUGUGAUGUCUUGGAGAUUUUGAAAAUUCGAGCAUCCCCGAGAUAGAGUGCGGAUGUACUAGCUUGGGGUCCAGGAAAAUUUGGUGUUUUCACAGUUAAAUCUGCAUACGAAAUGGCGUUUGAUGAGUCAUGCCGUGAGCUUGCCCAAGGCUCCAGUUCUGCACCAGAGGGGAGGCGAGCCUGUUGGAAAUUGAUUUGGGGAGGUAUGUCUGCACCAACGGUUAAAAACUUUGCCUGGAGAGUUGCUAUAAAUUCACUUCCAUCCUGGCAGAAUAAAUAUAAGAGAGAACUAGAAACUUCAAAUGUUUGUCCUAUUUGUGGUACUGAACCGGAGGAUAGUUUUCAUGCACUAUGCCGAUGUCCACUAGCAGUCCAGUUGUGGGACUGUAUGAGGGAAGUGUGGCGCUUGCCGAAUCUUAAGGAAGUAAUUAGGGCGACGCUAGGCGCCGGCGCACCGGCCCAACAGUUGGGCCGGUCCAGCCCUGGCCGCCCGAUUCAGCGAUUAAAGACCGUCAGAUCUAUCCCUCGUUUUUUCCUCCUCACGAGUCAUUUUUUUUAAAAAAAAAGCAACAGCCCGAGCGCCGUGGAGACCACGCUAUACCUCGCGAGAAAAAGACCGAGCUUGAAGCACCGCCGCGGCGCCCUCGUCGCCGGUGGGCGCCCUCGCCGGCCUUCCGUGUUUGCCCAAGAACCGCGCUCGCCAUGGAUGUAGCUCCGCCGCCCGCGCUCGCCGGAGAUCUGCGCUCGCCAUGGAUGCAGCUCCGCUGGCCGCGCUCGCCAUGGAUGCAGCUCCGUUGGCCGCGCUCGCCAUGGAUGCAGCUUCGCCGUCCGCGCUCGCCAUGGAUGGAUCCCGCCCGCGCACGCCAUGGAUGCAGCUCCGCCUCGCUGGCGAUUGACUGGUUCCAGCAAAUAUAAUUGGCCGUUGUAGCAUUUUUCGUUGUUGGUCGUAGCAAAAUGGAGACACGGUUGCAACAGAAAGGUCGCCAUUGUCGUGUAGCUCACCGUUGCAGGUAGCAAACAUUUGCAUUCUAAAAAAAUGAACGGAUGUAACAAAACCCGUUGCCAGAUGUAGCAAAUACCUAUGACAGUUGUAACAAAAAGCCGUCGUCGUCGUCGCGGGUCGUAGCUCGGCCGUGAUUGAUGUAGCAAAACAUUAUGUCGGUUGUAGCAAAAAACGAUGCUAGUUGUAGCAAAACCGCCACGCCGGCUGUGUGUUGUAGCAAAACGUGAUGCUAGUUGUAGCAAAAAUGCUAUGCCAAUUGUAGCAAAAAUCUAUGUCGGUUGAAGCAUGUAGCAAAACUGCAGCAUUUUAUCAUCUUCUUCCACCUCCAGCCGUCGCUGGUUGAAGCUUUCUUAUUUUCAUAGUGUCUAGUUGUAGCUUUCUCUCUCAAUGGUUGGAGCUUUUUCCAACAACCGUUGAAGCUUUUCUACGAAAAGUUGUAGCUAUUUUCUUUUUAGCAGCACUUGGUCAAGCCUUUUUGUGUCAUUUCGGUUGAAGCUUUUUUAAUCAAAGGUUGUAGCAUUUCAUGUCAACGGUUGUAGCUUUCCGGCGAUGGCGCUGAUCGCUUAUAGCUUUCUCUACAUCCAGUUGAAGCUUUUCAUCUAGGGGGAUGAAGCUUUUUUUUAAACGGUUGCAACAUGAGGGGGUGCGACGAUUCCGCGGAAGCCUCCGGUGUCGUCCAUCGCCGCCCGGGUCGUCGUCGGCGAGGCAGAAGCACGAGGCACGUGGGAGUUGCAACCAACGGAAAUGGGAUUGGUCAAACGACCUUGCUGCAUCCAAUGGCGAGCGGGGCAGCAAGCGUGGCGGAGUGAGAUCUACAUCCAUGGCCGGCGGGGAAUCGAUCUUCCAUGGCCAACGGCGAGUUACUCACGCGCUGCAGCGACGGAAGCAGGAGAUGCGGGCAUCGGCGCUGCGUGCUGCAACGAUGGAGGCAGGAGACGAGGAUGGGGCGAGAUCCGCGGAGCUGGGAGACGGGGAUGGGGUGGGAUCUGCGGGAAGUUGAAGAAAAGCAACGAUUUGGAUGGCCCCGCGUCCUACGUGUCGCUUGGUGGAUGGCUGAGGCGAAGCGUGCGUGGACGCGACCGGCCGAGUGGUUCGGCCGGUGCCCCGGCUCCAAACGUUUCCCAAGUAAUUAACACUAGUGUAGAAUGGCUACUGGAUGUCUUGUAUCCAUUGGGAGAUGUUCAACGAACCAUGGUUUUGUUUACCUUUUGGAGAAUAUGGCAUAACCGUAAUGAGGUGACACACAACAAGACCCCGCCACCGAUGGAUACAUCCAGACGUUUUUUGUGCAGUUACAUGGACUCCUUGAUCGCAAUGGCCCAAGACUAUGGUUGUGAUCCUGUGAAAGGUAAAGUUGUAUUAUCUUAUGCUCCAGUUGUGAAAUGUACGUAUGAAAUAUCAGAUGGUACACAUCCUACAAAGUGGUCUCCUCCACCCGCUGGUUGGGUCAAACUUAAUACGGACGGAUCAUGGACGGAGGACGGUAAAGCUGGAGCUGGUAUGGUGCUUCGUGAUGAUCGCGACAAUAUCAUAUAUUCAUCCUGCAGGGAACUCUUCUCAUGUCGAGAUGCCUUAGAAGCAGAAAUAAGUGCAUGCAUGGAGGGUUAGCCAUUCAGCGUUCGGAUCUCCCAAUUUGCAUUGAGAUGGAUUCGAUACUAGCGGUGAACAUGUUGAAUGACAGUGGCAUGAACAGGUCUGUUUAUGCGGCGCUGGUGCAGGAGAUCAUGCAUUUGAAGUCUCUUCGUAUGACUUGUAUUACUCAUAUCAAUCAUGAUCAGAACUGUGUAAGUGAUUUUCUAGCUAAAUUUGUUAGAACUGUAGUUUGGUUGGGCUCUAGCCUCUAAGAAGUCAUUGAGUUAUGUAAGAAGGAUUGUACGGUUGAUGCUUGAGUAAUACUCCCUUCAUUCCAAAAUAAGUGUCUCAAGCUUAAUAUAACUUUGUACUAAAGCUACUAUAAAAUUAAGACACUUAUUUUGAGACGGAAGGAGUAUAAGUUUUUACCCGAAAAAAAGCAUGAGUUCAGCUGGCAAGAUCAAGGGGAUCCCAGGUGCUGUCCGCAAUGUCAGCUCCAAGGCGAGGAAGAACCCUAUGAGGAAGUCCUUCCUCAACACGGACGCGAAGCACUCCACUAAAAAAAGCCCACGUACGCGGAGAUGGUUCAGGACCACCGCGCCACCAUUGAGGAACCCCAGGAGGCGGGGCCGGUUGUCGUCAACGCCGGUGGCCAGCAAGGAGGUGACAACAUGGCCCAGGUGGUCGUGAACGCCAGCGUGAACAACAUGGUGCCCGUCCAUGCCGGAGAGGGAGCAGCGGUCGUCAACCACGAGGACGACGAGGCAGAGCCGGUCAUGGCCGACGCGAGGGCCGGCACAUGGUGGUGGUGCACCAUUCUGUGAGUUCGCUUGGUCUCCAUGGUCGAACUCGCGCGGUAGCAAAGGACUUGUAGUUCCUGGACGUGGUAUCUUCAUUUGAGUGCGCUUUGGAUUCUUUCCCUUGCAUUACCGUUACGGUGUAGCAACUUAUGUGACAUGUGAACUCAGUUCAAUCACUAUUUGUGUGGCUCUGUAUGGACAAAACGUCUGAUAUGAUGCGCUUGACCUGACGGCAUGUGCUGGCCACGGCCAUCUUCCGUGCGUUAUUGAUCAUCAGUAUAUUCUAUCACUAUGAAUAUUAGAUAAUACCCCGUGCGUUGCUGCAGGAAUUUUUAGUACUAUAUAGGAGAAUUUAUGGAGUGAGAAAUAGCAAAACUUCUGAAAGGAAAUAUAAAUAUAUGCCUAUUUGAACAUUUGAAUGGUAUAAAGAGUCAUACAAAUUAAUAUAUUGUAGAGUAUCUCUAUACUUGCAUAAUCAAAAGAAUGCGUUGCCAACAUUAAGAGAACUAACAUAUAUUGGGAUGAAAAAUGUCUCAUAACAAUUCAAGAUAAUAUUUGUUAGUAAGCAUGUAGUAGGGCUAUAGGCACCAUACAGUUAAACUAAAUUUCAGAGAGAAUGCAAGCAUGUUAAUAAGAGUACUUCACAUUUCCUUUCAUUUGUCAAUCACACAAUUGUAUCACUCGAGUAAUAGAACAAAACGAACCAUAAAUUCAGAAUGGAAUACCUGAAAAUGAACAAAUUACCUGAAAAUUAUAUGAUAUAUGUUGCGAACUUGUGAUUCUACAAAAGAAUCUGCCGAGGGCAAUAAUAGUACAUGUUAGAAGGGAGAGAGGGAUUGGUGUAAUGUUCGUUCUAUUGCUUGAGCCUCGUGCGCAUAUAUAUAGGAGUACAAUUAUCUACUUGGAGUACAAGACAAUCCAGAACAAAUUCUAGUCUAUCUCGUCUUUCCUAAUAAACAUUAUACUCAACAUCCUCCCGCAGUCACAACGGUAUCGACGCAGACGGUGAGACUGGAUANNNNNNNNNNNNNNNNNNNNNNNNNNNNNNNNNNNNNNNNNNNNNNNNNNNNNNNNNNNNNNNNNNNNNNNNNNNNNNNNNNNNNNNNNNNNNNNNNNNNNNNNNNNNNNNNNNNNNNNNNNNNNNNNNNNNNNNNNNNNNNNNNNNNNNNNNNNNNNNNNNNNNNNNNNNNNNNNNNNNNNNNNNNNNNNNNNNNNNNNNNNNNNNNNNNNNNNNNNNNNNNNNNNNNNNNNNNNNNNNNNNNNNNNNNNNNNNNNNNNNNNNNNNNNNNNNNNACGAGGUUGCUCAAGCAAGGUGGUAGCCCUUUGUGCCGUUUGUCGAUGUAGCCGAGAGCGUGGGUGGUGGAGCCGUGGUCGAGGUAGCCGUGUGACGAAUGCCGUGGUCGAUGUCGAGUCGGGGUGGCCGGUGUCGAGGAAGUCGUCGUGGAGCCGCGGGCGCAAGAGGGCGCCAAGUUAGCAUGGGCGCAGUGGUGUCGAAGUAGGGUUGCACCGGGAAGAAAAUGUUGUUGACAACGCGUCGCAGCGGGUUUGCCAAGACCAGGGACACAUCGUGAACGAAGACACGCACUAGUGUUGUCAGCACCGGGCAUGCGUAGACGGACGAAGACGAAGUUGACGAAGCGCCGACCAGGCUUGCCAGGCCCGGGGACACGUCGCGGAUGAAGGCACGCAUCGGUGUUGCCAGCACCGGGCAUGCGUAGACGAGGGACCUGCACGAGUUGUACGCCAUGUCGGAGAAGUCAGAGGGGCCAGCAGAGAAGAACUCGAUGACGAUUGCGACGUCCAUCGGUGCGGUGCCGAUAUCACCAAUGGUGGUCGGAGUAGACGAAGUGGUCGGGGUAGAUGACGGCGACGCUAGCGACGGGCUGGUGCUGGUGUGAUUGGCAGGUGGCCGGCGAUUGGAGGAAGAGACUCAGCUUGGCUUGCUGUUGUGGCUGCACCGCAGUCGUGCAGACGGCCAAUGCACUAUGGUCGCCGGGGCGGCGGCCCCAGGCAGGAGGGUGGCGGCGGGAAGCGCUCGAUCGACACCACUUCGCGACGACCGCGAAUGGUGAGUUGGACAACAAGAGGUGUUGCGGCGGUUGCCGUGUUGGCCACACGCAUGAUGUUUCUAGAGCAUGACUAUGGCGCGACCGCAUAUGAUAGUCGCAUGAGAACUACCGACGCCCAGGAGGUGGUGCUUCAGAUGAUAGAGACAAGCGGAGAGGAGUCAGGCCCCGGAGGCGGCGGCGGCGAUGGCUUCUUUUCGUUGCAGCUACAAGAUCAUGGAUGGUCCGAUCCUGCUGGUGGCACUGGAAGCGGCGAUGGCCUCCGCACGUCGCAGUGGCACGAACGACGAUGGUCGUAUGCUGUGAGGGCUAGACAUGGUGGUGGUGGAUGCGGCAGUCUCCGUUGGUCAUCACGGCAGCCCUCGACAACCCCUACAAAGAGAUCAAAGGGCGCAACGAUGCGAAUGAAGGCUCUGCGGCUGCAACGCAAUAGGUGGUUGCUGACAAUGUUAAGAGAAUUUUCUUCUAGCGUGAGAGGAGCGGCUAUCACACUAGGAGAUUCAUGGCGCCGACAUCAGUUUCGAACACAGCGAGAAGCGCGCUGGUGGUUAUACGCCGACAUCUAGCACCUGCGUAGCGGCUUUGAUGGUAUGCUGGAUGAUGCAGUAUGACUUGCACCGAUGUGGAGUGGUAGAGGCUAUUUCCGCACCGAGACAUGGAUGGCCACCUGACAGCCAUGGUGGUGUCUAGGUGGAAGCCAUCCCACCAAUUUUCCAGUGCCUUUUUGGCCUGGCAUGGAGUAUCGGCAGAUGUGACUAUCAAUCAAUCGAUGAUCAAGAUACCGACUGAAACAUCACUUCAUCCGAGGUGAAAACUCUUGUACUGGCUUUUAAUGGUCGGGCUCGGCGACGAAGAUCCUACGUCAUUAUCUUGUUGAAGACGUUGUCUACUUAUUGUGGUGCUAGUCUUCAUUGGUCGGUCAGCAAUCAGGAUGAAAAUCCUUAUCCAUCCGUCUUCGGCCAGACGUGGCGACGAUGGCGUGAGGACGAUUAUCCCUUCUUGAAGGUGUUGCUGUGGAAGAAGUUGACUUAGUCUUCGAUGUUUCUUUCAUAUCUUGUAACAGUUUGGUUAUGGUUCAUUUUGUUUCGUACUCCGCUUAAUAAUUAAUAAAUAUGGCUGUAUGCAUCGUAUUGAUGCAGAGGCCGGGGUUUCAACCUCUUUCUCCAAAAAAAAAGUUCAUCCUGGCUAACAAUUAGUAGUACUGACUAUAAUAAUCAACCUUUAUAUUAGAUGAGUUACUCGGUUGUAUGAGUGGCUGCCUUGGCAGCAGUGUUUUAGAAGAAUUUCAGAAGGCGUGAAUGGUUGUCAAGAGUCUUGCGAAAGGUAACAACUUGCAAGCUUCAGUAAACUUCUCUAAAGCAGUAACAUAAAAAACCUGCAAAUUGUUCCAUCAAAUUUUAAGCAUAGCCAACCAGAGCUGACACUAUACAUGGAUGAUGAUCCACUUUCAAAGUAGAACAACCUCAAGAAGUUGGCUAUAGCCAAACAGCAGCGAGAAGAACAACCUAAACCCUAGUACUCCAAUAAGAAGCCCAUUUACGCUCAAGGAACCCCACGAUGUGGCGCCGGUUGUCGUCAACGCCGGUGGCCAGCAAGGAGGCGACAACAUGGUCCAGGUGGUCGUGAACGCCGGAGUGGACAACGUGGUGCCCGUCCACGCCGGAGAGGGAGCAGCGGUCGUCAACCACGACGGCGACGAGGCCGAGCCAGUCAUGGCCGACGCGAGGGCCGGCACAUGGUGGUGCACCAUUCUGUGAGUUUGCUUCGAUUGCGUGGUCGAACUCGCGCGCGCGGUAGUACCAGGAACUAGUAAGUGGACUUAGUUUCAGGACGGAGUAUCUAUCACGUUUUCAUUUGAUUGCCCCUUGGAUUCUUUCGUUGGCAUUAAUUACAGUUACGGUGGACCAACUUAUGUAACCUGUGAACUUGGUUCAAUCACUAUUUCUGUGACUCUGGAUCGGCAAAACAUCCGAUAUGCUGCGCUUGACCUGACGGCCUCCUAUGGUGCUGGCCACGGGCCCACGGCCGUCACCCGUCAGGCCAAAAAAGCGUGUGGCAUAUAUGAUCCUCGCCUCCUUCAUCGCCUUCGUGGCACGCCCCGCCGGACGCUACAUCGCGUACAAGCGCACCCUGGCGCGUCAUCUCCUCCCGGAGAUGGCCUGCCUCCGUGACUGUGGGCUGCAGCCCACCAUCUUGCCGGCGACGCAUCGGGCCACGAAAAGCUCCAGCGCGCGUCAUUUCUCCUCGUGGACGCCCAGCUCCAAGAAGUCUGUGCGGUAGCCGGCGAGCGCCAUAUACACGGGGCGAAAGAGCGCAACGAAGAAGGGAUCGAGCCGCUCCGUCAUGGUGGCACCGAUCGGCGCCGCUGCCGCCGGGGAACCGACCGCGGCGUUGCCGACGAGGCGGACCUCGCGCUCGAACUCCGGGUGGAGGAACCAGCAGCAGAGGCUCUGAUCACCACCACCGCCCGCUCCCCGACCUCCCUCCAGAACGCCUCGUGCAUGGUCGGGUCGCCGCUGCACGCAGAACCAAAGCCGGCAGUAAGAUGAAGCACGUUGUCAGAUUGAAAAUACCUUACGUAAUCACGCACUGCUAUAAAACACAGAACGCGAACACGCACAGCUCGAGGUUAAUGACGGCGUCGGACGGCUCCGGCGGCGCCGCCGACGUACCGCCGUCCAUUAGGACCCUCGCAGCAGACACCUUCUCACGCGACGCGUCACCCAUUUCUUGGGCUGCUGGUGACCGUGACCGGUGGUUUUAUGUCCGGCAGGGCCUGCGACAGCGACUGUCGGCACGAACAUGCAUGUCAUGCGUGCGAGCAGAGCACGCACACACGCGGACGGCGGGAUGAGAAGAGGUGGAUGCCCGGCGGGUGUCCUCAUCUCGACUGCCUCGACGAAGGAACCCUCCGAGCUGGAGGCACGACCGCAUGGCAUUCCUGAUCUCGGUGUCUAUGGCGUGGGUGAGCGCGGAAUUGAUGCUGGCCUUGGCCACCAUGGCGUUCACCGCCGUCAGAAGCAGCAUGGUCCUGCGCGACGCGAUCACCGUCCCGCUCCUCGGCGACGAGGUUCAGUCCCAACGCGAUGUCCCCGGACACGCGCGAGAACAACCCUCUUUUAUUUAGCGGGAAGCGUAGCACGACGGCUUCAUCGGGGGAGCGCGCGACGGAGUCGCCGGAGACGCGGACCUGUUGCUCUCUGGGUUGGGGGGCGGGUGGCGGUGCGCUCGCGCUGCCCGUCGAACUCCACCUCCACAAACGCGUUGCAGGUCGCCGCGCCGUCCUUGGCGAAUAGCUCCUCCGUGUGCGCGACUUCCACGGCCAGCUUCAUCGUGCUGGCGAUCUAGCUCGGCAACCAGCAGCAGCCCGAGGUACGCCGACCUCCUGGAGCCAGCGCAGCCCCACUCCGUCGGCCUCAACCUGCAGCUCUGGCACACGGCGCAUAGCGCGUCGUUGCUGCCGUUCCCGUGCAUUGCAAAAGACCCCCAACGGCGACGGCGCGGCCACUAGGUCGGCGGAGCAGGCUCAUGUCUGGACGGGAGGGAGAGCAGAGGAAGAACUGAUCUGUUGCGGGCUGGUCUGUUGACCAGGCGGAAGGAGCGAGGGGUAGGAGAGGGGAAAUAUCAGGUGCUCCUAUCCUGGGGUGCUACCCAUACUCAAACUUUAAAAAAAUGUUCUAAAAAAUUCUGAAUUUUUUUGUAAAUAUUCACAAGAAAUGUAACUACAUGUCCUAAAAUUUCAGAUCUAAACUCUAAACAAAAAUUAAGAAACGAAAAUGUGAAAUCUAGCAUGAAUAAUGUCAUAAAAAGACAAAAGCAACAUUUGACACUAUUCACAUCUGAAUUUGGUUUUUUGUUUCUCAUUGUACAUUUUGAGUUUGGACCUGAAAUUUUAGGGGUUGUAGUCACAUUCCUUGUGAGCAUUCACAUUUUUUUUCAAUUUUUUUGAAACAUUUAAAAUUGAUUUUUUGAAAUUGGAGCAUGGGGAGCACCCAAGGAUGGGAGCACAUGAAAUUUCCCCGAGGAGGAGAGAGCGAGGGGAUUGCGUCGUUUUUGCAAAAGACCCCCUAGUUCCCUGCGUAUUCAAGCGGCUGAGACGAUGUGGCAGCCAGCGCCCAUGUGGAUCGACUUGAUCACUGCCAAAUCAGCACAUAUUUAGAGCAAAUUGUAUUUUGGACCGUAUGUGAACUCCCAGAGCAAGUUUAAGGAUAGUAUUUCGGGUAUUUUAAAUUACGGGGGCUAAAGUAACCAUCAACGAAGUUAUAAGACCUAGAAUGAAUUUUUCUCAUACAUUUAAUAAGUUAUGAUAAUGACAUCAGAUUCUACAAGGAGAUAAAGACACACAUUUGACAUCUUUUACACUUGAGCAACAUAAGUGCAACAACAGAAGAAAGAAAAAUACAUCAUAGAGAUGGAAGGCCGGACGAUGCUUGCCUUCUUGAUCACAUCCUUCAAAUUGAUGGUAUUUAACCAUGAAGGUCCCUCGUUGUCCAACUCUGCUGAUAAGAAGCAAACAGUCGGAAAUGAGCAACGAAAUAGCAUAUAUCAGUAAAGUGGCACAAAUAUGAUGAAAAUAUUGGAAUGCUUCAGAGAGUAUGCUAUAUGGAACUUCAAAACCAAUACAGUUGGACUUUCUCAAUUUGGAUUUAUAGAGCAAAAGAUAUGUAUUUUCUACAGUUAUCAAAUGUCAAAUUUAGACUUAUAUUAGCAUGGCGCUUAAUUGAAUGAUUGGAGAGAGAUGACGUACAUUACAAGCAACAUAUAAGACGGGACAAUGUAUUUGAUGCUUACACAAUUCAAAUCAACAUUUUUGGAGUCAUAGAACAAAAUAUGUGGAUUUUAGAGUGUAAUGUGACAUUUCUACGGUUUUAGCAAAUCAAUGAAACAGUAUGCCCUUGUCAACAUUAAUGAUCAUAAACAAAGUUUUGUUAUUCAUUUUUAAUUUUUUGCGAGGAAACAAUAAACAAAGUUUUACGGAAAUGGUAAAUCCCGAACUUUCGGGAUCUGACCAUGGCAAAUCGAACGAUUUCGAUGGCAAUUUUAGUGAUGUGGGGAUGACAAAUUUAGUUGACACACACGAUAAUUUUUUGCCAAAAAAUAAACUACACACGGGUUUGCCAUGCUUGACAACUAGAUUUGUCAUCUUGUGUCACUAAAAUUUUCAUCAAUAACGUUUGAUUUACCAUGGUCAAAUCCUGAACGUUCUGGCGUUAUCAGGGUCCAAGUUUUAAUGGGUAUAGAACAAGUUAAACCAUAAAUUUACAUGUAAAGAUAAUUUCUUUGGAGUUUGGAUGAUUUACCUAUGGAUAUUACAAGUUCUAUCAAAUUUGAAGCAUUUUUUUGAUUAAAUAUCUAAGGUGGCUGAGACAAACUAUUUGUACAUAGAAAGAUCUAGCCUUUGACAAUGAAAUAUUGGUCCAGGGCUCAAUUUAUUAUCAGUUAUGCAAACAUGGAUUCAUUUUCCAUUCCUUUUGGGCACUUACAAACCGAAAUCAGGCCAGGAGAGUUACGGGCAUCUCACGGAUCAACAAGGCUAACUAAUCUUCUCCUCCCCCUUUCUAAAAAAAACUAAUCUUCUCCCCCCCCCCUUCAGUGGGGGUGGGGCCCACCUCUCUCCUAAUCUCCAAUCAAAACCAUCCACCUAAUCACAGUCCGUUGAAUCCGUAAAAAUCAUUGUGUGCGUAGCAUUGCUCCUUACAAAGAGGGCCCACAAGACUUAAUUAUCACAUUUUCUGCAGAUCAAAUAAUUGCUGGCAAUCGGGUCCACGGGACAGUUAACCAGCGACCACACGCCGGCGAACGCGUGCUCACGAGACUAUGGUGGCCCCGCACUGGAACCACGUUCCUAGGAGCCUGGAACCACGUUCCUGGGUGCCUGAGCACCGGCCGCUCACACCGAUCGACAGGGCGGGAGGUCGCGAGCGCAACCGCGUUGCCCUGGGGACCGAUUGCCAGAGUCACGGCACAGUCGCUGGCGGCGACGGGCGAUCAGGGAAAACGUGGCAGGACCAGGCCGGGGUCAAAGAGGUCUCCAACUCCGGGGAGUGGUCGGUAAGGCAUGUCGGAGCUCCAGGAGGUCGAUGCGGCCACCAGAAGCUCUUGGGGAUGACAGCCGCAAGGAGCUCCACGCCCAUGCGAUGGUGGCGCUCGGCAGGAGGUGGGUAAGGAGAUGACGCGCGGUCAAUUCCGUCAGCAAGCGUCUACGCCGGCGCUCUGAAAUCUGAAUGCCGGAGAGCACGAGCAAGAUCGGUCCGCGUCGUGAGAAAUCAGGACCCACCCCACCCCCCCGUCGCCACCCGAGGUGGCCGCCGGCAAGCCUGCGCGGUCACCGGUGACGGUGGAGGCAAGGCCCUGCUCGCUCCGUUCCUGGCGGAGGACUCGGGAUCUGGGGCGGAGGCCCUUGGCGCGGCGGCGGCGCCCUCCCGGCUGGCGGCAUCCAUGGGUGGUCCUAGCCGGCGUUCCCGACCACGCGGGCGGUGGGACGGCGGCGGGUGGUGGCUGCGGCGUGGAGAUCCCCCUCGUCGUCAGAUCUGAGGUUCAACUCCCCUCCCCUUCAGCUCCCUCAUCCCCGCCGGUUCCAGCAGCUUCCGUCGCCGAAAUGGUGUGGAUGGGUGCCCGGUGGUGCGGUUUUGGGACCAUGGGAAACCAUUUGUCGGCUGGUCCGGCCCGGCGGCAGCGCCGCCCUUCCUCCUUGGAGGUGCAGCUGAGAUCCCAACCCUAUCCGCCCCCGUUCCCCUCCUGAGUGAAAGCCCAAAAUCCUUCUUGGAUUGGGCGGUGACGGUGCGCUGCGUGUCGUGUCCUCCUUGGAGCCUCCGCCUGGGGAGUGUGCGUUCGGGUGGGGGCGGCAAAGGUGGAGUUUUGGGUGGCUCUGGUUAUCAGGUGGCUGUGGUUGGUCUGGCUCGCAGGGAAGUCUGUCCCCGCUCCCCUCAAGUGCGGUGCUCCUUGGCGGUGGCGUGUUUGGCUCAGCUCCGGCGGUACGGCGUUUGUGAUCCGGCGGUAGGGGAUAGGGUUCCUCUUCCCGGUAGUAGCAGCACGUCCCUGGCCGUGGACGCCCGGUGUUUCUCUUCAGCGGCCAAUGACUCCUGCUCCUCGUCGUUCUGCGGCCUCUCCUGAUGUCCUUGCUGCUUGUUCUUCAGUGGCUCCUCCCGGUGGCUUUCCCGCUGUUUUUCAGGUGUCCUAGGUUGCUUUGGUGUGUGAGAUGAGGUGUGCUCAUGUCCUAGGAGGUUGUGCUCUGUGACUGUUCCAGGACUCGAGGUCGGCAUCUCUCCUGCUCUAGGGUGAGCGUCUCUCAUGUCCGUCGGCGGCGCCUUUCGAUCCAAGGCGAGAGGGAAGGGUCCCUCUACGGCGAGAGCGAAGGAAGAUGCUUGGUUUCCUCCAACCUUGGACUCCGUCAUGUCCACAACUCCACUCUAUUUCUUCAGGUCCUCGUUGUGCUCACGCUGCUCGUAAUUCUUGGUUCUUGUUUGCUGCGGUCGGCGGCGUGUACUAGCUUGGGCUUCCUUCUUUUUGUUUUGAGCUACUAUUCUGCGUUGAGUUGUAAGCUUCCUAGGGUGCUCCCUUGUAUCGUUCGGCCGAUAUGCUUGUUAUUGUGUUGUAAUUCCUGGCCGGUUGAUGGCUUUAUUAAUUCAAAGCCGGACUCAUCACGAGCCUUCGUUCUAAAAAAGAAAAGAUCAGAGAUGAGUACCUGAGGAGAAUGGGCUGGCGAAGGGAGGACUCCUAAUCGGUUGAGUGACCAGGUCGGCAGGCUCACGAUGUCAAAUCAGAGUUUGAAUUCGAACUCGAGUUGCCCACACGGGUUCCGAUCGAACUCUAGCAAGAAUGUCGCCCUCAUAAUAAAUAAUCUCAAAUCCAGAAGCACUACUAUACGUAACAAUACUCCUAAAUUCUAUUUUUGGUACUGCCGGUUUUGUAGGUAUGGAGAAUAAAGUAACCUCCAAUCGCAGCAGGUGCGUUAUUGGUGCUAUGUUAGAGCAUCUUCAACAGCCACGCUAAACUAGCGCCGCGCCGCAAAUUAGACCGUUUUAGCGCGCGCGCAACGCGGCGGGUCACUCCAGCGGGCGCGCAAAAACGGCGCGCGUGCUAUAACGGGUUGGGCGCGCGGUUGAAAACACUUACUCGUGCGGCGUAUUUCGGGCGCCAGCUACAGCGCGCGGCACACUCGAGCGCUCGCGCCGCACUCUCUCCUCUCCUCGUCCUAAGCCCCACGCGCGCCGGCGCCGGCGCCCUGCCACCCACCCAUGGACGCGCACACCGGCGCCCCGCUCACCCCGCUAUACAGUCNNNNNNNNNNNNNNNNNNNNNNNNNNNNNNNNNNNNNNNNNNNNNNNNNNNNNNNNNNNNNNNNNNNNNNNNNNNNNNNNNNNNNNNNNNNNNNNNNNNNNNNNNNNNNNNNNNNNNNNNNNNNNNNNNNNNNNNNNNNNNNNNNNNNNNNNNNNNNNNNNNNNNNNNNNNNNNNNNNNNNNNNNNNNNNNNNNNNNNNNNNNNNNNNNNNNNNNNNNNNNNNNNNNNNNNNNNNNNNNNNNNNNNNNNNNNNNNNNNNNNNNNNNNNNNNNNNNNNNNNNNNNNNNNNNNNNNNNNNNNNNNNNNNNNNNNNNNNNNNNNNNNNNNCAUGGGUGACGGUGGCCUCGGCGCCAUGUGAGGCAUGGGUGGCGGUGUCCUCGGCGCCAUGGGAGGCAUGGGUGGCUUCGGAGCCAUGGGAGGCAUGGGUGCACAUCCGGCCACCAUGGAAGGCAUGGGUGCACCUCCGGCUGCCAUGGGAGGCAUGGGUGACUUUGGAGCACCCUCUGACGCUAUGGCCGUCAUGGGAGGCAUGAGUUUUGCUUCUCCCAUGGGAGGCAUGGGUGCACCUCCGGCCACCAUGGGUGCAAUGUCUUUCGAUGUGCCUUCUCACACACAUUCCCAUAAAGAUGCCGUUGAAGAUCUUGCCAAUACCGUCGGAGCUUCACAUGAUGCGGUGCGUGAUGCGGUGCGUGAUGAGGAGAGGGAGGAAGAUUCAUUUUCGGAGGCGGAAGAGUCGUCUUCGGAAGAUGAGGACCAAGACGAAGACGAGGAAGAUGAAGAUUGAUGUGUCUUUCAUGUCUUGAACUUUAGUUUGCAUUUGAACUUGGCUGGAUGAACUUGUGGGCAUGAUUUUGAACUUAUGGGCAUGAACUUUUAUUCAUCAACUUGUUUGUGUCAAAUUUCACAUGUUCAUUUUUGUCCAAAAUAUCAUAUAUGCAAAAUGCCCGGCAAGUCGUGCGCGCUGUAUUUUUGCGCUCUGCUGGAGCGGCGCGCGCGCUGCAUUAUAGCACGGCUGCUGGAGCUAGCGCAGGCGGGUGCGCAAAACCAGCCGCAACGCGCGCGGUAAACAGAUUUUUUGCGCGCGGCGCUUAGCGCGGCUGUUGAAGAUGCUCUUAUUUUUGGGUAUAUUUAUACUUCGUUUUCCAAUUUCAUGAAGUAGGAGCUAAUAUUUUAAAUCUCAUGUCCCAUAACCUAGGAUCAAGCAAACGAAGAAUCCAAGAAAGAUAUCUUUAUUCCUUAUCAAACAGAAGGUUGGAUCUCUAGUUUAUCAAAAACACAAACUGAUCAGACCAAAGAAGUUGUUUAGGCUGUGUAUUCAUGAUGAGUUUGGCACAAGGGCAUUGAGCAAACCUGCGGUGAUACUUAGAUCGACCACACUACAUCAUGAAAUAAAGCUUCGCACAGCAAGGCGGAACAUCCUAUGGAUUUAUCGUGUGCACAAAGUUCGUACGUGGACAUCUUAUAAGGAAAAUAUUCAGGUGAUCAACAGACUGCACCACAUAUUUGACCAUGCAAUUCGUAGGUACACCGAGCACCGUUUGGAAGCUGGAUUGUUCUAUUUGGUCUCCGAUAUGGAUGAUUUUACGCACACAGUUCGUAGUCACCUCUACGGUGGCACUGGCAGUGAGUUCUUGAGAGAUUUGUGGAGAAAGAAGAGACCGGAGCACAAGAUGAGACAAACUAACAAGGAGGUAUGCAACUGUUCUGCAAGUGCACAGAGAUCCAAUCUGUGUGAUAGAAAACUUUCCAGCAUUGUCGCCAAGACAUUGAAAUUGUGUAGCAUGAGGCACAUAUUUUGCUUGUUACUUGUAAUUUUCUUGGCUUUCCUGAUAGUAUAUAUGUAAAUGAGUGUUAAUAUGGGUUGACUCGAUACUAUUGCUACGCUUUCUAUAGAGCAUGGAUGCAUUCUCUCUUUCUCAUGGAUCUUGUUAAUUUGCUGAUCGCCAAGUAUUUCCAUGCAUCGCUAGAGUUUUGGGCCGCAUUAUCCUUUUUUGGCAGAUUAAAUAAAAAGCGAACGGUGGAGAUAAAGUAACAUCAAUAGGUCUCGCCAGGAUAUUGGAUUGUGCUAGUGGUCCGAAGAAAUUACUGGAUUAGUCCGGACUAAUUAACUAUGCUAGUAGUCGUUGACCCAAGUCCCUCGACAUGGAGAUGUAUUUGCAGCCCAUAAAAUCAAACGUAUAAGUUGUUGAUUAUAGUUGCAUCACGACUAUGAGUGCUUCCUAUUGAAGAGAGAUAAAGAAAAUCCUAGCCACUCUACACCACUAAUAGAACGGUCAGCGCGCCAGGUCCACUGGGGAUGCUGGCGAUCAUGACUAGAGAUGUAUUUGUAGUGGGUGUCGUCAGGUCCGCCGGCUGUGUACCGUAUCGGGUCCGCCGGGCGCGGGUACGACCGACUGCUGGGUACUGUGGCACGCCUCGCCAGGCAUGAUGGAACGGUUAGCGCCGCCCUGCUACAGGGUCGUGCCCCCAGGACACCGCCCGCCCCAGGCGGGAACAUGGGAGCGCGGCUGUCGCGCCCGCCGGGGCCGGCGUAAAGGGAGGGGGCAUUGUUGCCAUGAUUGCUUGUCUCGUGUGUUGACUUCUUGUGGACGGCCGACAUGCGCUAGCCGGCUGGCCAGGUUGCGGCAUCCGGCCGGGUCACACUGGGGAGCCGGCCAGGGGCGAGCCAGAUUGAGGUGCUUUGCCUGCCUUGAUGUUUUUGAAAGAGAUCCAGGUUCCCUUGUCUGCUCGGGGUCCAUCUCCCGACAGAUUGUUUGGUGUUGUGGUUAUGGUGUGCUGCUCUCACGGGUUGGUGUGUCUCCGAAUCCCAUAUUUGCCAUUAAUUUUUUCCACUUAGUGCGAGUGGUACGCAGGCCAUGGUGUCUGCUAGUUUAGAUAUCUCUGGCAGACCCUUUGUAACGCCGCGACCCGCAAAAUAACUGAUAAAAUACGGGUCCGCGUGAAAAUUUUUGCUUGACCAGACUCCGUAAAUGCAUCCGGACCGUAAUUUUUUUUGCAGGGUGCGGCAUAAUUCCCGUCCCAACCCGUGAAAAUGCGGGUUCCCCCCUCGGCCCGUCGGCGCCCUGUAUAUAGCGAGAGCGGUUGGUGGGGGGGGGGGUGGAUUUCAGCCCGCGCUUUUCCCCACCCCCGCGGCCGGGCUGCCACCUACAAUUCCGGCCAAACUAGCCGGCAGGAUCACGCCGGAGGGCCGCCACAUGCCCGAGCUUGCCCUCCGCCACUUCCUCUUGCAUCGGCAGGCCGGAAAGUUGCAGAUCGGCGGUUGUUUGACACGGCCGGAUUUGGCGUUUUCGGCCACCGGUGGCUGCGCCAAGUCAUGGAUUGGUCGGAGAGCAGCCAGCGCAACCCCGACAAAGCCCCAACGCCGCAUGCAGGUACGGGUUCGUCCUGUAGCUGCCACCGCCAUCGGUUUGCCGGCAAGGAUUCGGCGGCCGUUCGCCGGGCUCGGUGCUCGGCGCUCGCGCAAUGGCUCGCUGGCUCGCCGAUGCCACUAAUACAGUGCGACGACUGCACGCGGACAAUGGUGCGGCUAACUUCUGGCACGCCGAAGCACCCCGGAUGGGUGUUCUUCAAAUGUGAAAACGAUGGGGUACGUGUUGUUUCCAUUCGGCUUUGUCAUUGUAUUCUUCGGUUCAAUUGUGAUGUCUCAUUUUGAACAUCGUCAUGUGUGUAGGAAGAUCGAUGCUCAUUUUGAUUGUGGGAAGGAGAAUACAUUGAUUUAUUGAUGGAAAGAGACUUAAUAGAUGUUUGUGCACUCCUUAGUAGAAUUGAGGCUAAUGAUGCGGCUGCAUGUGCAAUUAGAGAAGAAAGUAGAGGGGAAGCAACGUCUACUAUUUAGAACCAAAGAAGAAGAAUAAAGAAUGCAAGAUCAAGAAUCCGCAAAUCAACAACGAAUGCAUGGAGAAGAUAUUGCUCCAACUAGUGGGAGCAAUUAUAGGAGUUGGAUAUCUUGUAAAAUGCAUAAUUGUAAUUCUUGCCUUUUUGUCUUACUAUUCUAGCAAAUAUUUGGUGAAUUACUAUGUAUCCAAUGUCGUUGAAUAGAAUAAAAAAAAGUAAAGAAGUGUAUUUUCAUGUGUGAAAUUGAAAUGCAAAUUUCGGAUUUGCGGGUCGGCGGGGGUGGCGCCCGAGCAGACCCUGCAAAACCGACCCGUAAAAAAGCAUAUUCCACGAAUAUGUUUAUCUACGGAUCCGUUUUGCGAGGUCUGACUCUGCCGCCGCCCGCGCCGGCCCGCAAAGUCAUUUUUUCACAAACUGUAAAUGCGUUUUGCGGAUCGGCGUUAUACGGGGUCUGCUAGAGAUGCUCUUAAGCCCUGUACCAGCCUAAAUGGGCCGGACGUGCGACAGACAAUAAGUAGCACGGGCUAUGACCCAGCCGUUUACCAAACACAAGCGAGUUCACGUACGAAGAAACACAUGAGACGGAUGAAAAUUAAUGCGAUAAAAAAUACUUCUCCCUUUUAUAGCACGGUAGGUAUAGAUAACAUUAUAUGGAUUGUUACAAUGCACUCUACUAUGAGCAUUCACAAUCUACAUAUUUUUUGAGCCAAUAUAGAUGGGCUUCUAAGUGCUCCUCCAAUGAUUGUAGUGACAUGCUAGCGGACAGUUUUUGAGCUUGUGUCGUCCACCAGCAUGUACGUGGGGUUAGUAAUAGAAUGCAUGCGAGGAAACAUAAUCUCUUUAAUUGAUUUUUAUACCCUAUCUUAGAGAUUACACAAAAUAAUUUUAUCUUGAUGCAGCACACAAUUCAAGAUUAAGGAUUUACUUGCUCUAUAUCAUGGAGGAAGGAAGUUGUAUGUGGGUAGUUGGACGAAGGCGUGAUGGGAAGAAAACCGAACAACCAACAAGGAGGGUGGAAUGAAGCGAGUCAGUUUUAAGGAGGGCGGGGGAGUAAAAAACUAGGUCGAAUGGGUUGAUGGGAGGUGGAGGCCAUAGACCGAACUCUCUUUUAAUAGUAGAGAUCGUAGCCAAAGAUCACACAUACUCGGGGAAAUCAAAAGAUCAUGUACCGAGUAAGGGGUCAUGUGCUCGUGGUUGAAGAUGGAGUCGAGUGGCAAAGCCAAACUUUCCCUAACUCGGCAAAGACGGCAACUACCAUGAUGGAAGAAGAAGAAGGUCCCCUGUUGGCAUAGAGUUAUCGACAAAUAUUAGACCACAGUGAAGCGCCUUCGUCCUCAAUGUCGAUGGGCAUUUUAGUUUCCAGAUGCACGCGAGAUAAUUCAGGAGAUCCGCCGCGAGCACCAACUCCUAGCCAAAGAGGAGGGUGAUUCAUCGUGUUUGCCCAUAACUGACGUGGCCCUCCUCGAAGAGCGCGAAGCCAUGACGGCUGCAUGGGCAGGCGCGGUGACCCUCGCCCUGAGGUGCAAGAGAUUGCCGCUGCCAGUGCAUCACUGGACUAAAAAGGAACAAUUACACCUGCAAAUUCACAAGGAAAAAAAAUAUGAUUCACGCCUGAUGGCAAAUGUAGUAGAAGUCAACAAGGAAACAACGAUCUUUCAUAGAUAUACAAUUGCCAAAGCUAAGGAGAUCACAAGCACCAAGUAAAACAAAUAUCACAUGCCACACAAUCUCAAUGUUCUGACGGCUAUGAAAGAAAUAUUUCUGUACUCUGAUACGUAAGAUUCGGAAACACGUAAACAUGGGCGGGGCAAGCACCCCAAGAAAGCACUAUUUUAAUAUGAAUUGUUUAUUCUGGAAUAUCAGGGGUAUCACUACCCCAGGAAAGAAAACAUGUAUCAUUGAUACCCUAACUAAGACAAAUGCUAGUAUAGUUGCUUUCCAGGAAACCAAGAAAGAAGAGCUUACUACUGCCUUUCUUAAGUCCAUUAGUGGAAGCAAGAAUUUUCUUUGGCAUCAUCUCCCUGUUGUAGGCACUGCUGGAGGUGUUUUGGUUGGUGUAGAUGCAGAUAUCUUUGAGGUUCUGCAAUGGAGCUCACUGAAUUACUCUGUGUCUUGCAACCUGAAAGUUAAAUCUAGUGAGACCUGUUUUAGAGUUAUAGCUGUUUAUGGGUCCCCAUAUGAGGAGGGUAAAGAUGCUUUUAUCUCUGAACUCCAUAGCCUCUUUGUAGAUGACCAAACGCCCACUCUUAUAGGGGGAGAUUUUAAUCUAGUUAGAUACCAACAAGAUAAAAGCAAUGGUAAUAUUAACCAUCAAUGGGCUGAUAAUUUAAUGCCUGGGUGGAGAUAUGGAGUCUUCUAGAAAUUAGGAUGUCAGGUAGGAAAUUCACUUGGGCUAAUAACCAAGAGAAUAACAUCAUGACUACCAUAGAUAGGAUUUUUUGUGCACCACUGAGCUGGAGGCUAUGUUCCCCCUAUGCACCUCCCAAGCUCUCCCUAGAACUGGGAGUGAUCAUACUCCCCUUCUAUGGGAUUCAGGGUUGGGGAGCAGUCCCAGGGGCUCUAGUUACAAAUUUGAAAAAUGGUGGUUGCUACAUAAAGAUUUUAAAGAAUUGGCCAUCAAAAAUUGGACAGCUCCAAUCAAGAAAGGCAAACCAAUAGAUGUCUGGCAAGAGAAAGUUAGAAGAUUCAGGAAAUUCUCCAAAGGAUGGAGUAAGAAUGUAGAAGCAGAAAUUAGGAAGAGGAAAACUGUCCUCACAAGAGUAUGAUGAGUUGGAUAUCAAAUCUGAAACAACUUGUCUCUCUGAUGUAGAGAAUGUUAAGAUGAAGAAUAUUCUAAAAGAGCUUAGAUAUAUCUGGAUUAAAGAGGAAACCAAAGCUGGACAAAGAUCUAGGGAUAGAGAAUACUAGAGGGAGACAGGAAAACCAAAUACUUCAAUGUUGUAGCCAACCAAAGGAGGAGGAAAACCCUUAUUCAUUCCCUUGUUGGUCCUACCUCAGACACAAGGGAAAUGCUUAAAAUAGCCUCUGAUUUCUAUAAAGAUCUCUUUAAGAAGGAAGAUAGAGGAGGUUUCAAUUUAAGUCAAGAUUUUUUCUCUGAUGAGGAAAAAAUCUCUGAGGAUAAUAAUGAAACACUCCAAGCUCCUUUUUCUGAAAAAGAGGUGAGGGAUGUCAUCUUUGGUUCAUACUCUGAAGGAGCACCUGGACCAGAUGGCCUAUACUUUCUUUUCCUUCAAGAAUUCUGGGAAGUUAUCAAGCAGGAUAUCAUGGCCCUGUUUGAUGACUUCCAUGCAGGAAAUCUUGACAUUUAUAGGUUAAACUUUGCUAUGAUUACUCUCAUCCCUAAAGAGGAAGAUGCUACUGAAAUGAGGAAGUUCAGACCUAUUAGUUUGCUAAAUUGUAUUUUUAAGGUUUUUACUAAGGUGCUAACUAAUAGGCUGGCUACUCUUAUGAAUUUCCUAACCUCUAGCAACCAGUCAGCUUUCAUAAAAGGGAGAUUCAUCCUUGAAAGUGUAGUGACAGCUCAUGAAGUUUUGCAUUCUACUUAUCAUUCUGAUAAUUCAGGUCUUGUUCUUAAAUUAGAUUAUGAGAAAGCAUUUGAUAAGGUCAACCUAGAUUUCUUGAUGGAGAUUCUCCAAAAAAGAAACUUUGGUCCUGUUUGGACCAAAUGGAUUUAUCAAAUUACUCACAUGGGGCUCUGUGGGAGUCAAAGUCAAUGGGGUUGAUAGUGACUUCUUUGUAACCAACAAAGGACUAAGGCAAGGAGACCCUAUAUCUCCUUUACUUUUUAAUAUUGUUGUAGAUGUGCUAACUAGAAUGCUCAUUAAAGCAGCUUCUCAUAACCUGAUAAAAGGGCUUUGUUCUGAUCUUAUCCCUGGUGUUGUGAUAUGUCUGCAAUAUGCAGAUGACACUAUCCUCUUCAUGGACAAAGAUGAACCUAAAGCUGCUAACCUGAAAAUGAUCUUGACUUGUUUUGAGAGAGUAUCAGGUAUGAGAAUUAACUAUGCUAAGAGUGAACUCAUUCCUUUAGGGGUUGAGUGGGAAGAUUUAACCAACUUUGUGAAUACCUUUGGAUGUACUGUUGGUACAUUUCCAAUAAAAUACCUAGGGAUUCCUCUACACUAUGAUAAACUGAGGAGGGAAGAUAUCCAACCUCUUAUUGAUAAGAUUUUAAAGAGGUUGGCUGGCUGGAGAGGAAAGCUACUGUCCUACUCUGCUAGACUAACUCUCAUUAAAGCUUGUUUAGCUAGUAUUCCUAUAUAUUUGUUGUCCUUCUUUAAGUUUCCUAAAUGGGGCCUAGAUUUGAUUAACAGUCAGCUAGCUCAUUGUCUUUGGAGUGACUUUAAGGGGAACAGGAAGCUUCAUCUAGCCAAUUGGCACCUAGUUUGUAUGAAGAAAGAACAUGGAGGACUUGGGAUCCCUAACAACAAAGAUCUUAACCUGUGUUUACUGGGUAGCUGGGUCAAGAGAUAUGCCCAAGAUGAGGGCAAAAUUUGGAAAACCAUUGUAGACAACAAGUAUAUUAGGAAAGCUCCAAAUAUAUUUGCAUGUAGGCCACAGGCCUCCUCCAAUUUUUGGCAAGGGGUUAUGUGGGCUACCAAAGCUCUUAAGUUUGGCUAUAGAUGGGUAGUAGGAAAUGGUAGGAAGAUUAGAUUUUGGGAGGAUAUCUGGUUUGGAACCUCCCCACUCUCUGUUCAGUUUUGGCCUUUAUACUCCAUAUGUCACCAGCAAUGUGUGACAGUUUCUGAAGUUUGGGAUGGGAGUAACAUUAAACUUACUUUUAGGAGGAUAUUUACCCCUACCAUGAUGGAAGAGUGGUACUGCCUUGAACAAAUCAUAAAAGAGACUGUGCUCAAAACAGAUGAUGAUGCAAUGGUCUGGCAGUAUGAAUCCAAGGGGGUCUACUCUUCUAGGUCUCUGUAUGCUAUAAUUAAUUUUAGAGGGGUGAAACCUUUCUACAUCCCUUCUGUUUGGUCCAUUGUUGUGCCUCCCAGAAUCCAGGUUUUUCUCUGGCUCCUGGCGCAUAAUAAACUUAUGACUAAGAACAAUUUUCUUAAAAGGGGGAUAGAUAGGAACCCUGACUGUCUUUUCUGCUCUGAACAGGAAACUGUAAAUCACUUGUUUUUUGACUGUGUGGUUGCAAAAAACGUCUGGGGUGCAGUCUCCUCGUUUCUUUCCACAGAAGUAGGAUCUAGCUACUUUUCCAUUGCCAAAUUUUGGCCUGCUAACAAGAAACAUGAAAUACUCAAUGUUUUUUGUGCUUGUGUCUUGUGGAGCUUGUGGAAAACUAGAAAUAAACAUGUUUUUGACAACGCAAUCUGGUCUGAUGUUAAACAGAUCUGGUGGCUGGUCUGGAGGACCCUCAAGAGGUGGAUGAUUCUGUACACCAAGGACUCGCUCGAGAAAAUGCAGGGGAUACUUCACUGGAUAUCCUGCAUGCUCAAAAGCCCACUCCAAUUGACUUUGGAGUGAAAAGGAACUUGAUGAGCACUGGAGGUGCCACUCAUGCCUCUUCCUACUCCAAGCUUAAUUUUGGGGCUUGCAAAGAGGGGUUCCAGAGUCCAGACUCUUCAAGGCCGAGUGAUCCACCAUCAAAAAAUGUGGUCCAGGUGAUUUCGAGUCUUGCGUCGCCCCUCGACUGGCCUGGCACACCAACUCAACCUCUCAAGAAGAUGAAGGGGGGCUUAUAGAGCAUAUCAAGGAGGUCUGCAAGAUGCUUGAUGCAGAAGACGGGAGGAUGCUGGCGGAUGCAUGUGGAAUGCGGAUCUCACUUCUGUAGUGUUCAUCAGUUUUAGUGUUUUCAGGGUUUGGGGAGUUGGAUUUCUGAACCUGUAAUAGGCUGCAGGCCUUUUGUUCUUUACCUUGUUUAUUUUUUGCUCUUUCAGAACAUGCGUUUUUGAGUCAUGCAUGGUUGUUGGGACUGGCUUGGUUUCAUUUAUUUUGAAUGGAACCGAGGGGCGACAAACCCCCGUGAUGAUCUAAAAAUAAUAAUUCGAAAACACGUGUAGAACACUCGUGUAACUCCGGUUUUUUCUCUUUCAUGCUGCGCUCGAGUCUCUUUUUUGUCCACAGAACUUUUAAGAACUCACCAUCUCCAUAGAGGUAACUGCUAACUAUGAAUGUCAAAUGUUGUCUGUCCGGGACCAAAUAAAAUAAUCCGAUUUCAAAGCGGCGCUCUCUGUACUUUGCAAUUGCAUGAUUUACGAUGCAUGACAGUUUUUCAAUGGUUCCGUAAUUUUCUAUAAAAUCCGGCCAUGAAUUGAUCGACCACACCUCAAUCCACGCAAAAAUCCUCCAUCUCUCAUUACAUAGCUCCAAUUCGUGGAACAGUGCCGUUGAUUUAAGUACAGCUGCAGGUUUAGCCAAUGCCCUCAUGCCAUACUCGUCACGAACACAUAGCCUGAACGUCUUCUUCGGCCUGAUAACCUUGUGGUCUUUUCCAAAAACUAGAGAUCCGACCUUCUGUUUCAAAAUAAAUAAGAACGCCUUCAUCGAAAUCUUUGGUUGGCGUUUGAUCCUGGGUAUGACAUGAGCAUCCUAAAUUAAUGCAUCACAUGAUUUCUCAAAGAAAACAAAACCCUUAGGAGCUAGUAGUAUAUGCAAGUAAGCAAAAAAAGUGUACUAGAGUAUACAUGCAUGAACAGCUAAAAGAAAUAUAGAAACACAAAUAAACAGCCCUCGUUCGCAUGUGCCUGCAGCUGCCAUCGACGGUAGUAGUCUUCAUAUGCAUCAUGCAAAGAACCCGACGAAUUGAUGGAGGACUAACUAGGAAGCCCUCGUCUACUAAUACUCCUACGCGUGGUAGGUUAGUUUCUUUCUUUUUCUUUUUAGGGGAGGUUAGUUUCUUUCUUUUUCUUUUUAGGGGAGGUUAGUUUCUUUGUUUUUCUUUUUAUUUUUGACGGGGAAAUAUUUGGAGCUUUUAUUCAACAAUCGAAGCCCCUGCAGAAUCUGCAAGGAGGCUAGUUACAAUGAUGCCAGGGGCAGAGUCAAACCAACAUUCUGUUACAUCCAGUAUGCUUGCAUGUCUAGCACAUAGGUGAGCAGGGUAGUUGGCUGUUCUUGAAAUAUAUUGAAUACAGAAAGACAAAACUAGAAGAAUGCUCCAAAAUUUCGGACAGGAUGGGCGCCACAACAGUCCUAUCACCAGGACGCGAGUUCCAGAGAUUAACGACCUCCAGGCAGUCGGAUUCUAUCACGACUUUCUCAUAACCCCUGAGCUUAGCAAAUAUGACACCGUCCCGGAUUGCUAGGGUUUCAGAGAUAAGGGGGUCGGUAAUCCCCUGAUAAGGUUUACACCAUGCAGCUCUGAAAGUGGAAUGGGAUCGAGCAACUCCUCCCACCCCUCCUCUUCGAGCUUCCAAUGCAACACUUUCAUUAGUGUUUAUCUUGACCUCCCCCUCCUCAGGUAGCCUCCAUCCAUGGCCCGGAAGCAGCCGGGCCUGAGCCUUUGGUAGAUCAAGCAAAGCUAAAGUAUCUCUGGUCAUUUUCAUGGACUGUAUUGGGUCGAGGCCACCUUUAUCAUGAGUUAUAUUAUUUCUAGACGUCCAAAUAGCCCACAUGAUCGUCACCAGUUUGGCUCGAUCGGACUCAGAGAAUUUGGGAUCACAAAUGCUAUCCUUUGACCAUGUUAGAGGGUGUAGGUCAGGUCGGUUUACCCCAAGCCAAACCGGAGCUUGAGUCCAAAACCCUCUCGCGUGGGAACAAUUCAACAAUGCAUGCAUCAUGUCUUCAUCUUCAUGUUGACAAAUUUUGCACUGGCUCACUGUUGCUAUAUGUCGAUAUUUGAGUGUGGAUUCUACUGGCAGAAUACCUCGUAAAACCCUCCACCAAAAUACUCUCACUUUUGGCAGAACCUUCAGUUUCCAUAAUGUGGUCCAUAAUUGUUUCUCUGUCGUUGAUGUUUCGACUAUCGUCCCUUCCUCUAGAGCCAAAUGCUCGUUCUGAGUCACGAGAACGCGGUAAGCUGACUUGACAGUGUAUGAACCAGAUCUCUCCAAAGCCCAUGCCAAAAUAUCAUCACCACCGCCAAUCCUUAGGGGGAUGUUCAGAAUGGCGUCUGCAUCUGAUGGUAUGAAGUUCUCUCUGAUUACCUGAUCUUUCCAGAGCCAAGUUUCAGGGUCGAUAAGAUCAGACACUUGUUGUAGCUGCGCAUUACCAAUGUGAGCAACCGGAGUCAUAGUUCUGGUAUCAGGGAUCCAUUUGUCCUCCCAGAUAGAAACGGUCGUGCCGCUUCCAAUGCGCUUAAGCAAGCCCGAUUUCAACGCUUCCCUGCCUGCGAUUAUAGCCCUCCACACAGCAGAAGAAAACUUAGGUGCAGUAGCUUGCAAGAAAUCACAGGAGUGGAAAUAUCUUCCUUUCAAGACCCGCGAACACAAAGAGUUGGGAUUCGUCAUCAAGCGCCACCCAUGCUUGUCGAGUAGUGCUAAAUUAAAGAGUUCCAAGUCUUUGAAUCCCAUCCCUCCUUUAACUUUUGGUGCAGCCAAAGAAUCCCAAGAUAACCAAUGUAAAGACUGGCGAUCAAGGUUACUGCUCCACCAGUAUUUGGCCAUAAGCGAGGCCAACUUCUUACACACUUUUCUCGUUAGCUGGAAGCAAGACAUACUAUAUGUGGGAAUUGAUUGGGCGACUGCUUUAAUCCUGACUUCCCUUCCAGCGCAUGAAAUAAGUCUCUCUACUCCACCUUGGAGUUUUGACCGAAUCCUCUCCCCGAUGUGGUCAAAAGUUCCUCCAGUAAUUCGACCGACAGCCAUUGGAAGGCCAAGGUAGCGUUCACCAAAAGCUUCCACUGAAAUAUGCAGUGUUUGCUUUAGUAAAAAUCUUGUAGGAGCAGGAGUGUUUGGGCUAAAAAAUAUUGCACUUUUUUCUUUAUUCACUGCUUGACCAGAACACUCCUCAUAGAUGCGAAGAAUCUCAUUCAAUCGAUGAGCACUCUGCACCUUAGCUUGCAGGAAGAUCAGGCUAUCGUCCGCAAAAAGUAAAUGAUUGAUCCAAGGACAUCGAUAGCUAACCCGUAUGCCUCUGUCAAUAUAAGCCCCUCCAUAGAAAUUCAGCAGUGAAGUGAGGCCCUCGGCACAAAGCAAAAACAAGUAAGGUGAUACGGGGUCACCCUGACGGAACCCCCUGGAGGGAGAGAAGAAAGGAAGAAGCUCGCCAUUUACUCGAACAGCAAACCGCACUGAAGUUACGCACUUCAUAAUGAGACGAACAAAUUCCAAUCUAAACCCCAUCUUUAGCAUAAUCGCUUCGAGGUAGUGCCACUCGACGCGAUCAUAGGCUUUCAUCAUAUCUAACUUAAUAGCACAAGCAACAUUUCCUCCCUUCUUCCUUCGCUUCAUGGCAUGCACGCUUUCAUACGCGAUUAAGACAUUGUCUAUUAUCAGGCGACCCGGGAUGAAUGCGCUCUGCUCCGGUCCAAUAAUAUCAUCCAAAAACUCUCUCAGCCGAUUAGUGAUCACUUUGGCAGCAACUUUAUACAGGACGGAGCAAAGAGAGAUCGGGCGAUAUUGGGAAAUCUUUUAUGGAAAACGUACCUUGGGUAUUAGGGUAAUGGAUGUGUCAUUCAUACCCGCUGGCAGUUCCCCACCAUUCAAGAAAUCAAGCACCGCUGGAAUUAUGUCAUCCUUUAGGAGAUUCCAGUGUCGCUGAAAAAACCCCGCGAUGAAACCACCGACUCCUGGGGCUUUUGACGGUGCCAUUUGAAACAGAGCUUUUUUAACUUCUUCCGCCGUGUAUGGCUUUUGCAGCUCGUAAUUCAUCCGAUCCGUAACUCUACUGGGCACAAACUCGAGCAGAUCUUCUAUCUGCCGAAAACCUUGAGACGUAUAUAAAUUUUCGAAAAAACUUUGGACCUCUUCCCGAUCCUCCUCAGGAGUGGUGCACAUAGUACCAUCCGAGUGUUCAAGUUUCUCGAUCCGGUUCAUGCGCUUACGCUGAGACAUUUGGGCAUGGAAAUAUCCCGUGUUCCUGUCUCCUUCACGCAGCCAUGGUACUCUAGACCGCUGCCGGGCCCAAAUCUCUUCUUGGUGCAUGGCAAGUCUCAACUUCUUCACAAUCGCCUUCUCCUCCUCGGACGGCCCACUGCCCACAGAUCGACUCCGCAGCUGUGUUAGCUGUUCACGUAACUUACGUAUUUUGCGAGCAAGACAACCAAACUCCCUUUUACCCCAUGCAGAUAACUGUGUCUGUAAGUUGUUCAGGGCCUCAACCACGCCACCUAGGCUGUGCCGACCCGACCCCUUCUGCCAAGAGUCUAGGAUGAGCUGGUCAUAAUCCGCAUGUGUCUGCCACAUGUCCUCAUAUCGAAAGGGUUUGGGCCCUCGAUGUACACUGGAAGUUAGAUUUUCCCUUAGAUCUGCUAAGACAAAACAGUGAUCUGACUCCGCAGCAACAAUGUGCCGAACUUUGACAUUUACAAAUAAAUCAGUAAGAGCUGUGUUGCCAAAGGCUCUGUCCAGCCGGGCUUUAACAUUUGAUCGACCCGACUGCCUAUUAUCCCAUGUAUAUUCCAUGCCUGACCAGCCCAAGUCAACCAUUGCACACUCAUCCAUUACUUCCUGAAACGCUUUCAUCUGCCACUCGGGUCUUGGUGAGAGAGAAAAGUGUUCGGAGCCGAAUAACGUUUCGUUAAAAUCCCCAAUGCACAUCCAUGCUUCAUGCCGGAUAGCAAACAAAGUUCUCAUGAAUCUCUAGCUGUGGCAUCUAUCUUCCACGCGCGGAGCUCCAUAGAAGCCUGUGACACGCCAUUUUUUGGAUGUAUCAUUUUUCCUCUACACCAUAACAUCGAUAUGGGCAGAACUAUAAUUUUUGAGCUCAACAUCUAGCUCAGCAGACCAGAACAAACCUAGUCCCCCACUGAGUCCAACGCUGCUUACCGUAAAACAUCCCGCAAAACCAAGAGAGUUCUGUAGAUUCUUCACUCUCUUGGCUGAAAUUUUGGUCUCCAUAAGAAAUAAGAGACCGGGCCCUUCCUACUUCACAAUGCUGCGAAGCUCCCGAACUGCCUCGGGGUUCCCAAGCCCCUGGCAGUUCCAGCUGAGGCAACUCAUCAUUCCCGGCGGGGCUGCUCUGCAGCCGCCGCCGAACAUCCUGAGUUUUGAGAGUUAGUGGGAGUCGGUUUUUUCUUUUUGGUUUCUGGCUCCCUCCCUGACUCCUUCUCAUCACCAUCCGAACGUACCUCGCCCGCUUUAAACACCACCACAGCAUUUGUGGUUUCAUUCAUUUGUGGUUUCUGCGGUUGAUCAGUCGGAGGCAAAGUGAUCUGUCGAUAAACUUGCUUCGUUCCAUGAGGCCCCCCUUUCUCUUAUUCCUCUGAUCAUGCUUCUUUUUAGGUGAGUUAACCUCUAGACUGGGAUCAGCUCUAGCGUUUGUAGCACGAGCAUCUUUAGUGCUACUUUGGCUAGACUGUUGCUCCUUGGACGAGCUAUCAUUAGACACACCUUUUUUCUUCUCCUCUGGCGCUCUCAGGCUUGUUUUAAAAGGUAGCUCACCCUUUUCAUUAUGCGUACCAGGAGUCGGACAAUGAAGGUCAGAAUGUCCCAGUCGCCCGCAUGAGAAAUAGAAAUUUGGUACUUGCUCAUAUUGAAUAUCAUACCAGUCCCUCCCACCCCUUGCUGCAGAAUCAAUUAAGAUCCACCUGCGAAGAGGCUUUCUUACAUCAAUGGUAACCCUAGCUCGCAGGUACCCACCAACUGGGUCGAAUUGCACAGAUGAUGCAUUCUUAUCGAUUUGUUUGGCCACUGCUUUUCCCAUCACAUCAUUCCGCAAAGAACCCGGCGAAUCGAUGGAGGACUAAUUAGAUAGUGAUUAGAUAACCCUCGUCUACUAAUACACCUACGCGUGGUAGGUUAGUUUCUUUGUUUUUCUUUUCUUUUUUUGUAGGUUAGUUUCUUUGUUUUUCUUUUUAGGGGAGGUUAGUUUUACUAUUGGAGUAGUAUAAUCAUUGGACGCGUACGCACAGGAAAACCAACGUACACACGCACGCCCGUGGCGCAUCCAAACCAACGCACAUGUACGGCGUGGCCGAUCCCAAUAGGACCACCGGAACAGCACAGCGCACGUCGAUAUUUUUUUAAUCUAUAUAUCUAUAUCUAUACUUACCAAAAGUUCUGAAAACUAAAAAAAUGAAAUAAAAUGUUUAAUAAUUUUAAAUGCUUGUGCAUUCAAAAAAUGUUUGCGGUUUUUAAAAAAUGUUUGCAUAUUCAAAAGAUGAUUGCGAUUUUGAAAAAAAAUCUUCGGAAAAUCAAAAAAUGAUCAUGAUUUUUAUAAAAUUCGUGUAUUAAAAAUGUUAGUGAAAUUGAAAAAUAAUUCGUCACUUCAAAAAGUUCAUGAAUUGUAAAACAUUCUAAAAAUUCAAAAACAAUUCGUGACCUACAAAAUAGUUUAUUGAUUUAUAAAAUUUUCGCUGAUUCAGAAAAAAAAUCAUGCAUUUCAAAAAGAUUCGUUAAAUCAAAAAAUGGUUGUGAAUUUCAAAAAUUGUUCCACCAAUUUCCAAAAAAUGUUCGUUUAUUCUAAAAAUGUUCGCUGGUUAACUAAAACGUUUAAUUCUUUUCACAAUUUUAAAAAAUGUUUGCAAAUAGUAUAAAAUGUUCAAGAUUUUAGAUUUUUUUUUUCAAAAUCUGUAAAAAUGUUCAUUAAUUUGAAAAAUGUUCAUGUUUUAACAUAUGUCCAUGGGUUCAAAAAAAUGUUCAUGAUUUUCAAAUCUGUUCACGAUUUCAUGAAAAUGUGAGUGAUAGUGUAUCUGGGUGAUGCAACAAAAUGUGGUCAUGGUCAUUGAAGAUUAUAAAAAAAAUUCGUACCGUUGCAACGCACAGGCCGUUUUGCUAGUCUAUAUCUAUAUUUAUACCUACCUACUAAUAAAGUACAGAGCGUUUCUGCCCGUCCAAUGUUAUAUGUUUUAUAAAAAAGCCCUUGAUUUUUUUAAGUAACCCGUGGUCCAACAUUAAGUGUCCUUUCUCUAUUGGGUUUUGGCCCAACAGCGACAACCGCUAUCUCGUAUGGUUUAAAAAAACCUGGUUUUCUUUAAGUACCCCGCGGUCCAACAUUAAGUGCUCUUUCUCGGUUGGGUUUCGGCCCAACUACGACAACAACUAUCUCGCGUGCAUGACGCCAAUUAGUAUUCCAUGUUGUAGGCCCAGUUUGCUCUGUUUUCAGCCUGUUAGGUCCCUGCCUUUUAUUAUUUACAAAGAAUAUGUAAAACAUGAUUAUGCUAUAACUUUGCAACCGUAAGUCGGAUUAAAAUAAUUUGUGUAUGUAAUAUGAUUCAGAAAAAUGCGAGGUUUCCAACCGUCCUGUUAUUUGUUUCCGUUAACCACUUUGAAAUUCUGUUCAGAACAUAAACUUAAUUAACCUAAUUAAUUACUACAAUGUAUUUAGGGAAAUGCUAACACACAAUAUAACUUUUAUAAAAUCUUUAUAUAUAUGAAAUAUGUUACAAGGGCCUAUAUGGAUCGAAGAGAGUAUGAAUGAUCGAUUUCAAUGGGCAUAUAGGAGUAAUAAAGAAAGAAGAGAAUAAAGGAUGUGAUCAGUAGGGAUAAAAAGAAUGGGAGAUUCAAAAGAAAAUAUGAACGAGAGAAUAACACAAAGGAAUUGGUAUGAAUACCAAGGACGUGACAUGCAUGCAAUGCAAUAAUAAAAAGGAUUAAGCCGAAUGAUGUGGGAGGGACACACAUAAUUUCCGCUAGACCUUAGUGGGUGCCUCUUUGUCAUGCCCGGGCAUAAUUCGGAUGUUGUUCGGCCGUGCUAACGGAUAUUUUAGUGGAUACAUCAAUUAUCUCUCCCGUUAUAACCCACAGAUAUAUGUGCUAGUACCGAACGCUCUGCCCGUCCGUCGUCAUACGUUAAGGCAUUGAUUUUUUUUUCUUUAAGUAACCCACGGUCCAACAUUAAAUGCCAUUUCUUUGUUGGACUUCGGCAGAACUGCGGCAGCCGCUAUCUUGCGCGUCGGAGCGCCGGUUAUUAUUCCAUUCAGCUGCAGUAGGCCCAGUAAUAUCUAUUUUCAGCCCGUUAAGUCCAUGGCUUUUAUUAUUCACAAAGAAUAUGUUAAACAUGAUUAUGCUAUAACUUUGCAACAUAGAAUGGAUUAAAAUAAUUUGUAUAUGUUAUUUAAUAAGAAAAAUGCGUAGUUUCCAGCUGUGCUACUAUUUGUUUGUUAACUACUUUAAAAGUUUUUCAGGGCAUAAACUUAAUUAACCUAAUUAAUUGCUAUGGUGUAUUUUGGAAAAUGCUGAUACCCAAUAUAACUUUUUUAUAAUCUUUCUAUAUGAAUGAAAUAUGUUACAACUGCCUAUAUGGAUUGAAGGAAGUGUGAAUGAUCGAUUUCAAUGGGCAUAUAGGAGUAAUAAAGAAAGGAGAGAAUGAAUGGCAUGUCCAAUAGGGAUAGAAAAGAACCGAAGAUUCAAAAAAUAUGAAGGAAAUAAUAACACAAAGGAAUUUAUAUUAAUACCAAGGGCAUGGCAUGUAUGCAAUGCAAUAAUAAAAAGAAAUUAAUACCAAGGGACAUGGGAUGGGCAACAUAUAUGCGCUGCUGCAUAGUGUGCGACCAUUAUGUGCAACAGAAAUAAGAGCGUCGACUAGUAUGCAACGAACUGGGGCCGUGUCGCUUAGACGUGCAUACAUUUUUUUUUAUUAAUUUUCAAGCAUAUGCAGAGAUGGCCUAAACACAUUUAAUAGAAUCCUUUUAUUGAGAUGAGAAUCAUCAUACAGAAACCGUACCAAAACUAUUGUAUGUGUAGCAUGCUUAUUAACGUACUAUUGAUAUGAAUUCCUGCUUGACCUCAGUGUGCGCCUCUAUGCCGCUAUCGGACACAAUUCAGAUACUGUUGGGCCGUACUGACGGAUAUUUCAGUGGACACGUCAAUUAUCUUUCCCGUUGCAAUGCACGGGCUGCUAGUACAGUAUAAAAAUCAAAAUCGCUCAUGUACACGAGCAUACACUCACCCUAUGAACGCACGUACGCACACCCUACUCAUAUGAGCACCUCCGAGAAUUAAGCCGGCAUAACAUCUUGAGAUUGACUAAGUAACUACGGGCGCCUCGUAGUUGACGGAACGUCUCAUCCCCCUAAACGAACAUUGCCGACAAGUCCGAAAUAAAUUCAGAAAAAUGCAAACACCAAUGUUAAGUCUAGAACCCAUGAUGGGCUAAGGAUAUCACUGUUCUCCUAACUAUCCAACCACAUGUUGCGCAGGUUGAUAUCAACGCCAACACACAGGCGCGGAAACUCUUUUUUUUCGAAAAGCGAAAUACCCCAGCCUCUGCACCUCGCGUGAUGCACACAACCAUAAGGGUGCUAGUUCAGGGUGCGAGAACUCUCAGGUGUGCACACAUCUGUUGAGCCAUGCCGGCUGCCUGAUUGCCUCACGAGAGUACAUCAAUUUUUAUGGCAUAGUUAUUAUGGAUGUUUUUCACACGGCGAUUUUUUGCAUGAAAUGUUGUAAAUGAACCCUUGGAAAUUUGCCCAUGACAUUUCAACAAAAUUUGCCCAUGGCAUUUGUUUGUUUUGUAGUGCUCACAUGUUAUGGCAAAAAUUUGUAACCCCCAUGGCAUAUUAUGUCUAUUAUACCAUGUCAGAUUUCUCUUUUUUUUGCAAACAAUGUUUUAAAGAGCACUAUUUUUUGUACUUUGCAAAAUGAUGUUUAAUGUAGUUUCUCAUACUAGCAGGGGCACUUUUAUUCGUUAAACUGGCCCUUUAAUUUUAAAGAGCAUGGAGUUUUUUCAUAAGUGCAUGACAUUUUUAUUUGUGUAUAUCAAUGGCAAAAAAGUAGCUAAUCUAAGUCAGGUCGAAAAUACCAUAUUUAGGCUAAAGUGGACCUUUUUUGGCCCAACCGGGAAGGUAGGAGAGCAGCGUACGAGAGGGAGCGUGUUCGAUCCUCAAAAAAAAAAAGAGGGGGCGUGUUCGCUCAAGGGGUUCUUUUCAAGCGAACGAAAUAGUUCGCUCGAUCGAACCCCUCGGGGAACGUUUACUUUGCUGGUGGCUUCUUCCCUUGGGAACGAUCGUCGGUUAUUGGCAUCCAUUUUUAUAGGUUAGUUUCUGAAACUUACGAUUUUUUGUCACAAUUACGAAGUAGAGGUUGGACUCAAUGAAAUUUUAAAACUCAUCAAAAAGUAUUCAAAAAUAGUUCUCAUUGAAAAGUUCCGUACAGAGAGGAGUUUUUGUCUUGUCCCCCAAGGUGGUGAUACGCUCUGGAUCGUCGGUGGACAUCGAGUUGUAGGCUUGGGCCACCCAAUUGUCAUUGGUCCUCUUCUAUUUGUCGUUAUACCCCGGGAUCAUGGCAUCGUUACAUAACAUUCCAACAAAGUAAAUUAAUUGCUUCUUCUGACAUUUGGAAACUAAACAAACCCAGUACAGGGCAAAGUGCUAAAACAUUAAGCACUACAUCUUCUAAAGCAACAAAUUAUACUUCUACUCCUAAAGCACAGUGGCAUAAGUCACUCAAGCACACAUAGCAUUUGCACUAAUAACAUAGAAACAAAGGGAUCCUAGGAGUAAUCUAGAGCACAUCAGGCAGUUGCCGGCUGCGCAGCAUUUUCAUGGUCUAGAGCAUCUUCUCCUUGAUGGUUGAUGAUGAAUUUCUCCAUGAUAACCUCAUGGUUGUCAUCGAGCUUGAACUAGGCUUGCAGCGUGGCAAUGAUGUCAGCAGUAAGCUAGUCCUUGAAUUGUUGAGCAAAGGAACCCAAUGUGGCCUCAGUCAGAGGCGGACCACGAAAAAAAAUUAAGGUGGGGCGAAGUCUCACUAGAAUUUUUUUAUGCGAAUCAAAGGACUCAAUACACACUAACAAUGCUCACUACAAACCAAUAACCAAAUACAAUGAAAAUGGAGACAUGUUUUAAUAGGAAAACAACCUAAAACAUACCGAUAAUGAAGCUUUUAAUGACGUCUAGAAGAUCCAGGCAAUGGCAGUGCCCUACCCUCCUUCUGAAAAUCUUCCUUAAUUUUACCAAGAUCAAUACUUUUAAAGAUCUCUCGCUCAAUGUAACACACCAUCAAGUCAUUAAGCCAGCCAUCAGACAACUUGCUGCAUAACUCAGUCCGUCGCCGCCGUCGGCUGCCCUGCCUGGGCUCCUGCCUCCUGAUGACCUGGCCAGCCGCCGCCGCCGCUCGCUAGGGUUGCUGCGUAGUAUCGCGUCGAGAGGUCGAGGGUCGAGGAGAGAGGAAAGCCUCCGUUCGAGAGGCCAGCCGUGACUCGUCGUUUCAUGGGUGGCUGGUUGUCUCGGCCCAUCAAGCCACUGGCCGUGUUGGCCCAUAAGAACGACGACGCGGCCUUUUCUAUUAGCGAUCGAUGGACAGCGCAGCCUCUGUAUCGAUGCAUAUGUAUAAAAAAUUAUUUCCUCAAAAUUAAGGUAUGGCAGGCGCCAUACCCUGCCCACUGGGGAGCUCCGCCAGUGGCCUUAGUGACGUCUUAACCAUCUUUGACAAUGUGGAGGCUGCGACAAACAAGCUUCUCUGCUGCCUUGGCGACUGGCGCAACCUUUCCGUGGCUACUGGGAUGGAGCCGCUCAUUGGAUUGGCAGAGAGAUAAGUUGUCAUUUUGGUAGAUGCGUACCGUUGCAAGUAUUUGCGUUGCGUACUGGUGGCCUGGGAGGUGACGACGCCGGUGAAGCCAGCACGGCCUCCUGGCAUGUUUGGAAUGUAGGCUUGAUUUGGGCAGACAACAUGUCUAGGAGGUAGGCCCUAGAGGCAUGUUGGAUCCAGAUGUGGCUUGAGGGGUGAUUCGAAGCCCGGAGGUGCACCGACGAUAGGCAGGAUGAGAGUCGCCAGCGAGCAGAGAUAACUUCUACCAAUACUCUCCCACCCCCUCUCCCUCUCCGCGAGAGGAAAAGGAGCAGGAAGGGUUACAUGCAUUGGUGAAUUCUCUAUUAAUCCCUGCCUGCAGCGAUUCAUCAAAAACUAAGAAAAUUAUGAUAGACUCUUUAAACUGUAUAAGGGAGAUGGUAUGUUUCCAUCCCCACCAUACAAGCCCCCACAUUUAGCGACCUAGUAAAAUCCACAUGGCUGGGUGGACCUCUAGCUCUAUAAACCCGGAUUGGAUGCUAGCAAAUCAACGAGGAAAACAAUAUGUGAUCAUGCCUUAUUGCAAAUGCCGUAGCAACUCGACCAAGAUGCAAUGAUCUUUCAUAGAUAUACAAUCAUCAAAGAUAAGGAGAACAGAAGCAACAAGUAAAACACAUGUCUCACGCCACACAAUCUCAAAGUCUUGACAGCUACGGAGGAAAGGUUCCUAUUUUCGUAUAACUGUUGUUUUCUCUCUCUCAUGGUACGCUCUAGUGUUUUUUUUCUCC